CGGCAAUUGAUACGGCAACAACAUGAGUGACGUCAUGCAUUUUAACUUCAUCUUUAGCAUCACCGUCCAACAAUAAGCAUGAAGAUUUGAGGUUGUCGAUCAACCGAUGCACUCUACUCCUUGCUUCUUCCGAUGUGUAAACAUUUUCAAAUAAACGCCAACCCACACCAUAUCUCAAUAAGUUAGAAACUUGUAUGACAUAACCUUCACUGUAUAGACCACAAAGACGGAACAGAGAUUUUGCCUCCUCACUUUCCAAGAAGUCAUAACUCAAUUUUAUGGAGGUGUAAACAUUUGCUUGCAUGCCAUGAAUUUCUCUUGCAUCCGAUCUUCUUAGCUGAUUCAAUGCAUCUUUCCAAAAGUCAAGCUCCUUAGUUUUCAGAGCAUUUGCAACUGUACUCAGUGCAACAGGCAAACCUCCGCAUCUUUCAACGAUCUCAUUGGCUGUACUUUGAAAAGCAGAUAUUUUAGUUGAAUCACCCACUAUCUCCUCAAAUAACUGCAAUGCUUCUUUUGGUGGCAAAGCAUCGAUCUGGAAAUUUUUCUGAGAAUUCAUAUCAAUGCGCAAUAAAUCUUGCUUUCUAGACGUCAAUAUUAUUGUGCAUCUUCUCUGAUCAUCCUUUCUAUCUUUCUCAGCAACAUCCCCGGUUGGAAUUCCAAAUUUAUCCAACUCAAGUUUUGUCCAAAUAUUAUCUAAUAUAAUGAGGAGCUGCUUCUCUUUCUUCAAUCUUUCAUGUAAUCGUUCAGCUCUUUGGAAUUCAUUCUCAUUCAGGCCAAAUUCCAUGCCUAAAUCAAAAGCAAGUUUGUUUUGAAUUUUAUGAUGAUCUGGGGUCUGUGUUACCUCAGCCAUAACGACCUUAUCGAACAAGUUUUCUUCCAUCACUUGCUUUGCAACUUGCUUGACUAUCGUGGUUUUACCCACGCCGCCCAUCCCGUGGACCCCAAUUAUGUUGAGCUUAUCAUCCCUCAACGCCUCCAUAACAUCUUGAAAUACUUUCAUUCUUGAAUCAAACGCCUCGAAAUCUUUCACUUGAAUAUGUUCUGCCAGCUUUGGAGUAGGACGGUGGGAAACAUUAGAGAAGUUGCCUUUUCCCACGAGACUAGCGGCAGCUUCUGCGGCCUUUGCUGCUUGUCUACUGAGCUUGUAACGGGAAAUCAAGUUUGGGCACGAUCCUUUGAAACAGAACUUCUUAGCUCUAUCUUCAUCAUCAGUGAUGGAUUUUGCAGCGCCCUGAGUGAAUUCCUUGACACUAUUAAGCCAGUCUGCAACAUCCUUAUAAAUCUCAUCUCCUUGUUGAGUAGCCUGAUGAACGGGUAUUUCCACCCUUUCUCUUUUGUGUUCCAGCUGCUUCACUUGAUCUUUUAGGCCAUCUAUGUAGCUCUGGUACUUGAACACAUAAGAUAUCUGCCGUAUAAUCGGUUUGAAUAGUGACUUUACACCUUCUGAUACGAUGCUGGAAAAAGCAGCCAGACCCACUUCUGCAGCCAUUGCCUGUUGCUUAACAGUAUAUAUAUAUAAAUAUAUAUAUAUAUAUAAAGUGAAUAAAAAUGUCAAAUAAAGGAAUACAAAUAAAUUAAAAUGAACUAGAGGGAAAGACAGAGAAAGAAUAGACCGCAAACAACAUCACGAUAUUGAUCUUGAACCAACUGAUACCUAAGUGGAGAAUUUCUUUUUCUAUCUUAAGGAUCAGAGGUUUCGCUAUUAACAGAAAGGUAUCCUUCAAGGAAAGUUGAUGGAAAUUAAGAAAGAAUGGCUAUCAAGAUCAAGUAUUCUGCUACUAAAAAUAAAUGAUAUGAUUAAGAAAAACCAGAGAAUUUUUUCCUAGGAAAGUUGAUGGAAAUUAAGAAAGCACCGCUAUGAAGAUCAAGUAUCAGAGAUUCUGCUACUAAAAGAAUAUUACAGGUUUUAGAACAAGUGCACCUCUUUACCUGUCUGGGAUCAGAGUUGAUGAGCUGCUGUAUUCACCUUGAAUAUAGAAGAAAUAUUACAGAUUUUGACUAAAGAGGAAUGUGAGGAACGAGUUGAUGAGAGUAAUAACAAUGAAUUUCCAAAAGAAGACGACUUGAGCAUUAAGCAUGCACCCCCUUUUUCAAUCAAAUAUUGGUACGUAUGUACGUAGGGACCAUUAUGCGUAUAUGAAGUCCAUUAGUUGCAAUCAGAAACCCUGGACCAAUUUAAAUGACACUCGAUUUUUGAUAAGAAGAAGGCAAGGAUAAGGACAAAGUCAAUCAAUCACCAACAGUAAUUACUUCAAUCUUUGUCAAUCUACUUAAAUUGUCGAUCAACAUGAAAAUUGUUUAAAUUGAUAUUUGUAAAUCAAUCAAUUUUCUAGUUACUAUGAUUAUAGCGUUUCACCUUUCAUAUUGGAUUUUAUCUUUUCGAAAGUUUUCAAAUAUGAGUGUCAAUAAUUAUUGAGACUCCAAGCCGUGCUCUCAAGAUCGUGCUGACACAUCACUAUUAACUUUAUUUAUGCAUAUUUCAAAGAAAAAAAGUUAUGGUUUUGUAUUGCCAGCCCUGCUACUUUUUGUUUUUUUUCAUUUGUAUUAUUUACGAUUUUUUUUUAACAGAAACAUGAGAACUCAUCAUCGUACAAAAUUGUAUGAAAAAAUCUUCAAAUUUAUAAAAGUAAAUUUCAUUGACAGAUUGUGGAUAUGUUAGCAAGAAUAAGGAUAAGAAUGAGUUAAGAAAUUAAAAAGAAAAAAAAUAUAGUGUAAGUAAACAAUGUUUUGGUACAUUUGGUAUUGUUUUCAAAAUAUUUUGAAAAGAAAAAUUUUCAAUCAUCCACCUAAAAAUUAUUUUAUUAUCCAAAAGUUAUGAAAAUUUAAAUAUACUUAAUUUUAUACCCAUUAUUACAAUGUGUAUCAACUGUUUACUAAAAAAAUAAAGUUACUCCUAAAACGUAAUCACCACUACAAUUUUAUGUUCGCUUCUAUUUUGUCACUUUGAACGAAUAACUUUGAGUAAAUGACUGAUAAUUUCUCUUUUAUAAGCUACAAGAAGUUAAAAAAAGAAAAAAGAAAAAAUAGGAUGAUAAUUUCUCUUUUAUUUGCCUCAGAUGAUUUAUUGUUUCGGGUCUAAGAUUUUAAAUAUUCAACUUAAAAGAUUAAUAUAUUAUAAAUUAAUUAAUUAAAUAAUCAUUAAGCAAAUAAAUUGUGUCCCUGGAUGUCAAUUCCUUUAAUAUUGACGCAACUAUUUUUUUCUGGCAAAUAAUUAUUAAUGCACUUACGGAACUUUGCAUAUCUACACAGCGAUUUUAAAUAUUACUGGUAACUGCUAAGAAAUGUGCGAGAAAGGAGUUGAUGAGAGUAAUAACAGCGACUUGCAAAAGGAAAAGACAGAAUCAUUCACCCCUUUUUGUAUCACGUAUUUGGUUACUGUUUCCCUGUUGACGCAUGUAUAAAUUUGAGUGGUUUUUCUCCACGUUUUUGAGUGGUCUUUCUGCACUUUUUAACAAUAUGAUAAUUGACAGGUUAAUUAUUUUAUAUCUUUUAUAAAAUUACUAUUAAAGGAGAUUUUCUGCACGCAUGUAUAAUAUUUUAUAUCUUUAUUUAUAUUACUAUUAAUUUUAAAUUAAAAUUAUUUAUAUUUAUUCAUAUUCAAAUAUUUAUUAUUAGUUAUAUUAACUAUAAUAUAAUUAAAUAAUACAUUAUUUAGUUAUAUUUUCAAUAUAAUAAAAAUUAAUAAUAUAAUAAUAAAAUUUAUUUAAACAUUUAUUAACAUGUAAUAAAUUUUGUUUUUGUGUACAAUACAAUAAAUUGAUAACUAAAAUAAAUAUUAUUAACAUUAUUUUAUUAUUUUAUUACCUCAAUAUUAUUAGUAAUUAUAAGAAUUCCUUGAAAGUUAAUGAUUUUACUUUUUUGAUUAAUAAGGAUAAUUUUAUAUUUUUAUAGUAUGUAUGACGGCUUGCCUCCUGCAUGCGUCUAAGUGCAACCUUCCUAUAUAAUCGGUUGCUUUGCUUGUGAAACUACAUCAAACCCUAAUCCUGAUCCUGAUCCUGCUGAGAUGAGUGUUAUAUAUGCUGAAGCAAAUUAAACACGCACAUCAUCAAUUUGAUUCGAUAUGCGCACCGUCUUACGUAUAAAUACCAAAAGAAAUCAUAAUAUACAUCUUAGUACUGAUAGUCGUGAUCACAAAUUAGGAACACAAUAUAUACACAUGCAUAAUAUAAAGAAAACACGAGGUAAAUUAAAAGCGUGUAAAUAUUCAUUUUUUUCAAAUAUUGAGAUGUAGCUAUAAAAGAAAAAAUAAAUUAAAAAAUUUUAAAUUUUAAUAUGGCCAUCGUAGAGUUAGAAUCCCCGCUCCAACCCAAUUUGGAGAUGUGCUUGGUCUAUUUAUGUUUUGGAAAAAGAAAAACCAAAGGAAAAAAAAAUACACACACGACCAAAUCAAGCAAUUCAUCAAAUAAAAAAUAAAAAAAGGAAAGAAAUUUAAUGACUUGCAUGCAAUUUUGGAUCUGAAAUUAAAAUUACAUAAAAAUUAAGGAUUACCUACCUUAAUAUUUACAGCUUAUUUGAUGGACUCAACAGGUUUAAGCAACAUCAAAAUGUUUGUGGCUCCUUAAAUGAGCCCCCGACAUGGUGCAAAUGACAACAUCGACUUGUUUGACAGCUCCAACAAGGCUACGAUGAUCAGAAAAUGAGCCCUCAAUCAACAAGCUAAGAUUGGCUUCUCUAUCCUCUUCUCCCCACAACCAGCGCCUUGCUCUUUGUCAUUUUUCCUCUUGUUAGUUUUCUUCUACAUAUAAUUAUUACACUGGGAAGUACACACCCCUCUUUUCUUUUUAUAGUACCUUACUAUUAUAUCUUUACAAAACAAUAUCACCCUAAGACAGAUAUGUAUGAAAUAAAUGAAAUAAAUAUAUAAGGAACUGACGAAAUAAAAUUAUCAUGACCAUAGACUUUUCUAAUUUAUUUUUUCCUUUAAAAAACGACAAGGAUAAGUUUGGGAAAAUGAUUAUAUUUUUAAUAAAAGAAUUCUUUUUUAUUAUAAGGAUCCACCUACGUUACAAUAGUGAUACCAUACUACAGUUUUUGUCUUUAUUUAGUUGAGUCGUUGGAUGUUUUACUGGUCAAUCUAAUGGCUGAAAUUAAUUAUUAGAUAAUUGAUGCGGCAACCUGCAACCGUUGGAGCCGGUUGCGUUUUAAUGUAAUGUAAUAUCAUUUGCGAGCUUGUGCUGAGAAAGUUUGUUGUACUGCAUCAAUGGAACUGAUUUGGUCAGGAUUUAUGGAUAUAGAGAAAGAGGAGUGUUAGAAAAGAAAACGGUGCAGAAGAUUGUCCCUUCAUCCAUUUGGCCUUUGGUAGGGGCUUCCUUUGAUUUUCACCUGGACUUCAUAAAUUCCUCAAAUUUCCUUCUUGAUAACAGUAAUCCUGCAUUCGGAGAGAGGUAAGUCACCAUGUUUCGUCACAAACGUGGCCAUCUCUUCUCCAUUCGAUUGGUUGCUUUUUAAAUCCAAUGGUUAUAUUAGAUGAGGACAAAAAUUGUGGUAUGGUACCACUGUUGUAACAUAAGUGGAUCCUUAUUAUAAUACUUUUUGUCUUAAUUAAUUUAAAAAUAUUGACUCUUAUAUUUUAAUAAAUAUAAAUAUAAUAUUAUAAUAAAAUAUAACAAUAUAUACAAAUAUUUAAAAAAUUUAAGAUUUUAUUAAAAUAAAUUUUAUAAUAAAUACAAAUAUAUUAUUAAUAUAAUUAUAAUAAUUUGCAUUUUAAAAAGUAAUACUGCUAUAAAUUUUUUAAAUUAUAUUACUCUACCAAAAAAAUAAACUAUUAAAUUAUAUUGAUAUUUAUUAAAAAAUUUGCAAUUAAUUCUUAUUAUAUUUUUAAUUGGAAUUUUUUUCUUGUGAUAUAACAACAAUUGCUACAGUUUUUUCCCUAAAUAAAGAUGGAGUUAUAAAUUAUUUGUAUAAGUGUCAUGAAAGUAAUAGUUGAAUAACAAUAAUGGGGCUUUAGGCAAUUUUUUUAUGAGGUCUUCUUACAAUUUCAACACUUAAACAGACUUGUCCUUGAUCCCAAUUUAUUUACUGCAUUUGGGCCCACGAUGAGAUAAAUAUAUUCCUGUGAGAUGAAAAACAUCAGGAGAAGAAAAUGUUUUAUUAUAAUAAAAAAAAAAGUGGUCCAUAUGUUACCUGUUACCUGCAGAGGAAUGUGAUUAUAGAGAGCUUAUGAGAGUAACGACAAUGAUUUGCAAAAGAAGAAGACUUAAUCAUGCAGCCCUUAGUAUUUAUCAAAUGAUUAGUGAUCAUUUCUUUUAUAAAUAAAAUGCCAACAGCAAAAAGAAAAAAAAAAGGUUAAAUUUAUUAAGUCUUAUUUUAAUUUUAAUUUCUUUUAUUUUCAUUCGCCGAAGAGGGAAUCUCUUUUCCUAAUGUGACAUAAUUAAAGCAAUCUAUAAAUAAUACAAUAAUCAGAUAAUAUAAUAAUUAAAAAGACGCACAUGUUUAUAAUAAUAAUGAUGGGAUCCAUAUGUUUAUACUGAUUAAAUUGGUGGACCAGAAUUUAUUUGACCUUACUUGUUUUCUAUUUAAUUAAAAAUUGAAACGACAGAGAAAAAAUGUCGUACUGAUGGUUUCGAUUGUGGAGUUCCGCUGUGGAUAGCACAUCCAAUAGUGAAAAAUGAAGCUUUCGUCAACUAUCUCACAUCCACGCGUACCAUCAUGCAUAAUUGGAUAUUGCAUUAUUUCUUUAGAAAAGCAAGAUUAAUUCUUUUAACAAGCAAACGCAUAUACAUAGAAUAAUUAUAUGUAUUUGUUGGUUCAAGAAACUUAACUGACAAGAUUGAGACAAACAGGAGAUUUUAAUUUUUUUUGGACAUUAAGAAAUAACAGCUGUCAAGAUCAAGGAGAUUAUGCUAUUAACAGAAAUUAUUAAAGGAUUUAGAACAAGUUAACCUCUUCAGUUAUCCGGGAUCAUACGGUUGAUGAGCUUCUCUGUUUGGCCUUGAAUAUUUAAGAAUAAUUUUGAUGAGCAAAAAGAUCACUGGUAACUGCUGAGAAAUGUGUGAGAAAAGAGCUGAUUAGCGUAAUAACAAUGAAUUGCAAAAGAAAAAGACUUAAGGGUAAUUUUUGGAAACCUCCCCUGAGGUUUGCCCUUGCUACACUUAGAGAGAAUGUAUGCAUAUAUUGACAUAUAGCACCCCUGACCGUGUAUGAGCGUUAGAGUGCCGUUUGGUUGUUAAGGGCAAUAACGUAAUUGCAAAAAUAAAGAGGCUGACUGCAGAAAGAACGCAAUAGCUUUUGCUUCCUCUCCAUGUCUUCGUUCUUGUUCUUUCUCUCGCUCUCAAAAGAAUUUGGAGGCAGAAAAGGAAAAAAAAAAAAUUCUUCUUUUCUUUCUCUUUUCCCCCCUUCCUCUCCACCCAUUUCGUUCUUUUAUCAGUAAAGCUGAAAAACAAAGGCCACUAUUCCUGCAUCACCACCAGUUUGUCGUAUUGCUUUGCUAGUCAACAAAAAUUCUAACCCCAUGUUAAAAAAUAACAUCAAUAUUAAUGCUUCUUCUUCUUAUGAUUCUUUCACCUCUUUAGAAAAUGGUGCACUAGUUAUUCAUAACAAAAGAGAAAGAAAACCAGCAGGCACCCCAUGUAGCUUUCUUUUUCAAUUUUCUUUUGUAUAUGGGUUAAAUUCUUUUAAGGCGAAUUGCAAGUUUUAAUUUUUGUUUUUCCGUUUUUUGUUUGAUACGCACACACGCAUAAAUCCAGAUGAGAGGUGGUUUUUAUAUGCUGUUCAAUCUAAUUAUAAAGCACAUCUAAAAAAUUGUGGUACUAGAGGCCAUUCUUCUGACUGUGGCCGAGUGUUUUCCAGGUUCUUCUCUUUCUCCUAAAUUUACUCCCUUUUUUAUUCUUUCAACAAAAAUGAGAUUCUUUGCUCCUUCAAGUGGAACCUCGGGGGCAAAUUACCUCCACAAAUUGACCCACGGGCCACGGCUACUAGAUUUGGAGGGGAGAGAGAGUGACCUACGGCUGCUGGAAUUGGAGGGGGGAGAGAGUGACCCACGGCGGCUGGAAUUGAAGGGGGGAGAGAGAGUGAACCGUGCGUUUUGUGCUAGAUUUGGAGAUCCGAGGGGAGAAAGAGAGUGUGACCCGUGACCCACAACUGUUGGAUUUGGAGGGGAAAGAGAGUGAGAGCUGUCGACGGAGCGUGGUGAGGAAGAAUGGGAAAUUGGUGGCUUGGUAAGAUUAGUGGCAUGAGCUGUGAGGGAGAGCGAGAGAGGGUGUGCUGCGAACGUUGCGUGUGUGUUGCAAAUGGUGUUGCACAGUUCUUUCAAUCAAACCCUAAGAUCCUCACAAAAUCAUGCCAAAAUAUUGAUUCACCAGGCCUUUUAAUUAAGUUAAAAGCUUCUGUUUUGUUAUCUUCUGCAAUGAAAGAAGCAUCGUCAAGUCUGCAACUCCACGUUGCUGCAAGUAUUGUCAGUUAUUGAACUGUGCAGUGAAGGGCAUUAUUGUACUUUCGGUAACAGAGCAAACGGCAGUCUAACACUGAUACACGGUCAGGGGUGCUAUAUGUCAAUAUAUGCAUACAUUCUCUCCAAGUGUAACAAGGGCAAACCUCAGGGGAGGUUUCCAAAAAUUACCCAAAGACUUAAUCAUGCACCCCUUUUCAUAUCACGUAUUUGGUUACUGUUGCCUUGUUGACAUAUGUGUAUAAUAAGGGUCCGCCUAAGUUACAGCUAAUGUAAGUUGAAGAAAGCACUAGUUCACGACUUUACCUUUGGAUAUAUUCUAAAGAGAUAAUUAAGUUUGAUAAAAGAUAAAGCAAAAGCUUGAAUGCAUGAUUGAGGGCGAAGACUUUUAUUAAAGCAGAUGCCGAAAGCACACGAAAAGCUUGAAUGUUGUGGCUCCUUAAGUGAGGCCCAGACAUGGUGCAAAAGACAAAAUCGACUUGUUUGACAGCUUCAACAAGGCUACGAUGAUCAGAAGAUGAGCCCUCAAUCAAGAGAGCUCCCUGCCUCUUAAAUGAUAAAUUAAAAGCAAUUGUAGCUUGUCGACAUCAGGCCAAUUUCAGGCCUUUGAAGAGCACAAAUGACAUGGCCUUGACCAAAGAUUGCCUUCUCUAUCCUCUGCCGACACAUCCACUUCUCUCCACAACCAACGCCUUGCUCUCUGUCAUUUUUCCUCUUGUUAAUUUUCUUCUACAUAUAAUUAUUACGCUGGGAAGCAUACACACACCUCUUUUCUUUUUUUUCUUUUUUUCAAACUACUAAAUAUUAUGGGAAAAUGAUCGAAACCCUUUUUUUUUUUCUUUCUAGUUAACAUUAUCAGGUGUAUUUUUGGCUUUUCACACUUGCAUAAAAAAUUGAUAAAAAUUUGAAACAUAAAAUUCACUUUAUUACCUUUUACUUUUGUAAAUAAACUAAAAGAUAUUUUAGUCUUUUCAUAUAUUUGCCAAACGUUUUUAUAAAUUAAAUGGUGAAAUUGUUUAUAUAGAUUACAAAUAAACAGUAUAAUUAAUUAUAUUUUGUAUGUAUAAAGCAUUAAAUAAUCAGAUAUUUGUGGCUUUUAAAACUCAAGAAAACUCAAGAAAAUUAAAUGACAAGAUUAAGACAAACAAGAGAUAGUUUUUGUUGGACAUUAAGAAACAACUACUAUCAAGAUCAAAGAUUAGAAAUUAUGCUAUUGAAAGAAAUUAUUAAAGUAUUUAGAACAAACGCACCUCUUCAAUUAUCUAGGAUCACAGAGUUUAUGAGCUUCACUCUUGGCCUUCGAUUUAUAAGAAAAAUUUUAAUGAGCAAAAGAUCGCUGUUAACUGCAGAAGAAUGUGAGUAAAGAGUUUAUGGGAGUAAGCAAUACAAUUGAAUUGUAAAAGAACAAGACUUAAAGCGUGCACCCCGUGUUCAUAUAAACAGAACACAUGUUCAUUUUUAACAAAGUGAUCAAUAACUCUAUUCGUUAUUUAAUUGAUAUUGUAACCAAUUCUAAGAGAAUAUAACAAUUAUCAUUCAAUCCAUAAAUUUUGAAUUAGAUUUUUUUAACUCUUUAUUUAAAUAUAAACCUUAAUGGAAAAUUAUAAAAGUUUAGAGAUAAAAUUUUUCAAUCACCAAACGAAAAAAACAGGGGAAUGAAAACAGAGGAAUCUUGUUUUAACUAAUUUUUUUUCCUCAUUUCUUGGUCUUAUAUUAAUAAUCUUGUUUUGAUGAUAGUGCUCGUGACUGCGGGAAAAUUUCUACUGGAAACAACUCAAUUUCGGAAGAAAACUUAAUUUUGCAAGUGAUGAAUUUGAACUCGUUGGAUUGGUUGAUUUAUGAUUGACUGAAUUUCACUUUUGCCCAAAAGAUCUUUAACCAAAGUUUAAUAGCUAUCAUGUACUCCUUAAAAGCAAUUUUUUUUUUAUAGAUUUGACUGAAUUUGAACUUGUUGGAUUGGUUGUUUUUAGAUUAUUAAUAUGAGAUAUUACAACGUAAAUAUUUUCAUGGGGUUGAGCCCUAUUCUAAAAUCUGUAUAGUUAGCUUUAGAAAAAGGGCUUUUCCUGCUGAUCUGUAAUCUUCAAAUAAACUUAGAUACAAAUAAUGAAAUAAAAGACAACAAACAAGCAAUACUGAUACAAAGCCAACAGAUCAGAGUUUUUGGUACAAAGCCAAUAAAAGACAAUAAACUUAGGACCUUUUUUUCUUGCUUUCUUUUGUUGAAGGAUUAGAGUUUUUGGUAUUAUCAGUAAAGAUUUCAAGGGUCUGAGUAAAAGCCUAUAAUCUUUUUCUAAACUUUUUUUUUGGGGGUGGGGGGGGAGCAUGCAAAUUAACCAAAAGAAAUAAUAAGACCACAGGCUUUAACAAUGAAUGCUAACUUAAAACUCAUGCAAAAUAAGUUACAAUAUUAAAACAAACCAGAGAAAAUUUUUUCUUGGAAAGUAGAUGGAACUUAUGAAAGAGCAGAUGUCAAGGAUUUAGAAAACGUGCACCUCUUUAAUUAUCUGGGAUUAGAGAGUUGGUGAGCUUCUCUAUUUAAGAACAAGUUGAAAGAGGAAAAAGAUCACAGGUAACUGCUGAGGAAUGUGUGAGAAAAGAGUUGAUGAGAGCAAUAACAAUGACCUGCAAAAGAAACAGAAUUAGUCAUUCACCGCUUUUCUAUAUCAUGUAUUUGGUUAUUGUUGCCCUGUUGACGCAUGUUGAAGAAGAAAGCACUAGUUCACAACUCUACGUUUUCAUAUAUUCUAAAGAAAUAAUUAAGUUUUCAUAGAAUAAAAUGGUAAGACUUUUAAUUGAACAAUUGAGUGCAAUCAGUAACAAAGGCUUUACAAAUGCAAGUAAAAUUUGUACGUUGCUUCAGAAAAAAAGGGCAUUUCUCACUCAUCUUUAAUCUGCAAGUAAAAUUAGAUACAAAGCAAAUCUAAUAAAAUGACAAACAAACAAACAAAACAAAGAAAAGACAGGAGGCAAACAACAUUGAUCUUAAGCCAACUGAUAAUUAAACAGAGAAUUCUUUUUUUUUUUUUUAACCUGUUGCUAAAGGAUUAGAGUUUUUAUAUUAACAGAAAGGUUUCAGGGGUCUGAAUAAAAGCCCACAAUUUCUCUAUUUUAUUUUUAUUUUUAUUUUUUGAAAGGAGCUUCACCAUUGGCCUUGAACAUAUAAGAAUGAGCAAAAGAUCAAUGUCAACUGCCGAGGAAUGUGAGUAAAGAUUUCAUCAGAGUAAGAAAUACAAAUGAAUUGUAAAAGAACAAGACUUAAGCGUGCACCCCGUGUUUUGUUUUAUUGUACGUAUAAACAUAACAUGUUCAUUUUUAACAAAGUGGUCAAUAACUCUUUUUUUUUCGGUACAAAGACGUGCCUAGUAUAGACUAGGGCAAAACAAAACGGGGGUGUGAAACCCCAAUACAAUCAUGACGAAUCCAAAACCCAGCCCCUAAAGGAAGAGAAUUGAAAAUGUGCAAUCCAACAGGUAGUGAAAGAGUAGAGUUUGCAAGAAAGUCAGCUGCAAAAUUUGAUUCUCUGUAAACAUGCUUGACCCGCACUUGCCAGGUUCUGUUAAGCAAUUCCUUAAUACCCCUGACAAGAGAAGCAUGUGCAUUUGGCCUAAUCUCGUCAUCCGCCACCAAACGAGUAACACAAAGGCUGUCAACCUCCACCCGAAGCUGCCGAAUUCCAUUAUCCCAAGCCAGACAUAACCCUUGAUAAAGGCCCCGUAACUCAGCACCAGUGAUGGUACCCACACCAAUAUUCAUUCCAAAACCAAUUAUCCACUCUCCAUAACAGUUUCUAAUCAAACCACCCGCACUAGACAUACCAGAACUUUUACGAGCUCCAUCUGUGUUGAGUUUAAACCAAGGCCAAGUAGGUGCCACCCAUCCAAAAUAUUUCUCAAUCUUCAUGGCAGCAGGAACCAAACAACUCUGAUUAAACUUUUGAAUUUCUUCUGUACGGAUCUUAAUAUCCAUUACAACAGUACUCUUGCUGGUAAAAACACCAUUAUGUAGAUUUUGGUUACGCCAAAACCAAAGCCUCCAAACUGUGACCCCAAAAAGACAUGGCCAGUCAAACAUACCAUCAUACUUCCACAAGUUCCUCAAAUUAUAUAACAUCCAAUCUCGGAGAUUCAAACUAAAAAAUUGAUGACUAAUCCCAUGGGGUAUCAAUGACGACCAGAUUGCUUAGCACUGGGGCAAUCCCGCAGCACAUGAAGAGUAUUUUCAACAACACAGCCACACCUUGCACAGCUCAUAUCAUCAAAAAUAUGUCUCCAGAAAAGUUCUGCUUUAGUUUUAAGUCUAUUUUGACCCACCACCCACAGAAAGGUUUUGAUACGUUGGGGACCUCUCCACUGCCAAAGAAUGCGCCAAAAGGAUUCUUCAUUGUGAACCUCCAUUUUUGACAAAGCCCUAUAUGCUGAAUUAGUAGUGAAAUCUCCUGACUUAGAAUAUGCCCAGUACAUGUAAUCAUCCUCAUCAUUUACACUGGGAGGCUUGGUGGCUGCAAUUUUGAGAAGUAAAUGAUGGGGCAAUAAAUUCUCAAAAAGCCGCCAAUUCCAAGUACCCUCAACAGUGAUAAACCUCGCCACACACUCCUCAAGCUGCUCUAAAGGUAUCGGCUGCAAAGCGAAAGUAUACAAAGGGUAUUCCUCUAUUACCCAAUUAUCCCACCAAAAUCUAACUCGGUUGUCAUUUCCAAUGUCCCAUUUGAUCCCUUUUAAAACCUCAUGCCAAAUGCCUCCCACAGCCUUCCACAUGUAAGAGCCAUAUUUCGUAGGUAAUGUGCUGGGGAGAGCAUUAGGAGCCAGCCCAUACUUAGACAAGAGAACCUUCACCCAUAAACUAUUUGGAGAAGCAAUUAAACCCCACCCAAUCUUCAUGAGCAGAGAGCAUCAUUCAUUAAAUUAAGCUGCUUAAGACCAAGGCCUCCGCUAGGUUUCGGUUGACAUAUUGUAUCCCAUUUCACCAAACUGAUUUUCUUCUUGUCUGCUGCCCCGCUCCAAAUAAACCUCCUACAAGCCUGAUUAAUUUUCUCCCGAAUACCAAACGGAAUCCUCGUGGUCUGCAUUGCAUAAAUAGGAAUCGCCUGGAUUACCGAUUGAGUGAGAGUGAUCCUAUCCACCAAGGACAAAUGUAUCGCAUUCCACCCCGACAAACGUUGGUUCACUUUGUCCAAAAUUCCCUGAUAAGUCAGCUUAUUAACCCGUGAAUGAAUAAUUGGCACUCCUAAAUAUUUCCCUAGGUUUUUUGUGACAGAAAAACCCAAGGAAUCACCAAUUUCCUUAGCCUCAGCAGACUUUACGUUGUGGGAGAAAAAAACUUGUGUCUUUGUUUUACUAACUUUCUCUCUAGAGGUCAUAGAAAAAACAUUCAACACUUCAUUUAUAACCAUUGCUUGCCUACAGGAAGCCUCUGCAAGCAAGAUAAGAUCGUUAGCAAAAAAUUAGUGAGAUAAAGAGGUACCUCCACGAGAUAGUUUAAUAGGUUUCCAGUGCCCUCUCUUCACAGUGUCAUUUAUUCCAUGGCUUAACCUUUCUAUACAUAACACAAAGAUAUAUGGGGAAAUGGGGUCUCCCUGUCCAAUACCCCUAGAAGGGGUAAAACUCUCCGUAAUUUCUCCAUUCCAUAGAAGUUGCAUAGUCGCCGUUGGAAUACAUUCCAUAAUAAGCCGAACCAAAACAGUAGGCAAUCCAAACUCCCUCAAGGUUUCAUAAAUAAAAUCCCAGCUUAAACGAUCAUACGCCUUUUCCAAAUCCACCUUAAUGGCCAUCUGCCCAAUCCUCCCUUUCUUACGUCUCAUCGAAUGAAAAACUUCCUGAGCAACCACUAUGUUUUCCGUUAUGUGUCUCCCCGGGAUAAAACUAGUCUGGGUAGGUCCAAUGAGGUCAGGCAAGAUAGAUUUCAGCCGGUUAGCUAAUAACUUAGUGAUAGUUUUAUAGAUAACCGGGCAAAGACUAAUCGGACGAAAAAGCUUAAGGCUAAUAGGAUUAUCCGACUUAAGAACCAACACAAUCAGAGUUUUGUUCAGCUCCUUAGGGAUCUCGUUGCCAUUAAAAAUACCUUUUAUAAGACUACAGACAGAUUUUCCCACUACAUGCCAUUGGGUCUGGUAAAAGAGAGCAUGCAACCCGUCUAUUCCAAGGGCUUUCAAAGCCUUCAUGCUGAAGAUCACAUUCUUAAUUUCCUCAUCAUCCUCCACUGCUUGUCCCAAAGCUUGCAUUCGACUUUCCUCAAGGAUUGGGAAGGCGUUAACAACAUGGUAUGGAUGAUAGAUUGCAUCCUCUUUGGAAUAGAGCUUUGAAAAGAAGGACACAGCAUAAUCUCUAAUCUCAUCAUUAUUCAACAUUCAAUAACUCUAUUCGUUAUGAAAUUGAUAUUGUACCCAAUUUUAAGAGAGCAUAAUAAUAACCAUUCAAUGCAUAAAUUUAGAAUUAGGUUUUUUUGUAAUUCUUUAUUUAAAUAUAAACUUCAAUGGAAAAUUAUAAAAAUUUAGAUAUAAAAUUUUAAAUCACCAGACCAAAAAAAAAAUAGGGGAACGGAAAUAGAGGAAUCUUGCUUUACCUUUUUUUCCUUUAACUCUUGUUCUUAUAUAAAUAAUCUUGUUUUGAUGAUUGUAACUCGUGACUGCGGGAAAAUUUCUAAUGGAAACAACUCAAUUUCGGAAGAUAAGCUUAAUUCUGCAAGUGAUGAAUUUGUUCAAUUGACUCUGUACUUGAACUAGUUGGAUUGGUUGAUUGAUGAUUGACUAAAUUUGAAUUAAGUUUAAUAGCUUAGCUAUCAUGUACUCCUUAAAAGCAAACGUAAAUCUUUUUUAGAUUUGACUGAAUUUGGGAACCUGUUGGAUUGAUUAUUUUUAGAUCAUUAAUAUCAGAUACUACAACGUAAAUAUUUUCUUGUGGUUGAGUCCUAUUCUCAAAUCAGUAGGUUGCCAUAGAAAAAGGGCUUUUCUCACUGAUCUUUUUUUUUUUCUUUAAUUCACACGCACUUGAUUAUUGACUUCUUUCAUGAAGAAAUAAACUUGUAAUGACUUAAAGAUUUAAUUUCAAGUUAGAAUCAAUACCAAAAGACGGAGGUUUAACCAAGCAUGCAGUGUGAUAAAAGUACUUUAAAAAAUGUUGUUCGACCCAAUUAAGUUGAAGAAAUAACAAAGUUUUCAUGGAAUAAAUACCGGUUGUGCUUUAAUGAUUUUGGCAUAGACAUUGCUUGUGUACUGUGAAAUUGAAAUGAAUAUUAAGUGACAGCGCGAUGUAUAUGCCUAAUAAAAGAUCAGCAAAAGCUUGGAUGAAUGAUUGAAGACCAAAACUUUUAUAAAAGCAUUUUUGAGAGAAACUAAACACCAAAUUAUCAAAGUAAGAUCAACAGUAUAUGAUUUGAUUUAUACAUAUUCAAAAACAAAAUAAUGAUUAAUAAUAAAGUUUGAUUUUGUAUUGCCAACGAUGCUUUUUUGUUGUUUCAUUUGUUCGACGUGGCCUUAUUUACAAAUUGGUUGAUGUUAACAGAAACAUGAAAUUCACAUCACACAAAAUUGCACGAACAAAUAUUAAGAGAACGUAAUAAUAAUCAGUCAAUGCGUAAGGGUAAAUUUAGAAUUACAUAUUCUUUUUUAUUUAAUAAAAUCCCAACGGGAAGUCAUAAAAAUUUAGAUAUAAAAUUUUCAAUCACCAAACAAAAAAACAGGGGGAAUGAAAACACAGAAAACUUGUUUUACCUUUUUUUUUUCAUCUAAUUCCUGUUCUUAUAUAAUAUUUUCCCUAGUAUUUCAGGCAAGAAAAAAAAAUUCAAUAAAGAGCAAGAAAACUUCACAAGCUCAGAUUGAUUUAUCUUGUUUUUCAGGUUAGCUUGUGAAAUGAUGAUAAUGCUCAUGAAUGCUAGAAAACUUCUAAUAUAAACAACUCUAUUUGGGAUGAUAAGCCUAAUUUUAUAAGCGAUAAAUAUAAAUAACUUUUUGUGGUUAAUUGAAUUUGUAAUUACUCUUAGCCCUAUUCUAAAAUUUGUAGGCUGCUUCAGAAAAAAAGAAUAUUUCUCACUCAUCUUUAAUCUUCAAGUAGAAAGCAAAUCUAAUAAAAUGACGAACAAACAAACAAAUAAAAGACAGCAAACAAAGAGAAGGGUUUCUUUCUUCUUUUCUUCCUCUCCCACACCCCCCCCCCCAACCCCCGCCUCAUGGAUCAGAGUUUUUGCUAUUAACAGAAAGGUUUCAAGGGUCUGAAUAAAAUCGCAGACUUUUUUUAAAAAUUUUUUUUUUUGGGAAAAUGGAUUCAAAAUAACCAAAGCCAAUAAUAAGAUCACCGACUUUGACAAUGAACAAUAACUUUUUCUCGGAAAGUAGAUGGAAACUAAGUAAGAACUGCUAUUAGAGGAUAUUAUUAAAGGAUUUAGAACAUGUAUAACUCUGUAAUUAUAUGGGAUCAGAGAGUCGAUGACCCCCUCUAUUCGCUUCGGAUAUUAAGUAAGAACUGCAAUUAAAAGAAUGAAUUGAUGAGAGUAAUAACAAUGAAUUGCAAAAGAGGAAGACUUAAUCACGCACCCCUUUUAUACCCGAUUUUGAAGAUUUAAUUUCGAAGUUCACCAAUCAAGAACAAAGAAAAAACCUUAAUAAAGUAUGCAGUGAGAAUAAUUAAGUUAGAGAAAGUACUAGGUUAUGGCUCUGCGUUUCAGAUGCUGUAAUGAAAUAAUUAAGUUGAAGUUUUUAACGAUUAAAUACCUGUUGUGAUAGAAUGAUUUUAGAAGAAUAUUGGCUUAUAGAGCAUAUUAGUAGGGAUAAGAUUUGUAAGAUGCCAGAUAAAAGAUAAAGCGAAAGCUUGAAUGAAGAAUGGCGUUUAAUAAUUAUAGAAGAAUAUUGGCUUAUAGAGCAUUUUAGUAGGGAUAAGAUUUGUGGACAGAAUAAAUGAAAUAAUAAAAGGCAUAACUGAUCAAGUCAUUAUUGAUCUUACUUUGAUUAUUACAUUGCACAUUAGUUUCUUUCUAAAAAUGCCAUUCUUCAUUCAAGCCUUCGCUUUAUCUUUUAUCACGCAUCCUACAAAUCUUAUAUACAAACCUCCGCAUCUUUCAACGAUCUCAUCUGCUGAUUUUUUGUAUUCCUGUUCUUUCACUUCAAUAAUUUUUUGUAUUAUUCCAUAUCUUUCACUUUAAUAACCCAAAAGCUUUCCUCUGUUUCAACUAAGCGAAAAUUUACAUAUUAAAGCCUGGCUCAAAUUCCUUUUUUCAAUCGAAAUAAAACGUAGCCACAAAACCCUAAUUCACCACACCAAUUUAUCUCUGCCCGGUAUUCAUUUAAACCCUACCUCGCGGUUCAAUGUCAUUCUAUACGAUUGCAGAUGCCGUUUCAACUUGUCAUUUAGUUAGCGCCAUCCAGUUCUCUAUGGUAAGCCUUAACCCUAACAACUAAUCGACUGUGGUAGCACGUUGCUUGUUAGGAGUGGGGAUACAUUAUUUGAAUAUACGAAUUGGGUGAUGUUAGUGAUUCAUUCCCCUAUUUGUCGUGAAUUGAGAUUUGUGUAUAAUGCUCGUAAGAUUGCUAAAAAUUUCAUAUUUUGUAUUGUUCCAGUUGAAUUUCUUGCUUGUGGAAGAUAGAACAAAAGUUCAAUUUCAUGUUGAUUUAAUUCUUCUUUUUCAUCUUUUUUUUUUCUUCUUUAUAGUCACGCUCUGGCUGGUGCUAUGCUUAGUGCAGUCUAUGGUUUCAAGAUUAAGUCACGUUUAUUUGAUGGCGUCGACUCCAUCAUUAAGAAGCUCUUCUUAUUUUAUCUCAGUUUCAAUUUUCUUUUAUUAUCUGCCUCUACCUGAAAAUGGACGUGUUUUACUAGUAAGCAGACUUUUUUUAUUUAAUUGAUAUUUUAAUUUUAUGUAUAAGAAUGGAGGUUUAUUUUAAAAAAAAAAGAAAUAAAAAAAUAGACUCUGUUGAAGCUAAUUAGUACUGUUUUUUUUUGGUGGUGCGACCAGAGGUGGAAACCGGGUAUGACAAUGUGUUACUGGUGAGGUUGCUGCUUAAGAUGAGAAUGCAUUCUUUUCAAAAAUCCUUUGUAGGUGUUAUCUAAUUAUCUUUGAUGGAAUAUUAAAUGGCCAAAAAUCUGUCAUACGUUCAAACUUUGUUUGUGUUUAGAAGAAUGGUGUUGAUUGUAUAUUCAUUUGCUUAGCCUUUUGACAGAUGGAUUUGGAACUGACGAUAAAUGUGAUUCAAUUCACAAGGUUUUCAAGGGGCUCACCGUGGAAGGGAUAUUGAAGAGCUGGUCUAGGAUAAAGCCUAUGAUUGUGAAAGAUUGGAGUGAGAAUAUAGAUGCUCGUUUUCAUCUUUUUGGCAAGGUCAGAGAUGAAUGGAUAGAUAAGGAUUUAUUUGACUACCUGGAUUGGUGCUAAUAGGUAUUUUAAGCAAGCUUUUUGAGAUAACACUGAGCAAGUUGUACUACUAUUUUGCACAUGAUGAUCAAAACUCUCGAAAAGUAAAAUAAAAUAAAGUAUUAACUUUUACUUUCAUCUUUUGCAUAGCAAUCAAUGUGGUGCUUGUUCUGUAACAACUUUGAUAAUCUACUUUAUUGGUUAGCGUUUGGACCAAAAAGGUUCUUAUGAUUUACAUGUUUUGUAGAAAUGCAUGAACCUUAAAUGUGCUGAUCAGGGAGUUUAAUUAUUGCACCUUGAAAUUCAUUUAUUGUUAACUAAUUGGCUUUCCUUUGCAUAAAGCCGCUUAUAAGGCUUGAGUGGACGUCUUUAUGGGCAUAUUAUUCGUAUUUCUUUAUGCAUGCCUUUAUCAUUUAAUGUGCUGCUUGUAUUUCUUUAUGCAUGCCUUUAUCAUUUAAUGGCCAGCUCCCUUUCCUCAUUUGUAAUUUGAAUAGUAGUAUGGGCCUCCAUUUUACAAAUCUUUAACAUUUUUUGCUGUAAAUUAAUUUUUCUUUCAAAUAUUUUGGAGGUCAUUGGAAUUCCUGUAGGUCUAUUUACCAGAUUUUAGUAUGUUUAAGGUUUUAAUUUUUCUUAGACUUUAAUUUUUCUGAAAGAUUGUAGUAUUGAUCCUUAAAGUAAGAUCAUGCUACUUCAAAUUAUUUUGAAGCGUUGCUAGUUAUAGCCUUACAUAUCAAAUUCCAUUUGUCUGGAAAUUUAUUGAUAGCUGUUACAGCAGCAUAUUUUAUGACUCUACUUCUUAGUUAUGUAAGUUCAUUAUGUUUAGGUCAGAGGCAGUCAGCUAUGGGGAAUCGAUAUAUGCACAGAUGACUCUGAUCUUGUUGCUGGUAUGUGGUUCUAUGAAUAAUUGUUCACAAUAAUUGUGUUUGCCUCACUGUUUUUGUUUUAUGAGAUCUAUAAUUGAUCUUGGGAUAUUGCUUUCUAGUUCUCAUGCAAGCAAGUUACUACCUUCCCACUGCAUCUCCUCCUUUAUCUGCUAUUCAAGAGUUGCGUGCCAUAAUCUGGUAUUACCUCUGCAAGAUUGUGAAUCAAUAUAUUGCGUCUAAAUUUAUUUUAUACAUAAUGCUAAUGCUGAAUAAUAUAUUGUAGCUCCUGUCAUAUUCUACUUUGACUUUUUAUAUUCUGUUUCAUAUAAAAAUCUUAUUCAACUUUAGUUGUUCAUGAGCAAAUGUCACAUGUAUAAGCCCAAAUGAUGUUUAAAGGUAGCCCGGCUACCUUCAGUUUGAGCUUACAAUGGGUGAAAAAGAAUUUGAGACUGAUAUUUUGCUGUUUUUGUGAUUUUUCAAAGUAUUUUAGAUCUUGACUUUUGUUUGGACUUGAUGGUUAUAGAUUGUGUCUAGAUUUGUUAAGUUGUUUCCAACACCUCGUGCCAAAUCAAAGCACAAUCUUUCUGAUUCAGAUGUCUGGUUAAUUAUGCUUCAUUUUUUCGUUAAAGAUUGGAUGGUUGCAUGGAUUGAUGGAGUUGGAGUUCAACCAGUAAUUCUAAUUUUUUGGACUUAAAAUGCUCUGUAUAAAAACUUUAGUAAGUGUUAUUGAGUUGACAGAAGUUGAAUACUUACAGGUUGUUUCACACUUUCUAAAAGUUUUACAUAAAUGAAUUUCUGUUUUUUGAAUUGCAGAAAGGAGGUGGAACUAUUGAUUUGGAGCCUUAUCUUACUCACUCAUCGACAACGGAGCCUACCCUCGCUCCCAUGGCAGUGGAACGGACAAUGACUACUAGGGCUGCAGCAUCGGUUGGUUUGGGUCUGUUUUGAGUUUUAUUGUCAUUUAUUUGGCUAUGUUUUGAUAGCGAAUUUUGAUAUGUCAAUAUAAUGUGUAAUUGUUUUGGGUUGAGCUGGUAAUUAUGCUGGAUUAGAUUGGUUUGUUUUGGUGGUUCUCUGAUGGAACACUGCUUUCUUUUAGAAAUUUUGAAUAUAAUAUGAGACUACAUAUAGUUUAAUUGAACACUGCAUCUAGUCUAAUUACUAGAAGUGUGGCAUUUGGUUUGGUUUAUCCGAUAUUCUCUAGAAUUUCACUUGCAUCUGGUUUUGUUGCAUAUGUUUGCUUGCAUUUGAUGGUAGUAGCAGACUGUUUGGUUUUGUGGCAUUUGAUGGCAGUUUGAUCUGUUCUUGGUGCUGAUUUAAGAUUGUUCCUGUUGUGCUGAUGUUAAUUGCAGGUGCUUGAAUCAGCUAGGGUUGCUGGUUUAUUCAGACGACUGACUCAGGCGUUGUUAUUGGUUGAUUCAGGUGGUUCAUUUAAUGUUAGGAAGCAAAUUAAGAAAUAAUGAAGUAUUCAUUUAACUAUAAUUAUUGUAGUUAUUUUAUUUCAUAACUGAAUUAUAAUCUAUGAUACUUGUGAACAAAUUAGAGAAUUUUUAUAUAUGAAUUAUAUAUAUGUGUGUAUGUACAUUUUGCUAUUUAUAUAAUAAUUUAAAGAAUAUAUUUCAAUUCCCACAAAAAAUGGCUCCAAUUCCAAUAAUUCCUGCCAAAUAAUUAAAUUUUUUAAAUUUACCACCAAAAUAUAUCUUAAAGAAAUGUUAGUUAUUCUUGCUAGAUUUAACAAAAAUAAUUUGUAGGAUUAAUAUUUAAUUAAAAUGAUUAAAUAAUUUUAUUAUUCCAAUUAAAUAUGUCAUGUUUAUAUGACAGGCAAUAGUCAUGAAUGGGAAGUAUUAGUUACAUAUUUUUCCUUGGGAUUUCAGGCAAAUGAAAAAAAGAUUGAGAAUGAUUUCAAGAGGACAGGUGGAUGAUAAGUAUUCAUUUUUGCAUAUUUGGCUAAUGUCCUCAGCAGUGGAUUUUUAUGGUAUUGAUUUUAUAAUUUUCAAUUAGUUGCAGCCCUAGAGGAAGAGUAGGCUGAUCAAAUUGAUUUGUCUUGUUUUUGGGGCAAUUUGCGACACGAUGACCGUGAUAAUGCUCGUGACUGCUGGAAACUUUCUGAUGGAAAUAACUUUAGAGUUCGUAGCAAGCAUUUCUGUUAUGACAAAACAAAGGUUCCCCCAUAUUUUGGUUGUUUGUUAUGGUAUUUAUAUAUCCUGCAUAUGCUAGGUCGACAGGUUAUGAUGUAGUUUGGUUGGCUCUUCUUGUGCUUUGUGCAAUUUGUAACUGCAGAUACCUGCGAGAAAACAUUUAAUGGAUCUUGUUGCUGUUGAUUGGUUCAAAGACACAGAGAAUGGACCAUGUAGCUAGGCGUCAAGGCUGUGCUGCACAAGUAACUAUUCUUUUCUUUUUAUUUUUCCUUUUCCAUUGAUGCGUUAGGAGAAAAUACUGCCUGUGAGAUACUACAAUGUAAAUAACUUCUUAUGGUUCAUUGAAUCUAUAACACACUGAGCCCUAUUCUAAAAUAUGUAGGUUGCUUCUGAAAAAGGACUUUUCUCACUGAUCUUUAAUCGUCAAGUAAGUUUGUUUCAUUUCAGAAGGUAUAAGUUUCAAACUUAUUGUAUUGGGAGGUUGUAUAGUUGUAACCUAAGCAUCUGCAGCUUCCUGGUUCAACACAUUAUAGUAUGGUAUUUUAUUUUGUCACAAGGUAAUUGGUUACGGGAUCACUUUUGCGACGGUUUGUUGAUGGCGAUGAUGAAUUUCGCAAUAGUAGGUUGAAACUUAUUCCAUCUGUUCCUAAGGUAUCCAUCUUGGCCUUCAUGUAUUAGGACUAUAUUAAUGUAUACUUACCCUUUACUACACGGUACACUUCAAUUUGUACAAAGAAGGCAUGCAUUUAGGUGUAAAUGUACUGAUGGGUUGUAUCUUCAAUCUUCAUGUCCUUUUUACCCUCUUGAAUUUGUUUUGCACUUGUUCUUGAUUUGAAGCACUGAAUCAUGCAGGGGUCAUGGAUCGUGCGCCAUAGUGUUGGAAGCACCACUUGUUUAUUAGGGAAAGCGGUUGAUUGUAACUAUCUUCAUGGUCCCAAGUACUUAGAAGUAAAUGCUCUUGGAAUUUCUUUAGUACACGAGAUGUUCCCCUUUCAAAUAGUGUCCGAUAUCAUUAACAUGGUUUAACAUUGUUCAUCUUUCUGUAGAUUGAUGUUGACAUCGGUUCUUCUACUGUUGCUAAUGGAGUUUUGGGCCUUGUAAAUGGUGUAAUUACGACAUUGGUGGUUGACAUGGCUUUCCUUGUACAGGUAUGUAUGAUUGUUAUUUUAUUUUAUUUUAUUUUUUUACCCCCACUUCUAAAUGGACACAAGGGAAAAGACAUGAUUUUGAGAUAUUGCCCUACAAUUUGCAUUUUUGCAUACUUGAAUGUUCUCAGAAUGGUAUAAAUAAUGCUUCGAGUGUCUCUUCUUUAUCUUGCUUUUUUGUAUGCAGGCAAACACUACAGAUGAAUUACCAGAGCGACUGAUUGGAGUUGUACGUGUUUCUAGUCUGCUAUUGUCCCAAAGUUGGAACCAGAGACAUCAUCAUGACUGUGGUUUCAUUUCACCUCAACUGUUUUUUUUUUUAAUUGAAAAAAAAAAUCAUUUGUUUUAGGUAUACGUACAUGUAUUUUGAUCCCGUUUUCAUUGUAAUUUCUCAUUUACUUUGAAAGAAAGUCAUUGGUGUUUUCGAAUGGGAAUUUUGCAUUAAAAAAUGAAGAAUACUUAAUAGGAAAUUUCAUGAUUCUUUAGUUACUAUUUUUGGAAUGAGUGUAAUAGUAUUAAAGUUGGUUUCUACUCGCAAACAAGUGAACUACUCGAUCCCAACUGCGACCACGCUAAUUGUCAUUGUUUAAUAGCUACUACUUUUAAAACUCAACAACUAACAAAAAUACUAAAAAAAAAAUGAUUUUCUUAUGAUGCUGUGAAAACAUUUAUGGGUUCACUUAUUUCCACAAGAUCUAUAACAUGGUCUUGACUUCACGAAAUUCUUUUAAUUUAAAGGGUGCUGGUCUGAGAAAGUCAGUUUGACGGAUUAAUUCUUUUUAAUAAUGGUCGAGUUAAUUUUACUAGACUCAUAAAAUUAUUCUUAUUCUGAUAAUGCCACAAAUGUUAUGUUGUUUUCUUCAGCUAAUGAUCUUCUAUCAGGACUAGUUGGAAAUCAAAUGCUUAAAACACCAAUUGAAUGAAUAAUGCAGAAGUUUAAACAGUAUCUAAUUGAAAAUUGCAUGAAACUUGAAACAUCAAUUCAAGUCCUUCCUUAAACAGAGAAUGCAUCAAACAAAUCCAAAGUGUCUUUCAAGUCUGUAGCAUGACUAAAAAAUUGUAAAUGCCUUCAGAACCAAAUUAUUCAAGUACAGGAGAACGAGCAAGUUGAAUCAUGUACAAGAGGUUGGCUUGGUUCCAGAUAGCUUCUUCACUGUACCUGAAGGGUUGGCUCAAUCUUUUCUUUAGAAUUCUGCACAUUUUGUAAUUACUCAUGUAAGCAAGCAUACAUUACAACCAUAAUAAUAAUAAAGCAAGAGUAAUGAUACGACCACAACCUCUUGUGCACAAAUAAUAUUGUACAAACUAAUAUGACAUAAUAUGAUUGAGUAAUGAUACGACCACAAUCUUUUGUGCACAAAUAAUAUUGUACAAACUAAUAUGACGUAAUAUGAUUGAUUAAACAAAAACAUAACAUAACCCUCAUAAUUUAUUUAUUAUUAUUUUAUAUUUUCAAUCAAGCAAUCAUAUUAUGCCACGUUAAUAGCUAUAGAAAUAAUUUGCUAGAUAGUGCAACACUUCAUUGAUACUCACCAUUUCAUUGAACAAUUUUUUUAUGGUGUCAUUGAGGUUUCCUUCCCAACAUCCUUCGUCAUCACCAUCUUCUUCUUCGGUGGGUUUCACUUUGUUUAGCUUCGGUGCGUCUACGACUCCUUGAGAGAAAAUCUUCAUUGUUGGGCACUGUCUCACAACUACGUGUUCCAAGGACGGGAACUCAAGAGCGUAAUUACCCAAACAAAAGCUUGUUAGGCUUGGCAAACAAUCAAGUCCCAAGUACUCCAAUUUCCUGAAAACAAUGCAAUCUUCCGCUUCUUCUCCAACCUGCGAUUGUAUGAUUUCUUCUAUCAUUUUGCAAUCAGCUAUCUUCAUUCUUUCGAGAUUCACUAGAGUUUUAGAUGUUGAGAGCGUCAACACAUUUAUCAACCCGUGACACUUCGAUACUUCUAGUUCCCACAGAUUUUCCAAAUGCCACGAAGGUGGUACUAAUUUUUGCAACUUACUACAUUCCGAUAUUUCUAGACUUCCCAAGUUUGCAAACGCUUUGCUGGAUUCGUCAUUUUCCUUCCAGAGAUGCUGCACUUUGUGUAAUCCAGAUACUUUAACUCUAUCAAUUGAGGGAAUGCAACCUAAAAAUCAACAAAAUUAAGUUGUAAAUGAAAAUAUGUAUCCAAUCUCUGCAGUCUUCCCCUGCAUAUUUUAUGGACAAGAUUAAUCACAGCAUUUUAUAUUUUUUUUUCCAAAUUAGUAUGCUUUGCAGUAGGAUCCCAAAUAUAAGUAUCAAAUCGAUUACCCUUUGAAACACAUAAAUGAAAUCUGAUGCUAAAUCUAAUAUGAAUUAGCUAGGAAAACAGAGAUGUUACACACAUAAUUAAUAUAGUUCAUCACCUCGUGUUACCAGGCAUCCAAUUAAUUUCAGACACUUUUAUAAUUCAUACUAUAAAGUUAGUUAAUAAUUGCGGUUAUAUUGUUAAAUCAGAUAUAAAUUAAGACGACAUGUAAAAAGAUGAGUCAUUAAAUUUGAUUUGAUUCUAAUGAAAUUACAACUGUGCGAAAGAAAGUGAAGGGAAAAAUAAUAAUAAUGAUUACCUUUUCAUUGAAGAGAUGUUGUAUUUGAUCAGCUACCAAGAGGUUCUUUUCUGAUUUUAAUUUUUGAGCUUCCUUAUUAUCUGCUGUCAUGUGCAGUACAGAUGUAGAAUUGGAUAUGAAUGUUUCCAUAUCAGGGCAAUUCUCAAUAGUUAGAUAUCUCAACUUAGGCAGUUCAAUUAUAUUCCUAGUGAAGUUGAAAAAUCUUUUGAGUUUUGGAAGGUCAGUGAGCCCUAGCUUGAAAAGCUUAGGAAACAGGGGGCCUAUAUGUUCUUUGUCAGCAUUAAUUAGCUCUUCCAAAUGAAGCACCUCUUCAAGUGAAUCACAAUUCCUCACUUCCAGGUAUACCAAAUUGUUCAAGCACCGUAGCAGAUUAGCAGGAAUAGCACUCGACAUAUUCGUGCAGUCAUCCACCACCAGGUCGAAUAAAUUGUUGAAGAAGCUGACAGGCAGUGCUUGGCCAUGCCAUAUUUCUUUCAAACGUGGAAAAUGCGAGAGUUGCAAAUGUAUUAUGUCACGAAAUCCAAUCUGCACAAACCAAAACAAUUGCACUGGAUAUAUACAAUUUUUUCUUUUUGAAAGGCAUAGAUAUAUAUAUACAUUAAACUUAUAUGUUCAAAUGUGCAAGUGCAAGGGAGAUGCAUAAGUAAUUUCGACGAAUCGAUUUAACACAUACCAUUUCUUCGUAACACUUUUGUAUAGUGGAAUUAAGGUUGCCUUCCCAACGGCGCAAUUCACCCUCUUCCUGUUAAGAAUAGAAUUAGUUAGUUAAUGAGUAUGCUGACAUGGCAGCUGAGUCAGCUAAAGGUUGUUAUAGAGGUUGUUAGUAGUAACCUGUGCGUGUGUGCAAUGUGUGUAGAAUCUUCUAUGCACAUAUAAAAAGGCUUGUAAUUUCCAGAUUCAUUAGAUCAAUAAUAACAGAAUUCUCAGCUUACAGAAGUUUUCUUUCUUCCUAUUUUCUUAGUAACCUAACAACAUCACAGUUUCAUAUAAAACUUAAUACUUCCUUUUACUCACUUGCACUUUGCAUAGCUUUGGUGUGGAUAAGAUUCCCUGAGAAAAAGUCUUCAUGUUCAGACAAUGUGUCAUAGAAACUUGUUCCAAUGAUGGGAAUUCAAGAGUGUAAUUCUCCGAACAAAAGCUGGUAAGCCUUGGUAAAUAAUCAAGUUCCAAAAGUUUUAAUUCGCUGAAAGCAAUACGAUUCUCCUUCGCUUCUUCUCCAACAUGUCCUAUGAUUUCUUCUAUUUUUUCACAGAGUGAUACAUUAAGAUUCACUAGACUAUUGGGAAUUCCAACCUGAAAAUAAAGAGUAGCAUUCAACUAGAUUCAAAGUAUGUCAAAAUCAUACAAUUGUUUUAUGAAAAAUAACAAACCAUGAAUGUCUACUAGAUAUUUUUUGUUAAAGAAAAAAAGGAAAAAAUUAAAACAAAAAUAAAUAAAUAGAAGUCCAGAAAAACAAAGAUAAUGAAAAUGCAUUUACACUAUUUAGUAUUAGGAACGGAGAAAGAAUUUCAGCUAAUUUUUAAAUAUUAUAAAUUCAUUUUUCAUCUUGAUGCUAGUUUUUAAAAAAUUUUAAUUUUCAAACAUGCCUAUUUUUAAAAUAACUAAACUAAAACGCUGUAUUUCCCAUUUUUUUUUCCCGAUAUUCAUGCUUUUAAAAAUGGAAAACAUUUCUGGAAAACACUUCCCAACGCCAUCAACAUGGGACUGUUAUAGAGUGAAUAUUUGAGGAAUUUUUUUAAUCAACGGUCGAUUCAAAAUGACCAUCAUGAAUUUGUGCUUAAUCAAUGGCGUAAUCAAUUCAUAACUAAACUAGAGAUAUUAACUACAUUUGAACACUUUUUUUUUUUAAAUAGAAAUCUAAAGACCCAAGGAAAAGAGAAAUAUAUAUGAAUUUGUGAACUUAAAAGCUGAGUAAUUAAGUAUCUUUUAAUUUCUGAAAAUCUUAUUUAUUAGGAUUUAAGAAAAAAAAACAAUUAAAUUGAAUUAUAUUAUGCUGUUAAAUCGUGUUUAAAACAAUUAUAUUGUUGACUUUAAUGCAGGUGAACCUAUAAAUUAGAUUGAAAAUGCAGAGUUCAGAAUGGUGAUUUGAAGUUCAAUACUUUUGUUCCCUCCAGAAGUUUGAAGUACAAUACUUGCAAUAAAUAAUUUGUGAAUGAAAAUUAUUUGUAAACACAAAAAUGAUUAAAAUAAUUGUUGAAUGUUAUUUGAAAUAAAAAUUCAAAAUGAAUAUAGCAAUCUUACCAAUGGAGGAAAAAUAUUCAGUAGAUUAUCACACUCAGAUAUCUCCAAUUUUUUCAAUUUGCUAAAAGACUUCGAAGCAAGCUGGUGGUGCCAUAUUUUUCUCAACUUAUCCGCCUCACUAAUAUGUAAUACCUCCAGACUUGGGAGUCGUACCUGAAGUUAAAAAUUCAAUGCAAUUAGAGAUGUAUAUUAAUUAAAUUUGAAGACUCAACGAAAAGAGAAAUUAACUAUUGAGAAUAAAAUUAAUUUAAAAAAAAAAAACCUUUUCAUCAAAGAGGGGUUGAGGUUGCAUUUCAGUGUGAAUGACGUCUUCUGGUGAGGCAAAGCUACAUAGUUUUGGAAGACCAUCGAGCCGCAGGUAGUGUAGUUUGGGAAAAACCUUUAAUUCAUCUCUUCCUCCUAACCCCCCCGUGGUGUCGACUACCCCUUCCAUUGACUCACAAUCCCAUAUCUCAAGAUGUUGGAGUUGCCCAAGACUAUUAACCAUAGAACAUGAAAACAGAUACUUCACACAAUGACACCUUUCCACAGUCACUUUUGUUAAAUUUUGACAACAAUACAUUCCCUGAAAUUGAUCGAGCCAUAAUUUUUCGAUGUUUCGUAAAUCGAAAAGUUUCAGUUUCUCCAAACGUGGAAAAGAAACCUGCAAAGCAAAACCGUACAUUUUUGUUCCUUCAACUACAACUUCUAAUAUAAUAUUCUUUCGAUGAUUGAAGAUCAAUCGUAAUAAUAUAUUAAUUAAUUAAUUAUUAAACAGAAAAUUAUUACCUGUUGAACAGGAUCAUCCUCUGCAUUGAUUUCUGUGAAUCCCUGAGUAGUUGUUGGUUUCUCCAUGUCGGGCCCUAUAAAUGAACAAAAACAAUAUGUAAUAAACAUCCGUGUUUUUUUUCACCAAAAAAAGAAAAAGAAAAAGAAAAAAAGAAUGAGUCAAUGUCAAUAAUCCUACCAAUAAUUAAUUUCAAUACUUACCAAUAAUCAUUUUCAAAUCAUCGCAGUUUUCCACUUCUACUUUUUGAAGCCGCAAUAGGUUUUUGGCCAUAGAGAAUGAGAAGAGAUACUUCAAUUUUGGACAGCAAUCUACGUUUAUAAUCCUUAAGUUGCUGAAAGAUUGAUCUUCUCUGAGUUGGCUGUAGCAUAUCGUCUCCAAAUUAGUUAAAAACAUAAGAGACAAUGACUCCAGCAAGGGAAAGACUUUGCAACGAACCCGUCUAACUGAACCGACAAUAUGUAAAAUCUCAGAACAACUUUUUACAUGAAGAUGCUUCAAUCGUGGAAAACCUUCCCCAUCGUCUAAUUCAUGAACAACACUUUGAACACCCUCCAAUGUUUCUAGCCAGAGACCUUCAGUUCUCUGCAGCAACAUUUUUGUCCCAUCAUUCUCCUGAAGAAUGCUAACUUUUUCUAGCCCCUUGAGCAUCAUCAAUCUUGGUGCUUCAGAUUUGACGAGCAAUGGGUCAAACUCAUCUUCGGACUCAUCUCCUAUGCGUAUCCUAUAUCUUUGCAAUUCCACAGAGACAAAAUUCGGCGGCAGAAUUUCGGCAUCCGCAACUUCUAUCUCCAAAGUAGCUAGCUUUGUCAACCUCUCCAACUCGACAAGACUGGCAUUACUUCCUCCUUCAACCUUCUCCCACCCUGAAAAGCUGUUACCCAUAUACAAUUCUUCUAAUUGAGAUAAUUUUGAUAUGACAUUCGGUGCUAUCACCUCAAGCAACCAACAAUUGCUCAAAUCUAGCAACUGUAACCGCGUCAAUUGUCCAAUUUCAAGUGGUAACUGCUUGAUAGUGGAACGUGCAAGGAUGAGAAUCUCUAAUUUCUUUAGCUGUCCAACUAUUGCUAUAUCUUUUAGUCGGCAAUAGUCUAAACACAAUGUUUGGAGGUUAAUGAGGCAACCAAGUGAUGAAGGUAAUGAAGAGAAGUGAAUUCGAGUAAAAUUCAAAACUUUGAGUCCUUCCGUCCCUUUAAAGAAGUGAUCUGAAACUUGCAUAGAGCCAUCACCCUCCGUAUGCAAUAGCUCAAGACAGGGACAUUGCAACCUUUCAGGAAGCACUUGAAUACCUCCAUAAGUUAAAGAAAUAGCAAUUGGAUCUUUUCGUAUUGUCUCUUCCAUCUUUUUCUCCAAGUCGGCAACAUUUGGAAUAUUAAACAUGCGCUUCUCAAAUAACUGCAAUGCUUCUUUUCGUGGCAAAGCAUCGAUCGGAAAAUUUUUCUGACAACUCAUAUCAAUGCGCAAUAAAUCUUGCUUUCUAGACGUCAAUAUUAUUGUGCAUCUUCUCUGAUCAUCCUUUCUAUCUUUCUCAGCAACAUCCCCAGAAGGAAUUCCAACAACAUCCAACUCAAGUUCUGUCCAAAUAUUAUCCAAUAUAAUGAGGACCCGCUUCUCUUUCUUCAAUCUUUCACGUAAUCGAUCAGCUCUUUCGAAUUUAUUCUCAUCCGAGCCAAAUUUCAUGCCUAAGUCAAAAGCAAGUUUCUUUUGAAUUUCCUGAUGAUCUGGGGUCUGUGUUACCUCAGCCAUAACGACCUUAUCGAACAACUUAUCUUCCAUAACUUGCUUUGCAACUUGCUUGACUAGCGUGGUUUUACCCACGCCGCCCAUGCCGUAGACCCCAAUAAUGUUGAGCUUAUCAUCCUUCAACGCCUCCACAACAUCUUGAAAUACUUUCAUUCUUGAAUCAAAGGCCUCGUAAUCUUUCACUUGCAUAUGUUCUGCCCGCUUUGGAGCAGGACGGUAGGAAACAUUAGAGAAGUUUCCUUUUCCCAGGAGACUAGCGGCAGCUUCUGCGGCCUUUGCUGCUUGUUUACUAAGCUUGUAACGAGAAAUCAAGUUUGGGCACAAUCCUUUGAAGCAGGACUUCUUAGCUCUAUCUUCAUCAUCACUGAUGGAUUUUGCAACCCCUUCACUGAAUUCAUCAACUUGAUUUAGCCAGUCUGUGACACCCUCAUAAAUCUCAUCCCCUUGUAGUCUAGCAUGAUUAACAGGUUGUUGCACCGUUUCUCUUCUAUAUCCCAGCUGCUUCACUUGAUCUUUUAGGCCAUCUAUGUAGCUCUGGUACUUGAACACAUAAGAUAUCUGCCGUACAAUCGGUUUGAACAGUGACUUUGCACCUUCUGCUACGAUGCUGGAAAAAGCAGCCAGACCCACUUCUGCCAUCGCCUGCUGCUUAACAAAUCUAAUAAUAUGUCAAAGAAAGGAAUACAAAUAAACUAAAAUGAACUAGAGGGAAAGACAAAAAAUGGAAAAGACAGCAAACAGUAUCGCAACAUUGAUCUUGAAUCAACUGAAACAUGAACAAAGCAUUUUUUCUUCUUUCUUAAGGAUCAGAGUUUUUGCUAUUAACAGAAACGUACUUCAAGUGUCUAAAAAAAAUUAACUAUAAAUGAACAAUAACUACAAAACUCAAGCAAAACAAGCCAUAAAAUUUUUAUCUUGGAAAGUGGAUGGAAAUUAAGAAAGAAAUGGUAUAGAGAUCAAGCAUCAGAGAUUAUGCUAUUAAAAGAAAUUAAUUGAAGGUUUUAGAACAAGUGCACCUGUUUAAUUAUGUGGGAUCAGAAAGUUGAUGAGCUUAUGUAAUCGCCUUGAAUAUUUAAGAACAAUUUCAAUGAGCAAAAAAUUUCUGUUACCUGCAGAGGAAUGUGAUUAUAGAGAGCUUAUGAGAGUAAUGACAAUGAUUUGGAAAAGAAGAAGACUUAAUCAUGCAGCCCUUAAUAUUUAUUGAAUGACUUGUGAUCAUUUCUUUUAUGAAUAAAAUGCCAACAGCAAAAAGAGAAGAAAGGGCGAAAUUUACUAAGUCUUAUUUUAUUUUUAAUUUCUUUUAUUUUCAUUCGGCGAAGAGGGAAUCUCUCCCUCUUUUUGUUUUUUUACGGGGAAUCUCCUUACCUAAUGUGACAUAAUGAAAGCAAUCUGUAAAUAGUAAUAUAAUGUAAUAAUUAAAAAUACCCACAUAUUUAUAAUAUUAAUGAUGGGAUCCAUAUGUUUAUACUGAUUAAAUUGGUGGACCAGAAUUUAUUUGACCGUACUUGUUUUCUAUUUAAUUAAGAUUGAAACGAUAGAGAAAAAUUUGUCGUAUUGAUUUGUUUCGAUUGUGGAGUUCCAACACUGAAAGUGAAGAUUUCAUCAACUUUCUCACAUGGACACGUACCGUCAUGCAUAUUGCAUUAUUUUCCUAGAAAAGCAAGAUUAAUUCUUUUAAUAAGCAAACGCGUAGGUGGGAAUCCAUUCAUGAAACAAGUGGAACGACAAUAUCAAACCAAUGAUAAUUCAAAAUCUGAAUCCGCCUGAUGGACGGCAACUAAUCUGAACCAUUCUCCUUUAGUAACAGGGGAAUGAAAUUAUAUCGAUGAUAGAUAAUUUCAAAACAGGGGAAUGAAAACAGAGGAACCUGUUUUUCCUUCCUUUUCUUCUUUCCCCCAACUCUUCUUCUAUUUAUAUUUUCCUUGGAAUUUUCGGCAAACGAAAAAAAAUUGGGAAUGAUUUCAGGAAAACAGGUGGAUAAUAACUAAAAUAUUUAUUUUUAUAUUUUUGAUAAACACACUCACUAUUAAUAGAAUUCAUUAGAUAUCAUAACUUAAAUAACUUCUUGUGAUUAAUUGAGGGUACAUUUGGGAUUUCUUUUAUUUCCCAAUAAUUAGCUUCUAUGUUGAUUCUCAGAAAAUUAAUUUUACGAAUAAUUUAGUAGGGUGUUUGGUAAAUGAUGAUUAUUUGACAACCAGUUUUCAAAUAAUCUACUAUACAAAUUUGAUAAGUAAAAAUUAGAAGUGUAAUAUUCAAGUGCAAAUGUGCAAUGAUAAAAAUGUAAUUGUUUGUUUAUUUGUAGUUUAUUUAGAAUAUUAUUACUAACAUCAUUUUUUUAUUUACUGGAUUUUUAAAGAGUAUAUUCUAUUUUCUUUAUUACAUAUCUAUAUCAAUUUUUUAUUAACUAUUUUAAUUUGUAAUAAAACUAACUUUAAUUUUUUUUAACUAAAAAAUUUGUUAUGCAGUUUGUUAUAUUAAAAAAAAAAUUCGGACGGUGUCUAAACAUGGUCACCAGUGAUUGUUAUAUUAAAAAAAAAUCUAUUCAAUUUUUUCUCUGAUUUUGUGUCGAUAUCUUUCUUACGUAUGUUGAUAUCAUAUUAAAGUGAAUUCAAGACCCUAUAUUAUUUUGCAUAACAUCAAAAUUUAGCCGAAUGGUAAUUAAGAAUUUCCUUUUUUGUUUGUCCCACAAUUAUAUAGUCUCAUUUUUUACAAUAAGCUCACAAUAUGCACGGAAAUGAAGAUCUAUUAAAAACUUCCCUAUAAUAUUAAACACUAAACAAUAUCACCAUGUUAUGCAUAUGGUGCCUCGUCAACAAUUUGAUGUUUAUUUUGUUUCUCGGGUGAAUAUGACUACUUGCGUUGCGAGUCCAUGCUUUUGUCGUUUGGAUGGAGGACGUGCCAUCUUUUUAUUUUAGAUGGUUUGUAAGACUUCUGAUUUAAUGAUUGAAUGCAGUCAAUUAACAAAAGCUUACAUAUUAUGUAGGUGCUGAUAUGUCUGUUCUUGAUAAAGUAGAUUUAUUUACAUCCAAGCCAACGGAGCCAAAGACAUUUCGUUAAUAAAAUACACGAUAAUUAUUUUUGUUAAACUGAUUUCUGGUUAAUAAGACCUAUAACAGCAUUCAAGGAAGCCACCGAACUCAAAGGAAAGGCAUGGUUAAAUAUACUGCGAAGCAUGUGAGUUCGUUUUUUAAUCUCUUGAUCACUCAUAAGCUUUUCUAUACCACUCACUGUAUCAUCCUUUUGAAUCGAUUUUGAUUGAUCAUCAGAGAUCAUGUACCCCACCUUAAGAUGAUUGAUCACAAAUUUGGCAUUGUAAUGUUGGUCACCUCUAAUUGGCCAUGCUAAAAUUGGGACUCGACAACCAAUUGCUUUUACUGUUGAAUUCCAUCCACAAUGAGAUAAAAAUCCACCCGUGAUUGAUGACUCAAUAUCAAUAAUUGUGGCGCCCAUCCAUCUAUUAUCAAAUCCUUUUUACCGACUUUAUUAUCCAAACCACUACGAAAAUAACUGCCUUCAGCUGGUUUGUCCAAAUGACGUAGAGGAUCCAAUCUACCUGCACCACCUUGAAUUACCCAAAUAAACGAUCGAUUUGAUGCUUCUAAAGGAUUAGCUAGUACUAAGUACUCAUCUAAGGUCAGAUCCACUUCAGUACCAAAUGACACAUAUAACACAGAUCCGCGUGAUUUCAAAUUCAACCUUUGAACGAUCUCAUCUUCCGUCAUAUUAGAACUCCGCCGGUUGGUUCUCAUCUCAUGAUCAUCAAGCACUGAACCGGCCGAUUUGUAAAAUUGUUCAGGUAAUAGUGGGCCCACUCCCCACAUCGGCUUUCCCAAUUCAUUGGCUAAAUAAUUAAUAAAUGGUCCCUCAAGACCAUCACACGUGUUGAACAUCAACGCCAUUGAUCCCUCCACUUCCUUCAUCCAGUGUGGUUGAUCACCGGCUUCUGGUGGACCUAUUUUCUCGGAACCGGGUGCACCUCUCAGAGGUGGUGGACCACCAGGAGGGGGCCCAUGAGGCCUGUGUUUUAGGUCCGAUUCAAAUAAAGCCAUAUCCUCGGGUAACCGAGGAAGUAAACGGGCCUCUCCCGGUUUGACAUCUUGGAUGCGAGCCUGCCACAUGGCACACUCCGCAGCUGCCGAGCAAGCACCAGAAGUGAAGAACCCAACAAUGGGAACUUCAAAAAUCUUGAAAACAUCAGCCGUCCAGCCCAUCAUAACGUCGAUGACUGCACAAACGGGUCGGCUUUUGGGUUCCCGGGUUGAAAGGAGGUUUCGAACUUCGAAGGCCUUGAAGCAUUUGGCUGUGCAUGGCAACAUGAGGGUGAGGAGGCGAAGGAGGGUAUUUCAGUAACUUCAAAGAGAGGGUAUUGGUGAAACGAGGAAGGGAUGAUGCUGGGGGCGGAAAUGUGAGAGGGAAUGAUGAGGGUAGAUUUGUAAUUACGAGUAGCGAUUUGCUUGCAUAAUUCAAUGCAUGGAAACAGAUGUCCCUGACCGAAGAAUGGGACAAUCCAAACCUCGGCCUCAGCAGCAGUAGCAACAGAGCUUGACAUCUUUUUGAAUUAUUUGAUACUUAAUUGUUACUGUUUGCUUUUACAUCUUUCAUAAAACACUCUUUGUUAUAUAUAAAGAGAUGACUUAAUGGAGAAGUAAGUGUUUUAGUUUUACAGUUUUACUAGUAGGUGAGCUCUGAGUUUGAUAAUUUGAUUGUUAGUUUUAGUUGGUUAGUUAUGAGAAAGCAUCUUUUAGAAAAUUCAUUCCAGUUUCAACUAAAAUUAAUAAUAUUGUUCAAAUUAAUUACUCGAUAAAUAAAUAAUUAGAGAUAAAUCUAUCCCUAAUCUCACAUUUAUAAAAUAAGGAUUGAAAUAAGUUCUUGUGGAUUCGAACUCAAGCCCUCAAGCCGAGUGGCUGGAUCUUGACUACUUUGACUUAAUUAUUAUUAUUAUUAUUAUUAUUAUUAUUAUUAUUAUUAUUAUUAUUAUUAUUAUUAUUAUUAUAUAUAUAUAUAUAUUUCAUUCUUUCAUUGAACAUCUUUUGUUAUAUAAUAAAGAAGAUAAGUUGACGGAGAAGAGUUUUACUUUUACUAGUAGAUGAGCUUUGAGUUGAGAACGUUAGUUUUAGUUGAUUAAAUAUCUACCAUCCAAAUCAACAUUCCUUAAACUAUUAUUCAAGUGAGAUGUCUGAGUAACAUACGCUUGAGUUAGUUGGUGCCUAACAAUUCGUGUGAUACAUGAAACCAACCAAUAUGAAAACCAAAUCAAGUUGGUAGGAUUACAUUAAUUUAAAUUAACUUUCAAGUUCCAACAUUAUAAGAUAAAUAAAUAGCAUAAACUAAUUUUUUUUUUCAAGUAAAUAUGUUUAUCGUUUAAAAAUUAUUUUUUCUUGCGGUAAAUGCAACACUAAAUAAGGAGUGAAGAGGGUAUUUUGUAGGGUAUACCCCCACCUUUUAUUUCAUUUCAUUAUUAAAAAAUAAAGGCUUGAUUCAACAUUCAAGUAAAAUUAACAAUUCCAUGAUAAAAUUGCUUGAGAAUAAGAAUUAAAAUAAAAAAAGAAAACAGCAACUCAAAAACGACAUACAAAUACCGCAUAGAGGUUUUUCGUCACGAGAUAUUUUUGGGUUGAGACAACAGUUGUAUAACAGAGCAUACAGACUGAAUGACGGUGAGAAUAAGAAGGAAAACGGCGCCACACACCGAAAUGCCAGCCCAUGGAGUAUUGAAGUAAUUUUGUUUCAAGUUUGCCCUCCAUUUGUAGCACGUUCUUUUGCAGUGAUCAUUCAAUCCUUUGCAUAGCCCAGAAAAAUAGAAGCUAUUAGACAGCAGAGUAGUACCUCUAGAAAGGAACACAUAAUCAUUUAUGUAACACAUAAUCAUUUAUGUAAUUCUCUGAGUAAUGCCGUUGUUCAAAGGCAAUGAGAUUACGAAAUAAGGAUUCUGUUUCUAGCUGUAGCUUCAGUUUCGGAAUAUGCGAUGUCCUGUUUUUGAAUUCUAUGGCGAACAAAUCAUUGCUCUUGCUCAAACUGAAGUGGACUCCAGCUUGGUGGAGAUUAGUCACACUUGGUGCGGUUUUACCUUUGUGGUAUUGCUGACCUUCUUGUUUUUCCUGAUUCCUCGAUGAUGGGAGAUGGCAAAUCCUUAGAAAAUCAAGGAAAUGCUCUACCCUAGCCUUAGUGUAAGGAGGGAAUUUUUGCUGAUUACCUUGUACUACCUCUAAACCCUUGAAAUACUCGUAUGUGACUGUGAUGAUGGUUGGAUUUUCAUGUUGGUCGGGGAUUUCAAUUGCCGCUAGAGCAAAAAGAUCCUCAAGAAUGAAGAAAGGAAGCUGAUUCUCAAGCAACCACAUAUCAUACCGUAUAUCCUCUAUUAAAUAGGGUUUAUGAAAUAUAUGAUCAUCUUUUUUUUGAAGUUGACGGAAAUGAUACCUCAAUAAGAGUUCAAUGAUGAAGGCAGCAUCCAGCAGAAUCAUUUCAACAAAUUUAUCACUACUUAGUUCGACUUUUUCUGCAUAAGAACCUCGUAAUUCUGCUUCUCUGAACUUUAUAAUUUGAACAAACUCGUCAAAGCUUAUUUGGGUCCGUUGAAGAAAGUAAUGCAGGUACCGCUGUUUAUGUUCUUCCAUGAACUGUAAGUUUGCUUUGCCAUGCUGAAGAGGGCCAAUUGAGACUACCUGAGGUGUAUGUACCUUUUCAUUUAUCUGACGUAAUCGCUCUGGAACUCUGUAGAUGCAGCAGUUUGAGGGCAAUGGUGAUAAUUUUUUCAACUUAACUUGCAAGCAUUCUUCCAUGUUAUAAACUGAAAACAUGGCGCGAAAUUUAAUCAAUUCAACACUUAAUAAGGCAUAGUAAUUAAAAAAGAAUUAAAAAAAAAAACCAAAUACAAGAGCAUUCUUACACGUACAGAAGCACCUCAAUCCCUACUAUUUGCAGAGCUGUAGCCAGGAGUCAAUGAUAGACCAGACUGAACUAAAAGGAACAACUUUCUUAGGAAUAUGUUAUCGGUAUUUUCUCUGGCCUCAGGCCAUCAACAAAGCAGUUUCAGUGCUUCUUAUAUAAUUCCAUGGAUUAUUCCUUGCCUUUACAGAUGAUAUAAGUCACAAUUCAUAUAUUAAUUUCUCCAGAUUCCGUACAAGUGGACCAUAACUAUGGAAAAAUUCAAAGAAUGCAACAGCCAUUUGAUUGGUCCAUGUCAGAAGUUAAUCUGGGGAAAGAAGCUUGAUCUAGCAGUAAAAUUCUCUCCUUCAAUCAGUCAGUUUGGGGCAGCAACAAGAUCAAAGCCACCACGCAAACAUUUACUAAAGUUUAUAUAAUAUUCACUAGUUUAUAUAAUAUUCUUGAAACUCAUCUUAAGUAAAGCAACAAAAGCCUUCACUGUUUCUUAACAACUUUAUUGCUCUAACACGUAGCAUAACACUUUUAAAUUUGCAUAAAGCACAAUAGUACUUUAGUUUGUAACAACAGCACAGAUAAUAAAUCGCAUUUUAUAGCUUUAACAAAAGCAUACAAAAUUCUUAAACCUUGUUUCAAGCAAUUCAUUAAUGCCACAAGGAUGUCUUUUUGCUUCCUACAGUUUUUAUUGAAAUUCAUAUAUUCUUCUUUAUCAAAUUAAGUAAUUUUCCUUUUUCAAAAAAUCAAGAAGGUUUCGACUGCAUGGAAAUACAGCACACAAUUACUACUAUUCCCGGAGUAAGAAAUUCAUAAAUGCAAUAUAAACAUACAUUUUCAUAAGACAUCAGAAUCAAAGAAUCAUCAAUGCAUCAAAUCUGUACACCCAAAAAAGUUGAAAGCAUCAAGAGAAAAUUAUACCGCAUGGACCCUUUACAACCCUUAUAACGAGUUCAGACAGCCUAAUCCAAUUUAAUAGAUUUGAGGACAGCUACAAUGUGCAAUACAAAAUUUCCCAAUACUAUUUAGAACAAAGUCUAGAAAAUAAAACCUAUAUAUUGUACAAAAUCACGAAAACCAGAAAUGACGAAAAACCUGCGAAUGUAAUUUUUGGGUUUCUUCAACAUAUCUUCCAUCCAAAUCAAACAAGAAUCGAUAAAUCAACAACAUUCAUCUUUAAACGACAUAUUACCACAAUAAAAUUGUCAACCAAGCCUCAUAUAAACCUUUUUUGUGUUUUUUGGUAAAUAUAUUUGUUAUUCUCUAAGAAUACUAGGGAAAAAAGAAACCCACUUUCUUAAUCAAGAAUCAAAUAGUAUAUAUGAAUCUAAGCUGAAGUAAGUCUUGGGUUUGAUGAAAAAGCUUGCAUUGUGAUUUAGAUUGGAAAGGAAGUUGAUUUUUGCUGGUUGAGAGAGAGAGAUUUGAGACUUAAGGAGUGUUGCUAAUCUUCGAUCGUGUAAACAAGGGUAACUGGGUCAUAGUUCAAAAUAAGGGUCCAAAAUUUACUAAAGCUAUUAAGGAGCCCAAAACUCAUAAUGGCUUCCCCAAAAUAAAUAAAAUUUUCUAGCAUUAAGUUUUUGUUUCUUCUUGAGAUUUCCUUGUCGUACUUACCCAUAUUUCGAUAUUGCCUCCAAGUAAACUUAUAUAUAUUGAUUAACAAUAUAAACAAGCACUAUGAAGUUUUAGGCCUGAAAAAACAUUGAGGUUGAAAUGAAAACCAUCUAUUUAAGUAACAAAAUCUUCUGAUAAUUUGAUGCUUAAUAAAUAGAGCAGAGAUGACAUAUUAAUCACGCUAUGAUGUGGAAGUUAUGAUUAUAUUCAUCUUAAGAAUAAGAUCUUUCAAACACUGGCAGAUUAGUAUCAAAAUACUCAGCAUAAGACCUACAAACUAGAAAUCAUGAACCAAUUAUUGAACUCAGUACAUAAGUUGAUCUUUUAUAAGCUAUAAAACAAAUCUGCUAUAACAUAAGAAAGUGGGAUUUAUCACCAGACAAAUAUUUUGGUGAAACUCAAGAUGACGGAAGGAUAUCCAAAACAACCUCCUUAAGGGAAGGCAUCACUUCCUGCUGAUGCAAACAUAUAUAUUUAUUACUCACUUUCUUGAGGACCUUCCAGGAACCUGGGUAGCAUCUAACAGAAAGUGGAAAAGAAUAAAAUGUAAAAUAUAAGUUAAACAGCAGGAAAACAGUGAGUGAUACUAGGCAAGCAUUAAUAGGUUGCCGCAGGAAAAGUGUCAGUAACUAGCUAGCAAACCUGAAAAGGGUUCCUCCAUUGCGACCCUUAAAAUUGUGAAUGUAAUAUAUGGUCUCCAUCACAGGAAAAAGUGUAUUGGAUAGUGCAGCCAGCUUAGUGUUGCGGACCGCCCAAAUUCGUAGCCCAAUUUAUUCACCAAGAGCCCAACACAAGGCCAAGAGUGCUACCUUGGCCCGAUUCCGGAAAAUUCUAGGCAACUCUAGCACAUUGAGCUUGUAAAUACUCUAGAAUUCUCCAUAGAAUUCCAGCACAUGUAAAUAGCUAGGAAAUGGUAGAAUUCUCUAGAAUCUCUAGAGCUUGGCAAGCCUCCCCUAUAAAUAUGGGAUGGCAUUAGGCAUUUGUAUCCAACAAACACUACAACAAGCAUUGUAAGCAACUCAAGCAAUGUAAUUCUCUCUUUGUGCAAUACAAUUUCUCUUAUUCGGCUCUAUUGCUCUCUUCUCUAGUUCGAGAAGCUCUAAGCUUACUUAGCAACAUUCGGCAAAGUUGUCUAAGUGCCGCACGAGUUAGCUGCGCAAAAUACUCAUCCCGUGACAAGUGGUAUCAGAGCUAAAGUUUGCACGCACGCAAAUUAGCUCACGAGCAAUGGCCAACCUUUCAAACGUAGCACAAUAGGGUGUUGUUGGUGUGGAUGUUCCACUGGAACCAAGCCGCGACCAAGAGGGAGAACGCUCCCAAGGCAAGACUCGUGGCAAGUCCAAGGCCCCAUCCGUGGAUGCGUUGGAGCCUCGUGUGACUACUCUCGAAAUCACAUUGUCCGCCGCUCAAGAAAGUCUCGAGGGAUUGGAGGAACGAGUGGACGGUCUCGAGGGGGAAUACGCCGAGUUCACGGUGGCAACAAAAGCUCUCAUCCAAGAGCAAGCGAACACUCUCCGAGGUGAGUUUCGUUCUUUCCAUGAUGAGUUGCUCAAACUUCGUAGCUUUGUUCAGGAUGAACUACGAGCUGUCCGUGCAGAAGUGGAUGAAGUCCGCUCGGAUUGGGCAUGGCACAAGUGCACAGUCUCUGCUAGUCCAGCUUCCGCAAACUCGAGUGAUGCGCGCCGCAUUGACGUGCCAAAGCCCGACACCUACGAUGGCACACACAAUGCCACCAUCGUGGAUAAUUUCCUCUUUGGGCUCGAUCAAUACUUCGAUGCCAUGGGUGUCCGAGACGAGGCAUCGAAAGUGGGCACUGCACCCACCUAUCUUAGAGGCGCUGCACAACUAUGGUGGCGUCGCAAGUAUGGCGAGAUGGGCAAGGGCAUUUGCACCAUCGACACUUGGGCCAACUUCAAGCAAGAACGCCGAAAGCAGUUCGCCCCAAGCAAUGCGGAGAAGGAAGCACGAGCGUGCUUACGUCGCCUCAAGCAAACGGGUAGCAUAUGGGACUACAUCAACGAGUUCACUACCCUUAUGUUGGAGAUAAGCGACAUGUCCGACAAAGAUUCGCUCUUCUACUUCCAAGAUGGCCUCAAGGAUUGGGCCAAGACUGAGCUUGAUAGGCGUGGUGUUCAAACACUUGACGAUGCCAUGGCCGUUGCGGAGUCGCUCACCGAAUACUCUAUCCAAUCCAAGGACAAAAAGGCCAACCAAGGCAAAGGUGGGGGAGAGAGUCGCAAGGACAAGGGCAACAACCGCAAAGAUUGGGGGUAGAAAAAACUGCCUAGCAACAAGAGCGAGCAAGGAAAAUCGGAGGGUAAGAAGGAGGCGCCAAAGCCGCGAAGCCCAUGCUUCAUAUGCAAUGGUCCUGAUUGGGUACGCGACUAUCCGGAGAAGAGGUCGCUAAACGCUCUUGCUGCCCAACUCAAGAGCAACCCUACAAUGUCCACAGAGGAACCCCAACUCAGCAUGGGUUCUCUCCAACGCCUCGGCGCACUUAAUCACUAACAGCCUGCACUCGUCAAGAAAGGGCUCAUGUAUGUAAGCGCAAAGGUAAACGGUCAGUUCGUUCGCGCGCUGCUAGACACGGGAGCGACGCACAACUUUGUGUCCGUAGACGAGGCCAAGCGCUUAGGCCUCAAGGCCACCAAGGAAGGAGGCACGAUGAAAGCGGUGAACUCACCCGCCAAGCCAAUUGCGGGGAUCGCACAAGGCGUGCACAUUAUGCUUGGAACAUGGAGCGGAAAGCUUGAUUUCUCCAUCGUUCCCAUGGAUGACUUCAAGAUGGUCCUCGGCAUGGAAUUCUUCAACCAAGUCCAUGCCUUCUCGCUGCCCGCUCCGAACUUCCUAAGCAUCCUCGACGGGAGUAAGGCAUGCAUGGUUCCCACGGAACGAGGCAAGUCCGAGGAGAAGACACUCUCUACCAUGCAAUUUAAAAGGGCUUUCAAGAAGGACCCAAGUUUCUUGGUCUCCAUUCGGGAACUAAACGAGGUAGGAAAUAGCGGAAUCUCGCCAAACCAAGUCCCUCCGCGAAUUCAAGCCGUCCUUAAUGAGUACAAGGACGUGAUGCCUCCAGAACUUCCGAAGAAACUCCUACCUCGACGAGAGGUUGACCAUGCAAUUGAGCUGGAACAAGGCACGAAGCCACCAGCCUUGGCGCCCUACCGCAUGGCGCCACCCGAAUUAGAGGAGUUGCGGAGACAACUCAAAGACUUACUGGACGCAUGCUACAUUCGCCCCUCAAAGGCCCCAUUCGGUGCACCUGUGCUCUUCCAAAAGAAAAAUGAUGGAUUGCUGCGGAUGUGCAUCGAUUAUAGAGCGCUCAACAAGAUCACCAUCAAGAACAAGUAUCCGAUUCCCUUGAUCGCGGACUUGUUCGACCAGCUUGGCAAAGCGCGGUACUUCACCAAACUCGACUUGCGCUCCGGGUACUACCAAGUGCGCAUCGCCAAGGGAGACGAACCAAAGACAGCGUGCACAACAAGGUACGGGUCUUUCGAAUUCCUUGUGAUGCCUUUUGGCCUUACUAAUGCACCCGCCACAUUUUGUACGCUCAUGAACAAGGUGCUCCAACCAUUUCUCGACCGCUUCGUGGUCGUGUACUUGGAUGACAUAGUGGUGUAUAGCACCACGCUCGAGGAUCAUGCCCAACACUUGCGACAAGCCCUCCAAGUACUUCGAGACAAUGAGCUAUUCCUCAAAUUGGAGAAGUGCUCGUUUGCCCAACGAGAAGUGGAGUUCCUUGGCCACAAGAUUGCGGGCGGGAAGCUCAUGAUGGAAAAUGCCAAAGUGAAGGCCAUUCUCAAAUGGGAACCUCCCUCGAAAGUGCCCGAGCUUCGCUCAUUCCUUGGGCUGGUGAACUACUACUGCCACUUCAUCAAAGGCUAUUCGGCCAAGGCAGCACCCUUGACGGAUAUCAGAACGUGGCAUUAGUUCGAAGAGUGCCAACGCGCAUUCGAGGAGUUGAAGAAGGCAAUUUCAGAAGAACCUGUCCUCGCUCUACCGGACCACACAAAGCCCUUCGAAGUCCAAACAGAUGCCUCAGAUUUUGCCAUAGGUGGAGUCCUUAUGCAAGAAGGCCACCCCAUAGCGUUCGAGAGUCGAAAGCUAAAUGAUACGGAGCGUCGCUACACGGUGUAAGAGAAGGAGAUGACAGCCAUCAUACAUUGCUUGCGUGUGUGGCGACAUUACUUGCUAGGCUCACACUUCACGAUUAUGACGGACAACGUGGUGACAAGCUACUUUCAAACUCUAAAGAAGUUGAGUCCGAAGCAAGCACGGUGGCAAGACUUCCUUGCGGAAUUCGACUAUUGGCUCGAGUACAAACCGGGGAAAGCCAAUGUCGUUGCGGACGCUCUAAGCCGCAAGGUGGAAUUGGCAACACUUAGCAUGAGCCAACCGAAGUUCGACCUUAUCUCACGCAUCAAGGAAGGCCUCCAACAAGAUCCGCUAGCAAAGGAUUUGCUGGAGAAGGUGCUCGAGGGAAAGACAAGGCGUUUUUGGCAAGAGGAAGGCAUCCUCCUCACCAAGGGAGAUAGGCUGUUCGUGCCAAGGUGAGGAAACUUGUGGAAGGAAGUUAUCAAGGAGUGCCACGACUUCAAGUGGGCUAGUCACCUAGGAAUCGAGCGCACCACCGCACUAGUUCAAGCCUCGUAUUUUUUGCCACACAUGAGGGACGACAUCGAGGCAUAUGUGCGAACUUGUCUUGUGUGCCAACAAGACAAGGUGGAUCAUCAACUUCCAGCGGGAUUAUUAGAGCCGCUAUCGCUAGCAACAAGACCAUGGGAAAGUGUCUCCAUGGACUUCAUCACAUCGCUGCCUAAGUCCGAAGGAUGCGGAAGUAUCAUGGUCGUUGUCGACCGAUACAACAAGUAUGCCACAUUUAUUGCCGUACCAAUCGAUUGCAAAGCGGAUGAGGCAUCUCGCCUAUUCGUCAAGCACAUUAUGAAGCUUUGGGGAGUUCCAAAGAACAUUGUGAGCGACCGAGACCCUUGGUUCACUGGGCGUUUCUGGACGGAGCUCUUCAAGAUGUUAGGGACCGAUCUCAAGUUCUCGACAAGCUUUCACUCACAAACGGAUGGGCAGACCGAGCGCAUUAAUGGCCUCCUCGAGAUGUACUUGAGGCAUUAUGUGAGCGCUCAUCAGCGAGAUUGGGCGAAGCUAAUCGACAUCGCCCAAUUUUCUUAUAACUUACAGCGAAGCAAGGCUACGGGCAAGAGUCCGUUCGAGAUCAUCAUGGGAUUUCAGCCCAUGACCCCCAACGCCAUAGCCUCGACUUACGGAAGGAAAAGCCCCGCGGCACACAAGCUCACCCGCGAAUGGCAUGAGGAAGCGAACACCACGCAAGCCUAUCUCGACAAAGCCGUGAGGAAAAUGAAGAAAUGGGCGGAUACAAGGAGACGACAUGUUGAGUAUAAGGAAGGUGAUCAAGUUAUGAUCAAGCUCCUACCCCAACAAUUCAAGAUGUUGCGGAAAGUCCACAAGGGGUUAGUGAGGCGCUACGAGGGACCCUUCCGAGUUGUUCGACGUGUGGGCAACGUCUCGUAUCAACUCCAACUUCCGCCAAGACUCAAGAUCCAUCCGGUCUUCCAUGUGAGUCUUCUCAAGCCAUAUCACGAAGACAUGGGAGACCCAAGUCGCGGAGAAUCGAGGCGCGCACCAACUGCCGUUGUCACCGCGUUCGACAAAGAUGUGGACUACAUCAUUGCGAACCGCGUGGUUUCGAGGAGGGGCGUGCCAGCACAUAGCGAGUACUUGGUGAAGUGGAAAAACCUCCCCGAGAGCGAAGCCACUUGGGAACGUGAAGACAAUUUGUGGCAAUUCGUUGAGCACAUCCAGAGGUUCAAGCACGAGAGCGCGAUGAGGACGCCGCGAGGUUAGGUGGGGGAGGAUGUUGCGGACAGCCCAAAUUCGUAGCCCAAUUUGCUCGCCAAGAGCCCAACACAAGGCCAAGAGUGCUAGCUUGGCCCGAUUCCGGAAAAUUCUAGGCAACUCUAGCACAUUGAGCUUUUAAAUACUCUAGAAUUCUCCAUAGAAUUCCAGCACAUGUAAAUAUCUAGGAAAUGGUAGAAUUCUCUAGAAUCUCUAGAGCUUGGCAAGCCUCCCCUAUAAAUAUGGGAUGGCAUUAGGCAUUUGUAUCCAACAAACACUACAACAAGCAUUGUAAGCAACUCAAGCAUUGUAAUUCUCUCUUUGUGCAAUACAAUUUCUCUUAUUCGGCUCCAUUGCUCUCUUCUCUAGUUCGAGAAGCUCUAGGCUUACUUAGCAACAUUCGGCAAAGUUGUCUAAGUGUCGCACGGGUUAGCUGCGCAAAAUACUCAUCUCGUGACAUUAGGGUAGAAGAAUGACGGAUAAUCUUUAGCUCAUUUAAGGAAAUCCUCUCUGAUCCUUUCAUUGCACAUUCCAAAACAACUCUACUACAACCAAGUUACCAAUUCUUUUUGUUAAGUCAUUGUUAUUUGUUAAAAAAAAAAAAAGUCUUCCUUGCAACAUUUUAUUGAAAGAUAUAACAUGAUCAUCCCUAUUAAUUCCCUUUUAGAUUUCUGUGAGUGAAUUUCAAAUUAUUGUAUUCAAAAAUAGAAGCAAAAGACCCACUUUACUUUCAAUUUCUGCAACAAGAUACCAAUUGAAGGACCAAAAAGUUGUAAACAAGCAAUUCAAUGGGUGGGCAUCUAGAAACUGCUAAAUAGCAUCAAAAUCAUACUAAAUUUACAGAAAGUACAAUAAUAAUGAAAGAAUGGUGAAGGAUACACCCAGACCUUAUCCGGUCAAGUUCUCUAUUGAAUAUAAUCAGUUUCUGGGCAGUAUUGAAGACAGCUUCUUUGUAAAGCUCUUCAACGACAAGCAUUUCUACAAGACGAAAGAAAAGCAAAAUUAAUUACCUUAAGGAAUGAAUAUCAAUAAGAAGACAAGGUGUAAGACUACCAUUGACAUUAAAAUAUGGAUAGGCGACUAGAAACAAUUCAUCUUCUGGCUUCACACGGUCUGCCAUUUUAACCUUCUCAGUGAAUCCAAAAUCCUCAAAGAAUGAAGGUUUUGUUAGAUAGUCCAACUUAAAUAAUGAUCCUUCAAAGACCGAUUUUCUUGCAUAUUUGACUUCAUUUGCCUCUGGGAAAAACUAAAAACCAAAUGACAGACCAAGAUCACGAAACGAAUCAUGAACAUAGAUAUCAGAUAAUCAGAAAUGGGCAUUAAACAGACUACUAACAAGUAGGAAAUGCAUACAGAAAACAUUAUUCAUACACCUUAUGCACAUGAAAUAUAUAUGCAGAGGGAUCCUCUUGUGAAUUUAGUUUAUAUCCUAAUAUGAGACAAUGAACAAUUGGAUGGCAUCUAAGGGCUAACAUUUGUUUGAUUAUUAUAUGAAAAAAAAAAACAAAACAGAGUUGAUUGAUGGCCUUUGAUGGAUUGCCUACACUCUUAAAGUGCAGAGAGCCUGAUUAAUUGCUUUACCUGCCCCCCCCCCCCACACACACUUGGUUUUAUUAUCUCUCUUUUCAAAUAUAUAAUCAUUGGCUGUCUUUCAUCCUGAUCCGGCUCUCCUUCCAGGCCCCAGCUGUGUUUUCUUCAAUUCAGUGAAACAUUCACAUUCAGGUAAGAAUAAACUUGUCCUUCCUCAAAAAUCAGCUUCUCACCAUGAAGCUUUCUUUUUUAAACCAAUUACUAGUCUAGCAUAACGCAUCUAAUUGAAGACAACUCAGAAUUGAAAAAGCCAUACUUUAAUGUCUGUUGUUGGGACCUCAAGACCAGGAACAAAAAGCUUCUUUCUAACAGUUGGAUUAACAAGUAGAAAUAGCUUUUUUUCUGAAGGACCCAACAUUGCAUUGAAAAAUUCAACAAAAGGAAUGGCAUCAUAUUUAGUCCUGCUAGAAUUUUGUGCACUUAACACAAUGGUUAAUAAUUGGCCCAGCGGACACUUUGUCGAACUAUUGGCAACCUUGACUGUGGAAAUGCAUAUUUCAAAUGUUGGCAGGCUCUAGCUUCUUGAUGUACUGUUGAUAGAAAUGCCUAUUUCAAAAGUUGGCAGGCUCAAACUGCCGAGACUUUGGUUUCUUGCAUUUCAAACCCACAAAUAAAACUUUGGCAGAACCCCAGAAAGAGCUACACCUCCCAAAUUUGAUGACAAAUGAAGAGACCAUGCCUAGUGCUUAGUUCGGCAAAUGAGUAAGUUUGAAAGAAAUUAAGGGAAACCUUUCCCACAGAGAGUCAUAUUGAAGGUUACAAUUUGAAGACUUUGUCCCCUGUCGCCCACAACCUUCUUUGAUCUCUUUGCUUAGUCAUAAAUAAUCAAACAUAUGUUAGUCGUUGGAUGCAAUCCACUCACUGACAUCUCAUGUCCACAAUCAAUCAACCAUAUUUUAAUAGAAAUGAAAACAUUUUAAUUAAAAAAGAAUGAGAUAGGAACAAAAUGAAACUUGGCAGACAUGGGUCUAUGAGAUUUUAAAGAUGCUUGGUGAAAGUCGUAUUCAAGAGUUCAACAGUCAGUUCUAUCACCUAUGGCAAAGUAACCACCAUAACUAAAGCAAUUACAAAACAUCAAGAAGCUUGAACUUGGCAAGAGGUCUCAUUAACAGUAUACCUCAGAAAUUAAGACAGACUUAAAGUACAAGCUUUUGGAUUUAUUUAAACACUGAAAAUAAUAUGGGUAGAAGCUCCUAUGGUCACAGCAAACAAUUACAAAGCACAAAACCCAAAAAAUAGAUAUGCAAAAAGCUGCAAAAGAACAUUAUUAGCAAUUGACAUCUGCUUUGCUCAGACAAAGGUUCUCAUAACAAAGGACUUAGUGAUUAUCUUUCAUAUGUUUAUGUUAAGGGGAAAAAGGAAGUUUGUUUUAGUCAAUCUCAUGUCUAAUGGCAUUCAUAAGGAGCCCAAAAAUAAAAGAAAAAAUAAAGAGUUAGUAGGUGUUUCUCGCAGUAUAAAGAAAAUUUAUCAUCCAUGAAAAACUUAGUAUGGAAAAAGCUAACUCAUUUAUCUGCCAAUGGAGAAAAACUUGUUGUCCACCCACUAAGGACCCACCAUUGGGAGAUGGAUCCCAUGGAUGGGAACCACAAAUAUUUUAUUCUAAAUGAAAUGGGUAUUGUACCAUAUCAUUUAAUUUGUAGAUUCCACUGAUGGAACUCAUCAAACUUUUCAAAUGGUAGGUCCUUCAUGGGUAGGCGCAUCACUUCAGCAUCCUUCUCCACCGAUGACUAAAUCUGGACUCAUUUAAAAAGAAUACAAAGCAAAACUAAUUGACACAAAUUGCAUAGAGGUCUAGGAGCCAAAUCAAUGUUGUUAACUCAUCCAAUUAAUACAUUCUCUUAGAGGUCAUACCUUGGUAACUCAUUUCAAAAGAAAUUAAAAGAAAAACGACUGCACAAAUUGUACUGAGCUCAAGAAGACCUGUUCAAGGUGUUCACUUGUCCAACUAAUAAAAGUCAUCAAGGAUUGUAUCGGGGACUUGGGACCAAUCCUGCCUUAACUAGAGAAAGGGAAUUUAGGAUGAAGAAGAUAACCUCUUCUCCUAGAGCCCUUUUGGACAAAAAUGAAUUCCUACUAAUUCUGAGAAUAAAACCAUAGACAUCUAACUUCUGAUAUCUAGUCAAUCUGGUAAAAUCUUGUCAGUUGCACUUGGGGCAGAAAUUAGUUCCACCUUGGUUUACAGGACAGAAAUUCGUCAUAUGCAUGUAUUUAUUUAUGUUUUAUACACAAACGCAUACAUGUACACACAAACACUACCUUCACUUUGAAGAAAAGAUUAAAAUAACACUGCUCACAUACACAAUACUUACUAUUCUAGUUCGUGUAACUUUCUCUGGAGUCACAAACAGGUCACAGAAUUCACGUAUUAACCGCAUACUUCCAGUCAUUUCUAUUCCUCCUUCACCAUCACCUGUCCCACAAUUACAAAAAGUGAGAGGUAAUAACCAACAUAUUUGGGUUGCUCUUCGGUAAGGGGUGGGAGGUAAGGGUUAGUUGUGGAGGGCACCUGGUACAGAAUCAAGGCCAGCUGUUGGGAAUUCGAUCUCUUGUAACAUAUACUUGUUCAUCAUAAACUAUAUACUUAUUCUGCAGUCGAUGUGUGCAUAUAGCUCUUCAAUUAUCCAGUAAUAACUCACCAUCAACUUCCUACCAUCCUUCAUGGCUAAUUCAGCAGCCAUUUUUGCCUGUUUAAAGGUCAAAAGCCCAAACUAAGCAGAUGCUCCUACUCCGAUACUUAUUAUCUAACUACUACAGAACAGAUGAUACACAUCAAGUUGUAUCAAGAGAGACACCAAGUUGUGUUUUCCAAGAGGUUCCAAAGAGGAUCUGUUUCUUUGUGUAAUUUUUAGACUGCUUUGACAACUCAUCUUAAAGGUGCCACUCAUCCAAUAUGAUGUGGUGACAGUAGUUUAGAGUUUUAAACUAAAUGCAGAGCUAAUAGUAUUUUGGAAAUAUAAUCAUCCUAAGAUACUAUAACACAAGGAUUCUUACACAAAAACAACAACUUCGAUGUAGAGAGAAGAUGAUUUCACAAAAGCAGAUGUUUUGAUUUAAGUCUCCAAAACCCCCACCAAGAAAAUGUUCAACGGAUAUAGAAAUAUGAUCCACAUAUCUGUAACUUAAACUGUAAAAGUUGUUGAUGUUGUUCUAAAAUUGCCACAAUCUAUCUACCCCAUGAAUGUUUUUGGAUAAAACAAGAAGCAGGACCCAAUGCCUGUUUUCUAAUAGCUUCAAAAAGGCCAAAUUGGUUUUGAAAUGUCUCCAGCUUUUCAUUUAACAAGUUUAAGGAUCCCUUCGGCAUUGCAAUUGGGGAGCUCAGAUAUAUAAAAGUGCCUGGUAAACUCUUACAGCCGCAGCUUUUGAGCAAAAAUAAUUUUAUCUCAUAAUUGUUUGACUAAAAACAUAUAUCACCUUUUAUCAGUUUUGUAAAAAAUAUUAUUUAUAAGUCAUAUUUACCAAACACAGUCAACUUUUACAUCACAACUAUAGCUUUUUUUUUUUUUUCACCACACAUAUAUAGUUAAAAACUACAAGAACUCGAUAUCAAACAGAUCCUAAAGCGUAAUCUAAUAAAAAGGUAAAUAAACAAAUGCAGAAGCCAGCGUACUUGAUCAAGAAGCUCUGAAUAGUCACUGGGAAAGGGAAUAUCGACGUUAAUGGGGUUAUUGCCAUCGCUUGAAACCGAAUUGGUGAGACAAUUGCGUUUUCUUCUGUACGGCGAAAAUGUGACGAUUGAGUAACAACUUAUAUCGAACUUUAGGUUAAAAUAAUUACUAUGGAAUAUUGGAAUACGAGAUUAUUAGCAUUUGAGUGCUUGAGUGGGAAUCAAGAAAACUUAAAAUAGUUCAGUUAACCCAAAAAGAAAAAGGGGGGAAAAAACCCAUGGAAAGUGCGAUGAAUGUAAAUCCACUUUAAAACUUUAAUCAUAAAUGGUUAACUAAUUUUAAGUAAUUUGGAUUAACUUGACAAAUUGAAAAACCAUGCACUAGAGGAAAAUGUUCAUAUUUGGAGGUCCGAAUUUAUCUACCAUUCAACCCUAUUUUCAGCUCCUGCAUGGAGGAUAAGUUAGUUUGGUGAAUCUACCACUAGCUAAUUAGCUAAUUUUUUUUUUUGAAGAUAGCUAAUUAGCUAAUUAAGAGAGCAUUAACGUUGAUAAUUUGUCCUAUCUAAAAUGAAAAGUAAGAAAUUUACACUAGUAAAUUUUACACAAUCACAGUUGGAAUUUCAAAGAAACAAAAACGGAUCAAUAGUGCAAUUGUAAUUCAAAUUUGCACUUUAGGCCACACGUUCGGCCCAGUUCUUGUAUUAACACUUCAAUACUUGACAUGUGGCCAUUUUUUUAUUCGUCCACGUUCUUUGCAUUCUCAUGGUAGUACUCGAACAAGACAAAAUUUCACGAAUAUUCAGUUGAAUUGUUGUUGAAACAUGUAUAAGAAAUCAAAUCUCGUUAGUUUUGAAUAUUACCAGCAACUCAAAUUAUUUUAACCUAAAGUUCAAUAUAAGUUGUUGUUGGGGGUUAACGGCAUUUUGAACCACAAAGUAAAGAGAGAGAGAGAAGAAACGCUCCCCUUUCAAAUACCGUGCUCUUUUGUACCUGGGAAUUUAAUAAUUCAUGCGAAUAAAAAAAUUAUAAAUUUAGUAAAUUAUUUAUUAAAAAAUAUUGAGAGGUUGUGCAUUAUUUUAUUAGUAAUGACAUAGUAAUCAUCAAAUUAGUUGAAUUAAAAUAGUUGUUGACUCACGUAAUUUAUUUUUAUUAUUUUUAAAAAAAAUGGUCUGCGUUAAUAAGGUUAAGGGUGACAACUGGGAUCAAUAUACAGUUUAUUCGGGUGCUUAAAACCUAAUAAAUAUCCACUAACUCAUAUAUAGUUAAAAUAUAAUUAUUUUUAAAUAAAAAAUUUAAUAUAAACUAAACAAAUUGAUCGGAUUUUGUUUCUCAAGGUACAUCAUUAGAACGUUACUUUUAAUUGAACAAAAGCACACAUAACUAGCACAUUCGCCACAAAAGCCUCGGCUUAGUGGUCGGCUUAUUAAUUAUCCUAAUAAAAUCAUGGUCAUAAAUUUGAGUCCCCGUAGGUUAGGUAGCUUUUUUAGACUACACUAUAAAUACAUGUAUUUUACUUCUCGCGGGUAUUGCUUCUAGUAGUUAUCCAUCCGAGUAUAGAGCUUUGUAGCUUUCUUCAUGACCUUCCCCAAUUUCAAUGCUUGUUAAACAAUCUCCACAGAAAAUGUGAUAGAAAUGUCCCGCUGCCACUUGUUGUGCAUAGUCCAAAUCUGCAAUUUAAGGUCAUCAUUUCAUUUAAUUUUCCGUUAUAUAUAUUCAUCUUUCUUAGAGGCCAAGAAGUCUUCGACAGAAAUGUGAUCUUUUUCUAGUAGCCUCCCGGUGAUGAGCUUCUCCCAAGUUUCAAUUAAUUCGCUUUGAGUGAGGAUAUUUUCUGGUGGCCUCAAAUACAAUGUUUUGUUCAGCACUCGAGGAGCAUCUAUUCUCUUAAUAGUAUAUAUGGCAACAUCAUCGAUAUGCACCAUAGAAAAAAAGAUAAUCAUUUUGUUUAAUAUGAACAUAAAUUCUUACAGUCUAACUCAUAUUAUAGUGAACGAUGUUGUUGUGUGGUGCGUGCAUGCACUAUCUAUAGUUUUAAUAUUAUUAAUAAAGAGUUAAAAGUCUUGAUUUAAUUUUAAAUUGUCAUUCCUCUAACUUCACCGUCUUCAUAGAUCCAGACUUUAUCUUUUGAAGGGCGAGGGUAGCUAUAUUUGAGAGAGGUGUCCGGGGAACCAACCAGCAAAAAACAGCUAGCAGAAACAUAAAUGACAGGGAUUUGAGCAGCCUUGAUUGCCCUUCUCACACAUGUGCUCUGCGUUCUCCCUCUCGCUCUCACUCACUCACGCCCAAAUCUCACCUCACUCACGCCCAAAUCUCACCUCACUCACGCAUCUCUCCUUCUGACCGGUGGUUUUCUCUCUCUCGCCGUGGGUCUCUAGGCUGGCAGGGAUUUCUCGACUUGACUACUAAAACAUAAUCCAAAAACUACUAAGAGAUGUAUAUAUUACUCUGAUAUACACAAUAUGAAGAAACUGCAGUUAUAUUUCAAAUAUUAUAUGAAGGAAGAGGCUGUAUGGAUUAUCCAAAGGUGCUGAAAUUAAGAGACCCACACCAACCGACAGACCCCCGGUGAUAGAGAGAAAGUCGACCGUGAGAUGCAUUCAAGACGGGGGAAGAGUGAGAGAGAAAACUGCCCGGUCAGAAAGAGAGAUGCAUGAUUGAGGUGAGAGAUUUGGGCGUGAAUGAGUGAGGAGUGAGGGAGAGGGUGCCGCGUGUGUGGGAUGCGUACAGUGACAAUUUAUACUUACAUCAAAACGCCGAGUUCGGUGCCAUGUGUAGGGCUAACUGUGGUUUGAAUCUCACUUUGGUAACGGAAAUGACUUUGCAAUUGACAGUUUUUGUCAAAAGUUCGCACUGCAUGAAACUAGUGUUAAUAUAAUUUAAAAAAUUAAUUUCAGUAUUAAUUUUUAAAAUGUUAAUUAUUAUAUUUAUUUUAAUAAUAUAUUUAUAUUUAUAAUAAAAAUUUUAGUUAAAUAUUUGUGUUAAAUAGAAUUUAUAAUUAAUAUAAUAUAUCUUAGGUAUUAAUUAUUAUAAUUAUUCUAUAUGCUAUUGAAAAUCAUUUAAAUUUUUAGAUGUUUAUUUUCAUACUAAGUUUCUAUUUAUUUUAAAAUUUAGUUUAAUAUAAUAUAAGCAAGUAAAGUAUUAAAAUAUUUUUUAGUAUUUUUAAAAUAUUAAAAUUAUUUUAAAAUAUAAGUCAAUUUUUUAAGUUAAUAGAACUAAUAUUUACAGUUUAUUUGAUGGCCUCAACAAGCUAAAGCAGCAUCAAAAUUAUGUGGCUCCUUAUUUUAUUUUUUCCCUUUCAAAAAGGGAAAAGGAUAAGUUUGGGAGAAUGUUUAUAUUUUUAAUAAAUUCUUUUUUAUUAUAAUACUUUUUGUCUUUAUUAAUUUAAAAAUAUUGACUCUUAUAUUUUAAAAAAUAUAAAUAUAAUAUUAUAAUAAAAUAUAACAAUAUAUAUCAAAUAUUUAAAAAAAAUUUAUAAUUUUAUAUUAUAUUAAAAUAAAUUUUUAAUAAAUAAAAAUAAUCUAUUAAAAUAAAGUACAAAAAUUUAAAUUAUUUUCAUUAUCAUCUAAAAUAAAUUUACUAUUAUUAAUGCAUGAAAUAUAUUAUAGUAAUUGUAAAUUUCAUUUAACUCAAAGAUUUAUUUAGAAUGUUUAUAAUAAGUCCAAAUAUAUUAUUAAAAUAAUUAUAAUAAUUUACAUUUUAAAAAUUAAUACUGAUAUUAAUUUUUAAAUUAUAUUACUCUACCAGAAAAAUUAAACUAUUAAAUUAUAUCAAUAUUUAUUAAAAAAAUUGAAAUUAAUUCUUGUUAUAUUUUUAAUUGGAAUUUUUUCAUGUGAUAUAACCACAAUUGCUACAUUUUUUCCCCUGAAUAAAGAUGGAGUUAUAAAUUAUUUGUAUAAGUGUCUGUGUGGAAACUAAUGUGACAUGAAAGUAAUAGUUGAAUAACAAUAAUGGGGCUUUAGGCAAUUUUUUCAUGAGAUUUUCUUGCGAUUUCAACACUUAAACAGACUUGUCCUUCAUCCCAAUUUAUUUACCCCAUUUGGGCCCGUUAUGACAUAGACAUAUUCUUGUGGAAUGAAAAACUUCAUGAGAAGAAAUUGUUUUAUUAUAAUAGAAAAAAGUGGUCCAUAAGUCUAUUCAUUACUUUUUUUAUUCAAUAUAAAUGGCUAACUUUAAAAAUGGUAAAAAUCACAUAACGCGCAAGCGAAAUCUAAGAUUUAUAUUUUUUAAUACUCUCCAAGUCUCUCUUUCUCUUUUUCUUUUUUUAAAUAAAUGUCAAUAUAAAAUUAGAAAAAUUUUAGAUAUAAAAUUUGGCGAUGACCAAACAAAAAUUGUAGAGGAAACCUUGAUAUCAUUGAAAUACUGAUCAUAGACACUACAGUAUAAAUAACUUAUUGUGAUCCACUCAACUUGUAACACUUUAAUCCAUAUUCUAAAAUUUUCAUGUUUGUUAGGAUUUUUAUUAUUGAUACUACUGUAUCAAUAAAAUUAUAAUUUAUUCAUAUGGAAUGAAAACAUCAAGAAAGGACCUCUGAUUUUUAUUAUAACAGAAAAAAAUGGUCCAUAAGUCUAUUAAUUAUUUUAUUUAUUCAAUACAAAUGUCCAACUUUAAAAAUGGUAAAAAUCACACAAUGCACAAGUAAAAUAUUACAAUUACAUUUUUUAACUCUCUUUGAGUCUCUCUCUCUCUCUUUAAAAAAUAAACCUCACUAUAAAAUUAGAAAAAUUUUAGACAUAAAAUUUGACAAUCACCAAACAGAAAACAUAGGGAAAUGAAAAUGGAGGAGCCCUAUUUUCAUUAGAAUAUUGAUCAUAGAUACUAUAAUGUAAAUGAUUUGUUGUGGUUCAUUCAACUUGUCACACUCUAAGCCAUUUUCUAAAAUUUGUAAGGUUUAUAGUAUUUUUAUUAUUGCCAUCAUUGUAUCAAUAAUAUUAUAAAUUAUAUAUUCUAUUGUAAUGAAAAUUUGUGUAAUCUUAGGUAUUUAUUAUAUUAAAUUGUGUGGAUUAAUUAAGAAUAUUUUUGGAGACAAAAGAAGUGUGUGUACGUAGGAUUAAUGAUAAAAAAUUUCUAAAUAAAGAUGAUUGCUUCAUUGACAAGCACAUAUUUAUAUUCCUCUAUUAAUAUUUGGGUUGUAAACUCUAUAAUAAAGUUGGUUGGUGUGAGUGGUUCGGCACUCUCACUCCUUAAGAAAGAUCAGGGGUUCAAGCCUCGCUCUCGUAUGGAGUCACCACUUUGGCCAGCACUUUACCUCUUACGGGCCGACCCGAUGCGAGCAUGAAUUAGUAUGAGUUGUGGUACGGGCUUAAAGGUGCCUCCCAUAGUUUGGGCCCACUUAGGAUCACCUCGUGGUUCAAACAAAAAAAAAGUGAAUAUAUUGUGGUAAGCGAUGUGGGCAAUAUCGGUUGCGAAAUAUUGAGAGAUCAUUAAUGCAUAUAAUUAUUGAAGAUGCAUAUAGAGGGAAGAGUGUAGAUCUGGCUGUAACAAUUAUGAAGCUUUCCCCAAGUAUACUCAUGCUUCCUUAAUUGUUCCGAAGUAUUUUUCAUAGUGUGCAGAUUUACUUUAUGGUGUCUUAAUUCGUCUUAAAUGAUUACUUUAGUUGUUUUGGGAUUUAAUGUCAUUUAUUGUGUUAAUUUUAAACAAUAGAAAAAAUAAGUAAUGGUAACGAAAGACUAAUUUGUGAUAUUGAAGCAUACGGGCUUAACUCAAUCCAAAAAUUAGUAAGUUAGCUCAAGAGUUAAGAGUUGUCCAAAUCUUAUAUGCUGAAUCCAAGUUUAAUACACAAUUGAUGCGGGAUGUUAUUCCUAACACCUUCCAUCAUGCGUAGGAUUGGCAAAAAAAUUCGGGUCAGUCCCACCUAAACCUGCAGGCUUUAUGCAUGGCUCGCAUGAUGAAGUUACGGAUAUUAACCUAAAAAUUUGAAACUUACUAUGAAUGGCCUUGCUUAAAGACUUUUGCAACUUUAAUUUAUAACAAGUAUGUAUAUAUACACACACAUAAGCUUAGAUUGCAUUUGGAUGGCUUUUUUAAUCAAUUCAAACAAUUUGAAAUUUAUCGGAUUAAUCUGAAUCUUAUCUGUAUCCGAUUUUGUCCGCCCCUACUAUUUAUAAGCCCAGGUGACUCUCUUUUACUAAUUAAUAAGAGAAUUUUUGACCUUAUAUCCUUGCUGUGGUGUUAGACUGUUGGUCAUUUUGAUUGUUUCCUACCUUCCAUUUACGCCAGCUAUAACAUUGUAUUAUCACCAUUUUAGCCAUUUAAAUGAAAUUUUAUUUUUGUCAAAAAUAAAAUGACACCCUUAAAAUUAAAAAAGAAAUAGUUAUGUAGACCUCAAAUUUUUAAUAAAGAAUGCCAAUACCCCUUUUAACUACAAGAUUCUUAGUAGAUGAUAACUAAAAAAAUUAACUUCAAAAAUUUUCACUAAAUGUAAAUCUGAUUGAAAUAGUUUAAAUUUUUCUAGUAGACUAAUAUAUAUAACUUAAAUAAUUAAUUUCAUUAUUAAUUUUUAAAAUGUUAACUAAUAUAUUUUUAAUUUAUUAUAAAAAUUUUAAAUAAAUUCUUGGAUUAGAUAGAUUUUACAAUUAAUGUAAUACUGUUGAUUUAUUAAUAAUAUUAAAAUUAUUUUAUAUGAUAUUCAAAAUAAUUUAAACUUUGAUAUAUUUAUUUUAAUAGUAUGUCUAUUUAUUAUAAUUUGGUUUAAUAUAAUACGGGAUUGCAAAAUAUUAAAAUAUUUUUCAAUAUCAAAUUAUUUUAAUAUGUAUAUAUCAUUACAUUUAUUUCAAUAUCGCAUUUAUAUUUAUUAUAAGAUAUAAAAUUAAAGAGUAUUGCAAUAAAGUAAAAAAAGAAAAAAAAAAGUCUUAUUAUCCCUUAUUCACGAUAUGAGGUUCUAUAAAAUUAUUUCCCCAAACGGGUGUCCUUUUCUUAUUUUCAAAAGAAAAACUAAAGUAAGAAUAAGUCCAUGGGUUUCAAAAGACUUAUAGUCCUAUCCCGGAACCUACAUUAUCUGCCACUAUGACUAAUGACAAAUUUUUGGUGGGAUAUAGGAAAAUUGUCAAAAGUUCAUGCUGCGUGAGAGUCUUUGGUGGGAUGUGGAAGGAUUGUCAAAAGAUCACACCACGUGACAUAACCACAAUUGCUACAGUUUUUUUUUUUUAAAAUAUUGAUGGGAGUUAUAAAUUAUUUAUAUAAAUUUGCGUAGACUGAUGUAACAUAAAAGAAGUAGCUGAAUAACAAUAUUUGGUGCUUUAGGUAAUUUUCAGAUGGGCCUUUCUUUUAUUUAGCGACUUUAGUGCUUAAACAAACUUGUGCUCGAUCUUAAUUUAAGCCUAUGAUGACAUAAACAUAUUCUUUUGUGACGAAAACAUCAAGAGAAGACAUCUCAUGUUUUAUUAUAACAGAAAAGAAGUGGUCCAAACGUCUAUUCAUUAUUUUAUUUAUUCAAUAUAAAUGGCCAACUUUAAAAAUCACACAACGCUCAAGUGAAAAUUUAGAAUUACAUUUUUUAAUACUCUCGGAGUCUUUCUCUCGUGCCCCCUUUUUUUCUAAAAAAAUAAACCUUAGUGUAAAAUUAGAAGAAUUUUAGAUAUAAAAUUUAACAAUCGCUAAACAGAAAAGCAGCGGAUUGAAAAUAGAGGAGCUCUGUUAUCAUUGGAAUAUUGAUUAUAGAUAAUAGGGUAUUUUUUAAUUGAGUCCUCAUUAUUUCUAGAAAAAAAUUCAGAGACCAGAAAUUUACUAAAUGAAUUAAUUAAAUCCUUUCAAGUACAAAUUAAUAUCAUUCAAGUCCAUAACUUAACUCUUCAGUUAGAAAUAUUAACAACGUUGAGGACAUUUUAGUAAAAGAACAAUUGAACCCUUCCUCAUUCUUUUAUUUUUGACAGGUGGCAAUAGUUUGCUUACAGGUGGCAAUAGUUUAAAGCAAAGUCAAUUCACCUAACCAAGUUAAAGUUCUUUCAAGCGGAAAAAAAAAAAACCUCUAGAAGAAACUGCCGUAUUCUUCGUGUGAGAGGAGGGAUUGAGAGAACGUGGGAUGGCGUCAAAAAUGUUAUAUAAAUAUACUGUAAUUUUGACCAAAGCUUUGUUAGCAUUGGUUGAGUUCAAGUAUUGGAGAGAAGCCGAGCUUAAAGGUUAGUAACUCUAAUUUUUAAGUGAUUUUUGCAAGUAUUUUCUGAUAAAAUUGUUUCCAUAUUUAGUGAUCUUUGUGAAAAAUUAUGUUUUUCAAGUCUAUUUUUCUAAAUGACAAACUAUGUUUAAUUAUUGGUGGAUUUUUUUAUUGAAUGUUGUAUUUUGUUAAUAUACUUUUUUUAAUUUGCUCUUUAUAUAAUAAUUAGACCAAAUACACCAUAUUUAUAUAUGUAUUUAUUGAACUUAUUUUGCCUAUUUUAUAGGCUUUCUUGAGUUGUUGUAUAUGUACAAUAUUUCAUUUCAACCAAUUGGUAUCGUUAUAUUAAUAAGAUUGAAUUCAUUGUAUUUGCUUUUUUGUUCAUGUAAAAUUGAAUUCUAUGUGUUAUUAUGAGUGGUAAUUUUUAUAUAUAUUAGACUAAAUUCUCUAUAGUUGUUGGGUUAUUUUUUCUUUUCAGUUUUUAUUUUUAUAUGUAUUAGAUUGAAUUUUCUUUUAUACUUUUUUUAAUCGAAUUACAUGUAUAUUUCAUUUAGGUUGAGUUUUUUAUUCUUUGCUAAAUAAAAUUGUAUUAGUUUAGCCAUUUUUUGAUGCAAUACUUUUUUGUUUUAAAAUUGAUGCAGGUAGUCAUGUUACCUUUUUUUUUGUUGGUUAAAAUUAAUGGGGCGGUGUAUGAGAUAGGAUAUAGGGACCCAGAGGAAUAUAAGAUUAUUAGGUUGUUUCAUGAAAUUCUAGAAGUCAUGGUUAAGUAUGGACACAAUGAAAUGGAUUUGAUUGAAAUUUUUGUUGUGUUGCCAUGGACUACAAGUAGGCAGAGGAAGCUAAUUUCAAAUGAUAGUGAAUUGUAUUCGGUUUUUGAGGAGUUUUUUUACUAAUAGUUGUCAUGUUAUUGAGUUUGAGGUGCACACUGGGUUAGGUGGUCAAUCAUGUCAUGAAAGUGUUGUAAUAGGAUCUGAAAAUCCUGUCAAUAUAGGUGUUAGUAUGGGUAGUGAUAAGUUUGAAAAACUUAGUGAGGAUGGCUUUAUCGGAGGGCACUUAUCUGAUGAAGAGAAUGGUCUCUUACAUAUGUAUGAAUCCAUUGUUGAUAAUGAGUGGAAACCAAAUCUAAAUGGUUCAGUUAGUCUAAAAGUAGGAAAUACCUUUGAAUCUGUUGCAUUAUUAAAAGAGGUUAUGGUGAAAUAUGCAAUCCAAGAGGGUUUUGAGUUAAAUAGGAUUAAAAAUGAUGGUGUUAGGUAUACUUGUUGUUGUGUUAAUCCAAAAUGCACUUGGAAACUUCAUGCUUCAUCGAUGGUUGAUGGGAUAACUUUUAAAAUUAGGUAUAUUAAAGGGAAACAUGAUUGCCAGAUUAAAUCAAUUAACAAAGAUGCAACAGCACCUUGGAUAGCUAAAGUUUGUGCUGGACUUAUUCAAACUAACCCAGGAGUUGGUGUAAAUGUCAUAAGAAGUGAGUUAAAAGAUAAACAUGGGAUUGAAUGUGACAAACAAAAACUAUACAGGGCAAAAAAAAUUGCAUUAGAAAACCUAGGUGCUGACCACAUUGCUUGCUAUGGAAAGCUUUUGAAAUAUGCUCACAUUCUAAUGAAAAUGAAUAGAGGUGCUUGUGUUAAGGUAAAGGUUAAAAGGCCAUUGUCAAAUAGCCCAGUUUUUCAAAGGUUUUUUUUGUCAUUUCCUGCACUUAAAGUGGGGUACCUAACUGGGUGUAGACCUUUCAUAGGAUUGGAUGGGUGUCACUUGAAGGGGCCAUACAGGGGAGUAUUGUUAUCUGCUGUUGCAUUAGAUGAUGAUAGUGGAAUUUUUCCAUUGGCUUUUUGCAUAUGUGAGGUAGAGAACUAUGAUAGUUGGAGUUAUUUUUUAUCUUUGCUGUAUGAAUUCAUUGGGGCUGAUGAUCAUAGGUCUGUAACUAUUAUUAGUGAUAGACAAAAAGGUCUUUUAUGGGGAUUGGAAAAAUAUUGGCCUAAUGCUAGUACUAGAUAUUGUGCUAGGCAUAUCUUUGCCAAUUUGAAGUGUAAGUUUCCUGGUUUGAAUGUCAUGGGGUUAUUUUGGAAAGCUUGUAGGGCUGCAAAUCAGUAUGACUUUGAGAGGGCAAUGAGUCAAAUUAGGGCUAAAGACCAAAAUUGUUAUGAAUGGUUGAGAAAAAUACCACCUGCACAGUGGUCUAGAAGCGGGUUUGAUCAUCAUGUGAAAUCUGACCAUGUUACAAACAACAUGACUGAAUCUUUUAAUAAGUGGGUGGAUGAGGUUAGGGAUAAGCCUGUCCUAACCAUUCUUGAGCAUAUUCGUAGACAACUAAUGGUGAGAAUGUUGAAAAAAUAUCAGCUAGGUGAAACUUGGCAAGACCAUUUGACCCCAUAUGCUAGAGAAAGACUAAAUCAAUCCUCAAAUGAGGCAAGGAGAAUUAAGGUCUUUGGAGGUAGAGGGGAGCUGUUUGAAUGUUGUCAAGCUGGCUAUAGAAACAUCCUGGUACAUAUUACAGAUGGUACAUGUGAAUGUGGGAUGUGGCAAGUUAGUGGAGUGCCUUGCAAACAUGCAGUAGCUGCUAUUCUUCAUAAAGGAGGGCAACCUGAAAAUUAUGUGCAUCAUUAUCUGACCAAGGAAUCUUUUAUGAUGACAUACAUGGGGACUAUAAAUCCUAUUCCUGAUGAGUGUGCUUGGCCUGAAGUGGAAGCUGAACCUUCCCCUGAUGUUGUGGUGCCUGUGAAGGUUGGACCACCUGACAUAAAGGCUCCAGUUGGUAGACCGAAAAAGAAAAGAACAAAAGAACCUGGUGAGACCAAACUAACUAGUAAAAGGUUUACUAUCAAAUGUAGUGCUUGCAGAUGUCUUGGGCACAACAAAAGGGGUUGCCCUAAUUUUCCAAAAACCACAAGAACUAUAGAGGUAUAACAUAAGAGUCAUUUUUGUUUUUUAAAUUUCAUUUGGUGAAGCUAACAAAUAUUGAUCUUGAUGUUGUGCAGGGAAGCAAUAGGACUUCAUCAAGUGCACAGGUUUAAUUUAAUUAUACAAUUUUAAUUCAAAAGGAUUUUUUUUUCUUUUGCACUAGAUAUUGCUUAAAACUUGGUGAUAUUGGUUGUGUGCAACGAAGAAAUAAGGCUUAAUCAAGUGGACAUGUUUAAUCUAGUUCUGAAAAUUUAAUUCUAAAGGAUUUUUUUCGUUCUUUUUCAUUAAAUUGCUUAAAACUUGGUGAUUUUUUUUGUGCGCAGGCAAGCGAUAUCACUUCAUCAACUGCACAGGUCUGAUUUUGUAAUUGAAUCUCCUUAUAUAUGUUUUGUUAUGUUAUCAAAUGGAUUAAUAACUUGGUACUAUAUAUGUUUGAUUUGAUCAUGGAAUUAUAUUGAAUAGAUUGAUUCUUUUUUUUUUAUUAAAUGAAAUUGAUGUCUUUUUUUUUUUCUUUUUGGACAGCAUGGAACUAACCCACAAUCUCAAGAAGUAGAUGUCAAUGAUCAAUCAAUUGGCAAUAGUUCUGAACAAGCUAGUUAGGCUUCAAUCAAUGUCACUCAACCAGUGGGGCUGUAUACACAACUAUUGUGGACUGUACUUCAACCUCAAAAUGAAGAAAUUAUCACUGUUAACAAGGAGUAGGAUAAUACAAUUUCACCUUGGGUUGACAUUUAAUUCUCCAUUAUAGAAUUUAGAAGACAAUUAACUAUUUUUUGUGUUUAAAUUUCAGUUUACCUUAGUAUUGUUAAGGUAUUUGUUAGUUUGAAUUUAAUUGACUUUCAUACUUUUAAUUUCAUUUUUAGACCGAAUGUUAUUGUGAUUUUUUUAAUAUUAUAUUCAAUACAUAUGUUAUUUAGUUUAACAAUUAUUAUAUUUUUAUAGAUGUGAUGAAAUUAUAUGGAUAGCAAAUUACAUUUUCAUGUAUAAUUCACUCAAAUUGAUAAAUAGGCUGUUAGAUUGAAAAAAAAAAGUCCAAGGUUAAAAUUGUACUUUAAAUCACUAAUAUGAUUAUAGGGGUAUACCUGUCUUUUAUGUUUAACUUAACAUUUUCACUAAUUUUUUUAACGGAAGAAUUGGGUUAAGGGCUUGAAUGACAUAAAUUUACAGUUGAAAGGAUUUAAUUGAUUCAUUUAGUAAACUUCUGGUCUCUGAAUUUUUUUCUAGAAAUAAUGAGGACUCAAUUAAAAAUUACCCUAGAUAAUAUAAUAACUUGUUGUGGUUCAUUGUAGCACUCUGAGCCAUAUUUUAAAAUUUACUGGUUUGUUAAUGCUUUUAUUAUUGACAUUAUUGUGUCAAUAUUAUUAUAAUUAAUUUAUUCAUUUUAUUGUAAUGAUAAUUUGUCUAGUCUUAGGUACUUAUUAUAUUAAAUUAUGUAAAUUAAUUGAGAAUACUUUUAGAGACAAAAGAAACACGUGUAUGUAGGAUUAAUAAGCGAAGAGUUGUAAAUGAUGGUGAUUGCUUCAUUCAGAGGCAUAUUAAAUAAUUAUGGAGAGUUGCUCUAUUUCGGAAGCAUAUAUUUAUACUUCCCUACCAGGAUUUGGGGUAAGCGAAGUGCUUUAUGUAUUGCAGUAAGGAAAUGUGGGCAAUAUCAGAGCCGAAAUAUUAAAAGAUCAUAACGCAUAUAAACAAUUAGUAUAUUCAAGACACAUAUAGAGGAAAGAGUGCAGAUCCGGCCGUAACUAUUAUGAGGAUUUCCUCAAGUAUUCUCAUGCUUCCUCAACUGUUCUGAACUAUAUAUUCUUCAUUGUGGGCUGUUUUGCUUAAAUACCAACACAAUGAUUCAAUACUUCAAAGGUCAAGGAAAUGUCAAAAUAUGAAAUGAAAAUACUUAAAUAGCCUUCUACCUAACAAAACUUAGUACUUCUAACUGCCUUCGCAGAGAAUCUAUAAAAUAAAAAAAAAAUCAUCCAGGAAAAGUUUCGUAACAGAAAAACCGUCUUUCAAAAAAUAAAAAUAGAAAAACCGACUCAUUUAUCUGCCAAUGAACCAGUCGGGACUCAUUUAAAAAAGAUUAAAAAGCAAAAGUAAAUGACACAAAUUGCAUAGAUAUCUCGGAGCCGCAUCAAAGGACAAAGGUGUUAAUUUGUCCAAGUAAUAAAUUCUCCUAGGUCAAAAGCAAUUAACGAUGAAAACUUUCUUCAUUAAGGGUCUGGCCUACGUAAAAAAAAAACAGAAAAACCACCCCAAGGUCAAAGCACAACCAUAAGUUUUGAGUUGCAGUUUUUAAAUUUUUUUUAUAAUAAAUCAACGUGUAUAAAAAAUAGAUAAUGAUUUUGAAUAAUCUUUUUGAUAAAUAUAGACAUAAAAUUUUAAAAUCACCAAACAGAAAAACAGGGAAUUAAAAGAGAGCCCUUGUUUCUCCUCUAUUUUGUUUGUUUGUCCUCUAUUUUAGCAGGGCAGCUAAAAGGGUUUGGAAGUUGACUGAAUUUUAUGAGGAUGUAAAGCAAUUAGCUCGGCAAGACAUGUUGAGUGUGCUGCAGGAUUUAACUGUGAAGAGAAAAAAGAAUGAGCUGGAGCUUGUUGUUGCGGUGUGCUGGGCCAUCUGGUACUCUAGGAAUCGUUUGGUGUUUGAAGGAAAGGAUGAAGAUCCAAAAAAUUCAGUGGCCAGAGCAAUUGCUAUGGUGGAAUCAUACAGGCGAAUAAAAGUUCCAAAUGAACAAAAUUCUCCAGGCCAUAGCAGAAUCAGUCAACUAGAAUGGGCAAAUCCUCCAAAGGGGUGUUAUAAAGUCAACGUUGAUGCUCCAAUCAAUGUUUCAAACCAAAAGGCAGGGUUGGGGGUAGUCAUUAGAAACUCUGUGGGUAAGGUUGUUGCUGCAGCAGUCCAAGGAACUCCAUAUAGGGGAGAUGUGGCGUGUAUGGAGGCUGAAGCUGUUCUGUUUGGUCUUCAGAGUGCCCAACAAGCAGCUGUUUCCCCAAUAAUUAUUGAGUCAGAUUCAAAGGAAGUGGUGGACCUAUCCUUAAAGAAAAAGAUCAGCAAGACUGAAAUUGAGUGGAAAAUUGCAGAAAUCCAAGCAAAUCUGGAAAAUCAGAAUGUGUCCUCGCUGUCAUAUGUCCCUAGAAACUGUAACUCUAUUGCUCAUUCUAUUGCAAAGAUAGCUCUAGGUUUUGAAAGUCAAGUCUUUUGGCUGGAAAACUUUCCAGAACAUAUCAGGUGUACUCUUGCUAAGUUCAUCAAUUGAAAAGCUUUACUUUUCUCAUCAAAAAAAAAAAAAUAGGGAAAUGAAAAGAUCGUAGGUGGAAAUUUUUUUUCUGCGUUGUAUCUUCUCAAUGCUGCAUGCAUUCAAAUUGUCAUAUUGCGAAAAUCCCUUUUCAAUGUUUCAAUUGCAAUGUCAUUGCCAUUAUUCAUAGUGGCAGACAAUGGACAUCACGGGACAUGGCUAGAAGUCUAUGUUACGGCUUCUGUAAGUAACAGCAGCCAAUGGGGAACUUCCACGGGUGCUAGAGGAGAGAGAAAGAGGUCCCAAUGCAAGGUGAUGGAAAUAGGGAUGGCAAUUGUACCCGCAAACCCGCAAACCCGCCCAAACCCACCCGCCAAAACCCGCCCGUUGCGGGUAAUUUUACCCGUUGCGGGCGGGUUUAGUAUUAUAAAUUAAAACCCGCACAUGGAUGCGGGUGGGUUUGGUAUUAACCUUAUAUCCGGUGGAUACCCGCAUGGAUAUCCACCAAACCCGCAAUAUUUUUUUUCAAAUAUUUUUAAUUUAAUUUAAAUAUAAAAAUGUAUAAAGAAAAUAAUGUCAUUAAUCAAAUUACCAAAUAGACAAAUGCUCAAAGUUGUGUAUGUGUGUAUGUGACCCAUCUCUUAUUCUAAAGUCAUAAGCUAAAGAAAACUAAAGGCAUUACCCUUCGAAUUAGUAUUUGAAAAUAUUAAUCUUAAUUAUUAUUAUAGGCAUUGUGUUGGAUGGGUGCUUAUGGUGGUGAAUGAAAUGAAUAUAUUCUCUUGGAUCUUGUUUUAAAUGAUAAUAUGAAAUGUAAUUAUUAUUUUUAGAUACUAGUUUGUGUUUUUUAAAUAGAUUUGUGUAAUUUAUACUUAAAUUUGAGAAUUUGUAUUGAAUUGAUGUGGAAAUUUUAAUUUUUCAUUGACAUUGUUUAAAUAUAAAAUUGAGUAUGCUAUAUGGAAUUUGAGGUUAUUAUUAUAAAUUUAUAUAUUAAAUAUUUGUGAUUUUAAAUACGGAAACCCGCAAAAAAUCCGCCGGAUACCAUUGCGGGUUUGGUAAUUGUUAAAACCCGCUGCGGGUGGGUUUUUUUAAAAAAAUUAAAACCCGCUGCGGAUUGCGGGUGGAUUUGGUGAUUUAAAUUUUGUGCGGGUUUGGGUUUGAUAAUGGCAAACCCGCUGCGGGCGGUGCCCAUUGCCAUCCCUAGAUGGAAAUGGGAAAGUUCAAAGCUGUUACUUUCAGCUUCUGCACCGUAGCCAUGUCCCACGGGACAAGGCUAGAAGUUAUCAUGACCAUAGACUUUUCUAAUUUAUUUUUUCCUUUCAAAAAGGGACAAGGAUAAGUUUGGGAGAAUGAUUAUAUUUUUAAUAAAAGAAUUCUUUUUUAUUAUAAUACUUUUUGUCUUUAUUAAUUUAAAAAUAUUAACUCUUAUAUUUUAAUAAAUAUAAUUAUAAUAUUAUAAUAACAUAUAACAAUAUAUACAAAUAUUUAAAAAAAAUUAAGAUUUUAUUAAAAUAAUUUUAUAAUAAAUACAAAUAUAUUAUUAAUAUAAUUAUAAUAAUUUUCAUUUUAAAAAGUAAUACUGAUAUUAAUUUUUUAAAUUAUAUUACUCUACUCAAAAAAUUAAACUAUUAAAUUAUAUUGAUAUUUCUUAAAAAAGUUGCAAUUAAUUCUUAUUAUAUUUUUAAUUGGAUUUUUUUCCCGAGAUAUAACAACAAUUGCUACAGUUUUUUCCCAAAUAAAGAUGGAGUUAUAAAUUAUUUGUAUAAGUGUCUGUGUGGAAACUAAUGUGACAUGAAAGUAAUGGUUGAAUAACAAUAAUGGGGCUUUAGGCAAUUUUUUUAUGAGGUCCUCUUGCAAUUUCAACACUUAAACAGACUUGUCCUUGAUCCCAAUUUAUUUACCCAUUUAGGCCCACGAUGAGAUAAAUAUAUUCCUGUGAGAUGAAAAACAUCAGGAGAAGAAAAUGUUUUAUUAUAAUAAAAAAAACAAGUGGUCCAUAAGUCUAUUUAUUACUUUUUUUAUUCAAUACAAAUGGCCAACUUAAAAAAUGAUAAAAAUCACAUAACGCACAAGCGAAAAUUUAGAUUUACAUUUUUUAGUUCUCUCCGUGUCUCUCUUUCUCUUUUUUUUUUAAAAAAAUAAAUAAAUGUCAGUGUAAAAUUAGAAAAAUUUUAGAUAUAAACUUUGGCGAUGACCAAACAAAAAUUGAAAUACUGAUCAUAGACACUACAAUAUAAAUAACUUGUUGUGAUCCACUCAACUUGUAACACUUUAAUCCAUACUCUAAAAUUUGUAUGUUUGUUAGGAAUUUUAUUAUUGACAUUAUUGUACCAAUAAAAUUAUACUUUAUUCAUAUGGAAAGAAAACAUCAAGAAAGGACCUCUGAUUUUUAUUAUAACAGAAAAAAGUGGUCCAUAAGCCUAUUUAUUAUUUUAUUUAUUCAAUACAAAUUGCCAACUUAAAAAAUGGUAAAAAUCACAAAAUGCACAAGUAAAAUUUUAGAAUUACAUUUUUUUAAUUCUCUUUGAGUCUCUGUUUCUCUCUUUAAAAAAUAAACCUCACUGUAAAAUUAGAAUAAUUUUAGACAUAAAAUUUGGCAAUCACCAAACAAAAAAUGUAGGGAAAUGAAAAUGGAGGAGCCCUAUUAUCAUUAGAAUAUUGAUCAUAGAUACUAUAAUGUAAAUGAUUUUUUGUGGUUCAUUCAACCUGUCACACUCUAAGCCAUUUUCUAAAAUUUGUAAGGUUUAUAGGAUUUUUAUUAUUGGCAUCAUUGUAUCAAUAAUAUUAUAAAUUAUAUAUUCUAUUGUAAUGAAAAUUUGUGUAAUCUUAGGUAUUUAUUGUAUUAAAUUGUGUGGAUUAAUUAAGAAUAUUUUUGGAGACAAAAGAAGUGUGUGUACGUAGGAUUAAUGAUAAAAAAUUUCUAAAUAAAGGUGAUUGCUUCAUUGACAAGUACAUAUUUAUAUUCUCUAUUAGUAUUUGGGUUGUAAACUUUGUUUAUAAAGUGAAUAUAUUGUGGUAAGCGAUGUGGGCAAUAUCGGAUGCAAAAUAUUGAGAGAUCAUUAACGCAUAUAUUUAUUGAAGACGCAUAUAGAGGAAAGAGUGUAGAUCCGGCUGUAACAAUUAUGAAGCUUUCCCCAAGUAUUCUCACGCUUCCUUAACUGUUCCAAAGUAUUUUUCAUAGUGUGCAGAUUUACUUUAUGGUGUCUUAAUCCGUCUAAAAUGAUUACUUUAGUUCUUUUGGGAUGAAAGGUCAUUUAUUGUGUUAGUAUUAAACAAUAGAAAAAAUAAGUAAUGGUAACGAAAGACUAAUUUGUGAUAUUGAAGUAUACAUGCUUAACUCAAUCCAAACUUAGUAAGUUAGCUCAAGAGUUAAGAGUUGUCCAAAUCUUAUAUACUGAACCCAAGUUCAAUACUCAAUUGAUGUAGGAUGUUAUUCAUAACACCGCCCGUCAUGCGUAGGAUUGGCAAAAAAACUCGAGUCAAUCCCACCUAGACCUGCAAGCUUUAUUUAUGGCCAGCAUAAUGAAGUUACAGAUAUUAACCUAAAAAUUUGAAACUUACUAUGAGUGGCCUUGGUUAAAGACUUUUGCAACUUUAAUUUAUAACAAGUAUGUACACACACACACACACACACACACACACAUGUUUAGAUUGCAUUUGGAUGACUUUUUUUUAUCAAUGCAAACAAUAUCAAAUUUAUCGGAUUAAUUUGAAUCUGAUCUAUAUCCGAUUUUGCCUACCCCUACUAUUUAUAAGCCCAAGUGACUCUCUUUUACUAAUUAAUAAGGGAAUUUUUUGACCUCAUGUCCUUGCUGUGGCAUUAGACUGUUGGUCAUUUUGAUUGUUUCCUACCUUCCAUUUACGCCAGCUGUAACAUUGUAUUAUUCACCAUUUUAGCCAUUUAAAUGAAAUUUUAUUUUUGUCAAAAAUAAAAUGACACCCUUAAAAUUAAAAAAAAAAUAGUUAUGUAGACCUCAAAUUUUUAAUAAAGAAUGUCAAUACCUCUUUUAACUACAAGAUUCGUAGUAGAUGAUAAAAAGAAAAUUAACCUCAAAUUUUUUCAUUAAAUGUAAAUCUGAUUGAAGUAGUUUAAAUUUUUCUAGUAGACUAAUAUAUAUAACUUAAAUAAUUAAUUUCAUUAUUAAUUUUUAAAAUGUUAACUAAUAUAUUUUUAAUUUAUUAUAAAAUUUUUAAAUAUUAUCCUUGGAUUAAAUAGAUUUUACAAUUAAUGUAAUACUUCUUAUUUUUUAAUAAUAUUAAAAUUAUUUUAUAUGAUAUUCAAAAUAAUUUAAACUUAUAUAUAUUAAUAUUAUGUCUAUUUAUUAUAAUAUGGUUUAAUAUUAUACGGGAUUGUAAAAUAUUAAAAUAUUCUUCAAUAUCAAAUUAUUUUAAUAUGUACAUAUCAUUACUUUUAUUUUAGUAUCGCAUUUAUAUUUAUUAUAAAUAUAAAAUUAAUAAAAUUAAAGAGUAUUGCAGUAAAGUAAAAAAAAAAAGUCUUAUUAUCCCUUAUUCAUGAUAUGAGAUUCUACAAAAUUAUUUCCCGAAACGGGUGUCCUUUUCUCAUUUUCAAAAGAAAAAAUAAAGUAAGAAUAAGUCCAUGGGUUUCAAAAACUUCUAGUCCUAUCCCGGGACUACAUUGCUGCCACUAUAACUAAUGGAAAUGACAUUUCAAUUGACAUUGCCUUUCGCAACAUGAAAAAUUUUUGGUGGGAUAUGGAAGAAUUGUCAAAAGUUCACGCCGUGUGAGAGUUUUUGGUAGGAUGUAGGAGGAUUGUCAAAAGAUCACACCAUGUGAUAAAACCACAAUUGCUAUGGUUUUUAUUUUUUAAAUAAUGAUGGGAGUUAUAAAUUAUUUAUAUAAAUUUGCGUAGAAACUAAUGUAACAUAAAAGAAAUAGCUGAAUAACAAUAUUUGGUGCUUUAAGUAAUUUUUAUAUGAGCCUUUCUUUUAUUUAGCGGCUUUAGUGUUUAAACAAACUUGUUCUCGAUCUUAAUUUACUGACCCCAUUUAAGCCCAUAAUUAAACAUAUUCUUUUGUGACGAAAACAUCAAGAGAAGACAUCUCAUGUUUUAUUAUAACAGAAAAAGAAGUAGUCCAAACAUCUAUUCGUUAUUUUAUUUAUUCAAUAUAAAUGGCCAACUUUAAAAAAAUGAUAAAAAUCACACAACGCUCAAGUAAAAAUUUAGAAUUACAUUUUGUAAUACUCUCUGAGUCUCUCUCUCCUGCCCCCCCCCCCCCUUCCUUUUAAAAAAAAUAAACCUUAGUGUAAAAUUAGAAGAAUUUUAGAUAUAAAAUUUGGCAAUAGCUAAACAGAAAAGCGGCGGAUUGAAAAUAAAAAAGCUCUAUUACCAUUGGAAUAUUGAUUAUAGAUAAUAUAAUAACUUGUUGUGGUUCAUUGUAGCACUGUGAGCCAUAUUCUAAAAUUUAUAGGUUUGUUAAGGCAUUUAUUAUUGACAUUAUUGUGUCAAUACUAUUAUAAUUUAUUCAUUUUAUUGUAAUGAUAAUUUGUCUAGUCUUAGGUACUUAUUAUAUUAAAUUAUGUAAAUUAAUUGAGGAUACUUUUAGAGACAAAAGAAACACGUGUAUGUAGGAUUAAUAAUCGAAGAAUUGUAAAUGAAGGUGAUUGCUUCAUUGAGAGGCAUAUUAAAUAAUUAUGGAGAGUUGCACUAUUUCGGAAGCACAUAUUUAUACUUCCCUAUCAGGAUUUGGGAUAAACGAAGUGCUUUAUCUAUUGCAGUAAGCAAUGUGGGCAAUAUCAGAGGCGAAAUAUUAAAAGAUCAUCCAUGAAAAGCUUCGUAACAGAAAAACCGUCUUUCAAAAAAAAAUAAAAUAAAAUAAAAAUAAAAACAGAAAAACCGACUCAUUUAUCUGCCAAUGAACCAAUCAGGACUCAUUUAAAAAAGAAUACAAAGCAAAAGUAAAUGACACAAAUUGCAUAGAUAUCUAGUAGCCGCAUCAAAGGACAAAGGUGUUAAUUUGUCCAAGAAUAAAUUCUCCUAGGUCAAAAGCAAUUAACGAUGAAAACUUUCUUCAUUAAGGUUCUGGCCUACGUAAAAAAACAGAAAAAAUCACCCCAAGGUCAAAGCACAACGAUAAGUUUAGAAUUGGAAUUUUUAAUUUUUUUUAAUAAAUCAACGUGUAUCAAAAAUAGAUAAUAAUUUUGGAUAACUUUUUUUGAUAAAUAUAGACAUAAAAUUUUAAAAUCGCCAAACAGAAAAACAGGGGAAUUAAAACAAAGUCCCUGUUUAUCCUCUAUUUUGCUUGUUAUUAAAAAGGGAAAUGAAAAGAUUGCAAGCCGAAAUUUUGUUUCUGCGUUGUCUCUUCUCAAUGCUGCAUGCAUUCAAAUUAAACCUUACAUAUGCUAGCAAACUAGCUACUCUGCAUGUAAGUUCUCGAUAAGUCCAAAUAAUAGAAUAAUUGUAAAAUGUUCAAAUUCAGUAAUUAAUUAUACAUAUUUAUUUAUUCAAAAAUUAUUAUUAUUACUAAUUAUUGUCAAUAAUAUAUUAAUAUACUAAUUAAUUGUAAAAAAAUUUAUCAUUCAUAACAAUAAUGAUGAUGAUGAUAAUAAUAAAAAUUCAAAAUAUAUUAAUUAAUUAUAAUAAUAUAUUAAUUAUUUAAUAAUAAUAUAUUUAAAAUAUAUAAAUUGAUUAGAAUAGUUAUAUUAAUAAAUUAUAAACAUAUAUUAAUUAAUCAUAAUAAUUUUUUAAUUGAUGACAAAAUAGAUAUUUUAUAGUUUGUGAGAGGGGGCAAAAUGAUCAAUCUUGGGAAUGGGGGAUUGAUUCCCACCACCUUCCUUAGGAAUCAAUCUUCCAUUCCUCAUUCCUAAUUUGGGUGGUCCCCAUAGUUCUUAUUCGGAUCCCAGCCUCUAUUUUGUGAAGUAAACAUCAUUAAUGAUUUCGAUUUCGGAUUCCGAUUCUCCAAUCCAAGAAGUAAAGGCACCAUUAUUGUUAAUUGGUUCAAACACACAAAGAGAAUGUACCAUGUAGCUAGGCGUCAAGGUUGUGUGGCACAAGGUUGUGUGGCACAAGUAGGGAUGGCAAUUCAACCCGCACCCGGCCCGGACCCGGAUGAAACCCGGAUUUUCCAGUCCGGGUUUAACCCGUACCGGAUUAAAUAAAAUCCGGAUCCGGAUGUCAUUUUAAAAACCCGCAUGUACCCGGGUCCGGUUCCGGGUUUAAGUAAACCCGUACAUCCGGAACCCGGACCCGGAUAUAUAUUAAUUUUAAAAAAUUAUUUUUAAUAUAAAUAGAAAGCAAAAAAAACCCAAAUGGUGCCCUAGAAGCUCAUUACACUUUCCCAGCCGCACAAACAUUUCCUCUCUUAUUCCCUCUUCAGCUCAUCUUCAUCUUCAUCAAAUCAUCGUCGCAUCACUUGCCCAUCUUCGCGGCUGUUCAACUUCAACAUCAUCAUCAUCAUCAUCAUCAGCCGUCGUUUCCUUUCUUUUUCUGCGGCGACCGGUAACUAGCUGUGAUACGGGUUGAACGCCGCCUUUGCCAAUCGCAACCGCGGCUGUGUUCAUCAUCAUCAACCGCCGUCACUUUCAAGAACGAUACUCGAAAAUAUUUUGAUGGGAAUCUUGUUUUUGGUCAUUUUAGUAACAGUGUGUGCAAGUGCGAGUGAGAGAGAGAGAGAACGUGGCUUACUCGAUGCCACUUAUCAUGCUUUCAUCUUUUUUCAUCCAGUGCGGGGUCUGUCUUUGUUGGCUUUUUGGAAAACUUGUUGCUUUUAAUGGUGUAUUACUUCUUUUGAAUAUCCAAUCAAUGUAAACUUAUUUACAUUACCCCUCCAGUUUUCCCAUCACCAUUAAAAGUGCUUUGGUUGCUCCUUGACUGUGCUUUGGUUGCUCCUUGACUCCUGACUUCCUGCUCGCAACAAAAGCUAGUUCUUUAGCUCUCUUUACUAAUUGAACGAGUCACCACAUUGGGUUGCUGAUUCUGGGCAGCCAAACAAAAUUGUUGUUUUUGUUAAUUAGUUUCCAGAUGAAAUAAUUUUUCUUUGAUUUGCUGAAAUCCUGGAUAUGUAUUUCUAUUUGAUUUUUUUAGUCGAAUUUAGUUUUUUUUUUUAAAUUGGAUUCAUCAAUCCGGGUUGGAAACCCGCAGUCCGGAAACCCGGAUUUUUCCGGGUUGAACCCGUACCGGACCCGGAGUGGAAAAAUGCGGGUUUAUUUCCGGGUCCGGUACAGAAAAUAUUCGUCCGGGUCCGGAUCCAGAAUGACUAAACCCGGACCCGGACCCGGAUUUUGCCAUCCCUAGGCACAAGUAACCUUUUUCUUUUCUUUUUAUUUUUUUUUGUUUUCCUUAACGGAUCAGAAGAAAUCGGUGCCUUUGAGAUACUACAAUGUAAAUAAGUACUUGUGGUUCAUUAAAUCUGUAACACUCGGUACCCUAAGGUUUCUUUUGAAAAAGGGCUUUUCUCACUGAUCACCAAUAUCCAAGUAAGUUUGUUUCAUUUCAGAAGGUGCAAAGUUUCAAACUUUUUGUAUUGGGAUGUAACAAACUUUGGCCUUAUAUGCCUGCUGUGACGUUAGACUGUUCAUUUUGAUUGUUUCAUACCUUUCACUUGCGCGCACUGUAGCACUGUAUUAUUCAUCAUUUUAGCUGUUUAAAUGAAAUUUUAUUUUUGUCAAAAAUAAAAUGACACCAUAAAAAUUUAGAAAAAUAAUCAUGUAGAUCCCAAAUUUUUAAUAAAGAAUACCAAUAUUCCCCUUGACUACAAUACCCUUAGUAGGUGGUAAUCAAACAAAUUGACUUAAACUUUUUUACGAAAUGUAAAUAUGAUUUAAAUAAUUUAAAUUUUCCAGUAGACUAAUAUAUAAUUUAAAUAAUUAAUUUCAAUAUUAAUUUUUAAAAUGUAAAUUAAUUUAUUUGUAUUUAUAAAAUAUUUGUAAUUAUUUUAAAAUUUUAACUAAAUCCUUAGGUUAAAUAGAUUUUACAAUUAAUAUAAUAUUUCUCAUGUAUUAAUAAUAUUAAAACUAUUUUAUAUGAUAUUGAAAAUAACCUAAAUUUUUAUAUAUUUAUUUGAAUAUUAUGUCUCUAUUUAUUAUAAUUUGGUUUAAUAGAAUACGAGAUUGUAAAUUAUUAAAAUUUUUAGAUAUUGAAAUUAUUUUAAUAUGUACAUAUUAUUAUAUUUAUUUUAAUAUCCUACUUAUAUUUAUUAUAAAAUAUUAAAAUUAAUUUUUUUAGUUAAUAAAUUUAAAAAAUAUUAUAAUUAAAAAAAAGAGUCUUAUUGCCUGUUAUUCACGAUAUGAGGUUCUACAAAAUUAUUUUCAAAAGGAAAAAUAAGUCCAGGGGUUUCAAUAAAUUCUAGUCCUAUCUGCCACUAUAACUAAUGGAAACGACAUUGCAAUUGACAUUGCUUUUCGCAAUAUGACAAUUUUUUGGAGGGAUAUGGGAGAAUCGUCAAAUGUUCACACUAUGCGGGAGUUUUGAAUGGGAUCGGGGAGAAUUGUCAAGAGUUCACACCACGAGAAACCAAUGAUAGCCAUAAUUACGCUGUCAGUUCUUUGUUUAUUUAUUUUGUUUAUUUCAUACAUUGUUGUCUUGUUGGCAUUGUUUUGUAAAUAUAUAAAAGUAAAGUAAACUAUUAGGGUGCUGCUAAGUUAAACUGUUGUAACUUACAAUCCCUUAAAAAAUAAUGUAAAAAAUUUAACACGUGGUGGGAUCGACAUAUGUUUGAAGAGGCUUUAAGUUACAGUAGUUGUGACUUAGAAAAAUCCAAAUAUUAGACAAUAACACACAUUAACAAUGCAUAUAAUUUGGGUUUGAUUUUUUUAAAAAUUAUUUGAGUAUUAACUAUCCUUAAGAUAUUAAUGUGAAUAUAAUUUAAUAUUAAAUAAUCAAAAUCUGUAUAAUUAUAAUAUAUAUUUCAUACAUUGCAUGUUUAAUCAAAAUCGGAUUGCUUUUUACCUUCCAUUUACGCCCACUGUAGCAUUGUACUAUUCACCAUUUUAGCUGUUUAAAUGAAAUUUUUAUUUUUUUUCAAAAAUAAAAUGACACCCUUAAAAUUUUAGAAAAUAGUCAUGUAAACCCCAAAAUUUUAAUAAAAAACACCAAUACCCUUUUUUACUAUAGUACUCUUAUGGUAGCCACAAAAAAAAAUGACUUCAAAAUUUUUUACUAAAUGUAAAUAUGAUUUAAAUAGUUUAAAUUUUCUAGUAGACUAGUAUGUAUAAUUUAAAUAAUUAAUUUUUAAAAUGUAAUUUAAUAUAUUUAUUUUAAUAAUAUAUUUAUUAUAAAAUUUUAAACAAAUCCUUGGGUUAAAUAGUUUUUAUAAUUAAUAUAAUAUUUCUCACGUUUUAAUAAUAUUAAAGUUAUUUUCUAUGAUAUUGAAAAUAAUUUAAAAUUUUAUAUAUUUAUUUUAAUAUUAUGUCUCUAUUUAUUAUAAUUUGGUUUAAUAGAAUACGAGAUUGUAAACUAUUAAAAUAUUUUUAGGUAUUGAAAUUAUUUUAAUAUGUAUAUAUUAUUAUAUUUAUUUUAAUAUCCUACUUAUAUUUAUUAUAAAAUAUUAAAAUUAAUUUUUUUAGUUAAUAAUUUAAAAAAAUAUUAUGGUUAAAAAAAAGAGUCUCAUUGUCCGUUAUUCACGAUAUGAGAUUCUACAAAAUUAUUUUCAAAAGGAAAAAUAAGUUCAGGGGUUUCAACAAAUUCUAGUCCUAUAUGCCAUUAUGACUAAUGGAAACGAUAUUGAAUUGACAUUGUUUUUUGCAAUAUGACAAAUUUUUGGAGGGAUAUGGGAGAAUCGUCAAGCGUUCACACCAUGCAAGAGCUUUAUGUCACGGGAUGAGUGUUUUGCGCAGCUAACCCGUGCGGCACUUAGACAACUUUGCCGAAUGUUGCUAAGUAAGCCUAGAGCUUCUCGAACAAGAGAAGAGAGCAAUUGAGCCAAAGAAGAAACUUGUAUUGCACAAAGAGAGAUUACAAUGCUUGUUGCUUACAAAGCUUGUUAGAUACAAAUGCCUAAUGCCAUUCCAUAUUUAUAGGGGAGGCUUGCCAAGCUCUAGAGAUUCUAGAGAAUUCUACCAACUAUCUAGAAUUUACAUGUGCUGGAAAGUCAUAGAGAAUUCUAGAGUAUUUACAAGCUCACAUGUGCUAGAGUUUCCUAGAACUUUCCGGAAUAAGGUCAAGCUAGCACUCUUGACCUUGUGUUGGCUCUCUACCCCGAAAUUGUGGGCAAUUGGGCUAGUGAAUUGGGAGGUCCGUAACAUCCUCCCCCACCUAAGCUCGCGGCGUCCUCGUCGUGCUCUCAUGCUUGAAGCGUUGGAUGUGCUCAGCGAAUUGCCACAAAUCAUCUUCACAUUCCCAAGUGGCUUCACUCUCGGGGAGGUUUUUCCACUUCACUAAGUACUCGCUAUGUGCUGGCACGCCUCUCCUCGAAACCGUGCGGUCCGCAAUGAUGUAGUCCACAUCUUUGUCGAACGCGUUGACAACGGCAGUUGGUGCACGCCUUGAUUCUCCAAGACUUGGUUCUCCCACGUCUUCGUGAUAUGGCUUGAGAAGGCUCACAUGGAAGACCAGAUGGAUCUUGAGUCUUGGUGGAAGUUGGAGUUGAUACGAGACGUUGCCCACAUGUCGAACAACUCGGAAGGGUCCCUCGUAGCGCCUCACUAACCCCUUGUGAACUUUCCGCAAAGUCUUGAAUUGUUGGGGUAGGAGCUUGAUCAUGACUUGAUCACCUUCCUUGUACUCAACAUGCCGUCUCCUUGUAUCCUCCCAUUUCUUCAUUUUCCUCGCGGCUUUGUCGAGAUAGGCUCGCGUGAUAUCCGCUUCCUCAUGCCAUUCGUGGGCGAGCUUGUGUGCCGCGGGAUUUUCCCUCCGUAAGUCGAGGCUAUGGCAUUGGGGGUCAUGGGCUGGAAUCCCAUGAUGAUCUCGAAUGGACUCUUGCCCGUAGCCUCACUUCGCUGCAAGUUAUAAGAAAAUUAGGCGAUGUCAAGUAGUUUCGCCCAAUCCCUCUGAUGAGCGCUCACAUAAUGCCUCAAGUACAUCUCGAGGAGGCCAUUGAUGCGCUCGGUCUGCCCAUCCGUUUGUGGGUGGAAGCUUGUCGAGAACUCGAGAUUGGUCCCCAACAUCUUGAAGAGCUCCGUCCAAAAAUACCCAGUGAACCGAGGGUCUCGGUCGCUCACAAUGCUUUUUGGAACUCCCCAAAGCUUCACAAUGUGCUUGACGAAUAGGCGGGCUGCCUCGUCCGCUUUACAGUCGACGGGUGCGGCAAUGAAUGUGACAUACUUGUUGUAUCGGUCGACAACAACGAUGAUGCUUCCGCAACCUUCAGACUUGGGGCAGCGAUGUGAUGAAGUCCAUGGAGACACUUUCUCAUGGCCUUGUUGCUAGCAGUAGCAGCUCCAACAAUCCCGCUGGAAGUUAAUGAUCCACCUUGUCUUGUUGGCACACAAGACAAGUUCGCACAUAUGCCUCGAUGCUGUCCCUCAUGUGCGGCCAAAAAUAUGAGGCUUGAACUAGUGCGGUGGUGCGCUCAAUUCCUGGGUGACCAGCCCACUUGGAGUCGUGGCACUCCUUGAUAACUUCCUUCCGCAAGUUUCCCCACCUUGGCACGAACAGCCGAUCUCCCUUGGUGAGGAGGAUGCCUUCCUCUUGCCAAAAUCACCUUGUCUUUCCCUCGAGCACCUUCUCUAGCAAAUCCUUGGCUAGCGGAUCUUGUUGGAAGCCUUCCUUGAUGCGUGAGACAAGGUCGGACUUCGGUUGGCUCAUGCUAAGUGUCGCCAAUUCGGCCUUGCGGCUUAGAGCGUCCGCAACGACAUUGGUCUUGCCUGGUUUGUACUCAAGCCGAUAGUCAAAUUCCGCUAGGAAAUCUUGCCACCGCGCUUGCUUCGGACUCAACUUCUUCUGAGUUUGGAAGUAGCUUGUCGCUACGUUGUCCGUCAUAAUCGUGAAGUGAGAGCCUAGCAAGUAAUGUCGCCACACGCGCAAGCAAUGUAUGAUGGCUGUCAUCUCCUUUUCUUGCACUGUGUAGCGGCGUUCCGUAUCAUUAAGCUUUCAACUCUCGAACGCUAUAGGGUGGCCUUCUUGCAUGAGGACUUCUCCUAUGGCAAAAUCCAAGGCAUCCGUUUGGACUUCAAAGGGCUUUGUGUGGUCCGGGAGAGUAAGGACAGGUUCCUCCGAAAUUGCCUUCUUCAAAUCCUCGAAUGCGCGUUGGCACUCUUUAGACCAAUGCCACGUUCUGUUUUUCUUGAGCAUAUCCGUCAAGGGUGCUGCCUUGGCCGAAUAGCCCUUGAUGAAGCGGCGGUAGUAGUUCACCAAACCAAGGAAUAAGCGAAGCUCGGGCACUUUCGAGGGAAGUUCCCAUUCAAGGAUGGCCUUCACUUUAGCAUUCUCCAUCAUAAUCUUCCCGUCCGCAAUCUUGUGGCCAAAGAACUCCACCUCUUGUUGGGCAAACGAGCACUUCUCUAGUUUGAGGAAGAGCUCAUUGUCUCGAAGUACUUGGAGGACUUGUCGCAAGUGUUGGGCAUGAUCCUAGAGCGUGGUGCUAUACACCACUAUGUCAUCCAAGUACACGACCACGAAGCGGUUGAGGAAUGGUUGGAGCACCUUGUUCAUGAGCGUACAAAAUGUGGCGGGUGCAUUAGUAAGGCCAAAAGGCAUUACAAGGAAUUUGAAAAACCCGUACCUUGUUGUGCACGCUGUCUUUGGUUCGUCUCCCUUGGCGAUGCGUUCUUGGUAGUACCCUGAGCGCAAGUCGAGUUUGGUGAAGUACCGCACUUUGCCAAGCUGGUCGAACUAGUCUGCGAUCAAGGAAAUCGGAUACUUGUUCUUGAUAGUGAUCUUGUUGAGUGCUCUAUAGUCGAUGCACAUCCGCAGCGAUCCAUCCUUUUUCUUUUGGAAGAGGACCGGUGCACCGAAUGGGGCCUUUGAGGGGCGAAUAUAGCCUGCGUUCAGCAAGUCUUUGAGUUGUCUCCACAACUCUUAUAAUUUUGGUGGCGCCAUGCGGUAGGGCGCCAGGGCUGGUGGCUUCGCGCCUUGUUCCAGCUCGAUGGCAUGAUCUACCUCUUGUCGAGGUGGGAGCUUCUUCGGAAGUUCUGGAGGCAUCACGUCCUUGUACUCAUUGAGGACGACUUGAAUUCGCGGAGGGACUUGGCUUGGCGAAGUUCCGCUAUGUCCUUCCUCAUUUAGUUCUCGAAUAGAGACCAAGAAGCUUGGGUCCUUCUUGAAAGCCCUUUUGAAUUGCAUGGCGGAGAGUGUCUUCUCCUCGGACUUGCCUCGCUCCGUGGGUACCAUGCAUGCUUUGCUCCCGUCGAGAAUGCUUAGGGAGUUUGUAGCGGGCAGCGGGAAGGCAUGGACUUGGUCAAAGAAUUUCAUGCUGAGGACCAUCUUGAAGUCGUCCAUGGGCACAAUGGAGAAGUCAAGCUUUCCGCUCCACGUACCGAGUGUGAUGUGCACGCCUUGUACGAUUCCCGCAAUUGGCUUGGCGGGUGAGUUUACUACCUUCAUUGUGCCUCCUUCCUUCGUGGCCUUGAGGCCUAAGCGCUUGGCCUCAUCUACGGACACGAAGUUGUGCGUUGCUCCCGUGUCUAGCAGCGUGCGAACGGACUGGCCGUUUACCUUUGCGCUAACAUACAUGAGCCAUUUCUUGACGAGUGCGGGCUGUUGGCGAUUGAGUGCGCCGAGGCGUUGGAGAGAACCCAUGCUGAGUUGGGGUUCCUCCGUGGACAUUGUAGGGUUGCUCUUGAGUUGGGCAGCAAGAGCGUUAAGCGACCUCUUCUCCGGACAGUCGCGCACCCAAUGGGGACCAUUGCAUAUGAAGCAUGGGUUUCGCAGUUUUGGCGCCUCCUUCUUGCCCUCCGAUUUUCCUUGCCCGCUCUUGUUAUUAGGCGGCUUUUUAUGCCCCCAAUCUUUACGGUUGUUGCCCUUGUCCUUGUGACUCUCUCCCCUACCUUUGCCUUGACUAGACUUCUUGUCUUUGGAUUGGGUAGAGUAUUCGGUGAGCGAUUCCGCAACGGCGAUGGCGUCGUCAAGUGUUUGAACACCACACCUAUCAAGCUCGGUCUUGGCCCAAUCCUUGAGGCCAUCUUGGAAGUAGAAGAGUGAAUCUUUGUCAGACAUGUCGCUUAUCUCCAACAUAAGGGUAGUGAACUCAUUGAUGUAGUCCCGAAUGCUACCCGAUUGCUUGAGGCGACGUAAGCGCGCUCGCGCUUCCUUCUCCGCAUUGCUUGGGGCGAACUGUUUUCAGAGUUCUUGCUUGAAGUCGGCCCAAGUGUCGAUGGUGCAAAUGCCCUUGCCCAUCUCGCCAUGCUUGCGACACCACCAUAGUUGUGCAGCACUUCGAAGAUAAGUGGGUGCAGUGCCCACUUUCGAUGCCUCAUCUCGUACACCCAUGGCAUCGAAGUAUUGAUCCAGCCCGAAUAAGAAGUUGUCCACGAUUGUGGCAUUGCGUGUUGUUGUGCAAAUUUUAAUGUACUCGCAAGCGCACGAAUCUAUUAUAGUAUAGAUCAAUGGUGACGAGUGUCGAUCCCACGAGAAGGUGGAUUUUAAUUGUGUAUAGAAUUAAUUUUGCAAAUGGUUGAUUGGAUUUGUGGUGGAAAUGAUUUGGAAUAUGCUAAAACUUAAAUUAAAAUGGCGAGAAUAAAUUCUGAAAUUGGAAUUGAAAUGACGAGAAUAAAUUGAAGAGAAUUCUAUUGAAAUGACGUACUUGGGUAUCUGGAUCCGUAUCAACAUGCAUCAUGGGCUAAAUAAUCCGUAUUAAUGCCAAUUAAAUCAUGAGGGGGGAAUCCACACCUCAUGAACCACGCUCUAAUCAAUAUGGUGCUAAGGGCUUAUCGUGCCAAAUAAUAAUAACCUUGUACUAGAGAGCCGGUGUAACCAAGGCGGUAUCUAGACAAGAUCAGUAUUAUUUGUCGACGAUAAGUCAAAUCAUCCACAAAAACUAGAGGGGAAAAGAAAAUAAAUUUACCAAAUAAAGCCCAUGACACAUGUUGAGACUUCACCUUCAACCCAAGCUUGAAAGAAAAUUAGCCACUCAUAAUUGAACUAAGGGCAAAAUGGGAAUUUAUUAAAAUACAAAGAAAAUACAAGAUGGAGAAGGAAUUACAGAAAAUGGAUCCCAAAAAUGGAUUCAGAGAUAUCAAAUUAGGGGGGGGAGGCCCCCUUUUUAUAGAUACAUGGAGUAAAUCAUGGCCAUCGGAUUAAAAACAGUUUGGACGCUCAGGAUUGCGCCACGUCAUCAGUCAACAGUCCACGGUUUGACCACGCGGAUGAACAGUAACACGGUUUGACCUGGAUGAACAGUAACGCGGUUUGGUUGACAAUAAUCCUGUGUGAUGCAUGCACCGUACGCGAGAUUUUUCGUCCACUGAUAUGCUGCCACGUCACCAUCAACAGUACAUAAGAUUUUAGUCCAACAGGAUCGUGACACCUCAUCAGUCAAUGCCACAUCAUCGGUCAAUGCCACAUCAUCGGUCAAUGCCACGUCAUCGAUCAAUGCCACGUCAUCGAUCCGUCUAUGUGAACAGUGUCGUGAACAGUAACGUAGACAGUACCGUAUACGUGAAUAGUACCGUACAUGUGAAUAGUGCCAUUUUUCCUUUUAUGCUCCUCCUAAGGUUUUCGACCGUCCUGAGUUCAAAAGUGAUGUCCGUUUUGCCAUCUGAUCUCUCCUUUAUUGUGAAAUGACUAUAAUGCCCCUAAAAUACAUAAAAUACUUAAUUAAAAUAACACACACGUAAUUACAUCACAAGAAGGUUAAAUACAUAAAAGUAAGGGUUGUUAGUAAGACUUGAAAUGUAAAAUGACGGUUUUCUCCUUUAUAAAUAUGCAUUUUCUAACACUCAACACACCCCCCAACCAGCUUAUUGCUAGUCCCUAGCAAAUAAAGCGAAAACAAAAUUCAAAUUCAAAUUUUUUUUUUUUUUUUUAGAAACACUCGUGUUUAUUCAAUCAGAUUAAUGAUAGCAAUCAAAUAAAAGUAUAAGCAUUAUCUCCAGUCUAAAGCAAUAUCACACCCACAUCAACCAUCCACAUGAAUCGGCCCAGUAGAUUUUGUUAUAGGUACUUUCAAGAAUGACAUGUCAAACCCCAAAAUCUCACUGGAAGUAAUGACACUCUCACAAAUAAAUUAAACCCAAUAAAAAUAGUCACUCCAAUGAAUGGUAAUUGAGAGAGAAAAUAAUAAAGAAGUGAUAUCACAUGCUCUCACCAAGAUGAAAUAAAUAUGCCCUUAGCUUAGAAAUAAUACGAUCUCAAGUCAAAUAAAAUGUUAGUCAACCCACUUUAUAUAUCUUUUUUUUUUUUUAUUAUGCAUCACUACAUCUUUUUAGCCCAUAUAACUAGCUUCUACUUCAAACUAUAGUUCCCUAAAAUCAAGAAGGACUUUUAUUAGGACGUAACGUAGGCUAGGGAUAUGGCUAAUAAAGAAAGGAAAUAAGGAAAACAAAGUGUAUGUUUGAGAAAAAUGCAGAAAUAAUUUUUUUUUUUUUUUGAAGUUGCAAGGUAGAUUUCACCUAUUAUUGUUAUUUUAUUCUUUUGAAACAACAACUUUUGUUUUUAUUUUAAUUUUUUUUUUUACUUUUAUUUGGCAUAACUUCACUGAACAACAUAAUUAUUUACAUUUUCUCAAACAUAAAUAGGUGAUGGAACUUAAAAGACAUUGGGUAAUACUCCAAAUCGGAGUGGGUCAAGAUGAUAAGUUGACAAAGAAAAUGUUUUUUUUUUUUUUUUUUUAAAGGCUCAAAAGGGGUAACUAUGGAUAUUUAAUAACAGGGAUGGCUAGAAAGGCUCAAACGGAUCAAAGAUGGUCUUUCCAUCGUUUUUUAGGGCUCUAAAUAAUUAUCCAUAUCUACUAGUUAAAUGGGCAUCCCAAUAUAGCAACACACAUUUUUUUCUUUUUUCUUUUUUUUUUUACCAUUUUUUUUUAAAGGGUUAACUCAAAAGAAAUCUAGAGAUCGUGUAUAAAAUAAUAAACUGCUAAGUUGUAUAGAGAAUGGGCAAAAGGGUUACUCUCCAAGAAAAUGAUAGGCUCAACUACUCACUUGGCACUUAUUUAUGACAUGUUCAUUCCUUCAAGCAACUCAUAUUUGUCUCCGACAUCAACAUGUAAAGUAGCAAACAUAGCGUAACAUCACUUAAGACCAAAGAUAAUACAAAUACUAAAAUUUGAAAUUAAUCAUGUCAUCCAAUGUUAAAACAAAUAACACAAUUUUUUUUUUUUAAACAACAUUCUACCCCCCAACCUAUUCUAAACAUGAAAGGAAAAUAUGCAUGCAGAAAUGUGAAAAUGAUGUAGAAAAAUUAAUUAGAAAAAGAAAUUUUUUUUUUUUAAACUAAGAAGAUGCGUUUCUAGAGGCACUACACUCCAUAUUCAGCCAUCUUCGACUCAAAAAUUUGAAACUACAUAUUUAUAAAGGAGAAAGAGGAAGAAAACAGGUUUUUUUUUUUUUUUUUUUUUUUUUAAACGAUGAAGAUGCGUUUCUAGAGGCACUACACUCCAUAUUCAGCCAUCUUCAACAUAAAAUGUUAGCAACAGUUAGUUUCUACAACAAAAAAUCAGUAAAAACUUAACCAAGAUUCCACAAUUGUCGACUAUUCCCUCCCCCCAACCAGAACGAAACAUUGUCCUCAAUGUUUUAAAGGAAAGAAGUAGAGUUUAGAAGACAUCACCUGGGUGGUGCAACACAGAAGAAAAUAUUUACAGGCGGAGAGUUAAAUCUAAUUUGUACUUCUUACUGCGGCUACUGUUACCAUCAUUAUUUGGUCGCUCCAACACAAAGGUCCAGGGGUCUGGCUCCGGUUUAUAAGCUUGUAACAUAUCAAGUAGCUCAUUAGCAGUGUGAGCACAAAUAAAGAGUUUUUUCACAUUAGAAGGAAUGAAAUAGUUUUUUAUUGCAUGGUUAAGAAAUGCGAUAAAGCCAUCAUAAAAGUUAUUGACAUUUAACAAACCGAUGGGUUUCUGGUGGAUGUGCAGAUGGGCCCAAGAUGCUAGUGUCAUAAGUGCCUCUAGUGUUGCAAGAUCUCCUGGAAGGAAAAUAAAAGCAUCAGCAUGAUUAAGCAUUUCAGUUAUUCUUUCUUGCAUACCUGAGACGACUAACUCUUCUCCAGUUGAUGAGUCAGACGAACUGCCCAAUGGUUUUAGGAUUCUUGGGAUGAUGCCUAACACUUGACUUCCUCUGAUAAAAGCUGCUUCUGAGACCAUUUUUGAUAACCCUCGGUUACCUCCUCCAUACACCAAAUGUAAUUUUCUCGCUGCUAUGCUUCGACCAAGAUCUAUGGCUGCCUCCACGAACUCUUUAUGUUUGCCAUAGGUAAAUCCAGAAAGCACACAAAUGUUCUUGAAUUGUCUAUUAGGAGUAGCUGCCAUUGUGAUACUUCUCAAAAAUAAUUUGUGAGUGCUUGACAAAAGAUAAAUCACAUUUAAGAAUCUUGGUGACAGUGGAUCACAGCUGUGAAUAAGGUAACAUGUCAGUGUCAAAUAACGCGUAAAGCACGUGGCUCGCGAGUCAAAAAGGAAACAGUAAAAAGGAAAAAGCAAACAGUAACAAAAUUAUUAAAGACAAUAAUGCAAACAAUAAAACAACAGUGAAAUGAAAUAAAAUAACAGUAAAGUAAAAGGAUAUUUACACGUAGUUGCGACUGUGGCUCACAUCUUCCUCUGGUUUUACGUCCAGAAACGGCUUGAACGCCCUCUAUGGGUCGAGGAUAGGCUUCCUAUCCAGUUUUCUUAUAAACUGGCAAACAGGGUCGUUUAUAGUCAGAUUCCCAAGACUAUAUUGUGUAUGCUCUUUCUGGAAUAAUGGCCAUAACUGGAGAAUCGCUCCUUGCACAUAUCCACUGGGAUGCGUUUCAAGAGACAAAAGGAUAUCAUCCAAUGACUCCUUAUUCAAGCCAUCCCUAAUGAAUUGAAUCUUAUCUUCUCUGUUAUCAGACACCAUUCCUAAAGAACAUGGGUUUCUAUCGCAACUCAUUCUGGCACACUUGUGACAAGCAACAGAAAUUCUUCGAGCUCGUCGUUUUCUUGCGUAAUUUCCUUUACCACAACCAGGCAUGUAUGCAAUAAAUUUAGGAGGUAACUCACCUGCCAAUCGUACUUUAGCCUCGAUUAACCAACGGAUGUCUGCAGGUAUGUUAUUCCUCAUGAGCAAUCGCAUGCGUUCAGACCGGGCUUUAUAGAUUGUAAGGAGGGCAUUCUGAGGAAGUGAAGGGAAUCGCUUGUGAAGCUUUGCUAGAAUCUCGUUUCUAUCCAUACCUUCGCCUCAGAAUAUCAGUUAUUAUGGGAAACUGAAGUAACCGACUUGAUUGUCACGGAGUACCGUUAUCCGCCACUUCACCGGGGUAACAAACUAAAGCACACAAAUAGAAAAACAAAUCAAAACACACAAAGAAAAUUAAAAUCGUCCUCUUAUUGAAUUUACCUCAAGCUCCAACUGGAUGUCGUAAACACUUCUCUCAAUGUCUCUGAGUUGGCGUUCUAAACCCUCAACAUAGGCUACUAACUCUGGUGGUUGUAGAGCCCAAAUGCGUUGUGUUUUACAAAAUNNNNNNNNNNNNNNNNNNNNNNNNNNNNNNNNNNNNNNNNNNNNNNNNNNNNNNNNNNNNNNNNNNNNNNNNNNNNNNNNNNNNNNNNNNNNNNNNNNNNNNNNNNNNNNNNNNNNNNNNNNNNNNNNNNNNNNNNNNNNNNNNNNNNNNNNNNNNNNNNNNNNNNNNNNNNNNNNNNNNNNNNNNNNNNNNNNNNNNNNNNNNNNNNNNNNNNNNNNNNNNNNNNNNNNNNNNNNNNNNNNNNNNNNNNNNNNNNNNNNNNNNNNNNNNNNNNNNNNNNNNNNNNNNNNNNNNNNNNNNNNNNNNNNNNNNNNNNNNNNNNNNNNNNNNNNNNNNNNNNNNNNNNNNNNNNNNNNNNNNNNNNNNNNNNNNNNNNNNNNNNNNNNNNNNNNNNNNNNNNNNNNNNNNNNNNNNNNNNNNNNNNNNNNNNNNNNNNNNNNNNNNNNNNNNNNNNNNNNNNNNNNNNNNNNNNNNNNNNNNNNNNNNNNNNNNNNNNNNNNNNNNNNNNNNNNNNNNNNNNNNNNNNNNNNNNNNNNNNNNNNNNNNNNNNNNNNNNNNNNNNNNNNNNNNNNNNNNNNNNNNNNNNNNNNNNNNNNNNNNNNNNNNNNNNNNNNNNNNNNNNNNNNNNNNNNNNNNNNNNNNNNNNNNNNNNNNNNNNNNNNNNNNNNNNNNNNNNNNNNNNNNNNNNNNNNNNNNNNNNNNNNNNNNNNNNNNNNNNNNNNNNNNNNNNNNNNNNNNNNNNNNNNNNNNNNNNNNNNNNNNNNNNNNNNNNNNNNNNNNNNNNNNNNNNNNNNNNNNNNNNNNNNNNNNNNNNNNNNNNNNNNNNNNNNNNNNNNNNNNNNNNNNNNNNNNNNNNNNNNNNNNNNNNNNNNNNNNNNNNNNNNNNNNNNNNNNNNNNNNNNNNNNNNNNNNNNNNNNNNNNNNNNNNNNNNNNNNNNNNNNNNNNNNNNNNNNNNNNNNNNNNNNNNNNNNNNNNNNNNNNNNNNNNNNNNNNNNNNNNNNNNNNNNNNNNNNNNNNNNNNNNNNNNNNNNNNNNNNNNNNNNNNNNNNNNNNNNNNNNNNNNNNNNNNNNNNNNNNNNNNNNNNNNNNNNNNNNNNNNNNNNNNNNNNNNNNNNNNNNNNNNNNNNNNNNNNNNNNNNNNNNNNNNNNNNNNNNNNNNNNNNNNNNNNNNNNNNNNNNNNNNNNNNNNNNNNNNNNNNNNNNNNNNNNNNNNNNNNNNNNNNNNNNNNNNNNNNNNNNNNNNNNNNNNNNNNNNNNNNNNNNNNNNNNNNNNNNNNNNNNNNNNNNNNNNNNNNNNNNNNNNNNNNNNNNNNNNNNNNNNNNNNNNNNNNNNNNNNNNNNNNNNNNNNNNNNNNNNNNNNNNNNNNNNNNNNNNNNNNNNNNNNNNNNNNNNNNNNNNNNNNNNNNNNNNNNNNNNNNNNNNNNNNNNNNNNNNNNNNNNNNNNNNNNNNNNNNNNNNNNNNNNNNNNNNNNNNNNNNNNNNNNNNNNNNNNNNNNNNNNNNNNNNNNNNNNNNNNNNNNNNNNNNNNNNNNNNNNNNNNNNNNNNNNNNNNNNNNNNNNNNNNNNNNNNNNNNNNNNNNNNNNNNNNNNNNNNNNNNNNNNNNNNNNNNNNNNNNNNNNNNNNNNNNNNNNNNNNNNNNNNNNNNNNNNNNNNNNNNNNNNNNNNNNNNNNNNNNNNNNNNNNNNNNNNNNNNNNNNNNNNNNNNNNNNNNNNNNNNNNNNNNNNNNNNNNNNNNNNNNNNNNNNNNNNNNNNNNNNNNNNNNNNNNNNNNNNNNNNNNNNNNNNNNNNNNNNNNNNNNNNNNNNNNNNNNNNNNNNNNNNNNNNNNNNNNNNNNNNNNNNNNNNNNNNNNNNNNNNNNNNNNNNNNNNNNNNNNNNNNNNNNNNNNNNNNNNNNNNNNNNNNNNNNNNNNNNNNNNNNNNNNNNNNNNNNNNNNNNNNNNNNNNNNNNNNNNNNNNNNNNNNNNNNNNNNNNNNNNNNNNNNNNNNNNNNNNNNNNNNNNNNNNNNNNNNNNNNNNNNNNNNNNNNNNNNNNNNNNNNNNNNNNNNNNNNNNNNNNNNNNNNNNNNNNNNNNNNNNNNNNNNNNNNNNNNNNNNNNNNNNNNNNNNNNNNNNNNNNNNNNNNNNNNNNNNNNNNNNNNNNNNNNNNNNNNNNNNNNNNNNNNNNNNNNNNNNNNNNNNNNNNNNNNNNNNNNNNNNNNNNNNNNNNNNNNNNNNNNNNNNNNNNNNNNNNNNNNNNNNNNNNNNNNNNNNNNNNNNNNNNNNNNNNNNNNNNNNNNNNNNNNNNNNNNNNNNNNNNNNNNNNNNNNNNNNNNNNNNNNNNNNNNNNNNNNNNNNNNNNNNNNNNNNNNNNNNNNNNNNNNNNNNNNNNNNNNNNNNNNNNNNNNNNNNNNNNNNNNNNNNNNNNNNNNNNNNNNNNNNNNNNNNNNNNNNNNNNNNNNNNNNNNNNNNNNNNNNNNNNNNNNNNNNNNNNNNNNNNNNNNNNNNNNNNNNNNNNNNNNNNNNNNNNNNNNNNNNNNNNNNNNNNNNNNNNNNNNNNNNNNNNNNNNNNNNNNNNNNNNNNNNNNNNNNNNNNNNNNNNNNNNNNNNNNNNNNNNNNNNNNNNNNNNNNNNNNNNNNNNNNNNNNNNNNNNNNNNNNNNNNNNNNNNNNNNNNNNNNNNNNNNNNNNNNNNNNNNNNNNNNNNNNNNNNNNNNNNNNNNNNNNNNNNNNNNNNNNNNNNNNNNNNNNNNNNNNNNNNNNNNNNNNNNNNNNNNNNNNNNNNNNNNNNNNNNNNNNNNNNNNNNNNNNNNNNNNNNNNNNNNNNNNNNNNNNNNNNNNNNNNNNNNNNNNNNNNNNNNNNNNNNNNNNNNNNNNNNNNNNNNNNNNNNNNNNNNNNNNNNNNNNNNNNNNNNNNNNNNNNNNNNNNNNNNNNNNNNNNNNNNNNNNNNNNNNNNNNNNNNNNNNNNNNNNNNNNNNNNNNNNNNNNNNNNNNNNNNNNNNNNNNNNNNNNNNNNNNNNNNNNNNNNNNNNNNNNNNNNNNNNNNNNNNNNNNNNNNNNNNNNNNNNNNNNNNNNNNNNNNNNNNNNNNNNNNNNNNNNNNNNNNNNNNNNNNNNNNNNNNNNNNNNNNNNNNNNNNNNNNNNNNNNNNNNNNNNNNNNNNNNNNNNNNNNNNNNNNNNNNNNNNNNNNNNNNNNNNNNNNNNNNNNNNNNNNNNNNNNNNNNNNNNNNNNNNNNNNNNNNNNNNNNNNNNNNNNNNNNNNNNNNNNNNNNNNNNNNNNNNNNNNNNNNNNNNNNNNNNNNNNNNNNNNNNNNNNNNNNNNNNNNNNNNNNNNNNNNNNNNNNNNNNNNNNNNNNNNNNNNNNNNNNNNNNNNNNNNNNNNNNNNNNNNNNNNNNNNNNNNNNNNNNNNNNNNNNNNNNNNNNNNNNNNNNNNNNNNNNNNNNNNNNNNNNNNNNNNNNNNNNNNNNNNNNNNNNNNNNNNNNNNNNNNNNNNNNNNNNNNNNNNNNNNNNNNNNNNNNNNNNNNNNNNNNNNNNNNNNNNNNNNNNNNNNNNNNNNNNNNNNNNNNNNNNNNNNNNNNNNNNNNNNNNNNNNNNNNNNNNNNNNNNNNNNNNNNNNNNNNNNNNNNNNNNNNNNNNNNNNNNNNNNNNNNNNNNNNNNNNNNNNNNNNNNNNNNNNNNNNNNNNNNNNNNNNNNNNNNNNNNNNNNNNNNNNNNNNNNNNNNNNNNNNNNNNNNNNNNNNNNNNNNNNNNNNNNNNNNNNNNNNNNNNNNNNNNNNNNNNNNNNNNNNNNNNNNNNNNNNNNNNNNNNNNNNNNNNNNNNNNNNNNNNNNNNNNNNNNNNNNNNNNNNNNNNNNNNNNNNNNNNNNNNNNNNNNNNNNNNNNNNNNNNNNNNNNNNNNNNNNNNNNNNNNNNNNNNNNNNNNNNNNNNNNNNNNNNNNNNNNNNNNNNNNNNNNNNNNNNNNNNNNNNNNNNNNNNNNNNNNNNNNNNNNNNNNNNNNNNNNNNNNNNNNNNNNNNNNNNNNNNNNNNNNNNNNNNNNNNNNNNNNNNNNNNNNNNNNNNNNNNNNNNNNNNNNNNNNNNNNNNNNNNNNNNNNNNNNNNNNNNNNNNNNNNNNNNNNNNNNNNNNNNNNNNNNNNNNNNNNNNNNNNNNNNNNNNNNNNNNNNNNNNNNNNNNNNNNNNNNNNNNNNNNNNNNNNNNNNNNNNNNNNNNNNNNNNNNNNNNNNNNNNNNNNNNNNNNNNNNNNNNNNNNNNNNNNNNNNNNNNNNNNNNNNNNNNNNNNNNNNNNNNNNNNNNNNNNNNNNNNNNNNNNNNNNNNNNNNNNNNNNNNNNNNNNNNNNNNNNNNNNNNNNNNNNNNNNNNNNNNNNNNNNNNNNNNNNNNNNNNNNNNNNNNNNNNNNNNNNNNNNNNNNNNNNNNNNNNNNNNNNNNNNNNNNNNNNNNNNNNNNNNNNNNNNNNNNNNNNNNNNNNNNNNNNNNNNNNNNNNNNNNNNNNNNNNNNNNNNNNNNNNNNNNNNNNNNNNNNNNNNNNNNNNNNNNNNNNNNNNNNNNNNNNNNNNNNNNNNNNNNNNNNNNNNNNNNNNNNNNNNNNNNNNNNNNNNNNNNNNNNNNNNNNNNNNNNNNNNNNNNNNNNNNNNNNNNNNNNNNNNNNNNNNNNNNNNNNNNNNNNNNNNNNNNNNNNNNNNNNNNNNNNNNNNNNNNNNNNNNNNNNNNNNNNNNNNNNNNNNNNNNNNNNNNNNNNNNNNNNNNNNNNNNNNNNNNNNNNNNNNNNNNNNNNNNNNNNNNNNNNNNNNNNNNNNNNNNNNNNNNNNNNNNNNNNNNNNNNNNNNNNNNNNNNNNNNNNNNNNNNNNNNNNNNNNNNNNNNNNNNNNNNNNNNNNNNNNNNNNNNNNNNNNNNNNNNNNNNNNNNNNNNNNNNNNNNNNNNNNNNNNNNNNNNNNNNNNNNNNNNNNNNNNNNNNNNNNNNNNNNNNNNNNNNNNNNNNNNNNNNNNNNNNNNNNNNNNNNNNNNNNNNNNNNNNNNNNNNNNNNNNNNNNNNNNNNNNNNNNNNNNNNNNNNNNNNNNNNNNNNNNNNNNNNNNNNNNNNNNNNNNNNNNNNNNNNNNNNNNNNNNNNNNNNNNNNNNNNNNNNNNNNNNNNNNNNNNNNNNNNNNNNNNNNNNNNNNNNNNNNNNNNNNNNNNNNNNNNNNNNNNNNNNNNNNNNNNNNNNNNNNNNNNNNNNNNNNNNNNNNNNNNNNNNNNNNNNNNNNNNNNNNNNNNNNNNNNNNNNNNNNNNNNNNNNNNNNNNNNNNNNNNNNNNNNNNNNNNNNNNNNNNNNNNNNNNNNNNNNNNNNNNNNNNNNNNNNNNNAUGAACUAUCAGAAAUUGGGUAAAUGAUACCUGCGUCUAAUAGCUUAAGGACUUCUGUUCUAACAACUUCUUUCAUAUUAGGAUUUAACCGACGUUGCAUUUCCCUAGUAGAUUUAGCAUUUUCAUCAAGGUGAAUGUAAUGCAUGCAGUCUACUGGAUUUAUACCUUUGAUGUCUGCUAUGGUCCAUCCUAAUGCCCCUUUGUGCUCUUUUAAAACAUCCAACAACUUACCUUUUUGUUCGUCAUUUAGGGAUGAUGAGAUGAUUACCGGCAGAGUACUUUCUUCUCCCAAAAAUGCAUAUUCCAGAGUGUUGGGUAAUGGUUUGAGCUCGAGUUUCGGUGGUGAUUCUGAUGAUGGAAUGAGUUUCUUCUCUGAUGGUGCUAGUUGUUCAACUCUUGACUUCCAUUUAUUAGUGUCCAUGGAUGGUGCUGAGUCAAGUAGGGCGUUGACCUCUUCGACCGAUCUGUCAAUAUCAAAAUCCAAACCAAAGUGAGUUAAACAUGUUUGUAAAGGAUCAUCACUAAGGUUUGAAAGAAAAGUAUUAUCAACUAUUGUUUCUAUUAAAUCCACAUCAACAAUUCCAUCAUCUGCACUGUGAGGUUGUUUGGCAAUGUUGAAGAUGUUUAGCUCCAUAGUCAUGUUGCCGAAGGACAAUUGCAUAUUUCCGGUCCUACAUUGAAUAUGAGCAUCUGCAGUUGCCAAGAAAGGUCGGCCUAGAAUAAUGGGGAUGUGCUUCCUUGAGUCCUGUAUUGGUUGAGUGUCAAUUACAAUGAAAUCAACAGGAAAAUAAAACUUGUCUACCUGGAUAAGCACGUCCUCCACAAAACCACGAGGUAUUUUUGUGGACCGAUCUGCAAGUUGUAACACCACUGGAGUUGGGUGUAAUUCUCCCAGUCCAAGUUUCACGAAUACAGAGUAAGGCAACAAAUUUACACUAGCUCCUAAAUCCAACAAAGCAUUCUCAAUUGUGUGGUUCCCUAUACUACAUGAGAUAGUGGGGGAGCCUGGGUCUUUGCAUUUUAAAGGAAUUUUAUGUUGGAGUAUAGAACUAACGUUUUCUGUUAAAAAUGCCUUCUUUUGAACAUGCAUAUUUCUCUUUUUAGUACAAAGGUCUUUAAGAAACUUGGCAUAAGAUGGAACUUGCUUUAUAGCAUCAAGUAAAGGGAUGUUAACACUUACCUGUUUGAAGAUUUCGAGAAUCUCACCUGUGGAUUUUCCUUUCUUGCCUUUCGCUAACCUCUGAGGAAAUGGAGCUUUCGGAACGUAUUCUCGUGGGUUGGUUUCUUCUUUCUCCUCCGGUGGUGAGUCUUCAACAUUCACAGGUACAAUUUGAUUUUCUUUUGUCACCGGCAUCUCCACUUUGUUGUCGACUUCCUUUCCUUUUCGCAAGGUCAUGACUGCUUUGACCUCUCCAUGCUGUUGUGGUGAACUGGUACUUGCUUCAUGUACUCCUUUAGGAUUAGGCACUGGUUGACUUGGAAAUUUUCCUUUCUCAACAGUCAUUGCCAAGGUCUGAACUGAAGAAGCAAGUUGUCCCACCAUCUUCUCGAGGCUUGAAACUGAUUGAGCUUGUGAGUUGAAGCCUGCUCUCAACUCAUUUCGUAGUCCAUCAAUGGUGCGGUUCUGUUGCUCAAUCGUAGAGUGAGUAGCAUUCUUGAAAUUCUGGAAUGAAUCCUCCCAUGGUCUGGGUUGAGAGUAGUUUUGGUUCUGAUUGAAUGGUCUAAAUGGGGGCUGAGAGGCUUGAGGAUUUUGAGGAAUUUGUUGCAUUGGUGGAGCUGCUGGUCCAUUCUGUUGGAAUCCUUGAGACCAUGAAAAAUUGGGGUGGUCUCUCCAUCCAGGAUUAUAUGUGUUGGAGUAUGGGUUGUAAUUCGAUGGUUUUCUCAUUACACCUAUGGCAUUGGCUUGAUCUGAGUAUGAGUCAUGGUCAUGUGAUUCUGUUGAUUUAGCAGUCGAUAACGAUGCUAUUUGUCGAGCAAGACCUUCAACCAUCUCCUUGACUUCUUUGAUUUCCGAAGUUGACUCGCCAAUUUGAACCUCAUUUACUCCCUUAAUUCUUCUAGUAUUCCUGAGUGAUCGACUCCGUUGUUGGGAAUUAUCCGCUUGUCGCUGGAAGAAUUCCCAAAUCUCUGAUGCACUUUUUGACAUUAGCUCUCCUCCACUUGUUGCCAUUAGCCAUUCUUGCACAUUUGGUAGUAAUCCCUCCAAAAAGUAUUGACAUUGGUGCCAUUUUUCGUACCCAUGAUGUGGACACUUCAAGAGUAGCCCAUUGAAUCGCUCCCAUGUUUCGAAAAACUGCUCGUCCUCUCUCUGUGUAAACUCUGAAAUUUCCCUGCGAAUAGCAUUGGUUUUAUGCACUGGGAAAUAUUUAUUCAAAAAUUUUGUAACCAUUUGUUCCCAUGAUGCAAUGCUAUUAGCAGGCAAUGUAUUAAGCCAUGAACGAGCUCUAUCCUUUAAAGAAAAUGGGAAUAAUCUGAGUUUAACAUCAUCGUCUGAAAAAUUCUCAUAUUUGAAUGUUUGACAAAUGGCAUGAAAAUCAUUCAAAUGAUUAUAUGGGUCCUCAUUUUCUAAGCCAUAGAAUGUGGGGAGACAAUUUAGCACACUAGGUUUUAAUUCAAAACUCCUAGCAGCUACAUUUGGGUAUCUUAUGCAUGACGUGCUCAAAUUAGCUAAGGGACUAAAAUAGUCCUUAAAUGGCCUCUCCUGUGGUGCUUGUAAAUCUAUUUUAUUUUUAACGUGUUUGUGUGUGCGAAGUGUUUUUUCUAAUUCAAGGUCUAUAGGUUCAAGAUUUGGUAAUAAUGACCUACGACCAUGCAUGCAAAAUAAAUAAAAUAAAAAUAAAGAUGGGAACAAAAACAAAUAAAAAUAAAGAAGAGGGAGAAAUUACGAUACUAACCUUAUUGCGCUAUUACAACCUUUCUAUAAAAAUACACAAAAACAAAUACGUGAAAUAAAUUAACUAAAAAUUAAAUUAAUAAAAUAAACAAAAAUUACAAAGAAAAAAAAUUAAAAAUUAAAUUACAGAAUUUUAAAGAAGAGAAAAAGAAAAGAAAUAAUAACCUUUAAAUGUAGAUUUACUUUUUUUUUUAAUAAAAAAUACAAGAAAACAAAUAAAAGAAAUUAUUCACAAAAAUUAAUUCUAUGAAUUAAAAUUACUUACCUCCCCAGCAACGGCGCCAAAAACUUGUUGUGCAAAUUUUAAUGUACUCGCAAGCGCACGAAUCUAUUAUAGUAUAGAUCAAUGGUGACGAGUGUCGAUCCCACGAGGAGGUGGAUUUUAAUUGUGUAUAGAAUUAAUUUUGCAAAUGGUUGAUUGGAUCUGUGGUGGAAAUGAUUUGGAAUAUGCUAAAACUUAAAUUAAAAUGGCGAGAAUAAAUUCUGAAAUUGGAAUUGAAAUGACGAGAAUAAAUUGAAGAGAAUUCUAUUGAAAUGACGUACUUGGGUAUCUGGAUCCGUAUCAACAUGCAUCAUGGGCUAAAUAAUCCGUAUUAAUGCCAAUUAAAUCAUGAGGGGGGAAUCCACACCUCAUGAACCACGCUCUAAUCAAUAUGGUGCUAAGGGCUUAUCGUGCCAAAUAAUAAUAACCUUGUACUAGAGAGCCGGUGUAACCAAGGCGGUAUCUAGACAAGAUCAGUAUUAUUUGUCGACGAUAAGUCAAAUCAUCCACAAAAACUAGAGGGGAAAAGAAAAUAAAUUUACCAAAUAAAGCUCAUGACACAUGUUGAGACUUCACCUUCAACCCAAGCUUGAAAGAAAAUUAGCCACUCAUAAUUGAACUAAGGGCAAAAUGGGAAUUUAUUAAAAUACAAAGAAAAUACAAGAUGGAGAAGGAAUUACAGAAAAUGGAUCCCAAAAAUGGAUUCAAAGAUAUCAAAUUAGGGGGGGAGGCCCCCUUUUUAUAGAUACAUGGAGUAAAUCAUGGCCAUCGGAUUAAAAACAGUUUGGACGCUCAGGAUUGCGCCACGUCAUCAGUCAACAGUCCACGGUUUGACCACGCGGAUGAACAGUAACACGGUUUGACCCGGAUGAACAGUAACACGGUUUGGUUGACAAUAAUCCUGUGUGAUGCAUGCACCGUACGCGAGAUUUUUCGUCCACUGAUAUGCUGCCACGUCACCAUCAACAGUACAUAAGAUUUUAGUCCAACAGGAUCGUGACACCUCAUCAGUCAAUGCCACAUCAUCGGUCAAUGCCACAUCAUCGGUCAAUGCCACGUCAUCGAUCAAUGCCACGUCAUCGAUCCGUCUAUGUGAACAGUGUCGUGAACAGUAACGUAGACAGUACCGUAUACGUGAAUAGUACCGUACAUGUGAAUAGUGCCAUUUUUCCUUUUAUGCUCCUCCUAAGGUUUUCGACCGUCCUGAGUUCAAAAGUGAUGUCCGUUUUGCCAUCUGAUCUCUCCUUUAUUGUGAAAUGACUAUAAUGCCCCUAAAAUACAUAAAAUACUUAAUUAAAAUAACACACACGUAAUUACAUCACAAGAAGGUUAAAUACAUAAAAGUAAGGGUUGUUAGUAAGACUUGAAAUGUAAAAUGACGGUUUUCUCCUUUAUAAAUAUGCAUUUUCUAACACUCAACNNNNNNNNNNNNNNNNNNNNNNNNNNNNNNNNNNNNNNNNNNNNNNNNNNNNNNNNNNNNNNNNNNNNNNNNNNNNNNNNNNNNNNNNNNNNNNNNNNNNCACUGGAGUUUGCGGAAGCUGGACUUGCGGAGAGUGUGCGAUUGUUCCAUGCCCAAUCCGAGCGGACUUCAUCCACUUCCGCACGGACAACGUGUAGUUCGUCCUGAACAAAACUACGAAGUUUUAGCAACUCAUCAUGGAAAGAUCAAAACUCACCUCAGAGAGUGUUCGCUUACUCAUGGAUGAGAGCUUUUGUGGCCACCGUGAACUCGGCGUAUUCUCCCUUGAGACCGUCCACUCUUCCUUCCAAUCCCUCGAGGCUUUCUUGAGCGGCGGACAAUGCGAUUUCGAGAGUGCCUACACGAGGCUCCAACGCAUCCACGGAUGGGGCCUUGGACUUGCCGCGAAUCUUGCCUUGGGCGCGUUCUCCCUCUCGGCCGCGGCUUGGUUCCGGUGGAACAUCCACACCAACAACACCCUCUUAUGCUACGUUCGAAGGGUUGGCCAUUGCUUCGUGAGCUAACUUGUGUGCGUGCAAACCUUAGCUCUGAUACCACUUGUCACGGGAUGAGUGUUUUGCGCAGCUAACCCGUGCGGCACUUAGACAACUUUGCCGAUUGUUGCUAAGUAAGCCUAGAGCUUCUCGAACAAGAGAAGAGAGCAAUUGAGCCAAAGAAGAAACUUGUAUUGCACAAAGAGAGAUUACAAUGCUUGUUGCUUACAAAGCUUGUUAGAUACAAAUGCCUAAUGCCAUCCCAUAUUUAUAAGGGAGACUUGCCAAGCUCUAGAGAUUCUAGAGAAUUCUACCCACUAUCUAGAAUUUACAUGUGCUGGAAAGUCAUAGAGAAUUCUAGAGUAUUUACAAGCUCACAUGUGCUAGAGUUUCCUAGAACUUUCCGGAAUUGGGUCAAGCUAGCACUCUUGGCCUUGUGUUGGCUCUCUAGCCCGAAAUUGUGGGCAAUUGGGCUAGUGAAUUGGGCGGUCCGCAACAUUUAGGUGGGAUAUGGGAGAAUUGUCAAGAGUUCACACCAAGAGAAAUUAAUGAUAGGCCUAAUUUCGUUGUCAAUUCUUUAUUUAUUUAUUUUAUUUUUUUAUACAUUAUUGUCUUGUUGGCAUUGUUUUGUAAAGAUAUAAAAGUACAAGUAAAAUAUUAGGGGAAGUAAAGUAAAAUAUUGGAGGUGUUGCUAAGUUACAGCUGCCGUAACUUACAGUUCCUUAAAAAAUAAUGUAAAAAAUUUAACACGUGGUGGGACCCACAUUAUGUUUGAAGAGGCCGUAAGUUAUAGCAGUUGUAAAUUAGUAAAAUCCAAAUAUUAGACAAUAAUACACAUUAACAAUGCAUAUAAUUUGAGUUUGAUUUUUAAAAAAAUUAUGUGAGUAUUACCUAUCCUUAAGACAUUAAUGAGAAUAUAUUUUAAUUUUAAAUAAUCAAAAUCUGUUUAAUCAUAAUAUGUAAUUCAUACAUUGCAUGUUAGAUUUGUUUGGAUUUUAAGUUGUUGCUAAUAAAUAUUUAUGUUGUGAAAGUCGAAUUCAAUAGCUACAAAAGCAGAGAUAAUGGUAUUUUAUGUAGUUUUUAAGAAUACAAGGAUAAGACCAUAACGCAUGAGAUAGUGUUAUUUUAUAUUAAAAGACCAUAACACAUGUAUUUGAGCCAUUUAUAUUGAGGACACAUAUAGAGCGAAAAGUGCAGAUCCGGCCGUAACUAUUGUGAAGCUUUCCUCAAGUAUUCUCAUGCACGCAGACCUUAGCUGGUCAAGUUUUCUGAUUUAAUAUAAUCAAUUUCCGCGCAGUACUAACGACAGCUUCUUUGUAAAGCUCUUCAACCACAAGCAUUUCUACAAGGCAAAAGACUAGGACGUGUCGGAAUGAAUAUCAAUAAGGGAAUGUCUUAUGAAUUUAGUUUAUAUCCUAAUAUAAGACAAUCAAUAAAUAUUAGAUGCAAUCUAAGGGCUAACAUUUGAUUGAUCAUUAUACGAAAAAAAGGUACAAAAAUACAAAACAGAGCUGAUUGAUGGCCUCUCACAGUCAGUUAUAUGACAAAGUAGCCACCACAACAAACUUGAACUUGGCUGGAGGUCUCAUUAGCAGUAUACCUCCGAACUUAAGACAAAGACUUUAAAAUGCAAACUUAUGGAGCAAUUUAAGCACUGAAACUAAUAACAGUACGGUAUUAGCAAUUGACCUCUGCUUUUGCUUAGACAAAGGUUCUCAUCACAAUGGAUUCAUUAGUUGCCCUUGCCUCACACGUUUGGAUGCUAAGGGGAAAAAGGAAGUUUGAAUUAGUCAAUCUCAUUUCUAAUGGCAUUCACAGAGAACCUAUAAAGCAAAAAAAUAAAUAAAAAUUUUCAUGUUGCAAGUGAGCUCGUUUUCAAUCGAUUUUUAUUGAUCAUAAGAGAUCAUGUGGCCCACCUUAUUUUUAUUUUGGAUCCAUAACCCAAAGCUGGCCCAAGUUCUGAUUCCAGAAUCAUUUGUCUACAAAGUGACCUCAUUCCGGCAAUUGGUUUAUGCUAAUAGCACGUGCAAUUUUCAUUUUCUUCUUUUUAUUAAUUAAUUUCAUCAUUAUUAUUUGCUUAUUAGUUUAAAUUAAUUAAUUAUAUUGUAUUAAUGAAAUUAGUCUUUCAUUUUCUUUUCUCUUUCAAUGCACAAAGCCAAACAACCAUUCUUUCUUCAAAUACCGAAGAGCUCCUGACUACGGCUGUCAAUGCUUCUAUAUUUAUGUGCUGUGCUGCAGCACUCUUAGCGAAAGCUUGAAUGAAUGAUUAAAGACAAAAGCUUAUAUAAAAGCAGAUGCCGGAGGCACUCAAAAAGCAUUUGAGAGAGAAGCUAAACAGCAAAUCAUCAAACGCACUUCAAUGACUUUGAUUUUGAUUUUUGUUUCAAAAGAAGUAGAAAAGUCCAUGGGUCACGAUAACUGCUUGUCCUCUGCCGUGACCUCAUUGUCCGCUGCUAGUGUCAAAUAGAUUAAUCUUUCUAGUAGAUUAAUAUAAUUUAUAAUUUUAAUUUCAGUAUUAAUUUUUAAAAUGUUAGUUGUUAUAUUUAUUUUAAUGAUAUAUCUAUUUUUAGUAUAAAAAUUUAAAUAAAUAUUUAGAUUAAAUAGAAUUUAUAAUUGAUAUAAUAUAUCUCAUGUAUUAAUGAUAUUUAAAUUAUUUUAAAUAAUAUUAAUCCUAACUUAAAAUUUUAUAUAUUUAUUUUAAUGUUAUGUUUCUAUAUAUUAUAAAAUUUAGUUUAAUAUAAUAUAAGAUUGUAAAGUAUUCAAAUAUUUUUUAAAUAUUAAAAUUAUUAUAAAAUGUAUAUACUGUUACAUUUUUAACAUUGAAGUCAAUCUUUUUUAAGUUAAUAGAGUGAAAAGAUAUAAUAAUAAAAGGCUAUGUAAUCUUUCACUUGCACAUAUUCUGUACUCUCUGGAGCACGACGGUAGGAAACAUGAUUACAGAUGUUAAAUUCGCCUUUUUUCACAAGUUUAUCAGCUUCGUUUGCGGCCUCUGCUGCUUGUUUACCAAGCUUGUAACGAGAAAUCAAAUUUGGGCACAACCCUUUGAAGCAGAAUAUCUUAGCUCUAUCUUUAUCAUCAAUGAUGGAUUUUGCAACCCCUUCACUGAAUUCAGCAACUCUAUUUAGCCAGUCUCUGACACCCUUAUAAAUCUCAUCUCCUUGUAGAGUAGCCUCUCUAACCAGUGUUUGCACCCUUUCUCUUAUAUAUUCCAGCUCCUUCACUCAAUCUUUUAGCCCAUUUAUGUAGCUCUGGUACUCGAACACAUAAGAUAUGUGCCGCAUAAUCAGUUCGAAUAAUGCUUUUGAACAUUGUGAUACAAUGCUGGAAAAAGCAGGGAGACACCCUUCUGCAGCCAUUGCUUGUUGCUUAACAAUAUAUAUAUAUAUAUAUAUAUACAAGUGUCAAAGAAAGGAAUACAAAUAAAUUAAUAUGAACUAGAGAGAAAGAUAGAGAAUGAAAAGACCGCCAACAAUAUCGCUAUAUUGAUCUUGAACCAACUAAUAAUUAAAUAGAGAAUUUCUUUUUCUUUCUUAAGGAUCAGAGGUUUUGCUAUUAGCAAAAAGGUACUUCAAGGGUCUGAAUAAAAAACCAACCAUAAAUUAUCAAAAGCUAGUAAGAACACAGACGUAAACAAUGAACAAUUACUUAAGCCAAACAGACCAUGAUACAAAGCAAAUCUAAUAAAAUGACAAAGAAAGAAAGAAAGAAAAUACAACAAACAGUAUUGAAGUGUUGAUCAUGAGCCAACUGAUAUUUAAACAGAUUUUUUUUUUAAUUUUUAGUCUUUUCUAAAAGGAUUAGAGUUCUUGCUAUUAAUAGAAAGGUUUCAAAGAUCUGACACUAUUAGAAAAGUAUUAAAUAAUGACAAAAAUUUUAUGACAUAUAUGGUUGUAUCUCGAAUGUGUCAUAAAAUUAUGAUAGAUUCAUAAUAUGUAUUCAUAUGCCCAGAAUAUAUGAUAUAUUCAUGACUUAUAACUUAACCGUAGUAAAUAAAUGAUACAUAUAAGUCAUGAUUAAGUUUUGUGACCUUAUAAGAUUGUAAAACAGUGUCGUUUAAAUUAACGACACCGUUCUGUAUAACUUAAAACACAUCAACACUUCAGCCAAAUUUUGGCGGGUAAAAACCCAUUUAGUCCCUAUAUUUUAAGAUUAGUAUACAUUUAGUCCCUAUAUUUUUAAAAAUGCCUCGAAACGUUCCUGCCGUUAAAGUAUUGAUACCCCUACUGUUACUUUUUAUUUCUUUUGGCUUACUUUUACAAUAUUAUAAAAGUGUAAUAUUGUAAAAGUAAGCCAAAAGAAAUAAAAAGUAACAGUAGGGGUAUCAAUACUUUAACGACAGGGACGUUUCGAGGUAUUUUUAAAAAUAUAGGGACUAAACAGACACUAAUAUUAAAAUAGAGGGACUAAAUGAAUUUUUACCCAAUUUUGACUAAGCGUUGAAUAAAUCCCUCUCUCUCCACUGGCGACUACAACCUAAAAUGAAUCAACUCUGAGCCUCUCUCUAUAACACUAUAUAGAACCCUAAACCUAAGAGCAUCUCCAAAAGGCUUUAUAAAUUUUACUCUUUAAAUAUUUAUUUGCUUACCUAUGUGGCUAAUAGAAGAGUGAAAAAAUAUAUUAUCUCUAAAAGACUUUUCAAAUAUAAAUGAGUUAAUAUUAUUUUAAUUAAAUAAUUAUUUUUUAAAAUGAAAAGUCAAUAAUAAUUAAAUCAUCUCUCUCUUUUUCCAACAAAAAUAAUAAAAUAUAAAUUAAAAAGAAAGAAAUCAACUCUCUAAAUUUAAAGAGAUAGAAUAAUUUUUUAUUUAAAAAAUUUUAAUUAAAAUAUUUUAUAAAACUUUAAAUGUUGACUUAACUUUUCAGACAGCUAAUAAAAUAAGAAAUAAAAUCUUAUUUGAAAAGUGUUUUCCUUAUAUUUUAAGUCUCACAUUCGCAACCGACGAAGCUGAAAAAGUUCCCCACAUAUCAAAACCACAGCGAACUGCCUCCGACCCUACGGACCCAAAAAAAUUUAUUGUAUUCCUGCUCUUUCACAUCAAUAAUUUUUUGUAUUAUUCCAUAACCCAAAAGCUUUCCUCUGUUUCAACUAAGCGAAAAUUUACAUAUUAAAGCCUAGCUCAAAUUCCUUUUUUCAAUCGAAAUAAAACGUAGCCCCAAAACCCUAAUUCACCACACCAAUUUAUCUCUGCCCGGUAUUCAUUUAAACCCUACCUCGCGGUUCAAUGUCAUUCAAUACGAUUGCAGAUGCCGUUUCAACUUGUCAUUUAGUUAUUGCCAUCCAGUUCUCUAUGGUAAGCCUUAACCCUAACAACUAAUCGACUGUGGUAGCACGUUGCUUGUUAGGAGUGGGGAUACAUUAUUUAACUAUAUGAAUUGGGUGAUGUUAGUGAUUCAUUCCCCUAUUUGUCAUGAAUUAAGAUUUGUGUAUAAUGCUAGUCAGAUUGCUAAAAAUUUCAUAUUUUGUAUUGUUCCAGUUGAAUUUCUUGCUUGUGGAAGAUAAAACAAAAGUUCAAUUUCAUGUUGAUUUAAUUCUUCUUUUUCUUCUUUUUUUUUUUCUUCUUUAUAGUCACGCUCUGGCUUUGGUGCUAUGCUUAGUGCAGUUUAUGGUUUCAAGAUUAAGUCACGUUUAUUUGAUGGCAUCGAUUCCAUCGUUGAGGAUUGGAUUGUUGAUCAAAUGCACAUAGUAAGCUCUUCUUAUUUUAUCUCAGUUUUAAUUUUCUUUUAUUAUCUGCCUCUACCUGAAAAUGGACGUGUUUUACUAGUAAGCAUAGACUUUGUUUAUUUAAUUGAUAUUUUAAUUUUAUGUAUAAGAAUAGAGGUUUAUUUUGGAAAAAAAAGCAAUAAAAAAACAGACUCUGUUGAAGCUAAUUAGUACUGAAUGUUUUUGGUGGUGCGACCAGAGGUGGAAACAGGGUAUGAAAAUGUGUUACUAGUGAGGUUGCUGCUUAAGAUGAGAAUGCAUUCUUUUCAAAAAUCCUUGGUAGGUGUGAUCUAAUUAUAUUUGAUGGAAUAUUAAAUGGCUAAAAAUCUGUCAUACGUUCAAACUUUGUUUGUGUUUGGAAGAAUGGUGUUGACUGUAUAUUCGUUUGGAAGAAUGGUGUUGAUUGUAUAUUCAUUUGCUUAGCCUUUUGACAGAUGGAUUUGAAACUGACGACAAAUGUGAUUCAAUUUACAAGGUUUUCGAGGGGCUCACAGUGGAAGGGAUAUUGAAGAACUGGUCUAAGAUAAAGCCUAUGAUUGUGAAAGAUUGGAGUGAGAAUAUAAAUGCUCGUUUAAAUCUCUUUGGCAAGGUCAGAGAUGAAUGGAUAGAUAAGGAUUUAUUUGACUACUUGGACUGGUGCUAAUAGGUAUUUUAGGCAAGCUUUUUGAGAUAACACUGAGCAAGUUAUACUACUAGUUUGCACAUGAUGAUCAAAACUCUCAAAAAGUAAAAUAAAAUAAAUUAUUAACUUUUACUUAUCUUUUGCAUAGCAAUCAAUGUGGUGCUUGUUCUGUGACAACUUUGAUAAUCUACUUAAUUAUUGGUUAGCAUUUGGACCAAAAAAGUUCUUAUGAUUUACAUGUUUUGUAGAAAUGCAUGAACCUUAAAUGUGCUGAUCAGGGAGUUUAAUUAUUGCACCUUGAAAUUCAUUUAUUGUUAACUAAUUGGCUUUCCUUUGCAUAAAGCCGCUUAUAAGGCUUGAGUGGACGUCUUUAUGGGCAUAUUAUUUGUAUUUCUAUAUGCAUGCCUUUAUCACUUAAUGUGCUGCUUUUAUUUCUUUAUGCAUGCCUUUAUCAUUUAAUGGCCAGCUCCCUCUCCUCUUUUGUAAUUUGAAUAGUAGUAUGGGCCUCCAUUUUACAAAUCUUUAACAUUUUUUGCUGUAAAUUAAUUUUUCUUUCAAAUAUUUUGGAGGUCAUUGGAAUUCCUGUAGGUCUAUUUACCAGAUUUUAGUAUGUUUAAGGUUUUAAUUUUGCUUAAACUUUAAUUUUUCUGAAAGAUUGUAGUAUUGAUCCUUAAAGAAAGAUCAUGCUACUUCAAAUUAUUUUGAAGUGUUGCCAGUUAUAGCCUUACAUAACAAAUUCCAUUUGUCUGGAAAUUUAUUGAUAGCUGUUACAGCAGCAUAUUUUAUGACUCUACUUCUUAGUUAUGUAAGUUCAUUAUGUUUAGGUCAGAGGCAGUCAGCUGUGGGGAAUCGAUAUAUACACAGAUGACUUUGAUCUUGUUGCUGGUAUGUGGUUCUAUGAAUAAUUGUGUUUGCCUCACUGUUUUUGUUUUAUGAGAUCUAUAAUUGAUCUUGGGAUAUUACUUUCUAGUCCUCAUGCAAGCAAGUUACUACCUUCCCACUGCAUCUCCUCCUUUAUCUGCUAUUCAAGAGUUGCGUGCCAUAAUCUGGUGUUACCUCUGCAAGAUUGUGAAUGAAUAUAAUGCCUCUAAAUUUAUUUUAUACAUAAUGCUGAUGCUGAAUAAUAUAUUGUAGCUCCUGUCAUAUUCUACUUUGACUUUUUAUAUUCUGUUUCAUAUAAAAAUCUUAUUCAACUUUAGUUGUUCAUGAGCAAAUGUCACAUGUAUAAGCCCAAAUGAUGUUUAAAGGUAGCGCGGCUACCUUUAGUUUGAGCUUACAAUGGAUGAAAAAGAAAUUGAAACUGAUAUUUUGCUGUUUUUCUGAUUUUUCAAAGUAUUUUAGAUCCUGAGUUUUGUUUGGACUUGAUGGUUAUAGAUUGUGUCUAGAUUUGUUAAGUUGUUUCCAACACCUCGUGCCAAAUGAAAGCACAAUCUUUCUGAUUCAGAUGUCUUGUUAAUUAUGCUUCAUUUUUUCGUUAAAGAUUGGAUGGUUGCAUGGAUUGAUGGAGUUGGAGUUCAACCAAUAAUUCUAAUUUUUUGGACUUAAAAUGCCUUUUUCUUCUGUAUAAAAACUUUAGUAAGUGCUAUUGAGUUGACGGAGGUUGAAUACUUACAGGUUGUUUCACACUUUUUAAUAGUUUUACAUAUAUGAAUUUCUGUUUUUUGAAUUGCAGAAAGGAGGUGGAACUAUUGAUUUGGAGCCUUAUCUUACUCACUCAUCGACAAUGGAGCCUAUCCUCGCUCCCAUGGCAGUGGAACGGACAACAACUACUAGGGCUGCAACAUCAGUUGGUUUGGGUCUGUUUUGAGUUUAUUUUCAUUUAUUUGGCUAUGUUUUGAUAGCGAAUUUUGAUAUGUCAAUAUAAUGUGUAAUUGUUUUGGGUUGAGCUGGUAAUUAUGCUGGAUUAGAUUGGUUUGGUUUUGGUGCUUCUCUGAUGGAACUCUGCUUUUUUUAGAAAUUUUGAAUGUAAUAUGAGACUACAUUUAGUUUAAUUUAACACUGCAUCUAGUCUAAUUACUAGAAGUGUGGCAUUUGGUUUGGUUUAUCCGAUAUUCUCCAGAAUUUCACUUGCAUCUGGUUUUGUUGCAUAUGUUUGCUUGCAUUUGAUGGCAGUAGCAGACUGUUUGGUUUUGUGACAUUUGAUGGCAGUUUGGUCUGUUCUUGGUGUUGAUUUAAGAUUGUUCCUGUUGUGCUGAUGUUAAUUGCAGGUGCUUGAAUCAGCUAGGGUUGCUGGUUUAUUCAGAUGGUUGACUCAGGCGUUGUUACUGGUUAAUUCAGGUGGCUGACUCAAGUUGUUCAUUUAAUGUUAGGAAGCAAACUAAGAAUUAAUGAAGUAUUCAUUUAACUAUAAUUAUUGUAGUUAUUUUAUUUCAUAACUGAAUUAUAAUCUAUGAUACUUGUGAACAAAUUAGAGAAUUUUUAUAUAUGAAUUAUAUAUGUGUGUGUAUGUACAUUUUGCUAUUUAUAUAAUAAUUUAAAGAAUAUAUUUCAAUUCCCACAAAAAAAAAUGGCUCCAAUUUCAAUAAUUCCCGCCAAAUAAUUAAAUUUUUUUAAUUUACUGCCAAAAUAUAUCUUAAAGAAAUGUUAGUUAUUCUUGCUAGAUUUAACAAAAAUAAUUUGUAGGAUUAACAUUUAAUUAAAAUAAUUAAAUAAUUUUAUUAUUCCAAUUAAAUAUGUCAUGUUUAUACGUCAUACAAUAGUCAUGAAUGGGAAGUAUUAGUUACAUAUUUUUCCUUGGGAUUUCAGGCAAAUGAAAAAAAGAUUGAGAAUGGUUUCAAGAGGACAGGUGGAUGAUAAGUAUUCAUUUUUGUAUAUUUGGUUAGGGGAUUUUUAUGGUAUUGAUCUUUUUUUUUUUUUAAAUUUUCAAUUAGUUGCAGCCUUAGAGGAAGAGCAGGCUGAUCAAAUUGAUUUGUCUUGUUUUUCGGGCAAUCUACGACACGAUGAUCGUGAUAAUGCUCGUGACUGCUGGAAACUUUGUGAUGGAAAUAACUUUAGAGUUCGUAGCAAGCAUUUUUGUUAUGACAAAACAAAGGUUCCCCCAUAUUUUGUUUGUUUGUUAUGGUAUUUAUAUAUCCUGCAUAGGCUAGGUAGACAGGUUAUGAUGUAGUUUGGUUGGCUCUUCUUGUGCUUUGUGCAAUUUGUAACUGCAGAUACCUGCGGGAAAACAUUUAAUGGACCUUGUUGCUGUUGAUUGGUUCAAAGACACAAAGAGAAUUGACCAUGUAGCUAGGCGUCAAGGCUGUGCUGCACAAGUAACUAUUCUUUUCUUUUUAUUUUUCCUUUUCCAUUGAUGCAUUAGGAGAAAAUAUUGCCUGUGAGAUACUUCAAUGUAAAUAACUUCUCAUGGUUCAUUGAAUCUAUAACACACUGACCCUCUUCUAAAAAACGUAGGUUGCUUCUGAAAAAGGGCUUUUCUCACUGAUCUUUAAUCUUCAAGUAAGUUUGUUUCAUUUCAGAAGGUAUUAAGUUUCAAACUUAUUGUAUUGGGAGGUUGUAUAGUUGUAACCUAAGCAUCUGCAGGUUCCUGGUUCGACACAUUAAAGUAUGGUAUUUUAUUUUGUCACAAGGCAAUUGGUUAUGGGAUCACUUUUGCAACGGUUUGUUGAUGGCGAUGAUGAGUUUCGCAAUAGUAGGUUGAAACUUAUUCCAUCUGUUCCUAAGGUAUCCAUCUUGGCCUUCAUGUAUUAGGACUAUAUUAACGUAUACUUACCCUUUUCUGCAUGGUACACUUCAAUUUGUCCAAAGAAGGCAUGCAUUUAGGUGUAAAUGUAUUGAUGGGUAGUACCUUCAAACUUCAUGUCCUUUUUACCCUCUUGAAUUUGUUUUGCACUUGUUCUUGAUUUUAAGCACUGAAUCAUGCAGGGGUCAUGGAUCGUGCGCCAGAGUGUUGGAAGCACCCCUUGUUCAUUAGGGAAAGCGGUUAAUUGUAACUAUAUUCGCGGUUCCAAGUACUUAGAAGUAAAUGCUCUUGGAAUUUCUAUAGUACAUGAGAUGUUCAUCUUUCAAAUAGCGUCCGAUACCAUUAACAUGGUUUAACAUUGUUCAUCUUUUUGUAGAUUGAUGUUGACAUUGGUUCUUCUACUGUUGCUAAUGGAGUUUUGGGCCUUGUAAUUGGUGUAAUUACGACAUUGGUGGUUGACAUGGCUUUCCUUGUACAGGUAUGUAUGAUUGUUUUUUUCCCCCACUUCUAAAUGGACACAAGGGAAAAGACAUGAUUUUGAGAUAUUGCACUGCAAUUUGCAUUUUUGCAUACUUGAAUGUUCUCAGAAUAGUAUAAUGCUUCGUGUGUGUCUUCUUUAUCUUGCUCUUCUGUAUGCAGGCAAAUACUACAGAUGAAUUACCGGAGCGGCUGAUUGGUGCUGUACAUGUUUCUCAUAUAGAACUCAAGUCUGCUGUUGUCCCAAAGUUGGAACCAGAGAUAUCAUGACUCUGGUUUCAUUUCACCUCAACUGUGUUUUUUUUUUUUUUAAAUUAAAAAAACAUUUGUUUUAGGUAUACAUACAUGUAUUUUGAUCCCAUUUUCAUGGGAAUUUUGCAUUAAAAAAUGAAGAAUAGUGAAUAGGAAAUUUCUUGAUUCUUUAGUUACUAUUUUUGGUAUGAGUGUAAAUAGUAGUAAAGUUGGUUUCUACUCGCAAACAAGUGAACUGCUCGAUUCCUGAGUGGUAUCAACCAGUUUCCAACUUUUUAAUAUACACUAAUUGUUAUUGUUUAAUAGCUACUACUAUUAAAACUCAACAGCUGACAAAAAUACUUAAAAAAAAUGAUUUUACUUCUUUCCACGAGAUCUAUAACAUGGUCUUGACUUCACGAAAUUCUUUUAAUUUAAAACGUGCUGGUGUGAGAAGGUCAGUUUGACGGAUUAAUUCUUUUUUAACAGUGGUCGAGAUAAUUUUACUAUACUCAAAAAUAUUCUUAUUCUGAUAGUGCCAUAAAUGUUAUGCUGUUUUCUUCGGCUAAUGGUCUUCUAUCAAGAGAGGGUAGAAAUCAAAUGCUUAAAAGACCAAUUGAAGGAAUAAUACAGAAAUUUAGGCAGAAUCUAAUCGAAUAUUGCAUGAAACAGGAAACAUCAAUUCAAGUCCUUUCUUAAACGGAGAAUGCAUCAAACAAAAUCCAAAGUGUCUUGCAAGUCUGUAGCAUGAGCAAAAAAUUAUUCAAGUACAGAAGAAUGAGCAAGCUAAAUCAUGUAUAAGAGAUUGGUCUGGUUCGGGAUAGCUUCUUCACUGUACCUAAAGGGUUGGCUCAAUCUCUUCUUUAGAAUUCUGCAGAUUUUGUAAUUACUCGUGUAAGCAAGCAUACAUUGCCACCAUAAGAAUAAUAAAGCUAGAGUAAUGAUAUGACCACCACCUCUCGUGCACAAACAAUAUUGUAUAAACUAAUGAGACAUAAUAUGAUUGGUUAAACAAAAACAUUACAUGGCCCUCAUAAUAAUAAUAAUAAUAAUAAUAAUAAUAAUAAUAAUAAUUAUUAUUAUUAUUAUUAUUAUUAUAUAUUUUCAGUCAACCAAUCAUAUUAUAUCACAUUAGUUUCUAUAAAAUAAUUAGCUAAAUAGCACCAAAACUUAAUUGAUACUCACCAUUUCAUUGAACAAUUUUUUUAUGGUGUCAUUGAGGUUGCCUUCCCAACAUCCUUCAUCAUCAUCAUCUUCUUCUUCGGUGACGUUCACUUUGUUUAGCAUUGGUGUGUCUAAGAGUCCUUGAGAGAAGAUCUUCAUUUUUGGACACUGUCUCACAACUACUUGUUUCAAGGACGGGAAUUCAAGAGCGUAAUUACCUAAACAAAAGCUUGUUAGGCUUGGCAAACAAUCAAGUCCCAAGUACUCCAAUUCCUUGAAAACAUUGCAAUCUUUCGCUUCUUCUCCAACCUGCAAUUGUAUGAUUUGUUCUAUCAUUUUGCAAUCAGCUAUCAUCAUUCUUCCGAGAUUCACUAGAUUUUUAGAUGCUGAGAGCGUCAACACAUUUAUCAACUCGUGACACUUCGAUACUUUCAAAGCCUCAAGAUUUUCCAAAUGCCACGAAGGUGGUACUAAUUUUUGCAACUUACUACAUUCCGAUAUUUCCAGCCUUUCCAAGUUUGCAAACGCUUUGUUGGAUUCGUCAUUUUCCUUCCAGAGAUGCUGCACUUUGUGUAAUCCAGACAGUCUUAAAUUCCCCAAUUGAGGGAAAGCAACCUGAAAAUCAACAAAAUUAAGUUGUAAAUGAAAAUAUGUAUCCAAUCUCUGCAGUCUUCCCCUGCAUAUUUUAUGGACAAGAUUAAUCACGGCAUUUUAUAUUUUAUUUCCAAAUUAGUAUGCUUUGCACUAGGAUCCCAAAUAUAAGUAUCAAAUCGAUUACCCUUUGAAACACAUAAAUGAAAACUGAUACUAAAUCCAAUAUGAAUUGAUAAUCAAUACUAUAAAGUUACCAGUUCAUCACCUCAUGUUACCAGUCAUCAAAAUAAUUUAGGACUUUUUUAAUUUAUACUAUAAAGUUAGUUAAUAACUGCGGUUAUAUUGUUAAAUCAUAUAUAAAUUAAGACGACGUGCAAAAAGAUGUCAUUAAAUUUGAUUUGAUUAUAAUGAAAUUACAUAUGUGCGAACGAAAGUGAAGGGAAAAUAAUAAUAAUGAUUACCUUUUCAUCGAAGAGAUGUUGUAUUUGAUUAGCUACCAAGAGGUUCUCUUCUGAUUUUAAUUUUUGAGGUUCCUUAUUAUCUGCUGUCAUGUGCAGUACAAAUGUAGAAUUGGAUGUGAAUGUUUCCAUAUCAGGGCAAUUCUCAAUAAUUAGAUAUUCCAACUUAGGCAGUUCAAUUAUAUUCCCAGUGAAGUUGCAGAAUCUUUUGAGUUUUGGAAGAUCAAUGAGCUUUAGGCUUAAAAGCCUAGGAAACAGGGGGCCUAUAUGUUCUUCCUUAGCACUUAGCUCUUCCAAAUGAAGCACCUCUUCUAGUGAAUCACAAUUCCUCACUGCCAGCCAUUCCAAAUUGUUCAAGCACCGUAGCAGAUUGGCAGGAAUAGCACUCGACAUAUUCGUGCUGUCAUCCACCACCAGCUCCGCUAAAUUGUUGAAGAAUCUGACAGGCAGUGCUUGGCCAUGCCAUAUUUCUUGCAAGCGUGGAAAAUGCGAGAGUUGCAAACGGUUUAUAUCAAGGAAUCCAAUCUGCACAAACCAAAACAAUUGCACCAGAAAUAUACAAUUUUUUUUUUUGAAAGGCAUUAUAUAUAUACACAUUAAACUUACAUUUUUUGUGUUUUAACUUCUAAAAAUAUAUAUACAAGGGAGGUGUAUAUGCUUAAAUGUGCAAGUGAAGGGAGAUGCAUGAUGAACAAUUUGGGUGAAUUGAUUAACACAUACCUUUUCGUCAUAACACUUUUGUAUAGUGGAAUUAAGGUUAUUGCCUUCCCAAUGGUGUAGUUCACCCUCUUCCUUUUCAGUCACUUGCACUUUGCAUGGCUUUGGAAUGGAUAAUAUUCCCUGAGAAAAAGUCUUCAUGUUCGGACAACGUAUCAUAGAAACUCGUUCCAAUGAUGGGAAUUCAAGAGUGUAAUUCUCCAAACAAAAGCCGGUAAGUGUUGGUAAAUAAUCAAGUAUCAAAACUUUUAAUUUGCUAAAAGCAAUACGAUUCUCCUUCACUUCUUCUCCAACAUGUCUUAUGAUUUCUUCUAUCUUAUCACACCACGAUACAUUAAGAUUCACCAGACUACUAGGAAUUCCAACCUGAAAAUAAGCAGAGAGUGUGUGUGUGUGUACGUUAAAAAAGUAAAAAUGUAAGAAUAUCAUUCAACAAGGUUCAAAGUAUGUUUAAAUCAUACAAUUAUACAUUUUAUAAACAUAACAAACCAUGAAAUGUCUACUAGAUAAUUUUUUGUUAAACAAAAAAGGCAACAAGAUAAAUAAAUAAAUAAAAGCCAAAUAAACAAAAGAUAAUAAAAAUGAAUUUACACUAUUUAGUAUUAGGAACAUAGAAAGAAUUUAAUGCAAUUUCUAAAUAUUUUAGACUUAUUUUGCAUCUUGACGCCAGUUUUUAAACAAAAUUUGCAAAUUUCAACUAUUCCUUUUGGGAAAAAAAAAAUCAACCAAAAUGCCGCUUUUUCCCUUUUUCCUUGGUCCCUUUUUUUUUAUGUAUAUUUAAUUUUGGAAACAAAAUUAAAGUGGAUCUUUAUUAAGUACUUCUAGACUCGAGGAAAUUUCUUUACAAUCAAGGAUCAGUUGUAAAUAAUCAUGAAUUUGUGGUUAAUUAAUGGCAUAAUCAGUUCGUAACUAAACAAGAGAUAUUAAUUAAAUUUGAAGACUUUUCUUUUCUUUUUUUCUUUUUCCAAUCGAAAUGUGAAGAAUUAAGGACAAGAGAAAUAUAUAGAUGAAUUUGUGAACCUAUAAGAUGAGUGACUAUCCUUUAAUUUUUGAAAAUUGUACUUAUUAAGAUAUGAGCAUAAACAAUUAAAUUGAAUUAUAUUAUGCUGUUGAAUCGUGAUUAAAAAAAUUACAUUGUUGAUUCUAAUGCUGGCGAACCUAAGAACUGGACUUAAAAUGUAGAUUUGAGAGUGGUGGUUCGAAGUACAAUACUUGAAAUAAAUAAUCAGUGGCUGAAUAUCAUUUGUAAACCCAAAAAUGGUUAAAAUAUUGUUGGAUGUAAUUUGAAAAAAAAAAAAAAAGAUUCGAAAUGAAUACAGCAACCUUACCAAUGGAGGAAAAAUAUUCAUUAGGUUAUCACACCCAAUUAUCUCCAAAUUCUUCAAUUUGCUGAAAGACUCCGAAGCAAGUUGGUGGUGCCAUAUUCUUCUCAAAUUAUCGAUCGACCUAAUAUGUAAUACCUCCAACCUAGGAAGUCGUACCUGGCAGUUAAAGAUUAAAUAACUAAUUAAUCAAUUAAUGGCAUAAUCAAUUGAUAACUAAAUUAGAGGCGGAUAUUAACUAAAUUUGAAGACUUAAGGAAGAGACAAAUAAAAUAUUGUGACUAAAAUAAAUUUAAAAAAAAAAAAAACCUUUUCGUCAAAGAGAGGAGGUUGCAUUUCAAAAUGAAUGGUGUCUUCUGGUGAGCUCGUGGAGAUGAAUCUUAACAUAUUACUGCAACUCUGAAUCUCGAGCUUUAGCAAAGAAGGGAAUUCAACAACUAAAUCUGAAUGAAUAUGUCCCGUAUUGGCAAAGCUUGUUAGCUCUGGAAGCCAAUAGAGCCGCAGGAAGUGUAGUUUAGGAAAAACCUUUAAUUCAAUCAACUUUCCUUCAUCUCUUCCUAACCACCCCGUCGUGUCGACUACCCCUUCCAUUGACUUACAAUCCCAUAUUUGAAGACGUUGGAGUUGCAAAAGACUAUUAACCAUAGAAUACGAAAACAGAUACUUCAUACGAUCACAACCGAACACGUGCAGCUUUGUUAAAUUUUGACAACAGUACAUUCCUUGAUUAUGAUCGGCCCAUAAUUUUUUUAUGUUUCUUAAUCUCGUGAGAUUCAAUUUUUCUAAGCUCGGAAGAAUAACCUGCAAAGAAAACCCGUACAUUUUUGUUCCUUCAAGUACAACCGUCUAGUAUAAUAUUCUUUUCAUGAUCGAAGAUUAAUCGUGAUAAUAAAUUAAUCAAUUAAUUAUUGAACGGAAAAUUAUCACCUUUGGAGCAGGAUCAUCAUCAGCAAUGAUUUCGUUGAAUCCCAAAGAAGUUGUUGGUUUCUCCCUGUCGGGUCCUAUAAACAAACAAAAACAAUACACAUAAUUAAUCUUUGUCGGUUUUUUUUUUUCAAAAUAAUUGAGGCGAAGUCCAUAAAUCCACCAACACUUAAUUUCAACACUUACCAAAAAUCAUUUCCAGAUCAUCGCAAAGACUUAUUAAUACUUUUUGAAGCCGCAGUAGGUUUUUUGCCAUGGAGAAUGAGAAAAGAUGCUUCAAUUUGUGACAGGAUUGUACUCCUAUAAUCCUUAAGUUGCUGAAAGAUUGAUCUUCUGUGAGUUGGCUGUCACAUAUUGUCUCCAAAUUGUUCAAAUAGCUAAGAAACAAUGACUCCAGCAAGGGAAAGACUGUACAAUGAACCCGUCCAACUGAACCGACAAUAUGCAAAAUCUCAGAACAACUUUCUACACGAAGAUGCUUCAAUCGUGGAAAACCUUCCCCAUCAUCUAAUUCAUGAACAACAUUCUGAACACCCUUAAGUUCGUAUAGAUUGAUAUCUUCAGUUUCCUUCAGUAACAUUUUCAUCCCAUAAUUCUCCAAAAGACUGCUAACAUUUUCUAGCCCAUGGAGCUUCAUCAAUCUUGAUGUUUCAGAAUUAACGGGCCAGAUGUCCCACACUUCUCCUAUGCAUAUCCUGUAUCUUGACAAUUCCACAAAGACCAAAUCCUGCAGCAGAAUUUGGGCAUCCCGAACUUGUAUCUCCAAAGUAGUUAGCUUUGACAACCCCUUCAACUCAGCAAGACUGGCGUUACUUCCUCCUUCAACCUUAUCCCACUGCGAAAAGCUGUCACCCAUAUAUAGUUCUUCCAAUCGAGAAAAUUUUGAUAUGACAUUUGGUGCUAUCACCAUAAGGCUGCUACAAUUGCUCAAAUCUAGCAACAAUAACCUCGUCAAUUGUCCAAUUUCAAGGGGUAACUGCUUAAUGUCGGAAUCUCGAAGGCUGAGAAUCUCUAAUUUCUUUAGCUGUCCAACUAUUGCUAUAUCUUCUAGUCCGCAACUAUCUAAACACAAUGUUUGAAGGUUAAUGAGGCGACCAAGUGAUGAAGGUAAUGAAGAGAAAGGAAUUCUAGUAAGACUUAAAACUUUGAGUUCUUCUGUCCCUUCAAAAAAGAGGUCAGAAAUUUGCAUAGAGACGGGCGCCAUGCCCCUUGCUAUUAACAAAAAUAACUUGAGUUGGGGACAUUCCAACCUUUCGGGAAGCUCUUGAAUAUCUUCGUAAGGUAAAGAANNNNNNNNNNNNNNNNNNNNNNNNNNNNNNNNNNNNNNNNNNNNNNNNNNNNNNNNNNNNNNNNNNNNNNNNNNNNNNNNNNNNNNNNNNNNNNNNNNNNGCAUUGAUACAGCAACAUCAUGAAUGAUGUCAUGCAUUUUAACUUCAUCUUCAGUAUCGCCAUCUAACAAUAAGCAUGAAGCUUUGAGAUUGUCGAUCAAUGCAUCCACUCUAUUCCUUGCAUCUUCCAAUGUGUGAACAUUUUUAAACAAACCCAAACCCAUACCAUAUCUCAACAGGGAAACAACUUCUACAGGAUUACCUUCACCAAACAGAGUACAAAGAAGGAACAAAGAUUUUGCUUCAUCACUUUCCAAGAAAUCGUAACUCAAUUUUAUGGAAGAAUACACAUAUGCAUCCAUACCACGAAUUUCUCUUAGAUUGGAACUUCUUAGCUGAUUCAAUGCAUCCUUCCAAAUGUUAAGACUCUUAUUUUUCAGAGCACUUGCAACUGUUCUCAGUGCAACAGGCAAUCCCCCGCAUUUUUCAACGAUCUCAUCUGCAGUGGGUUGAAAAUCAUAUGUUUUUUUUGAAUCACCCACAAUCUUCUCAAAUAACUGCAAUGCUUCAUCUUUGGAUAAAGCAUCGAUCCAGAAAUUUUUCUGAGAAUUCAUAUCAUUGCACAAUAAAUCUCGACUUCGAGACGUCAAUAUUAUUGUGCGUCUACUCCGAUCGUCCUCUCUAUCAUAAGGAAUUCCAACUUUAUCGAACUCAAGUUUUGUCCAAAUAUUAUCCAGUAUAAUGAGGAGCAGCUUCUCUUGCUUCAACCUUUGACACAGUCGAGAAGCUCUUUGAAAUUCAUUCUCAUUCAAGUCAAAUUCCAUGCCUAAAUCAAAAGCAAGUUUGUCUUGAAUUUUAUGAUGAUCUGGUGUCUGUGUUACCUCAGCCAUAACGACCUUAUCGAACAACUUAUCUUCCAUCACUUGCUUUCUAACUUGCUUGACUAGCGUGGUUUUACCCACGCCGCCCAUCCCGUAGACCCCAAUUAUUUUGAAACUAUCAUCCUUCAACGCAUCCAAAACAUCUUGAAAUACUUUCGUUCUUGAAUCGAACUCCUCGUAAUCUUUCACUGGCAUAUAUUCUGUACUCUUUGGAGCAGGACGGUAGGAAACACUAGAGAAGUUGCCUUUUCCCACGAGACUAGCGGCAGCUUCUGCGGCCUUUGCUGCUUGUUUACUAAGCUGGUAACGAGAAAUCAAGUUGGGGAACAACCCUUUGAAGCAGGACUUCUUAGCUCUAUCUUCAUCAUCAAUGAUGGAUUUUGCAACCCCUUCACUGAUGAAUUCAUCAACUUUAUUUAGCCAGUCUAUGACACCCUCAUAAAUCUCAUCCCCUUGUAGUCUAGCAUGAUUAACAGGUUGUUGCACCGUUUCUCUUCUAUAUCCCAGCUGCUUCACUUGAUCUUUCAGGCCAUCUAUGUAGUUCUGGUGCUUGAACACAUAAGAUAUCUGCCGUAUAAUCGGUUUGAACAGUGACUUUGAACCUUCUGAUACAAUGCUGGAAAAAGCAGCCAGACCCACUUCUGCCAUUGCCUGCUGCUUAACAAAUCUAAUAAUAUGUCAAAGAAAGGGGAAAGGAAUAGAAAUAAAUUAAAAUAAACUAGAGAGUGACAAAAAAGGAAAAGACAGCAAACAGAAUCGCAAAAUUGAUCUUGAAUCAACUGAAACAUGAACAGAGCAUUUUUUCUUCUUUCUUAAGGAUCAGAGUUUUUGCUAUUAACAGAAACGUGCUUCAAGUGUCCCAAAAAAAAAAUGAUAAAUGAACAAGCCAUAGAAAUUUUAUCUUGGAAAGUGGAUGGAAAUUAAGAAAGAAAUGGUAUAGAGAUCAAGCAUCAGAGAUUAUAUUAUUAAAAGAAAUUAAUUGAAGGUUGUGGAAAACCUGUUUAAUUAUGGAAAGUUGAUGAGCUUCUGUAAUCGCCUUGAGUAUUUAAGUGCAAUUUUGAUGAGCAAAAAGUUACUGUUACCUGCAGAGGAAUGUAAUUAUAGAGAGCUUAUGAGAGUAAUGACAAUGAUUUGCAAAAGAAGAAGACUCAAUCAUGGAGCCCUUAAUAUUUCUUUUAUGAAUAAACUGCCAGCAGGAAAAAUAAAAAAAAGUGGUAAAUUUACCAAGUCUUAUUUUAUUUUUAAUUUCUUUUAUUUUCAUUCGCCGAAGAGGGAAUCUCUUUUUUUUUCGUAAGGGAAAUAUCCUUUCCUAAUAUGUCAUGAUUAAAGCAAUCUAUAAAUAAUACAAUAAUCAUAUAAUGUAAUAAUUAAAAAGACCCACAUAUUUAUAAUAUUAAUGAUGGGAUCCAUACGUUCCUACUGAUUAAAUUGGUGGACCAGAAUUUAUUUGACCUUACUUGUUUUAUAUUUAAUUAAAAAUUGAAACGACAGAGAAAAAUUGUCGUAAUGAUGGUUUCGAUUGUGGAGUUCAGCUGUGGAUAGCACUUGCAAUACUGAAAAAGAAGCUUUCGUCAACUUUCUCACAUGGACGCGCACCAUCACGCAUAAUUGCAUAUUGCAUUAUUUCUCUAGAAAAGCAAAAGCAAGAUUUAUUCUUUUAAUAAGCAAACGCGUAGGUGGGAAUCCAUUCAUUAAACAAGUGGAACAGCAAUAUAUUAAACCAAUGAUAAGCAUUCUUAAGUGGGAAACCAAUUAUGACGGAUAGUUCAAAAUCUGAAUCCGCCUGAUGGACGGGUUUGACCGCAGAGCUCAAGAUAAUCUGAACCAUUCUCCUUUCGUAACUUAUAGAUAAUUUGAAAACAGGGGAAUGAAAACAGAGGAGCCCUGUUUUUCCUUCCUUUUUUUUUUUUUUUUUUCUUACCCAACUCUUCUUCUUUUGUAUAUUUUCCUUGGAAUUUUAGGUAAACCAAAAAACUUUGAGAAUGAUUUCAAGAGAAUAGGUGGGUAAUAACUAAAAUAUUUAUCUAUAUAUUUAUAUAAAGUUGGGACUACAAGAGAUGAUGUGGCAUCACCAUUUCUAAUUUUUGUAUAUUCUCUAUUAUCUAACAAAUAGAGAAAUUUUCUUUCAGAUUUUAUUUUUCAUCUUUUCAUAAUUAAUUUGACUGUUAUUAUACAAUCAAUAUGUAACAGUUCAUCAAAAGACCCACUAUCUUCUUUAAUUGAAACCUUCUUGAUCAGGACUACAAGAAGUAAUGUGGCACUACCAUUUCUCAUCUUUGUAUAUUCUCUAUUAUCUAACAAAUAGAGAAAAUUUCUUUUAGAUUUGGCUUUUUAUCUUCUCACAAUUAAUUUGACUGUUAUCAUACAAUUAAUAUGUAACAGUUCAUAAAAAAACUCACUAUCUUCUCUAAUUGAAGCCUUCUUGAUCAUAAAUUAAGCAAUAAUUUAUAAAUAUUUUUAAUCACUCUUCUCCUCUGACUCACCUAAAUUUAUAAAUAACAACAAAAAAUAUGAUAUCUCAUGUAAAUAUAAAAGAAUAGAAAAUAGCAAUAGCUCUAAAACAUUUUUUUUUUCAUUUUGGCCCUCACUUGCCUGAUCAUGGCAAAUAUUACAAAUGCAACCAGUAGGAAUGAUUGCCUCAACAACAAUAUGAAACCAGGCUACAAUCUUGCAACAAGACUUGAAGUUAGUGGAGGCCAAAUGGAGUGUUGGAACGUGUUAAUGGAGCUGAAAUCAUGCUCAAAUGAGAUUGUUAUAUUCUUCAUUAAUAGUCAGGCUGAUAUUGGCCCUGACUGUUGUCGCACUGGCCUGCAAUGCUCACCUCUCUCGGAUUCACGGCUGAAGAAGGGAACAUACUGAGAGACUACUGUGAUGCAUCUUCUGCUCCUUCUCCAGGUGGCCUCGCGGUGAUAUAUCAGCUUCAGGUUUCCAAGGUUUUUUGGCUUAGACAGGGUGCAUCUAUGGUACUUCAUAAUUAAAAAAAGUCUUUUUGGUUUUAUCUUUUCUUUAUUUUUUUAUUUUUUUUUUGGAAGUCUUGCCUCUUAAUCGAAUAGAAUAAAUUGUUAAAAUUAGAAUAAGAAAAAAAGGAUAAUAUUAUUUUUUUUCAAAGCCGCGCAAAGGGCGGUUCUAUUUCCUAGUUUUUAUAUAUUUGAUAAGCACGCUCACUAUUAAUAAAACCCAUUAAAUGCUAUAACUUAAAUAACUUCUUGUAGUUGAUUGAGAGUAUGUUUGGAAUUUCUUUUACUUCCCAAUAAUUAAUUUUUACCUUGAUUAUCAGAAAAUUAAUUUUAUGAAUAAUUUAGCCGGGUGUUUGGUAAAUGAUGAUUAUUUGACAAUCAGUUUUUAAAUAAUCUAUUAUAUAAAUAUAGUAAGUGAAAAUUAGAAGUAUAAUGUUCAUGUAGAAAUGACAAAAAUGUACUCAUUUACUUAUUUGUAAUUUAUUUAGAAUAUUAUUAUUUAAAUAAUUUUUCUUAUUCAUUGGAUUUUUUAAGAGCAUAUUCUAUUUUCUUGAUUACACAUUUAAAUAACUUUUUAUUAACUAUUUUAAUCUGCAAUAAAAAUUAACUAUAUUAUAUUUAACUAAAAAAUUUGUUAUGUAGUCCGUAAUAUACACAAAUACUUGAAUUUAUUAAUAAACUUAACUGCAAAAAAGAAAAUGCAUUACAUAUAUCUAAUUUCUUAUUUUCAACGAUUGAAAGAUGUUAUUUAGGAAACUUGUACGAGAUAAUUUAAUUUUGGACUAUUGACAUUAUAUUUACUUAGAAGUGGAAAUAGUGGGUGGAUAAAUUUAAUUUUUCAUUAAUUGCUCAAGAAGCAAGAGGAUUAGUGAUGGAUGGAGAGUUAGUGUAGAAUUGUGAGGCCAUUUGAUUACUGCAAGCAUUAUAAAUUUCUUGUUGCUGAGAUUAAUCUAAUUGAAUUAAUGACUCCAUGAUAGACUUAACAAAGGAUUCUUGUGGCAAGAUUUCUAUUUAUGAGGCCAUUUGAUUACUGUAAGCAUUAUAAAUUUCUUGUGGCAAGAUUUCUAUUUAUGACUCCAUGAUAGACUUAAGUUUUAGUGAGACAAUUGCUGCCUGUUGCAGACAUGAUACCUCUAGUACUUCAGAAGAUAGCAUAUCACGAAACACAUCCAGACUAUACUGAGGUUACAUCGAAAAUUCCUUGGCCCAUCGUGCGAGUGUGUGACAUCCCGCAACAAAAAUUAGGGUAUGUACUAUAUAUAUAAUGUGUUUUGAACAUAAUAAUAAGAAUGCUGAUUUUUAACAAUUAAUUUAUUUUACUUUUUUUAGUGGUGAUUGUGGAGAAUUUUUGUUGCGGUACUUGGAGGUCCUAACCCAUGGACUUGAUGUCAAUUCAUAUUGCAAACAAGAUCAUGUUAUACAAUUUCGAAAAGCCUUGGUUGUCAAAUUAUUUGGGCAUAGGUCAUGGAAAAAAACUUUGUAGUGUACUACCCUUAAAAACUUUGUUGGUGUGUCAUUUUUGGACCAUGAGAUGUGAUAGUUAUAAUGAGGAUGUUGUUGAUAUUUGAUGUCAUUAAAGAUAACUUGACAUCAUUAAUAUGUUUUAUUUCUUUGUUAACUAUAUUAAUGAUAGUGAAGAUAGUUUGUACAAUCUAUGUAAUGUAACAGGAUUGCCAUAUAUGCUCAGGGAAUACUCUGUAAGAAAAUACACGACUGCUGUUAGCUAUUUGCACGGAUACAUGACUGCAGUCGAGUAUUUACAAAUAUACAUGACUAGCUCUCUGUAAGAAAAUACUCGACUGCAAUUGGGUAUUUACACAGAUACACGACUGCAGUCAAGUAUUUAUAAUUGUACAUAACCAGCUCUCUAUAAGAAAAUACUCGACUGCAUUCGGGUAUUUACACAGAUACACGACUGCAAUCGAGUAUUUAUAAUUAUAUUUGACCAGCUCUCUGUAAGAAAAUACUCGACUGUAGUCGGGUAUUUGCACAGAUACACGACUACAGCCGAGUAUUUACAAUUAAAUAUGACUAGCUCUCUAUAAGAAAAUACACGACUGCAGUCGGGUAUUUGCACAGAUACACGACUGCAGUCGAGUAUUUGUAAAUAAACAUGACCAGUUCUGUAACAGCCAAAAUACACGAUUGUACUCGGGUAUGUGGACACGGAAUAAAAAAUCAACUAAAACAUUCAUUAUAUUGAUGACACAAUCAAUAUAAACUUUAACAUAUUAAAUUUCAAAUAAAUGAAACUAACUGUAGUCUGGUUGCCUAUCAAACAACAUAAAUCCAAUACUUAUUCGAAUCGUAAAUAAGUCAUAAUACAAUAAAAGUUGUUUAACAAUCAUCAUAAUUUUUUUGCAUUUUCAACCCAAACACUCGGUCCAUAUUUUAUAAGCCUCUAGUAAUUUGGUUGCCUAUUAAAUAACCCGAGAUACUAUUUCUAUCAAUUGUGCAUACGUUGUAGAAUAGGGCACUAUGAUCCCUCUUGCCUUUGUACCAUUAAAUCUAUAAUGGCCGUUUUGCUCAAUCCAUUCACCACAAAACAUAAUUGGCACACGUACUGAAGUCAUUUCCUGUAAUAAUACAACGGUUGAUUAUACAACAAAUACAAAAAUAAAAAUCAAGCAAUGUAUAUAACGAAGUGUGGAUCUGUCUGCCUAUUUACAUGACUCACGUCGUGUAAUUGGUAGUUUACACGACAAUAGUUAUGUAACUUGCUAAAAUACACAACUAUAGUUCUAUAAACAGUCAGAUGAUAUAUUUAGUAAAAAAAGCUGUAAUCUUUGUACUAAUCGAAUGGUAGGUGUCAUAACAGCUACUAUAUCUUCCAAACUUGCACGAUUGUUGUCGUGUAAAUUCAUACAUACAUGACAAAAGUCGUGUAAGUUGCAAAAAUAUAUGACUCAAUAAAUAAUCAGAGGACAUAUUUCUUCUUAAAAAAAUAUUGGGAUCUGAUAACAAUUGGAACAUUUUACAUAUAUACACAAUUAUAGUAUGUAAGUUCAUACGUACACGAUAGUAGUCGUGUAACUUAUUAACACACACGACUAUAGUCCAGUAAUAGUAAAAGGAUAUAUAUAGUGAAAAAAAAAAUAUUUUUUGCACCAAUAGAAUGAUAAAGUGUCAUGAUAAUUGGAAUCUUUUGCACAUUUGCACGACUACAGUUAUGUAAAUCCAUACAUACAAGACUGAUGUCGUGUAUGUCGGGUGCAGAAAAAAAUUUUGGCAACAACUUCAGGUUUUAACGAAUGUAGUUAUAAAAUCCAUCAAAUAACAGUCAUAUGAUGCAAAUGUAAUGAAAUAUGAGUUGCUUUAGUGUUUAUCACAAACCAAACAAAACCCUAAAAAUAAUAUAAUGUCAAUUAAAUGAAUAAAUAACACAAAAUAAAAAAAAAUUUCAAAUACCUUAUUCAUGGGAUGAAUAAUGCACCCAGCUGCAAAUUAAAAUCUCAAUGCAUUAGCUGUUUGUGAGUGAUUUUGAGUAUGGAGUGAGUUUUCGUUGUGUGGAGUUAAAAAAAGUGAGAAGUAAAGAGUGUUAGAGACGAGUUGUGUGUGUUUUAUAUAUUUUUUUAAGGAUAUUUUAAACAAUGUAUCACAUAAAAAGGUAUAUCUAGAUAAUUUUCAAGCAUGUGAUAUAUUUAACUAAAUACCCUACUUUUAAGGUAUCUUUAAUUAAAAACCCUCUUAUAGUUGAUUGAGGGUAUGUUUGGAAUUUCUUUUACUUCCCAAUUAUUAAUUUUUACCUUGAUUAUCAGAAAAUUAAUUUUAUGAAUAAUUUAGCCGGGUGUUUGGUAAAUGAUGAUUAUUUGACAAUCAGUUUUUAAAUAAUCUACUAUAUAAAUCUGGUAAGUGAAAAUUAAAAGUAUAAUGUUCAUGUGCAAAUGACAAAAAUGUACUCAUUUACUUAUUUGUAAUUUAUUUAGAAUAUUAUUAUUAAAUAAUUUUUCUUAUUCAUUGGAUUUUUGAAGAGCAUAUUCUAUUUUCUUGAUUACAUAUUUAAAUAAUUUUUUAUUAACUAUUUUAAUUUGCAAUAAAAAUUAACUAUAAUAUAUUUAACUAAAAAAUUUGUUAUGUAGUCCGUAAUAUACACAAAUACUUGAAUUGAUUAAUAAGCUUAACUGCAAAAAAGAAAAUGCAAAAAUUUAAUCUCUAUAUAAACUUUUAUGUACACAAAACUAUUGUAAUAAAGUAAUUCAUAGAAAUAUAAUAUUAUAUACAUGUGUAAAGAAAUAUAUAACUAUAAUAUUAUCCACUUGUAGCACUAUUAUUUUUCAAUCUCUCCAUCUCUUGAUCUUCAAGAACGUUAGUACCAUGAUCUGCUUCUUGAGUUCGACCUCCAUUUCCACAGCAUCAACAAGGCAAUCAAUUUGCCGUGAAAGCCUUACAGCUCCUCCCACUUUCCUCCUUUUUGUAGCCACUCUUUUUCCCUUUCUUUAUUUAGUAGCUUCUAUGGAAAUGUUGUGAAAAUUUUAAUAUACUCGCAAGCGCACGAAUCUAGAAAUAGAAUAGUAGUAACGAGGUCGAUCCCACAGGGAUUGUUAUAAAUUAAAAAGUCUAAUUUAAAUCUAAAAUUAAUAUUAAUUCUAACCUAGUUGAGCAAAUUGAGUUUUUAAGAAAAUUAAACCAAUAAAACUAAGGAAGCAAUUAAAAUAAAGGAGAAUUCAAUAAGAUAAGAAUUACCAAGGUUUUAGAAUCCACCACUAUUCAACUAGUAAUUAUCUAAUUAUUAAUUAAUCCCCAAUUUUGGAGUGACAACUCGAAAUCAAUCUAUGUCAUCUCAUGGAUAUAACAAUUAAGCCCAAGUAAUUAAAUCUAAUGUAAGUUCUUUUUCUGCUUAAUAAUAUGACAUCUAAGAAUCUCAUGUAAACAUAUUGAAUAACAAAGAGUCAAAGUUUUCCUAAGCACUCUAUGUAAACAAUUUAAUGAAAGACAUAGAAUCAAAGAUAAUCAUGUAUAAACUUUAUAAAUUCAAGCAUAGAUUUAAUUGAAUAUUAAUCCUAACAAUCAAUAAUGCAUGACAGAAUUGAUGAAAAGAUUUUAUUAAUAUCUAAUUAAUCAUGUGAAAUAAAAACCAUAAUCAUCAAAGAACAUAUAUAGGGAAUUAAUUAAAUAAAAAGAUAAUUAUUUCAUUGAAUAGGGUUUCAUCCUUAACCUCAGUAUAAGAAAAUUAGUUAGACAUACUUGAAUUGAGAGCAACAAAAUAAAUAAAUUCAGCCAUGGGGAAGCCGAAUUGCUGCAGAUUUUCUUCUCUGUCUUGAAUCCUUGCGUCUCCAGUUCUCCCUUCUGACGGCUCUCUUGCCUUUAUAUAAUGUUACUAACUUGCUUAAUCCUUAUUGGAUUCUAAUUGCAUUAAUUCUUCUCCACCGACUUAUAAAGCCCACUCACCAAGGCCUUUUAAAAUUAUUUCCUUACUAAACUUUGAAAGCAAAGCACACGUUUGACCACAAAAGCAAAAGGCCAAUUAAUGAUUUCUUCUUUUAAUGCCCAGCACAUGCAUUCCAAAUUGCCAAAUCUUUGCUUUCCAAAUGCAUGCCCACCGUUCAUCCUUUGAAGAGAUUGACUUCCAAUUUUGGUCUUCUUGACUUCCAUUAAUUCUUGGUUGCAUUUUUGUCUUCCAAUUUAAUCUUUAUUCCUUCUCAAUUUGAAGUGUUUUCAUGCCCUUUUUAUCAACAAUCUCCAAUUAAUUCCCUAUUCAAUAAAACAAUUCAAUUAAUUAAAAAUAACAAAUAAAUAUAACUAGCAAUUAUAUUAUUAAGGGUAAAAUAUGUAUAUAAAUUAUGCUCAUCAGGAAACAAACUCAUCGAACUACCAGUACAUUUUUCAAUUAGAUAGGACUGAUAGUAGAUAUUCAGUACUCUCAGAUGGUGUGCAAACAUGAUCAUCAGUGAUUGUUGUCUUAAAAAGCAUUCUAUUUAAUUGUUCCUCUGACUCUGGCAUGCAAAAUUUCUUGAUUCACGAAUUUCCUACGUAUGUUGAUAUCAUAUUAAAAUGAAUUCAAUAUCACAUNNNNNNNNNNNNNNNNNNNNNNNNNNNNNNNNNNNNNNNNNNNNNNNNNNNNNNNNNNNNNNNNNNNNNNNNNNNNNNNNNNNNNNNNNNNNNNNNNNNNGCAUGUUGUGAGCUUAUUACCAAAAAUGAGACUAUAUAUUUAAGCCGAAUGGUAAAAAACUUCGGAUGGAGGAUGUGCCAUCUUUUUAUUUUAGAUGCUUUCGGAUGGAGGAUGUGCCAUUUUUUUAUUUUACAUGCUUUGUAAGACUUUUAAUGAUCGAGUGCAGUCAAUUAACAAAAGCUUACAUAUUAUUUGUUGAAAAUUGAUUUUAAAAAAAGAAGUCAAAAUGAUGGGUGGUUGAGCCUGUUGGGGAAAAAUCAGGUUUUUAAAUUUUUAUAAAACCUUUUGAAGAUCGCUCUCAUAUAAUAUAUAAGAAUUCGUAUUCUAGAAAUCGUACCUUGUAAAUCUGAGUUUGCUUUUUCCGCUGAAGUGAUUUAGGCUCCUAGAUCACGAUCCGCCACCACCACUCCUGUUAGAUCACGAUCCGUCACCACCACGCUUGUUAGAUCACGAACUGUCUCCAAUGAUCUUCCAGGUUAUGACUCAGGUUCGAUCUGCACUUGACGUGUGGGCGCCUUUAUCACUACCAAAGCAACUAGCACGAGAAAAUUUUUCUCUCAAAAAUGGAGAGAAAAAUCUUAUUCUCUGAUUUGUAUAAAGUGGCUUCUCCACUUUUUCUUUAGAGAAAAAUAAGCCUUUUAUAUCACUCUUUAGUGAAAACCCUAGGCUCCAAAUAAAAUAAAAUCAAAACCCACGUUAUUUACUUUUUCAAUAGGGGACCCACCUUGUAAAAUAACAUAAGGCCCGUUAUACAAAAGCUAAUUAAAUGGAGCCUCCCACUAAAUGAUAUAUUUAGGCUUUUGACCCAAAUUGCUAGUUAUCUUACUUAUUAGUCCAGUAGUGGUGCAAUCAAUUAAAUGAGCUAACCCGGGGAUCAUUUGGGAACAUACAAUAGUGGCUACAAUAAUUAGGCAUGUAAUUAAACUAGCCCAAUUAUUUAAUUCCAAAUCUACUCCACUAAAAGAUUGGAACUGACUUCCAUAAUUGUAUGCUCGAAUAAUAAUUCGUCCCAAGCCACAUUGAUUUCUUUACUGCACAAUCCUUUGUACCACAUCGUUAAUUAAAUUGAUAUCUCAACUGUCCAAUCAAUUUAAUAACAUCUUAUUCCUUGAUCCUUACUGGUUUUCUCUAAUGAUCAUUUUCAACAUACUAAAUAUGUUGACACACUCUGGCCAGAGAAUUCUAUGAUCAAGUACCGAAAACCUAUCAAGAGAUGUGUUGUACAAAUUCUAUAUUGUUAAUCCAUAACUCCAAUACUCAUAAUUGCUCCCACCAAGAUACCGGGUAAUCUUGACCACAAGGAUGUGUCGUGCCCAUUGGUAACUCAAAUGGAAUAACAAUCACAAUCAUGAAAUCAUAAUUAACUCAAGAUUAAGAUUACAGUAAAAUCAAUGCCUAUGAGAUUUAAUAAGUCUGACAGUUAUUACAAAGUUAAUUAAAUCUCAUAUGUGAUCCUGUUCAAUGUAGUCGUACUACAUCAAUAAAUUCAUACAUGAUUAAGACAAAUCAUUCAAUGAAUUUAUUACAGUCUAUACCUAAAUAAAGUGCCCAACUUUAUUUAUCAACUGCGAACUAAAUUUAUUUAAUCAUAAGAUAACUUGUAUUUAUGUCUUCUGUGAAUCCACAUGGUGAUCACAUAAAUACAUAUAAUAUGAUUAAAUGGACUUUAAUACAAAUAUUAAUGCAAUUAAGAUAUUUGAAUAAAAUACCUCAUUAAUUUUAUUAAUCAGAAAAAAUGUUUAUUACAAUUAAAUAAACACAUAUGCUUUUAAAGAGCAUAUUUUCCCAACAGAGCCAUCAUCUUUGAAUUCAAAGAUGGUGGGUGGCCAAGUUAGCCACCAUCAUUGAACAAGAAAAAAUGGGUGGGUGCCGCCCAUGCAAUGAAGAAAAGGGAGAAAAUGAAGCCAAAGUUUGGCUAUAAAUAGAGGGGUUCUCCCUCUCAUUUUUGUAUCCCAGAGAAGAAAUCCCAAAAUUUGAGAAGCAAGAAUAUGUAAGAGAAGCAUUGAGAGCUUCCAACAUGGGAGAGAAAUAUUCUUAAGCAUGUAUUUAUAUUGAAAGAGCAUUUGGCUCCUCAAUAUGGGUAUUACGGGUUUGAUUUGUUAAGGAAUAUUUCUCGCAAUUAUGUAUUUGGGGCUUGGGUGAGAGAAAAUUAUUUAUGAGAGUGUGGUUGUAAUAAUUUUCCACAUAGUGAAAUUUUUUUUUUCUGGUUGUCUCUUGACAACGGCUAUGGUUUUUCUCCGGAUUUGGAGUUUUCCACGUAAAUCUUGUGUUGUGUGAUUGUUGUAUUCUCCAUUUAAAUUUUUUGUUAAUUUGUUGCUUGACAAAUUGCUUGGAGUGAUCUUGGAAGGAAACUCAAUUUCCUAACAGUGGUAUCAGAGCCAUUGAUUGAAGUUUUGAUGUCGAGGUACUGUUCACGUAGACAUUACUAUUUCACGUAUACGAUAUUGUUCAUGUAUACGGUAUUGUUCAUGUGAAGCAGUGGGAGCCAAUCUAAAUUGUCCGUGGUGAAGAGUAUAGGGUCAUUAUAAAGCAAAUAUGUCAGUAGCUGGUAUUUUUCAAACUUGGUGGAGUUUGAUGUUGUUCAAAAAUUAAUGGGAGAAUGAUUUUUUGUUGGCUUGUGGAGAAUUCAAGUCAAAGGUGUAUCCAAUCUGGUAUGCACAAAGAUUUGAAGGUGUGGACAAUUUUGGCACCUCAAGAAAAUUGUCAAGAAGGUGGAGCGGGCUCGACAAAUUACUCCAGAAUCAGUAAAAGAAAUACUGAUAUUUCUCGCAGAUGGUGAAUUUGUUUUUGAUAAGAGAUUGGAUUAGUUCUUUUGGCAUGUAGAUCUCCAAGUUACCAUAAAAGAGAACAUGUUAUUAUCAGUGGGGUCCACAAGUUUGCACGAGGGCAUUGGCUUGGUAUAAAUGCAAGGUGUGUGGUGGAAAAGUUAUGUCAUGGCUGAAGAAUUCUCAGUGAAACCAAGCAUGAGAAUUGCACUAUAAAUUUCAGCAGGAUAUUUUGAUAUGUGCCGAGAAAAAUCUUAGAAUAGUUGAUUCUAAGUGGUAUACUCAUUAUGGUGUAGUGUGAUAAUUCUUUAUAUUGAGAAUUAUAACUAUUGGUGAAGACAAUGUUUUGUAGUAGUGACUAUGAAAUUCUUUUUUUUAAUCAUGGUAGAGAUUGUUGAAAAUUGAUUUUAAAAAAAGAAGUCAAAAGGAUGGGUGGUUGAGCCAUCAUCUUUGAAUUCAAAGAUGGUGGGUGGCCAAGUUAGCCACCAUCAUUGAACAAGAAAAAAUGGGUGGGUGCCGCCCAUGCAAAGAAGAAAAGGGAGAAAAUGAAGCCAAAGUUUGGCUAUAAAUAGAGGGGUUCUCCCUCUCAUUUUUGUAUCCCAUAGAAGAAAUCCCAAAAUUUGAGAAGCAAGAAUAUGUAAGAGAAGCAUUGAGAGCUUCCAACAUGGGAGAGAAAUAUUCUUAAGCAUGUAUUUAUAUUGAAGGAGCAUUUGGCUCCUCAAUAUGGGUAUUACGGGUUUGCUUUGUUAAGGAAUAUUUCUCGCAAUUAUGUAUUUGGGGCUUGGGUGAGAGAAAAUUAUUUAUGAGAGUGUGGUUGUAAUAAUUUUCCAAAUAGUGAAUAUUUUUUCUUUGGUUGUCUCUUGACAACGACUGUGGUUUUUCUCCGGAUUUAGAGUUUUCCAUGUAAAUCUUGUGUUGUGUGAUUGUUGUAUUCUCCAUUUAAAUUUUUUGUUAAUUUGUUGCUUGACAAAUUGCUUGAAGUGAUCUUGGGGUGAAACUUAAUUUCCUAACAUUAUUUAGGUGCUGAGAUGUCUGUUCUUGAUAAAGUAGAUUUAUUUACACCCAAGCCAACGUAACAAAAGCCUAAUAUACACAAUAAUUAUUUUUGUUAGACUGAUUUCUAGCUAAUGAGAUCUUUGAAAGCAUUCAAAGAAGCCACAGAACUCAUAGGAAAGCCCUGAUAAAAUAUACGGCGAAGCAUGUGAGCUCGUUUUUUAAUCUCUUGAUCACUCAUAAGCUUUUCUAUACCAAUGACUAUAUCAUUCUUUUGAAUCGAUUUUGAUUGAUCAUUAGAAAUCAUGUACCCCACCUUUAGAUGAUUGAUCACCAAUUUGGCAUUGUAAUGUUGAUCAUCUCUAAUUGGCCAUGCUAAAAUUGGAACCCCACACCAAUGGCUUCUACCAUUGAAUUCCAUCCACAAUGAGAUAAAAAUUCACCCAUUGAUUGAUGAUUCAAUAUCAAUAAUUGUGGCGCCCAUCCAUCUAUUAUCAAUCCCUUUUUACUGGCUUUACUACCCAAACCACUAUGAAAAUAAUUGCCUUCUGCUGGUCUGUCUAAACCAGUUAAAUGACACGGAGGAUCCAAUCUACCAGCACCAGUUUGAAUUACCCAAAUAAAUGGUUCAUUUGAUACUUCUAAAGCAUUGGCUAGUACUAAAUACUCAUCUAACUUGGACCCACUUCGAUACCAAAUGACACAUAUAACACAGAUCCUCAUGAUUUCAAAUCCAACCAUUGAAUGAUCUCAUCUUCGUUCAUGUUAGAACUCCACCGAUUGGUUCUCAUCUCACGAUCACGAAGCACUGAACCCGCCCCAUUUGUAAAAUUGUUCAAGUAAUAAUGGGCCUACUCCCCACAUUGGCUUUCCCAUUCGAUUGACUAAAUAAUGGGAGAUUGCCAAUUUUCCCCUACUAUAAUCAAUAUAUAUCAUUUAUUCAUUUACUAUUUUUAUAAUGGUCAAAAAUCCCCUUGACAGUAUAAGUUUAUAAUAUUACUUUUAUUUUUAAUUGCUCUUUUAUUUAUAUUUAUUAUAAAUAAAAUAAAUCACAUGAAUAAAAAAUAAAUAAAUAAUUAAGUAUUAAAAACAAGAAAUAUAUGUUUUAAUAUGAGCAAAAAAUUUAAUAAUAAAUUUUUCUUGUAAUUAUUUAUUUUGUGAAUAUUUUCUUAUAAUAAACAUUUAUAAUAUUUUAAAAUUAAAUGUAAAAAGAAUAGGCAAAAUAUUUUAUUAUUUAUCUUAUAAUAAAUUUUUAUUUGUCAUUCAAGUUUUCUUAUAAUAGUUUUUUAUCAUUUUAUAAUAAUUUUCUUAUAUAUUUAUUAUAAGAAAAUUUUCAAAAAAUAAAUAAGUACAAGAAAAAAUUACAUUAUUGAUUUUUUUGCUCAUAUCAAAACAUAUAUUUGUUAUUUUUAAUGCUUAAUUUUUUAUUUAAUUUAUAUUCAUGUGAUUUAUUUAAUUUAUAAUAAAUAUAAAUAAAAGAGUAGUUGAAAAUAAGGAUAAUAUUAUAAACUUAUGUUAUCAGGAAGAGUUUUUGGUCAUUAUAAAAACAGGAAGGAGGUAAAUGGUAUAUAUUGAUUACAAUAGGGGGAAAAUUGGUAAUCUCCCCUAAAUGAUUAAUAAAUGGUCCCUCAAGAUCAUCACAGGUGUUGAACAUCAAAGCCAUCCAUUCCUCCACUUCCUUCAUCCAGUGUGGUUGAUCACGGGGUUCGAUGGACUCAUUUUCUCUGAACCGGGCGCACCUCGCAAAGGUAGUGGACCACGAGGAAGGGGCCCGUGAGGCCCGUAUUUAAGCUACGAUUCGAAUAAAGCCAUAUCCUUGGGUAACCCAGGAAGUAAAUGGGCCUCUCCCGGUUUGACAUCUUGGAUGCGAGCCUGCUACAUGGCACACUCCACGCUGCUGAGCAAGCACCAGAAGUGAAGAACCCAACAAUGGGACCUUCAAAAUUCUUGAAAACAUCAGCCGUCCAGCCCAUCAUAACGUCGAUGACUGCACAAAUGGGUCGGGUUUCGGGUUCCCGGGUUGAAAGGGGUUUUGAAGGCCUUGAAGCAUUUGACUGUGCAUGACAACAUGGUGGUGGUGGUGGCAGUGGUGGAGAUGAGGAGAGUAUUUCAGUAAUUUCGAAUAGAGGGUAUUGGUGAAGAGGGGAAGGGAUGAUGCCGGUGCCGGAAAUGUGAGAGGGAACGAAUAUUUUAACAGGGACGGAGCCAGCGUGGGACGAGGUGGGGCACAGGCCCCAGCUGGCUUUUAAUUUUUUUUUAUAAUUAUACUAAAAUAUGUAUUUUAUUUGUUAUUUAUGAAAAAUGUCUCAGCUGAAUUGUAAAAUUUAAAAUUGACUCCAGUAAUUUUAAAAUAUUUCAUACUGUCCCUAAUUUAUAUUUUUAAUUAUAAAUUAUUUAAUUAGUUAUUAACAUUUCAUGAAACUUUAUUAAAGACACGAGAACAAAUAUUAAAAUAAAAAAUAAUCAUAACAAAAUGUUAGUAUAAUGGUUAAUGGACUAGUUUUUAAUCUUUUUAUUUUUUAUUCAAGUAAAAUUAAUUAUUUAGUCUUUCAACACUGACCAUAAGUUGUAAGUCUUCCUAAUUCUAAUUUAUAAUUUUCUAAUUAAUCUUUUAUCUAGUUUUAAAAUUUAUAAUUUUAUCAUGCAUUUCAUAUUUGUUCUGUGUGUUGCAAUAUUUGAAUAUUUUUGUUAUUAUUAAAAGAUUUUAAGAGCAAAUUAAGUAAUAACCUAGUCUUGUAUAUUGAAAAAUAUAUUUUUGCUUAUAUUGAUAAUUCAUUAUUUUCAACUCAUAAAAUCCCAUUGAGGAGAUUUCGCGGAGAACCAUUGUAAUAAGUAAAUUUAUUAUCAAUGAAUAUUAUAGUUGUAAUGCUAUUUAUUGAUAUCUAAAUUUUUAAAAAUGUAUUAUACUUUAAAUAUGCUUUCAAUUAGAUGCAUACAGACGCACUCUAUAAGAAGUACAAUUGUACAUGUAGCAAGCUCCCAUUUAGAGUUUAUAGGGCCCACAAUACAGUUUCUCAAAUGACGACUUAUCACACGAGCAAUCGUACAUUCGAGUCAUCUUUAAUUUUAAAUGUGCCCCAGCUCUAUCAAAAUCCUGGCUACGUCCCUGGGAACGAUGAGGGUAGAUUUGUAAUUACGUGAAGCGAUUUACUUGCAUAAUUCAAUGCAUGGAAAUAGAUGUCCCUGACCGAAGAAUGAGACAAUCCAAAUCUCAGCCUCAGCAGCAUUAACGACAGAGCUUGACAUAUUUUAUUAAUCAUUUGAUACUUAAUUAUUACUGACUGCUUUUGCCACCUUUCGUAAAACAUUCUUGGUUAUAUAUAAAAGAGAUGAUUUGAUGGCGAAGUGUGUGUUUUACUUUUACAGUUUUACUAGUCGGUGAGCUAUGAUUUUGAUAAUUUGAUUGUUAGUUUCAGUUGGUUAGUUAUGAGAAAGCAUCUUUCAAAAAAUUCAUUACAGUUUCAACUAAAAUUAACAAUACUAUUCAAAUUAAUUACUCGAUAAAUAAAUAGUCACAGAUAAAUCUAUCCCUAAUCACACAUUUAUAAAAUAAGGAUUGAAAUGAGUUUCUGUGGCUUCGAACCCACGCCCUCAAGCCCAGCGGCUGGAUCUUGACUACUUUGACAUAAUUAUUAUUAGUUUUUGUCCAUCUUUCACCAGGCAUCUUUUGUUAUAUAAUGAAGAAGAUAAGUUGACGGAGAAGAGUUCUACUUUUACUAGUAGAUGAGCAUUGAAGGUUAGUUUUAGUUAGUUAAAUAUCUACCAUCCAAACCAAAGUUCCUUAGACUAUUAUUCAAGUGAGAUGUUUGAGUAACAUAUGCUUGAGUUAGUCGGUGCCUAACAAUUCAUGUGAUACAUGAAACCAACCAAAUGAAGUUGGUAGGAUUAGAUUAAUUUAAAUGAAAAUAAAAAUUAGUUUAUGCUAUUUAUUUAUCUUAUAAUGUUGAAACUUGAAAGUUAACUCUUCAACCUGUCAAUUGGUUCAUGACAUGAUCAAAUAUUCAAGUAAAUAAAUUUAUCGGUUAAAAUUAAUUUUUCAUGUGGUAAAAGCAAUACUAAAUAUGGAGUGGAGAGAAUCAUUUGUAGGUUAUACCCCCACCUUUUAUUUCAUUUCAUUUAAAAAAAAAAACAACAACAACAACAAAGGCUUGGUCAACAUCCAAGUAAAAUUAACAAUUCCAUGAUAAAAUUGCCUGAGAAUAAAAAUUAAAAAAAAAAAAAAACAGCAACUCGAAAACGAGAUACAAAUACCGCACAGAAGUUUUUCGUCACGAGAUAUUUUUGGGUUGAGACAACGCUUGUAUAACAGAGCAUACAGCUUGGAUGACGGUGAGAAUAAGAAGGAAAACGGCACCGCAGACCGAAAUUCCAGCCCAUGGAGUAUUGAAGUAAUUUUGUUUCAAGUUUGCCCUCCAUUUGUAGCACGUUCUUUUGCAGUGAUCAUUCAAUCCUUUGCAUAGCCCAGAAAAAUAGAAGCUAUCAGACAGCAGAGUAGUACCUCUAGAAAGGUUAUUUAUAAGCGUUGACGCUGCCUCUUUAUCCGGCAACCAGUUCUCAAUGAUUCCGUUCUGAACAAGCAACUCGACGUCCUUCGCUGUGUUCACGAGAUUAUGAAUAAGGAACACGUAAUCAUUUAUGUAAUUCUCUGAGUAAUGCCGUUGUUCAAAGGCAAUGAGAUUACGAAAUAAGGAUUCCGUUUCCAGCUGUAGCUUCAGUUUCGGAAUAUGCAAUGUCCUGUUUUUGAAUUCUAUGGCGAACAAAUCAUUGCUCUUGCUCAAACUGAAGUGGACUCCAGCUUGGUGGAGAUCAGUCACACUUGGUGCGGUUUUACCUUUGUGGUAUUGCUGACCUUCUUGUUUUUCCUGAUUCCUUGAUGAUGGUAGAUGACAAAUCCUUAGAAAAUCAAGGAAAUGCUCUACCCUAGCCUCAGUGUAAGGAGGGAAUUUUUGCCGAUUACCUUGUACUGCCUCUAAACCCUUGAAAUACUCGUAUGUGACUGUGAUGAUGGUUGGAUUUUCAUGUUGGUCGGGGAUUUCAAUUGCCGCUAGAGCAAAAAGAUCCUCAAGAGUGAAGAAAGGAAGCUGAUUCUCAAGCAACCACAUAUCAUACCAUAUAUCCUCUAUUAAAUAGGGUUUUAUGAAAUAUAUGAUCAUCCUUUUUUUGAAGUUGACGGAAAUGAUACCUCAAUAAGAGUUCAAUGAUGAAGGCAGCAUCCAGCAGAAUCAUUUCAACAAAUUUAUCACUACUUAGUUCGACUUUUCUGCAUAAGAACCUCGUAAUUCUGCUUCUCUGAACUUUAUAAUUUGAACAAACUCGUCAAAGCUUAUUUUGGUCCGUUGAAGAAAGUAAUGCAGGUACCGCUGUUUAUGUUCUUCCAUUAACUGUAAGUUUGCUUUGCCAUGGUGAAGAGGGCCAAUUGAGACUACCUGAGGUGUGUAUACCUUUUCAUUUAUCUGACGUAAUCGCUCUGGAACUCUGUAGAUGCAGCAGUUUGAGGGCAAUGGUGAUAAUUUUUUCAACUUAACUUGCAAGCAUUCUUCCAUGUUAUAAACUGAAAACAUGGCGCGAAAUUUAAUCAAUUCAACGCUUAAUAAGGCAUAGUAAUUAAAAAAGAAUUAAAAAAAAAAAAUACAAGAGCAUUCUUACAAGUACAGAAGCACCUCAAUCCCUACUAUUUGCAGAGCUGUAGCCAGGAUUCAAUGAUAGACCGGACUGAACUAAAAGGAACAACUUUCUUAGGAAUAUGUUAUCGGCAUUUUCUCUGGCCUCAGGCCAUCAACAAAGCAGUUUCAGUGCUUCUUAUAUAAUUCCAUGGAUUAUUCCUUGCCUUUACAGAUGAUAUAAGUCACAAUUCAUAUAUUAAUUUCUCCAGAUUCCGUACAAGUGGACCAUAACUAUGGAAAAAUUCAAAGAAUGCAACAGCCAUUUGAUUGGUCCAUGUCAGAAGUUAAUCUGGGGAAAGAAGCUUGAUCUAGCUGUAAAAUUCUCUCCUUCAAUCAGUCAGUUUGGGGCAGCAACAAGAUCAAAGCCACCACGCAAACAUUUACUAAAGUUUAUAUAAUAUUCUUGAACCUCAUCUUAAGUAAAGCAACAAAAGCCUUCACUGUUUCUUAACAACUUUAUUGCUCUAACACAUAGCAUAACAUUUUUAAAUUUGCAUAAAGCACAAUAGUACUUCAGUUUGUAACAACAGCACGGAUAAUAAAUAGCAUUUUAUAGCUUUAACAAAAGCAUACAAAAUUCUUAAACCUUGUUUCAAGCAAUCCAUUAAUGCCACAAGGAUAUCUUUUUGCUUCCUACAGUUUUUAUUGAAAUUCAUAUAUUCUUCUUUAUCAAAUUAAGUAAUUUUCCUUUUUCAAAAAAUCAAGAAGGUUUCGACUGCAUGGAAAUACAGCACACAAUUACUACUAUUCCCGGAGUAAGAAAUUCAUAAAUGCAAUAUAAACAUACAUUUUCAUAAGACAUCAGAAUCAAAGAAUCAUCAAUGCAUCAAAUCUGUACACCCAAAAAAGUUGAAAGCAUCAAGAGAAAAUUAUACCGCAUGGACCCUUUACAACCCUUAUAACGAGUUCAGACAGCCUAAUCCAAUUUGAUAGAUUUGAGGACAGCUACAAUGUGCAAUACAAAAUUUCCCAAUACUAUUUAGAACAAAGUCUAGAAAACAAAACUUAUAUAUUGUACAAAAUCAUGAAAACCAGAAAUGACGAAAAACCUGCAAAUGUAAUUUUUGGGUUUCUUCAACAUAUCUUCCAUCCAAAUCAAACAAGAAUCGAUAAAUCAACAACAUUCAUCUUUAAACGACAUAUUACCACAAUAAAAUUGUCAACCAAGCCUCAUAUAAACCUUUUUUGUGUUUUUUGGUAAAUAUGUUUGUUUUUCUCUAAGAAUACUAGGGAAAAAAGAAACCCACUUUCUUAAUCAAGAAUCAAAUAAUAUAUAUGAAUCUAAGCUGAAGUAAGUCUUGGGUUUGAUGAAAUAGCUUGCAUUGCGAUUUAGAUUGGAAAGGAAGUUGAUUUUUACUGGUUGAGAGAGAGAGAUUUGAGACUUAAGAGAGUGUUGCUAAUCUUCAAUCGUGUAAACAAGGGUAACUGGGUCAUAGUUCAAAAUAAGGGUCCAAAAUUUACUAAAGCUAUUAAGGAGCCCAAAACUCAUAAUGGCUUCCCCAAAAUAAAUAAAAUUUUCUAGCAUUAAGUUUUUGUUUCUUCUUGAGAUUUCCUUGUCGUACUUACCCAUAUUUCGAUAUUGCCUCCAAGUAAACUUAUAUAUAUUGAUUAACAAUAUAAACAAGCACUAUGAAGUUUUAGGCCUGAAAGAACAUUAGGAUUGAAAUGAAAACCAUCUAUUUAAGUAACAAAUUCUUCUGAUAAUCUGAUGCUUAAUUUAGAGAAGAGAUGACAUAUCAAUCACGUUAUGAUGUGGAAGUUAUGAUUAUAUUCAUCUUAGAAUAAGAUCUUUCAGGCACUGGCAGAUUAGUAUAAAAAAUACUCAGCAUAAGACCUACAAACUAGAAAUCACGCACCAAUUAUUGAACUCAGCACAUAAGUUGAUCUUUUAUAAGCUAUAAAACAAAUCUGCUAUAACAUAAGAAAGUGGGAUUUAUCACCAGACAAGUAUUUUGGUGAAACUCAAGCUGACGGAAGGAUAUCCAAAGCAACCUCCUUAAGGGAAGGCAUCACUUCCUGCUGAUGCAAACAUAUAUAUUUAUUACUCACUUUCUUGAGGACCUUCUAGGAACCUGGGUAGCACCUAACAGAAAGUGGAAAAGAAUAAAAUGUAAAAUAUAAGUUAAACAGCAGGAAAACAGUGAGUGAUACUAGGCAAGCAUUAAUAUGUUGCCGCAAGAAAAGUGUCAGUAACUAGCUAGCAAACCUGAAAAGGGUUCCUCCAUUACGACCCUUAAAAUUGUGAAUGUAAUAUAUGGUCUCCAUCACAGGAAAAAGUGUUUUGGAUAGUGCAGCCAGCUUAGGGUAGAAGAAUGACGGAUAAUCUUAGCUCAUUUAAGGAAAUCCUCUCUGAUCCUUUCAUUGCACAUUCCAAAACAACUCUACUACAACCAAGUUACCAAUUCUUUUUGUUAAGUCAUUGUUAUUUGUUAAAAAAAAAAAAAAGUCUUCCUUGUAACAUUUUAUUGAAAGAUAUAACAUGAUCAUCCCUAUUAAUUCCCUUUUAGAUUUCUGUGAGUGAAUUUCAAAUUAUUGUAUUAAAAAAUAGAAGCAAAAGACCCACUUUACUUUCAAUUUCUGCAACAAGAUACCAAUUGAAGGACCAAAAAGUUGUAAACAAGCAAUUCAAUGAGUGGACAUCUAGAAACUGCUAUAUAGCAUCAAAAUCAUACUAAAUUUACAGAAAGCACGAUAAGAAUGAAAGAAUGGUGAAGGAUACACCCAGACCUUAUCCGGUCAAGUUCUCCAUUGAAUAUAAUCAGUUUCCGGGCAGUAUUGAAGACAGCUUCUUUGUAAAGCUCUUCAACGACAAGCAUUUCUACAAGACAAAAGAAAAGCAAAAUUAAUUACCUUAAGGAAUGAAUAUCAAUGAGAAGACAAGGUGUAAGACUACCAUUGACAUUAAAAUAUGGAUAGGCGACUAGAAACAAUUCAUCUUCCGGCUUCACACGGUCUGCCAUUUUAACCUUCUCAGUGAAUCCAAAAUCCUCAAAGAAUGAAGGUUUUGUUAGAUAGUCCAACUUAAAUGAUGAUCCUUCAAAGACCGAUUUUCUUGCAAAUUUGACUUCAUUUGCCUCUGGGAAAAACUAAAAACCAAAUGACAGACCAAGAUCACGAAACGAAUCAUGAACGUAGAUAUCAGAUAAUCAGAAAUGGGCAUUAAACAGACUACUAACAAGUAGGAAAUGCAUACAGAAAACAUUAUUCAUACACCUUAUGCACAUGAAAUAUAUAUGCAGAGGGAUCCUCUUGUGAAUUUAGUUUAUAUCCUAAUAUGAGACGAUGAACAAUUGGAUGCCAUCUAAGGGCUAACAUUUGUUUGAUUAUUAUAUGAAAAAAAAAAAAAACAGAGUUGAUUGAUGGCCUUUGAUGGAUUGCCUACACUCCUAAAGUGCAGAGAGCCUGAUUGAUUGCUUUACCUGCCCCCCACACACACUUGAUUUUAUUAUCUCUCUUUUCAAAUAUAUAAUCAUUGCCUGUCUUUCAUCCUGAUCCAGCUCUCCUUCCAGGCACCAGCUGUGUUUUCUUCAAUUCAGUGAAACAUUCACUUUCAGGUAAGAAUAAACUUGUCCUUCCUCAAAAACCAACUUCUCACCAUGAAGCUUUCUUUUUUAAAACAAUUACUAGUCUAGCAUAAUUGAAGACAACUCAGAAUUGAAAAAGCCAUACUUUAAUGUCUGCUGUUGGGACCUCAAGACCAGGAACAAAAAGCUUCUUUCUAACCGUUGGAUUAACAAGUAGAAAUAGCUUUUUUCUGAAGGACCCAACAUUGCAUUGAAAAAUUCAACAAAAUGACUGGCGUCAUAUUUAGUCCUGCUAGAAUUUUGUGCACUUAACACAAUGGCUAAUAAUUGGCCCAGCGGACACUUUGUCGAACUACUGGCAACCUUGACUGUGGAAAUGCAUAUUUCAAAUGUUGGCAGGCUCUAGCUUCUUGAUGUACUGUUGAUAGAAAUGCCUAUUUCAAAAGUUGGCAGGCUCAAACUGCCGAGACUUUGGUUUCUUACAUUUCAAACCCACAAAUAAAACUUUGGCAGAACCCCAGAAAGAGCUACACCUCCCAAAUUUGAUGACAUAUGAGGAGACCAUGCCUAGUGCUUGGUUCGGCAAAUGAGUAAGUUUGAAAGAAAUUGAGGGAAACCUUUCCCACAGAGAGUCAUAUUGAAGGUUACAAUUUGAAGACUUUGUCCCCUGUCGCCCGUAACCUUCUUUGAUCUCUUUUCUUAGUCAUAAAUAAUCAAACAUGUGUUAGUCGUUGGAUGCAAUCCACUCACUGACAUCUCAUGUCCACAAUCAAUCAACCAUAUUUUAAUAGAAAUGAAAACAUUUUAAUUAAAAAAAAUGAGAUAGGAACAAAAUCAAACUUGGCAGACAUGGUCUAUGAGAUUUUAAAGAUGCUUGGUGAAAGUUGUAUUCAAGAGUUCAACAGUCAGUUCUAUCACCUAUGGCAAAGUAACCACCGCAACUAAAGCAAUUACAAAACAUCAAGAAGCUUGAACUUGGCAAGAGGUCUCAUUAACAGUAUACCUCAGAAAUUAAGACAGACUUAAAGUGCAAGCUUUUGGAUUUAUUUAAACACUGAAAAUAAUAUGGGUAGAAGCUCCUAUGGUCACAGCAAACAAUUACAAAGCACAAAACCCAAAAAACAGAUAUGCAAAAAGCUGCAAAAGAACAUUAUUAGCAAUUGACAUCUGCUUUUGCUCAGACAAAGGUUCUCAUAACAAAGGACUUAGUGAUUAUCUGUCAUAUGUUUAUGUUAAGGGGAAAAAGGAAGUUUGUUUUAGUCAAUCUCACGUCUAAUGGCAUUUAUAAGGAGCCCAAAAAUAAAAGAAAAAAUAAAGAGUUAGUAGGUGUUUCUUGCAGCACAAAGAAAAUUUAUCAUUCAUGAAAAACUUAGUAUGGAAAAAGCUAACUCAUUUAUCUGCCAAUGGAGAAAAACUUGUUGUCCACCCACUAAGGACCCACCAUUGGCAGGUCUGAUGGAUCCCAUGGAUGGGAACCGCAAAUAUUUUAUUCUAAAUGACAUGUGUAUUGUACCCAUAUCAUUUAAUUUGUAGAUUCCACUGAUGGAACUCAUCAAACUUGCCAAAUGGCAGGUCCUCCGUGGGUAGGCGCAUCACUUCAGCAUCCUUCUCCACCGAUGACCAAAUUUGGACUCAUUUAAAAAGAAUACAAAGCAAAACUAACUGACAUAAAUUGCAUAGAGAUCUAGGAGCCAAAUCAAUGUUGUUAACUCAUCCAAUUAAUACAUUCUCUUAGAGGCAGGGACGGAGCCAGCGUGGGACGAGGUGGGGCACAGGCCCCAGCUGGCUUUUAAUUUUUUUUUAUAAUUAUACUAAAAUAUGUAUUUUAUUUGUUAUUUAUGAAAAAUGUCUCAGCUGAAUUGUAAAAUUUAAAAUUGACUCCAGUAAUUUUAAAAUAUUUCAUACUGUCCCUAAUUUAUAUUUUUAAUUAUAAAUUAUUUAAUUAGUUAUUAACAUUUCAUGAAACUUUAUUAAAGACACAAGAACAAAUAUUAAAAUAAAAAAUAAUCAUAACAAAAUGUUAGUAUAAUGGUUAAUGGACUAGUUUUUAAUCUUUUUAUUUUUUAUUCAAGUAAAAUUAAUUAUUUAGUCUUUCAACACUGACCAUAAGUUGUAAGUCUUCCUAAUUCUAAUUUAUAAUUUUCUAAUUAAUCUUUUAUCUAGUUUUAAAAUUUAUAAUUUUAUCAUGCAUUUCAUAUUUGUUCUGUGUGUUGCAAUAUAUGAAUAUUUUUGUUAUUAUUAAAAGAUUUUAAGAGCAAAUUAAGUAAUAACCUAGUCUUGUAUAUUGAAAAAUAUAUUUUUGCUUAUAUUGAUAAUUCAUUAUUUUCAACUCAUAAAAUCCCAUUGAGGAGAUUUCGCGGAGAACCAUUGUAAUAAGUAAAUUUAUUAUCAAUGAAUAUUAUAGUUGUAAUGCUAUUUAUUGAUAUCUAAAUUUUUAAAAAUGUAUUAUACUUUAAGUAUGCUUUCAAUUAGAUGCAUACAGACGCACUCUAUAAGAAGUACAAUUGUACAUGUAGCAAGCUCCCAUUUAGAGUUUAUAGGGCCCACAAUACAGUUUCUCAAAUGACGACUUAUCACACGAGCAAUCGUACAUUCGAGUCAUCUUUAAUUUUAAAUGUGCCCCGGCUCUAUCAAAAUCCUGGCUACGUCCCUGCUUAGAGGUCAUACCUUGGUAACUCAUUUGAAAAGAAAUUAAAAGAAAAACGACUGCACAAAUUGUACUGAGCUCAAGAAAACCUGUUCAAGGUGUUCACUUGUCCAACUAAUAAAAGUCAUCAAGGAUUGUAUCGGGGACUUGGGACCAAUCCUGCCUUAACGAGAGAAAGGGAAUUUAGGAGGAAGAAGAUAACCUCUUUUCCUAGAACCCUUGAGAAAAUUAUUGAAGAAAUAUGUAUCUCCUUUUCUUAUUUUUACAAUAGGGUUACACAAUACAUAUAUAUAUAUUCUAAACUACAUAAUGUGCUAGAGUAGGAAAGUAAACAACUAACUGCAGACCAAGAAACUAGGAAACAAACUCUAUCUAAAAAACUGAAAUUCUAUCCCUAUCUUUUUUCUUUUCUAUCCCUAUCUUUUUUCCUUAAAAACAGGAUAGAAAACAAGUGACUUUUCCACACUCCCCCUCAAGCUAGUUCGAAGAUAUCAAUCAUUCCCAGCUUGCUAGUUAGUGACUCAAAGCUUGAUUUAUGAAGUCCUUUAGUAAGAAUAUCAGCUAGCUGCUUUGUUGUUGGAACAAAGGUCAUGCAUAUCAAACCACUUUCUAUUUUCUCCUUGAUAAAAUGACGAUCCACUUUGUUGAGUGUUAGAAAAUGCAUAUUUAUAAAGGAGAAAACCAUCAUUUUACAUUUCAAGUCGUACUAACAACUCUUACUUUUAUGUAUUUAACCUUCUUGUGAUAUAAUUACGUGUGUUUUAUUUUAAUUAAGUAUUUUAUGUAUUUUAGGGGCAUUAUAGUCAUUUCACAAUAAAGGAGAGAUUAGACGGCAAAACGGACAUCACUUUUGAACUCAGGACGGUCGAAAACCUUAGGAGGAGCAUAAAAGGAAAAAUGGCACUAUUCAUAUGUACGGUACUAUUCGCGUGUACGGUAUUAACUACGUUACUGUUCACAACACUGUUCACAACACUGUUCACAUAGACGGAUCGAUGACGUGGCAUUGACCGAUGAUGUGGCAUUGACUGAUGAGGUGUCACGAUCCUGUUGGGCUAAAAUUCUUAUGUACUGUUGAUGGUGACGUGGCAGCAUAUCAGUGGAUGAAAAAUCUCGCGUACGGUACAUGCAUCACACAUGAUUAUUCUCAACCAAACCGUGUUACUGUUUAUCCGAGUCAAACCGUGUUACUGUUCAUCCACGUGGUCAAACCGUGGACUGUUGACUUAUGACGUGGCGCAAUCCUGAGCGUCCAAACUGUUUUUAAUCUGAUGGCCAUGAUUUACUCCAUGUAUCUAUAAAAAGGGGGCCUUCCCCCCCUAAUUUGAUAGCUCUGAAUCCAUUUUUGGGAUCCAUUUUCUGUAAUUCCUUCUCCAUCUUGUAUUUUCUUUGUAUUUUAAUAAAUUCCCAUUUUGCCCCUAGUUCAAUUAUGAGUGGCUAAUUUUCUUUCAAGCUUGGGUUGAAGGUGAAGUCUCAACAUGUGUCAUGGGCUUAAUUUGGUAAAUUUAUUUUCUCUUCCCCUCUAGUUUUUGUGGAUGUUUUGACUUCUCGUCGACAAAUAAUAAUAAUCUUGUCUAGAUACCGCCUUGGUUACACCGGCUCUCUAGUAUAAGGUUAUUAUUAUUUGGCACGAUAAGCCCUUAGCACCAUAUUGAUUAUAGCGUGGUUCAUGAGGUGUGGAUUCCCCCCUCAUGAUUUAAUUGGCAUUAAUAAAGAUUAUUUAGCCCAUGAUGCAUGUUGAUACGGAUCCAGAUACCCAAGUACGUCAUUUUAAUAGAAUUCUCUUCAAUUUAUUCUCGCCAUUUCAAUUCCAAUUUUAGAAUUUAUUCUCGCCAUUUUAAUUUAAGUUUUAGCAUAUCCCAAAUCAUUUCCACCACAAAUCCAAUCACCCAUUUACAAAAUUAAUUCUACACAAUUAAAAUCCACCUCCUCGUGGGAUCGACACUCGUCACCAUUAGUCUAUACUACAAUAGAUUCGUGCGCUUGCGAGUACAUUAAAAUUUGCACAACAAGUUUUUGGCGCCGUUGCCGGGGAGGUAAGUAAUUUUAAUUCAUAGAAUUAAUUUUUGUGAAUAAUUUCUUUUAUUUAUUUUCUUGUAUUUUUUUUUAUUAUUAAAAAAAAAAGUAAAUCUACAUUUAAAGGUUAGUAUUUCUUUUCUUUUUCUCUUCUUUAAAAUUCUGUAAUUUAAUUUUCAAUUUAUUUUUCUUUGUAAUUUUUUUUUGUUUAUUUUAUUAAUUUAUUUUUAGUUAAUUUAUUUCACGUAUUUAUUUUUGUGUAUUUUUAUAGUAAGGUUGUAAUAGCGCAAUAAGGUUAGUAUUGUAAUUUCUCUCUCUUCUUUAUUUUUAUUUGUUUUGUUCCAUCUUUAUUUUUAUUUUAUUUAUUUUGUAUGCAUGGUCGUAGGUCUUUAUUACCUAAUCUUGAACCUAUAGACCUUGAACUUGAGAAAACACUUCGCACACACAAGAACGUUAAAAAUAAAUUUGAAAUGGAUUUACAAGCACCACAGGAGAGGCCAUUUAAGGACUAUUUUAGUCCCUUAGCUAAUUUGAGCACAUCAUGCAUAAGAUACCCAAAUGUAGCUGCUAGGAGUUUUGAAUUAAAACCUAGUGUGCUAAAUUGUCUCCCCACAUUCUAUGGCCUAGAAAAUGAGGACCCAUAUAAUCAUCUGAAUGAUUUUCAUGCCAUUUGUCAAACUUUUAAAUAUGAAAAUUUUUCAGACGAUGAUGUUAAACUUAGAUUAUUCCCAUUUUCUUUAAAGGAUAGAGCUCGUUCAUGGUUAAAUACUUUGCCUGCUAAUAGCAUUGCAUCAUGGGAACAAAUGGUUACAAAAUUUCUAAAUAAAUAUUUCCCAGUGCAUAAAACCAAUUCUAUUCGCAGGGAAAUUUCAGAGUUUACACAAAGAGAGGACGAGCAGUUUUUCGAAACUUUGGGAGUGAUUCAAUGGGCUACUCUUGAAGUGUCCACAUCAUGGGUAUGAGAAAUGGCACCAAUGCCAAUACUUUUUGGAGGGAUUAUUGCCAAAUGUGCAAGAAUGGCUAAUGGCAACAAGUGGAGGAGAGCUAAUGUCAAAAAGCGCAACAGAGAUUUGGGAAUUCUUCCAGCGACAAGCGGAUAAUUCCCAACAACGGAGUCGAUCACUCAGGAAUACUAGAAGAAUUAAGGGAGUAAAUGAGGUUCAAAUUGGCGAGUCAACUUCGGGAAUCAAAGAAGUCAAGGAGAUAGUUGAAGGUCUUGCUCGACAAAUAGCAUCGUUGUCGACUGCUAAAUCAACAGAACCACAUGACCAUGACUCAUACUCCGAUCAAGCCAAUGCCAUAGGUGUAAUGAGAAAACCAUCGAAUUACAACCCAUACUCCAACACAUAUAACCCUGGAUAGAGAGACCACCCCAAUUUUUCAUGGUCUCAAGGAUUCCAACAGAAUGGACCAGCAGCUCCAGCUCCACAAAUUCCUCAAGUUCCUCAAGCCUCUCAGCCCCCAUUUAGACCAUUUAAUCAGAACCAGAACUACUCUCAACCCAGACCAUGGGAGGAUUCAUUCCAGAAUCUCAAGAAUCUUACUCACUCCACGAUUGAGCAGCAGAACCGCACCGUUGAUGGACUACGAAAUGAGUUGAGAGCAGGCUUCAACUCACAAGAUCAAUCAGUUUCAAACCUCGAGAAAAUGGUGGGACAACUUGCUUCUUCAGUUCAGACCUUGGCAAUGACUGUUGAGAAAGGAAAAUUUCCAAGUCAACCAGUGCCUAAUCCUAAAGGAGUGCAUGAAGCAAGUACCAGUUCACCACAGCAGCAUGGGGAGGUCAAAGCAGUCAUGACCUUGCGAAAAGGAAAGGAAGUCGACAACAAAGUGGAGAUGCCGGUGACAAAAGAAAAUCAAAUUGUACCUGUGAAUGUUGAGGACUCACCACCGGAGGAAAAAGAAGAAACCAACCCACGAGAAUAUGUUCCUAAAGCUCCAUUUCCUCAGAGGUUAGCGAAAGGAAAGAAGGGAAAUUCCACAGGUGAGAUUCUCGAAAUCUUCAAACAGGUAAGUGUUAACAUCCCUUUACUUGAUGCUAUAAAGCAAGUUCCAUCUUAUGCUAAGUUUCUUAAAGACCUUUGUACUAAAAAGAGAAAUAUGCAUGUUCAAAAGAAGGCAUUUUUAACAGAAAACGUUAGUUCUAUACUCCAACAUAAAAUUCCUUUAAAAUGCAAAGACCCAGGCUCCCCCACUAUCUCAUGUAGUAUAGGGAACCACACAAUUGAGAAUGCUUUGUUGGAUUUAGGAGCUAGUGUAAAUCUUUUGCCUUACUCUGUAUUCGUGAAACUUGGACUGGGAGAAUUACACCCAACUCCAGUGGUGUUACAGCUUGCAGAUCGGUCCACGAAAAUACCUCGUGGUAUUGUGGAGGACGUGCUUAUCCAGGUAGACAAGUUUUAUUUUCCUGUUGAUUUCAUUGUAAUUGACACUCAACCAAUACAGGAUUCAAGGAAGCACAUCCCCAUUAUUCUAGGCCAACCUUUCUUGGCAACUGCGGAUGCUCACAUUCAAUGCAGGACUGGAAAUAUGCAAUUGUCCCUCGGCAACAUGACUAUGGAGCUGAACAUCUUCAAUAUUGCCAAACAACCUCAUAAUGCAGAUGAUAGAAUUGUAGACGUGGAUUUAAUUGAAGCAUUAGUUGAUGAUACUUUUGUUUCAAACCUUAGUGAUGAUCCUUUACAAACAUGUUUAACUCACUUUGGUUUGGAUUUUGAUAUUGACAGAUCGGUCGAAGAGGUCAACGCCCUGCUUGACUCAGCACCAUACAUGGACACUAAUAAAUGGAAGUUAAGAGUUGAACAACUAGCACCAUCAGAGAAGAAACUCAUCCCAUCAUCAGAAUCACCACCGAAACUCGAGGUCAAACCAUUGCCCAACACAUUGGAAUAUGCAUUUUUGGGAGAAGAAAUUACUUUGCCGGUAAUCAUCUCAUCAUCCCUAAAUGACGAACAAAAAGGUAAGUUGUUGGAUGUUUUAAAAGAGCACAAAGGAGCAUUAUGAUGGACCAUAGCAGACAUAAAAGGUAUAAACCCAGUAGACUGCAUGCAUUACAUUCACCUUGAUGAAAAUGCUAAAUCUACUAGGAAAAUGCAACGUCGGUUAAAUCCUAAUAUGAAAGAAGUUGUUAGAACAGAAGUCCUUAAGCUAUUAGACGCAGGUAUCAUUUACCCAAUUUCUGAUAGUUCAUGGGUCAGUCCUGUACAAGUUGUCCCCAAAAAGUCAGGAGUCACAGUAGUUACGAAUGCUGAUAAUGAAUUGAUACCCACUAGAGUAACUACAGGAUGGCGUGUAUGCAUUGAUUAUAGAAAGUUGAAUUCUGUCACACGUAAAGACCAUUUUCCUUUACCAUUUAUUGAUCAAAUGCUUGAUAGAUUAGUAGGCCAUGAAUUUUAUUGCUUUCUAGAUGGCUACUCAGGAUAUAAUCAGAUUCCCAUAGCACCAAAAGAUCAGGAGAAAACUACUUUCACUUGCCCUUUUGGCACAUUUGCAUAUAGGAGAAUGCCAUUUGGAUUAUGUAAUGCACCUGCUACAUUUCAACGAUGCAUGUUGAGCAUUUUUUCUGAUAUGGUUGAACAAUUCCUUGAAGUCUUUAUGGAUGACUUUUCUGUUUUUGGUAACUCGUUUGAUCAAUGUUUACAUCAUCUAACGCUAGUUCUGCAGAGAUGUAUCGAGAAGAAUUUAGUCUUAAAUUGGGAGAAAUGCCAUUUUAUGGUAAAACAAGGUAUUGUUCUCGGUCACAUCAUUUCGAGCAAAGGUAUUGAGGUUGACAAAGCCAAGGUGGAUCUCAUUUCUAAUCUUCCUCCACCUAAAACAGUCAGAGAAGUACGAUCUUUCCUUGGACAUGCUGGUUUCUAUAGACGUUUCAUUAAAGAUUUUAGCAAAGUUUCUAGACCCUUAUGCAAUUUACUUGCUAAGGAUGUACCUUUUAUCUUUAAUGAUUCAUGUCUCAUGGCGUUUGAAAAAUUAAAGCAAUUGUUGACAUCAUCACCCAUCAUUCAGGCCCCAAACUGGAGCUUACCAUUCGAGCUCAUGUGUGAUGCAUCUGAUUAUGCAGUAGGAGCAGUAUUAGGACAAAGAGUUGAUCGAAUUCCCCAUGUUAUUUACUAUGCUAGUAUGACAUUCAAUGAUGCACAGUUGAAUUAUUCAACUACUGAAAAAGAAAUGCUAGCAGUAGUGUUUGCAUUAGAAAAAUUUCGAUCUUAUCUCAUUGGUUGUAAAAUAAUUAUAUUCACAGAUCAUGCUGCUCUUAAAUAUCUUCUCACAAAGAAAGAUGCAAAAGCUAGACUAAUUCGUUGGGUAUUACUUUUGCAGGAAUUUGACUUGGAAUUCAAAGAUAAGAAAGGCACAGAAAAUGUCGUGGCGGACCAUCUCUCUCGUCUCCAUUUUGACACAAUUACAGAGCCAUUAAUAUUAAAUGAGUCAUUUCCAGAUGAACAAUUAAUGAGUGUGGAAGUAUUACCUUGGUAUGCUGAUAUAGUUAAUUAUCUUGUUACAGGUAAACUUCCAGAGCAUUGGACCAAGCAAGACAAGGCUAAAUUCUUUGCGGAAAUAAAGAAUUUCUUUUGGGAUGACCCAUAUUUGUUCAAGUAUUGUGCAGACCAAAUUGUUAGACGAUGUGUCCCUGAAAAUGAAAUUCAGAAUAUUCUUUCAUUCUGCCAUGAACAAGCUUGUGGAGGCCAUUUCAGUGCUAAGAAAACAACGACUAAAGUUUUACAAUGUGGUUUCUAUUGGCCAACUAUAUUUCGAGACGCUUACACUUUCUGUUCUUCAUGUGAUAGGUGUCAACGAAUGGGGAGCAUUACACGAAGGAACAUGAUGCCACUAAAUCCAAUUUUAGUGGUUGAGAUUUUUGAUGUAUGGGGUAUCGACUUCAUGGGACCCUUUCCCUCUUCUUUUGGCCAUCAAUACAUAUUGGUUGGUGUUGACUACGUCUCAAAAUGGGUAGAAGCAAUUCCAUGUAGAACCAAUGAUCACAAAGUGGUGAUAGGAUUUUUGAAAAGCAACAUUGUCUCACGCUUUGGAUUCCCUCGAGCAAUAAUCAGUGAUGGUGGUGCCCACUUUUGUAACAAAGCAUUCAAAGCUCUUUUGACAAAGUAUUCAAUCACACACAAAGUGGCAACCCCUUAUCAUCCGCAAACCAGUGGCCAAGUUGAGAUCUCCAAUCGAGAAAUAAAGCAUAUAUUAGAAAAGACGGUGAGGCCAGACAGAAAAGAUUGGUCAUUAAGACUUGAUGAUGCAUUAUGGGCAUAUAGAACGGCUUUCAAGACCCCGAUUGGGAUGUCACCCUACAGGCUAGUGUAUGGAAAAGCUUGCCACCUACCUGUGGAACUCGAGCAUCGUGCAUAUUGGGCCAUCAAGAAAUUCAACUUUGACAUGCAGCAAGCCAGCUCAGAAAGAAGAUUACAACUGGCAGAACUUGAAGAAAUUCGCAAUGAUGCAUACGAAAAUGCCAAAAUUUACAAGCAACGAAUGAAAGUCUUUCAUGACAAGCACAUUAUGAGAAAAUCGUUCACUCCAGGUCAGAAAGUGCUUUUAUUCAAUUCUCGCUUGCACCUAUUCCCAGGUAAGUUACGCUCUCGAUGGUCUGGUCCAUUUAUUGUUCAUACUAUUUUUCCACAUGGGGCAAUUGAAAUUAAGGACCCAAAGAACGGUGUCACGUUUAAAGUUAAUGGUCAAAGAUUAAAGCCAUAUCUUGAGUACCAACCACAUGGAGAAGACACCGAAAUAAAUUUGAGUGACCCACCAGAUUUGAAUUGAUUUUUUUUCUUUUUGUUGAUUUGAUUUUUCUUUCUUUUUAUUAUUCUUUUGCUAAUUGAAAUUAUUUUUGCAUAAGUGUGUUUGUUUUACCAUUAAGUUUUCUUUUCUCUUAUCAUUGUUAAUCAUGAGUACCAUACUUAGACCGUUCCUCCUGAACAUUCUUAAACCACUUCAACGUGUCAAAACUCAUCUCAAAAAGCAGAUUCAAUUUUGUAAAACACAACGCAUUUGGGCUCUACAACCACCAGAGUUAGUAGCCUAUGUUGAGGGUUUAGAAUGCCAACUCAGAGACAUUGAGAGAAGUGUUUACGACAUCCAGUUAGAGCUUGAGGUAAAUUCAAUAAGAGGACGAUUUUAAUUUUCUUUGUGUGUUUUAAUUUGUUUUUCUGUUUGUGUGUUUUAGUUUGUUACCCCGGUGAAAUGGCGGAUAACGGUACUCCGUGACAAUCAAGUCGGUUACUUCAGUUUCCCAUAAUAACUGACAUUCUGAGGCGAAAGUAUGGACAGAAAAGAGAUUCUAGCAAAGCUUCACAAGCGAUUCCCUUCACUUCCUCAGAAUGCCCUCCUUACGAUCUAUAAAGCUCGGUCCGAACGCAUGCGAUUACUCAUGAAGAAUAACAUACCUGCUGACAUCCGUUGGUUAAUCGAGGCUAAAGUACGAUCGGCAGGUGAGUUUCCUCCAAAAUUUAUUGCAUACAUGCCUGGUUGUGGUAAAGGAAAUUAUGCAAGAAAACGACGAGCUCGAAGAAUUUCUGUUGCUUGUCAUAAGUGUGCUAGAAUGAGUUGCGAUAGAAACCCAUGUUCUUUAGGAAUGGUGUCUGAUAACAGGGAAGAUAAGAUUUAAUUCAUUAGGGAUGGCUUGAAUAAGGAGUCAUUGGAUGAUAUCCUUUUGUCUCUUGAAACGCAUCCUAGUGGAUAUGUGCAAGGAGCGAUUCUCCAGUUAUGGCCAUUAUUCCAGAAAGAGCAUGCACGAUAUAGUCUCGGGAAUCUGACUAUAAACGACCCUGUUUGCCAGUUUAUAAGAAAACUGGAUAGGAAGCCUAUCCUCGACCCAUAGAGGGCGUUCAAGCCGUUUCUGGACGUAAAACCAGAGGAAGAUGUGAGCCACAGUCGCAACUACGUGUAAAUAUCCUUUUACUUUACUGUUAUUUUAUUUCAUUUCACUGUUGUUUUAUUGUUUGCAUUAUUGUCUUUAAUAAUUUUGUUACUGUUUGCUUUUUCCUUUUUACUGUUUCCUUUUUGACUCACGAGCCACGUGCUUAACGCGUUAUUUGACACUGACAUGCCACCCCAUACACAGUUGUGACCCACUGUCACCAAGAUUCUUAAAUAUGACUUUUUGUUAAGCACUCACAAAUUGUUUCUGAGAAAUAUUCCAAUGGCAGCUACUCCUAAUAGACAAUUCAAGAACAUUUGUGUGCUUUCUGGAUUUACCUAUGGCAAACAUAAAGAGUUCGUGGAGGCAGCCAUAGAUCUUGGUCGAAGCAUAGCAGCGAGAAAAUUACACUUGGUGUAUGGAGGAGGUAACCGAGGGUUAUCAAAAAUGGUCUCAGAAGCAGCUUUUAUCAGAGGAAGUCAAGUGUUAGGCAUCAUCCCAAGAGUCCUAAAACCAUUGGGCAGUUCGUCUGACUCAUCAACUGGAGAAGAGUUAGUCGUCUCAGGUAUGCAAGAAAGAAUAACUGAAAUGCUUAAUCAUGCUGAUGCUUUUAUUUUCCUUCCAGGAGAUCUUGCAACACUAGAGGCACUUAUGACACUAGCAUCUUGAGCCCAUCUACACAUUCACCAGAAACCCAUCGGUUUGUUAAAUGUCAAUAACUUUUAUGAUGGCUUUAUCGCAUUUCUUAACCAUGCAAUAAAAAACUAUUUCAUUCCUUCUAAUGUGAAAAAACUCUUUAUUUGUGCUCACACUGCUAAUGAGCUACUUGAUAUGUUACAAGCUUAUAAACCGGAGCCAGACCCCUGGACCUUUGUGUUGGAGCGACCAAAUAAUGAUGGUAACAGUAGCCGCAGUAAGAAGUACAAAUUAGAUUUAACUCUCCGCCUGUAAAUAUUUUCUUCUGUGUUGCACCACCCAGGUGAUGUCUUCUAAACUCUACUUCUUUCAUUUCAAACAUUGAGGACAAUGUUUCGUUCUGGUUGGGGGGAGGGAAUAGUCGACAGUUGUGGAAUCUUGGUUAAAUUUUUACUGAUUUUUUGUUGUAGAAACUAACUGUUGCUAACUUUUUAUGUUGAAGAUGGCUGAAUAUGGAGUGUAGUGACUCUAGAAACGCAUUUUCAUCGUUUAAAAAAAAUUAAAAAAAAACUAAAAAAAAAUUUCAGACAGUUUCUUUUUUUUUUCUUUCUUUAUUCUGUUUUUAUGUUUAUUUUUCUUCUUUUUAAUUUCUCCUCUAUAAAUAUACAUUUUCCAACUUGUGAGUCGAAGAUGGCUGAAUAUGGAGUGUAGUGCCUCUAGAAACGCAUCUUCUUAAAAAAAAAAAAAAAAAAAACCCAUUUUCUUUUUCUAUCAUUUUACGUGUAACUUUUCUAAUUAGUUUUUAUGCAUCAUUUUCACAUUUCUGCAUGCAUAUUUUCCUUUCAUGUUUAGAAUAGGUUGGGGGGUAGAAUGUUGUUUAAAAAAAAAAAAAUUGUGUUAUUUGUUUUAACAUUGGAUGACAUGAUUAAUUUCAAAUUUUAGUAUUUGUAUUAUCUUUGGUCUUAAGUGAUGUUACGCUAUGUUUGCUACUUUACAUGUUGAUGUCGGAGACAAAUAUGAGUUGCUUGAAGGAAUGAACAUGUCAUAAAUAAGUGCCAAGUGAGUUGUUGAGCCUAUCAUUUUCUUGGAGAGUAACACUUUUGCCCAUUCUCUAUACAGCUUAGCAGUUUAUUAGUUUAUACACGAUCUCUAGAUUUCUUUUGAGUUAACCCUUUAAAAAAAAAUGUGUGUUGCUACAUUGGGAGACCCAUCUAACUAGUAGAUAUGGAUAAUUAUUUAGAGCCCUAAAAGACGAUGGAAAGGCCAUAUUUGAUCCGUUUGAGCCUUUCUAGCCAUCCCUUUUAUUAAAUAUCCAUAGUUACCCCUUUUGAGCCUUUUUUUAAAAAAAAAAGAGAACAAAAACAUUUUCUUUGUCAACUUAUCAUCUUGACCCACUCCGAUUUGGAGUAUUACCCAAUGUCUUUUAAGUUCCAUCACCUAUUUAUGUUUGAGAAAAUGUAAAUAAUGAUGUUGUUCAGUGAAGUUAUGCCAAAUAAAAGCAAAAAAAAAAAAAAAAAAACAAAAGUUGUUGUUUCAAAAGAAUAAAAAUAACAAUAAUAGGUGAAAUCCACCUUGCAACUUCAAAAAAAAAUAUAUAUAUUUCUGCAUUUUUCUCAAACAUACACUUUGUUUUCCUUAUUUCCUUUCUUUGUUAGCCAUAUCCCUAGCCUACGUUAUGUCCUAAUAAAAGUCCUUCUUGAUUUUAGGGAACUAUAGUUUGAAGUAGAAGCUAGUUAUAUGGGCUAAAAAGAUGUAGUGAUGCAUAAUAAAAAAAAAAAAGAUAAAUAAAGUGGGUUGACUAACAUUUUAUUUGACUUGAGAUCGUAUUAUUUCUAAGCUAAGGGCAUAUUUAUUUCAUCUUGGUGAGAGCAUGUGAUAUCACUUCUUCAUUAUUUUCUCUCAAUUACCAUUCAUUGGAGUGACUAUUUUUUUAGGUUUAAUUUCUUUGUGAGAGUGUCACUACUUCCAGUGAGAUUUUGGGUUUUGACAUGUCAUUCUUGAAAGUAGUUAUAACAAAGUCUACUGGCCGAUUCAUGUGGAUGGUUGAUGUGGGUGUGAUGUUGUUUUAGACUGGAGAUAAUACUUAUACUUUUAUUUGAUUGCUAUCAUUAAUCUGAUUGAAUAAACACGAGUGUUUCUAAAAAAAAAAAAAAAAAUUAUUUUGAAUUUGAAUUUUGUUUUCGCUUUAUUUGCUAGGGACUAACAUUAAGCUGGUUGGGGGGUGUGUUGAGUGUUAGAAAAUGCAUAUUUAUAAAGGAGAAAACCAUCAUUUUACAUUUCAAGUCUUACUAACAACUCUUACUUUUAUGUAUUUAACCUUCUUGUAAUAUAAUUACGUGUGUUUUAUUUUAAUUAAGUAUUUUAUGUAUUUUAGGGGCAUUAUAGUCAUUUCACAAUAAAGGAGAGAUCAGGCGGCAAAACGGACAUCACUUUUGAACUCAGGACGGUCGAAAACCUUAGGAGGAGCAUAAAAGGAAAAAUGGCACUAUUCAUAUGUACGGUACUAUUCACGUGUACGGUAUUAACUACGUUACUGUUCACAACACUGUUCACAUAGACGGAUCGAUGACGUGGCAUUGACCGAUGAUGUGGCAUUGACUGAUGAGGUGUCACGAUCCUGUUGAGCUAAAAUUCUUAUGUACUGUUGAUGGUGACGUGGCAGUAUAUCAGUGGAUGAAAAAUCUCGCGUACGGUACAUGCAUCACACAGGAUUAUUUUCAACCAAACCGCGUUACUGUUCAUCCGAGUCAAACCGUGUUACUGUUUAUCCGAGUCAAACCGUGUUACUGUUCAUCCGCGUGGUCAAACCGUGGACUGUUGACUUAUGACGUGGCGCAAUCCUGAGCGUCCAAACUGUUUUUAAUCCGAUGGCCAUGAUUUACUCCAUGUAUCUAUAAAAAGGGGGCCUUCCCCCCCUAAUUUGAUAGCUCUGAAUCCAUUUUUGGGAUCCAUUUUCUGUAAUUCCUUCUCCAUCUUGUAUUUUCUUUGUAUUUUAAUAAAUUCCCAUUUUGCCCCUAGUUCAAUUAUGAGUGGCUAAUUUUCUUUCAAGCUUGGGUUGAAGGUGAAGUCUCAACAUGUGUCAUGGGCUUAAUUUGGUAAAUUUAUUUUCUCUUCCCCUCUAGUUUUUGUGGAUGUUUUGACUUCUCGUCGACAAAUAAUAAUAAUCUUGUCUAGAUACCGCCUUGGUUACACCGGCUCUCUAGUAUAAGGUUAUUAUUAUUUGGCACGAUAAGCCCUUAGCACCAUAUUGAUUAGAGCGUGGUUCAUGAGGUGUGGAUUCCCCCCUCAUGAUUUAAUUGGCAUUAAUAAAGAUUAUUUAGCCCAUGAUGCAUGUUGAUACGGAUCCAGAUACCCAAGUACGUCAUUUUAAUAGAAUUCUCUUCAAUUUAUUCUCGCCAUUUCAAUUCCAAUUUUAGAAUUUAUUCUCGCCAUUUUAAUUUAAGUUUUAGCAUAUCCCAAAUCAUUUCCACCACAAAUCCAAUCACCCAUUUACAAAAUUAAUUCUACACAAUUAAAAUCCACCUCCUCGUGGGAUCGACACUCGUCACCAUUAGUCUAUACUACAAUAGAUUCGUGCGCUUGCGAGUACAUUAAAAUUUGCACAACACACUUCAACAUGUUUAGUUCUGUCAUGAUGAAUAGGGUUAUGAGCAAUGUUUAUUGCUGCCUUGUUGUCACAAUACAACUUCAUAGGAACAUCAAUGAUAAUCUUCAAUUCUUCAAGUAGCUUCUUUAACCACAAAAGUUCACAAAUACCAUAUGCUACUGCUCUAAAUUCAGCUUCAGCACUGCUUCUUGCAACCACUGAUUGCUUCUUACUCCUCCAAGUUACCAAGUUUCCUCCCACAAAUGUGCAAUACCCUGAAGUUGACCUUCUAUCAAUAAUAGAUCCAGCCCAAUCUGCAUCAGUAUAUACUUCAACUUGCAUAUUGUUAUUUUUCUUGAAUAGCAGGCCUUUUCCUGGAGUUUUUUUCAGGUACUUGAGAACCUUGUAAACAGCUUCUAAGUGCUCUUUACAUGGAGAGUGCAUAAAUUGACUAAUAACACUUACUGCAAAGGCUAUGUCUGGCCUAGUAUGAGACAAGUAUAUCAACUUACCAACCAACCUUUGGUAACUUUCUCUAUCCACUGAUUUUCCUUCAAUUGCAUAUCCCAAUUUGUGAUAAGGAUCAAUAGGAGUGUCUCCAGGUUUGCAUCCCAACAUGCCAGUUUCCUUGAGUAAGUCUAAAGUAUAUUUCCUUUGAGAAACAAAAAUGCCUUUACUGGAUCUUGCAAUUUCCAUGCCCAAAAAAUAUCUUAAGGGGCCAAGGUCCUUCAUCUCAAAUUCUCUAGCAAGAACCUUCUUGAGAUUUUCCAUUUCUAUUACAUUGCUUCCAGUCAAGAUGAUAUCGUCUACAUAUACAAUGAGGAUCACAACACUACCAUCAGUGAAGUGUUUAAAAAACAUUGUAUGAUCUGCUUGACUCUGUAAAUAUCCAAAGCUAUGAACAGAUUUGGUAAAUCUGUCAAACCAAGCUCGAGGAGAUUGUUUUAAGCCGUAAAGUGAUCUCUUCAGCUUGCACACUUUUUCAAUACCAUAUUCAUUCUCAAAACCUGGUGGCAGAUCCAUAUAUACCUCUUCUUCAAGCUCUCCAUUAAGAAACGCAUUCUUAACAUCUAAUUGUUGUAGUUGCCAUCCUAAGCUUGCUGCAAGAGACAACAAAACCCGAAUGGAAUUCAUUUUUGCCACGGGAGCAAAUGUUUCUUGGUAGUCAAUGCUAUAUGUUUGUGUAAAACCUUUCGCGACAAGCCUAGCUUUGUACCUCUCAAGUGACCCAUCUGCUCUGUAUUUAACUGUAAAAAUCCACUUGCAACCCACUGGUUUUUUUCCUUCUGGUAAUUUAACUAGUUCCCAAGUUUUGCUUUUUUCUAGAGCUCUCAUCUCUGCAUACCCAGCAUCUCUCCAUUCUGGAAUAGAAAGAGCAUCUUGUACAGAUUUUGGAAUUGCUAUGACAGACAGGUUAGCUGCAAAAGCUCUAAAAGAUGGAGAUAAUCUAUGAUAUGACACAUACUUAGAAAUUGGAUGAAGAGUACAAGACCUAGUUCCUUUUCGUAGUGCAAUUGGAACAUCUAGAUCAUUUGUAGUUUCUAAAACAGAUUCUGAAAUAGGAUUAGAAUGAAUGUUACCUGCAAGUUCCAAGUUGCCUGUGUUUGGAUCCGAGUCUUGGCAGUGAGGAGAGGAAUGAUGAUUUGACCUUUUCGAAUUCCGUCGUGUGUAGACUUGAAGCUAUGGUUCUGGAACUCUCUCUAAUGAUUUUUCAUUAUUCAUAAUUGAUGGCAUUGUAGAAGGAACAUGAGGUACACAAGACAUAAUAGGCAUUGGAAGAGAUAAUUCCCAAAAAUGAUCUUCCGGAGUAUGAUUCUCCCCCUGAAGAGAAGUUUUGGGAAAGAAAGAUCUAUUUUCAAAAAAUGUGACAUCCAUUGUGAUGAAGAAUUUUUUAGACAAUGGAUCAUAACAUUUGUAGCCUUUUUGAGUAGGAGAAUAGCUAAGAAAUACACAUUUUAAAGCUCUAGGAUCAAGUUUGCUCAUGUUCUAUGUAUGAAUGUGAACAAAAGCAAUGCACCCAAAAAUCUUGGGUGGUAAAGAUGUGAAAAACUUAGCGGUAGGAUAGAAUUUUGUGAAAACAUUUAAUGGAGACUGAAAAUUAAAGAUUCGGGUAGGCAUGCGAUUUAUCAAGUAUGAUGCUGUGAGAAUGGCUUCACCCCAAAACUGUUUUGGCACCCUAUUUGUGAACAUAAGAGAGCGUGCAACUUCUAACAAGUGUUGAUUUUUCCGUUCAGCAAUACCAUUUUGCUGAGGAGUAUCUACACAAGAGGAUUGGUGCACAAUGCCAUUUUCCAUGAAAUAAUGACCAAGGGCAGUAGAAAAAUAUGCUCUCCCAUUGUCAGUUCUAAAGACUUGGAUUUUUGCUUGAAAUUGUGUUUGAAUCAUGGUAUGAAAGGUUUUAAAAACUGUUGCAGUUUCUGAUUUUUCUUUAAGCAAGUACACCCAACAAACACGAGUGUGGUCAUCAAUAAAAGUUAUGAACCAUUUAGCCCCCGAAAUGUUUGUAACAUGAGAGGGUCCCCAAAUAUCACUGUGUAUGAGAGAAAAAUGUUCAGAUUUUUUAUACGGCUGUGAAGGAAAAGAUACACGAUGAUGUUUGGACAAUACACAAAUUUCACACUGAAACAAAGAAGGAUUUUUAUUCUUGAACAACAAAGAAAACAAGUGUUGUAAAUAAGAAAAACUAGGAUGACCUAAUCGGAGAUGCCACAACAUUAUUUUAUCUUUAAUAGAGAAAGUUAGUUCAUUAUUUGUUGCCUGAGCUUCUCCACACAAACUAACAUCCUCCUCGAAGUAGUACAAACCAUCUACCUCUCUAGCACUGCCAAUUUUCUUCCCUGAACACAGGUCCUGAAAUUCACAAUAGGAAGGAGAGAAUUUAGCAAUGCAAUGAAGAUCCUUGGUAAUUUUGCUAACAGAUAAAAGAUUACAAGACAAAUUAGGAACAUGAAGAACAGAUGUUAACACCAAAUUUGUAGAGAUAGGAAUAGAUCCUUUUCCUGCUGCAGAAGAUAGUGAACCAUCAGCAAUUUUAAUUUUUUGACUACCAGGACAUGGAAUAUAUGAAUAAAAUAAUUUAGAAUGGCUAGUCAUAUGAUCGGUUGCUCCUGAAUCGAUGAUCCAUGGAUCUUUUUUCUCAUAAACAACUCCUAAAGCACUGAAAUCAUUACCUUUCUGGGCUAAAGAACUAGAAGAUGAAGGAUUUGGGAGAGAUUGUGACUGAUUAAGAAACUUGUACAGUUGCUCUAACUGUUCUUUAGUGAAGAGUUGAGAUUCGGAUUCUCCAGUGUUGAUUGUCGGCUGAUUCUCCCCAAAAACUUGAAAACCUCGACUAUGUUUACCAGAGAAUUUAUUGUUUUUCAAAUUUGGAGGUUUUCCAUGAAGCUUCCAACAUGCAUCUCUGGUAUGUCUUGGCUUGUGACAAUAAUCACACCAAACUCUGUCCUUCUCAUCACUCUUCUUCAGGUUUUUUGUUCCCCCAAUCAGUGGAGCUUCUGGUGUAACAGAGAUCAAGGCUGAGUUCUCUGCUGAAGAACCUCCCAUCAUCACAUUCUUUCUACUUUCCUCUCUUUUUACAUAAGAAAACACUUCCCUGGUAGAAGGAAGAGGUUCCUUGCCAAGUACUCGCCCACGGACUUCAUCAAGGUCUGAACUCAAACCUGCUAAGAAUUCAAAUACACGCUCUUUUUCUAACAUCUUCUUGUAUUUAGCACUAUCAGCAGCACAUUCCCACUCGCCAUCAUAGUACUGAUCUAACUCUUGCCAUAAGCCCUUCAAAAUAUUGUAGUAUUUAGUCACUCCUUGACUACCUUGUUUGGUUUCUCGAAUUCUGGUUUUCAGAUCAUAAAUCUGAGCAGAAUUUCCCAAAUCAGAAUAGGUCUCGGUGACAGCAUCCCACAAAUCCUUUGCUGUUGGCAGAAACAAGUAAGUUUGACCUAUCUCCGAUUCCAUUGAAUUCACUAACCAUGACAUGAUCAUUGAGUUGUCAGCAGCCCAAGUAUGAAACUUUGGGUCUUCUUCAGUUGGUUCUUUAAUUGAACCAGUAAGGUAACCAAUCUUCCCUUUACCUCUGAUAAACAUCUUCACAGAUUGGGACCACUGAAGAAAAUUUUGACCAUUCAAUUUAUGGAUUGUGAUCUAAAGUGAUGGACUAUCAUUAGAAACAUAACUUGAUAGUUGUAGAUGUCGUUGCAAUUGCUCUGAAGAUAACUCAGAAGUUUCUUGCUCGCUAUACUUUGAUAUUGGUAUUCAAAUAGAAUUGAAAACUAAAUCCAAGAAUCAAAGAGCGACUCUGAUACCAUGAGAAAAUUAUUGAAGAAAUAUGUAUCUCCUUUUCUUAUUUUUACAAUAGGGUUACACAAUACAUAUAUAUAUAUUCUAAACUACAUAAUGUGCUAGAGUAGGAAAGUAAACAACUAACUGCAGACCAAGAAACUAGGAAACAAACUCUAUCUAAAAAACUGAAAUUCUAUCCCUAUUUUUUUUCCUUUCUAUCCCUAUCUUUUUUCCUUAAAAAUAGGAUAGAAAACAAGUGACUUUUCCACAGCCCUUUUGGACAAAAAUGAUUUCCUGCUAAUUUUGAGAAUAAAACCAUAGACAUCUAACUUCUGAUAUCUAGUCAAUCUGGUAAAAUCUUGGCAGUUGCACUUGGGGCAUAAAUUAGUUCCACCUUGGUUUAAGGACAGAAAUUCGUCAUAUGCAUGUAUUUAUUUAUGUUUUAUACACACACACAUGCAUGUACACACAAACACUACCUUCACUUUGAAGAAAAGAUUAAAAUAACACUGCUCACAUACACAAUACUUACUAUUCUAGUUCGUGUAACUUUCUCCGGAGUCACAAACAGGUCACAGAAUUCACGUAUUAACCGCAUACUUCUAGUCAUUUCUAUUCCUCCUUCACCAUCACUUGUCCCACAAUUACAAAAAGUGAGAGGUAAUAACCAACAUAUUUGGGUUGCUCUUCGGUAAGGGGUGGGAGGUAAGGGUUAGUUGUGGAGGGCACCUAGUACAGAAUCAAGGCCAGCUGUUGGGAAUUUGAUCUCCUGUAACAUAUACUUGUUCAUCAUAAACUAUAUACUUAUUCUGCAGUCGAUGUGUGCAUAUAGCUCUUCAAUUAUCCAGUAAUAACUCACCAUCAACUUCCUGCCAUCUUUCACGGCUAAUUCAGCAGCCAUUUUUGCCUGCUUAAAGGUCAAAAGCCCAAACUAAGCAGAUGCUCCUACUCCGAUACUUAUUAUCUAACUACUACAGAACAGAUGAUACGCAUCAAGUUGUAUCAAGAGAGACACCAAGUUGUGUUUUCCAAGAGGUUCCAAAGAGGUUUUGUUUCUUUGUGUAAUUUUUAGACUGCUUUGACAACUCAUCUUAAAGGUGCCACUCAUCCAAUAUGAUGUGGUGACAGUAGUUUAGAGUUUUAAACUAAAUGCAGAGCUAAUAGUAUUUUGGAAUAUAAUCAUCCUAAGAUACUAUAACACAGGGAUUCUUACACAAAAACAACAACUUCGAUGUAGAGAGAAGAUGAUUUCACAAAAGCAGAUGUUUUGAUUUAAGUCUCCAAAACCCCCACCAAAGAAAUGUUCAACAGAUAUAGAAAUAUGAUCCACAUAUCUGUAACUUAAACUGUGAAAGUUGUUGAUGUUGUUCUAAAAUUGCCACAAUCUAUCUACCCCAUGAAUGUUUUUGGAUAAAACAACAAGCAGGACCCAAUGCCUGUUUUCUAAUAGCUUCAAAAAGGCCAAAUUGGUUUUGAAAUGUCUCCAGCUUUUCAUUUAAUAAGAGAGAGAGAGAGAGAGAAGAAUCGCUCCCCUUUCAAAUACCGUGCUCUUUUGUACCUGGGAAUUUAACUAAUUCUUGCGAAUAAAAAAAUUUAUAAAUUUGGUAAAUUAUUUAUUAAAAAAUAUUGAGAGGCUGUGCAUUAUUUUAUUAGUAAAGAUAUAGUUAUCAUCAAAUUAGUUAUAUUAAAAUAGUUUUUGACUCACGUAAUUUAUUUUUAUUAUUUUUAUAUAUAUAUUUAAUUAAUAAAUUUAUGUUAUAUUCAUUUGUAUAAAAAUGUACAGUUCUAUCCUCACUCUUAUUUUAUUUUUAUUAUUUUUUCAGAAAAUGGUAUGCGUUAUUAAGGUUAAGGGUGACAACUGGGAUCAAUAUACGGUUUAUUCGAGUGCUUAAAACCUAAUAAAUAUCCACUAACUCAUAUUUAAUUAAAAUAUAAUUAUUUUUAAAUAAAAAAAUUUAAUAUAAACUAAACAAAUUGAUUGGAUUUUGUUUCUAAAGGUACAUCAUUAGAACGUUACCUUUAAUUGAACAAAAGCACACAUAACUAGCACAUUCGCCACAAAAGCCUCAGCUUAGUGGUCGGCUUAUUAAUUAUCUUAAUAAAAUCAUGGUCAUAAAUUUGAGUCCCCGUAGGAAUUAUUAGGUUAGGUAGCUUUUUUAGACUACAAAAGCUUUUUUAGACUACUCAUUCAUUUAAUUUUCCGUUAUAUAUAUUCAUCUUUUUUAGAGGCCAAGAAGUCUUCGACAGAAAUGUGAUCUUUUUCUAGUUGCCUCCCGGUGAUGAGCUUCUCCCAAGUUUCAAUUAAUUCGCUUUGAGUGAGGAUAUUUUCUGGUGGCCUCAAAUACAAUGUCUUGUUCAGCACUCAAGGGUCAUCUAUUGUCUUAAUAGUAUAUGUGGCAACAUCAUCAAGAUGCACUAUAGAAAAAAAGAUAAUCAUUUUGUUUAAUAUGAACAUAAAUUCUUACAGUCUAACUCAUAUUAUAGUGAACGAUGCUGUUAUGUGGUGCGUGCAUGCACUAUCUAUAGUUUUAAUAUUAUUAAUAAAGAGUUAAAAGUCUUGAUUUAAUUUUAAAUUGUCAUUCCUCUAACUUCACCGUCUUCAUAGAUGCAGACUUUAUCUUUUGAAGGGUGAGGGUAGCUAUAUUUGAGAGAGGUGUCUAGGGAACCAACCAGCAAAAAACAGCUAGCAGAAACAUAAAUGACAGGGAUUUGAGCAGCCUUGAUUGCCCUUCUCACACAUGCGCUCUGCGUUCUCCCUCCCGCUCUCACUCACUCACGCCCAAAUCUCACCUCACUCACGCAUCUCUCCUUCUGACCGGUGGUUUUCUCUCUCUCGCCGUGGGUCUCAAGGCUGGCAGGGAUUUCUCGACUUGACUACUAAAACAUAAUCCAAAAACUACUAAGAGAUGUAUAUAUUACUCUGAUAUACACAAUAUGAAGAAACUGCAGUUAUAUUUCAAAUAUUAUAUGAAGGAAGAGGCUGUAUGGAUUAUCUAAAGGUGCUGAAAUUAAGAGACCUAUUGAAAAGUCAUGCAUGUGGUAAUUUUUCAAAGAGCUACCAAACAUUUGAAGAAAAAAUGGAAAGUUGGCAAAUUUGUCAAAUUUGCCAAAUGGACACCAUUGACUAUUGGCUUAGGUUAGGUGGAAUGGUAAAGGGGUUGGUGCAAUAGUGCCAUUAUUUUUCCUAUAAAUAGAUGGCACUUUUUCCAUUCUUUUGCAUCCCAAAAUUGUUAAGCUUAUAAGUUUCUAAGCUUUUGAGAGAAGUGAGAGAAGUGUGUCUGGGGAAUUUAUCUUUCCUGCAGAGUGUGAGAGUACUGGGUAUAUUUUGGGUUUCUGGGAAGUGAGAUUCGUUACUCAAAUAUUGUACUCUAUUAAUUGUUAAAUAAACAAUUAUUCUUUCUUGCCUCCGUGGAUGUAGGUUUAAUUACCGAACCACAUAAUUCUUGUGUCCUUUAUUUUUUCUAUAAUUAUUUGGUGCGCUUGAUUCCGCAUUCCAAGCACAACAAGUGGUAUCAGAGCCGAAGGUUCGUACUUGGGGGGAUACGGUACUGUUCACGUAUACGGUACUAUUCCCAUAUACGGUACUGUUCACGAAUACGGUGGAGACGGCCAUUUGUACUUGGGAGACAGUCUAUUGUAAGUAGUGUGUAUUUUUGCAUGUUUAGGAAAGUUCUGUCAACAAAGGCGAUAAGAGUCUAAGGAUUCUGGUUUUUAAUUGGGACCGAGUUCCCGUCCAGUUUCUUGGGAACUUUCCUGGUGCAUUUAUUCAUGCGAAAUUAACAUCAUAGAGACUGUUUUUCAAGUGGAAAUAGUUCGUUGAGAAAAUGGUAGAAGGUGAAACUUCCAGAAUUGGGGAGAGAUCUACCGAGACUAUUUCAGGAGACACUUCAGGUGGGAGACGAGAUUUGUCAAAUCGCUAUUCAGCACCUGUUAUAGGAGGUCAGAAGAUCGAUGUUGAAAAGUUUGAUGGGAAAAUCAACUUCGGCAUGUGGUGGCGCGAAGUUAUGGAUGCCCUUAUUCAAAUCGAUCUCGAUGUUGUUCUGAAAAAUAAAAGACACUUGUAUGAUGAAGAAAUUUGGGAUCGUAUGAAUGAAAAAGCUUGUGGUUAGAUCAGAUCUUGUUUGACCAAGGAGGUGAAAUACUUGGUGAAAGAUGAGGAGUGUGCGGUAACUUUGUGGCGUACAUUAGAGGAAAAGUACUUGGUGAAAAGUCCUGAAAAUCGCCUUCAUGCAAUGAGCCAAGUAUAUGGUUUUCGAAUGAAGCCUGGGGUGUCAAUGCACGAUCAUGUUUCAAGAUUUGAAAAGUUACUUGCUGAUUUGAAGAAUCUUGAUGAAGAUAUUAAGGAUGAAGUCAAGGCUAUGAUUCUGUUACACUCACUACCAGAGGAAUAUAGCCAUUUUGUGACUACUUUGAUAUAUGGGAAGAGUGUGAUCGUCUUCAAAGAUGUUUGCACAACAUUGACUAGCUUAGAGAUUCGGAAUAAUGAUAAAAAUUCUGAACGAGCAUCGUCUGAAGCUUUAGUGAGCAGAGAUUGGGCGAUGGAGAAACAGAAGAAGCGUGGUGGAAAGAACUCUCGAUCCAAAUCGAGAAGCAGAAAUAUAGCUCGAGAUGAGUGUGCCUUUUGUCAUGAAAAGGGCCAUUAGAAGAAAGAUUAUCCAAAUGCUCAAAAGAGAGAUGGGAAGAAACCAGCAGCAGCAAACAUGGCACGGAAAGAUGAGGGAUCUGAUUAUUCACUAAGUAUUACUCCUGCAGCAUACGUGGCUAGUUCGAGCGAGUGGAUACUUGAUACUGGAGCAACCUAUCAUUUGUGUCCCAUUAAGGAAUGGUUUACGGAUUUCAACGUAUUGGAAUCUGGUGCAGUUGUGAUGGGGAAUGAUCAACCUUGUCGCACAAUGGGGAUAGUAACAAUUCGGCUCAAAAUGUUUGAUGGAAUGGUCAGAGAACUCAAAAAGGUUAGAUUUGUUUCAGCUUUAAAGAAAAAUCUAAUUUCUGUGGGUGCUUUAGAAGCUAAAGGCUACAAGGUUACCAUUGAAGAUGGUAUAAUGAAGUUUACACAUGGGGCUAUGGUGAUUCUGCAAGGGGUUCGGCGUCACAAUCUGUACUAUUUGAAGAGAGGUACAACUGAUGAAGCAAAUGUUGUUGAGGCACACAGUGACACCACCAAGCUAUGGCAUGUACGACUAGGACAUGCUAGAGAGAAGUCUUUGCAAACUCUGAUAAGGCAUGGACUCUUAAAAGGUACCAAAACCUGUAAAUUAAAUUUUUGUGAGCAUUGUGUAGUAGGCAAGAAAACAAGGGUUAAGUUUGGUACAGCUAAUCACGAUACUCGUGAGAUCCUUGAAUAUGUUCAUAGUGAUGUAUGGGGACCAACCAAGACUGCAUCAAUUGGUGGAAGCCAUUAUUUUGUUACAUUUGUUGAUGAUUUCUCUAGAAGUGUGUGGGUGUACACCAUGCGAGCAAAUGAUGAGGUUCUAGAGAUUUUCGUGAAAUGGAAGAAAUUGGUGGAGACUCAAACUGGAAGAAAGAUCAAAGUAUUACGAUAUGAUAAUGGGGGUGAAUAUACUUCUGAUCCAUUCUUGCAAGUAUGCCAGAACGAGGGUAUUAAAAGACAUUUCACAGUGAGACAUACUCCGCAACAGAACGGUGUGGCUGAGCGUAUGAAUCGUACUUUACUGGAGAAGGUAUGGUGUAUGUUAUCUAAUGCUGGUUUAGAUAAAAAGUUUUGGGCUGAAGUUGUGAGCUACGCAAGUCACUUGGUAAACCGGUUGCCUUCUGCUGCAAUUGGAGGUAAAACUCCUAUGGAAAUGUGGUCUGGAAAGCAUGCACAAGACUAUGAUUCCCUUCGUAUAUUCGGGUGUCCAGCUUAUUAUCAUGUCAAAGAUGGUAAACUAGAUCCUCGUGCUAGAAAAGCUAUCUUUGUGGGAUUCAAAGGUGGAGUAAAGGACUUCAAGCUUUGGGAUCUCGAAGAUAAAAAGUUUGUGUGUAGCAGAAAUGUCACAUUUGAUGAAGCUUCAAUGAUGAAAGCUUCAAGUUCUCAGCAGGUGGAGAACAAGACCAAAGAGGUAUUGCUGCGGGUGGAGUUUGAUGCAACUCCAUAUGUACCAGUUAGUUCUACAUCAAAGAAGAGUUCAACUAUAGAGGUGACACCUAGAGUUGAAGAAGAGGUUGUUUCUUCUGAUGUCCCACAAAAUGAAGAAACAAUUGAUAAUGUAGAUAAUGAUGAUUUUAUAGCAACAAGGAGGCUAAGAAGAGAGAUAAAGAAACCCGGAUGGCUUACUAAAGAUAUGGUGGUAGCCUAUGCACUUCCAGUUAUUGAUGAUGACAUCCCCAACACUUUCGGUGAAGCAUUACGCAGCAGUGAAAGUGAUCAGUGGAAGUUAGCCAUGGAGGAAGAGAUGAAAUCUCUCCAUCAAAACCAGACUUGGGAACUUGUAAAGUUACCAAAAGGGAAAAAGGCUAUUGGCAAUAAAUGGGUCUACACCAAAAAGCAAGGAUCUCCGAAUAAAAUAACUCCUCGAUACAAGGCAAGGCUCGUGGCAAAAGGUUUUGCUCAAAAGGAAGGUAUUGACUACAAUUAAGUUUUCUCUCCAGUUGUAAAACAUACUUCCAUUCGUAUCCUACUUGCCUUAGUUGCAGAAUAUGAGUUAGAGUUGGCUCAAUUGGAUGUUAAGACCGCGUUCAUACAUGGAGAUUUGGAGGAGGAAAUCUAUAUGAUUCAGCCUUGUGGUUUCAAAGUUGCUGGAAAAGAGAAUCAUGUGUGUAGGUUGAUUAAAUUUUUGUACGGACUGAAGCAAUCGCCAAGGCAGUGGUAUAAAAGAUUUGAUCAAUUUAUACAAGGGCAGAAAUUCACCAGAAGUGAACACGAUCAUUGUGUUUACUUUAGAAGACUACCAGAUAGAGCUUUCAUCUAUUUGUUACUCUAUGUCGAUGAUAUGCUUAUAGCUUCGAAGAAUAGAGAUGAGAUCGAAAGAUUAAAAAAGCAACUGGCUUCUGAGUUUAAGAUGAAAGACUUGGGUGAUGCACAGAGAAUACUUGGGAUGGAGAUUCGUAGAGACAAGAAGAAUGGGAGCGUAUGGUUGACUCAAAAGUCUUAUUUGAAGAAAGUGCUAGAAAGAUUCGGUAUGGAUGACAAAACUAAACCAGUAUGUACACCUCUAGCUUCUCAUUUCAAAUUAAGCUUUUCUUCAUGUCCUAGAUCUCAAGAGGAGCGUGAUUAUAUGGCUCGUGUUCCAUAUGCUAGUGCUGUGGGUAGUCUUAUGUAUGCUAUGGUAUGCACAAGGCCCGAUAUAUCUCAAGCAGUGAGCAUGGUUAGUAGAUACAUGCAAAAUCCGGGUAAAAAUUAAUGGCUUGCGGUAAAGUGGAUUCUCCGAUAUCUGUAUGGGACAGUUGAUGUUGGGUUAUUGUUCAAGAAGGAUUGUGGUCAACAAUGUGUUGGGUAUUGUGAUUCUGAUUUCGCUGGAGACCUUGACAAGCGAAGAUCAACAACGUGCUACGUAUUCACAUUGGGUGGAGGUCCGGUUAGCUGGAGGUCGAUUCUACAAUCGACAAUUGCUCUGUCCACUGCGGAAGCAGAGUAUAUGGCAGCAACUGAAGCUAUAAAAGAAGCUAUCUGGUUGAAAGGUUUAUUAGGUGAUUUGGGAGUAAUCCAGGAGAACAUUGCGGUCUUAUGUGAUAAUCAAAGUGUGAUAUUCCUUGCGAAGAAUCAAACAUAUCACGCUCGGACGAAGCACAUAGAUGUGAAAUAUCAUUAUGUGAGAGAGAUUAUCGAGAGCGGUGUUGUGUUGUUGAGAAAGAUCGAUACCAAAGAUAAUCCAUUAGAUAUGUUGACGAAGGUAGUUUCUGGAGUUAAGUUUCAACAUUGCUUGAAAUUAAUUCAAAUCCUUCGAUUGUGUUAAGAUAUGUCCUUCGGGAAUUUUGAACUACGGUUGGCUUGAUCCCAAAUUUUGGGUACGUAGGCAGUCAUAGAGAUGCAGCCACUUUGGGGAUGAUGAUUGGUUGGUAGUCGGCUCAGAUUUGGACAAAUUUUCACCGAGGUGGAGAAUUGUUGAAAAGUCAUGCAUGUGGCAAUUUUUCAAAGAGCUACCAAACAUUUGAAGAAAAAAUGGAAAGUUGGCAAAUUUUUCAAAUUUGCCAAAUGGACCCCAUUGACUAUUGGUUUUAUGUUAGGUGGAAUAGUAAAGGGGUUGGUGCAAUAGUGCUAUUAUUUUUCCUAUAAAUAGAUGGCACUUCUUCCAUUCUUUUGCAUCCCAAAAUUGUUAAGCUUAUAAGUUUCUAAGCUUUUGAGAGAAGUGAGAGAAGUGUCUGGGGAAUUUAUCUUUCCUGCAGAGUGUGAAGUACUGGGUAUAUUUUGGGUUUAUGGGAAGUGAGAUUUGUUACUCAAAUAUUGUACUCUAUUAAUUGUUAAAUAAACAAUUAUUCUUUCUUGCCUCCGUGGAUGUAGGUUUAAUUACCGAACCACGUAAUUCUUGUGUCCUUUAUUUUUUCUAUAAUUAUUUGGUGCGCUUGAUUCCGCAUUCCGCGCACAACAAGACCCACACCAACCGACAGACCCCCGGUGAUAGAGAGAAAGUCGACUGUGAGAUGCAUUCAAGACGGGGGAAGAGUGAGAGAGAAAACUGCCCGGUCAGAAGGAGAGAUGCAUGAUUGAGGUGAGAGAUUUGGGCGUGAGUGAGUGAGGAGUGAGGGAGAGGGUGCCGCGUGUGUGGGAUGCGUACAAUGACAAUUUAUACUUACAUCAAAACGCCGCGUUCGGUGCCAUGUGUAGGGCUAACUGUGGUUUGAAUCUCACUUUGGUAAUGGAAAUGACUUUGCAAUUGACAGUUUUUGUCAAAAGUUCGCACUGCAUGAAACUAGUGUUAAUAUAAUUUAAAAAAUUAAUUUCAGUAUUAAUUUUUAAAGUUUUAAUUAUUAUAUUUAUUUUAAUAAUAGAUUUAUAUUUAUUAUAAAAAUUUUAGUUAAAUAUUUGUGUUAAAUGGAAUUUAUAAUUAAUAUAAUAGAUCUUAGGUAUUAAUAUAUUAUAAUUAUUCUAUAUGCUAUUGAAAAUCAUUUAUAUUUUUAGACGUUUAUUUUCAUAUUAAGUUUCUAUUUAUUUUAAAAUUUAGUUUAAUAUAAUAUAAGCAAGUAAAGUAUUAAAAUAUUUUUUAGUAUUAUUUAAAAUAUUAAAAUAAUUUUAAAAUAUAAGUCAAAUUUUUAAGUGAAUAUAACUAAUAUUUACAGCUAUUUGAUGGCCUCAACAAGCUAAAGCAGCAUCAAAAUUUGUGGCUCGUUAAUUUAUUUUUUCCCUUUCAAAAAGGGAAGAGGAUAAGUUUGGAAGAAUGAUUAUAUUUUUAAUAAAUUCUUUUUUAUUAUAAUACUUUUUGUCUUUAUUAAUUUAAAAAUAUUGACUCUUAUAUUUUAAAAAAUAUAAAUAUAAUAUUAUAAUAAAAUAUAACAAUAUAUAUCAAAUAUUUAAAAAAUUUAAUAUUUUAAUAUUUUAUAUUAUAUUAAAAUAAAUUUUUAAUAAAUAAAAAUAAUCUAUUAAAAUAAAGUACAAAAAUUUAAAUUAUUUUCAAUAUCAUCUAAAAUAAUUUUACUAUUAUUAAUGCAUGAAAUAUAUUAUAGUAAUUGUAAAUUUCAUUUAACUCAAAGAUUUAUUUAGAAUGUUCAUAAUAAGUCCAAAUAUAUUAUUAAAAUAAUUAUAAUAAUUUACAUUUUAAAAAUUAAUACUGAUAUUAAUUUUUAAAUUAUAUUACUCUACCAGAAAAAUUAAACUAUUAAAUUAUAUCAAUAUUUAUUAAAAAAUUUUGAAAUUAAUUCUUGUUAUAUUUUUAAUUGGAAUUUUUUCAUGUGAUAUAACCAGAAUUGCUACAAUUUUUUUCCCUAAUUAAAGAUGGAGUUAUAAAUUAUUUGUAUAAGUGUCUGUGUGGAAACUAAUGUGACAUGAAAGUAAUAGCUGAAUAACAAUAAUGGGCCGAUUUCAAUUCUUAAACAGACUUGUCCUUCAUCCCAAUUUAUUUACCCCAUUUGGGCCGGUUAUGACAUAAACAUAUUCUUGUGGAAUGAAAAACAUCAUGAGAAGAAAAUGUUUUAUUAUAAUAGAAAAAAGUGGUCCAUAAGUCUAUUCAUUACUUUUUUUAUUCAAUAUAAAUGGCUAACUUUAAAAAUGGUAAAAAUCACAUAACGCGCAAACAUAUUUUAGAUUUAUAUUUUUUAAUACUCUCCGAGUCUCUCUUUCUCUUUUUCUUUUUUUAAAUAAAUGUCAGUAUAAAAUUUAAAAAAAAUUUAGAUAUAAAAUUUGGCAAUGACCAAACAAAAAUUGCAGAGGAAACCUUGAUAUCAUUGAAAUACUGAUAAUAGACACUACAGUAUAAAUAACUUGUUGUGAUCCACUCAACUUGUAACACUUUAAUCCAUAUUCUAAAAUUUUCAUGUUUGUUAGGAUUUUUAUUAUUGAUACUACUGUAUCAAUAAAAUUAUAAUUUAUUCAUAUGGAAUGAAAACAUCAAGAAAGGACCUCUGAUGUUUAUUGUCAUAGAAAAAAGUGGUCCAUAAGUCUAUUAAUUAUUUUAUUUAUUCAAUACAAAUGGCCAACUUAAAAAAUGGUAAAAAUCACACAAUGCACAAGUAAAAUUUUACAAUUACAUUUUUUAAUUCUCUUUGAGUCUCUCUCUCUCUUUAAAAAAUAAACCUCACUGUAAAAUUAGAAAAAUUUUAGACGUAAAAUUUGACAAUCACCAAAUAGAAAACAUAGGGAAAUGAAAAUGGAGGAGCCCUAUUUUCAUUAGAAUAUUGAUCAUAGAUACUAUAAUGUAAAUGAUUUGUUGCGAUUCCUUCAACUUGUCACACUCUAAGCUAUUUUCUAAAAUUUGUAAGGUUUAUAGGAUUUUUAUUACUGCCAUCAUUGUAUCAAUAAUAUUAUAAAUUAUAUAUUCUAUUGUAAUGAAAAUUUGUGUAAUCUUAGGUAUUUAUUGUAUUAAAUUGUGUGGAUUAAUUAAGAAUAUUUUUGGAGACAAAAGAAGUGUGUGUACGUAGGAUUAAUGAUAAAAAAUUUCUAAAUAAAGGUGAUUGCUUCAUUGACAAGUACAUAUUUAUAUUCCUCUAUUAAUAUUUGGGUUGUAAACUCUAUAAUAAAGUUGGUUGGUGUGAGUGGUUCGGCACUCUCACUCUUUAAGAGAGGUCGGGAGUUCAAGCCUCGCUCUCGUAUGGAGUCACCACUUUGGCCAGCACUUUACCUCUUAUGGGCCGACCCGGUGCGAGUGGGAAUUAGUAUGGGUUGUGGUAUGGGCUUAAAGGUGUCUCCCACAGUUGGGGCCCACUCAGGACCACCUCGUGAUUCAAACAAAAAAAAAAAGUGAAUAUAUUGUGGCAAGUGAUGUGGGCAAUAUCGGAUGCGAAAUAUUGAGAGAUCAUUAACGCAUAUAUUUAUUGAAGAUGCGUAUAGAGGAAAGAGUGUAGAUCCGGCCGUAACAAUUACGAAGCUUUCCCCAAGUAUACUCAUGCUUCCUUAACUGUUUCGAAGUAUUUUUCAUAGUGUGCAGAUUUACUUUAUGGUGUCUUUAAUUCAUCUUAAAUGAUUACUUUAUUGUUUUAGGAUGCAAUGUCAUUUAUUGUGUUAAUUUAAACAAUAGAAAAAAUAAGUAACAGUAACGAAAGACUAAUUUGUGAUAUUGAAGCGUACGGGCUUAACUCAAUCCAAAAAUUAGUAAAUUAGCUCAAGAGUUAAGAGUUGUCCAAAUCUUAUAUGAUGAACCCAAGUUUAAUACACAAUUGAUGCGGGAUGUUAUUCCUAACACCUCCCGUCAUGUGUAGGAUUGGCAAAAAAACUCGGGUCAGUCCCGCCUAAACCUACGAGCUUUAUGCAUGGCUCGCAUGAUGAAGUUACGGAUAUUAACCUAAAAAUUUGAAACUUACUAUGAAUGGCCUUGCUUAAAGACUUUUGCAACUUUAAUUUAUAACAAGUAUGUAUAUCUACACACACAUAAGCUUAGAUUGCAUUUGGAUGGCUUUUUUAAUCAAUUCAAACAAUCUGAAAUUUAUCAGAUUAAUCCAAAUCUUAUAUGUAUCCAAUUUUGCCCGCCCCUACUAUAUAUAAGCCCAAGUGACUCUCUUUUACUAAUUAAUAAGAGAAUUUUUGACCUUAUAUCCUUGUUGUGGCGUUAGACUGUUGGUUAUUUUGAUUGUUUCCUACCUUCCAUUUACGCCAGCUAUAACAUUGUAUUAUCACCAUUUUAGCCAUUUAAAUGAAAUUUUAUUUUUCAUUUUAUUGUGUCAAUACUAUCAUAAUUUAUUCAUUUUAUUGUAAUGAUAAUUUGUCUAGUCUUAGGUACUUACUAUAUUAAAUUAUGUAAAUUAAUUGAGAAUACUUUUAGAGACAAAAGAAACACGUGUAUGUAGGAUUAAUAAGCGAAGAGUUGUAAAUGAAGGUGAUUGCUUCAUUGAGAGGCAUAUUAAAUAAUUAUGGAGAGUUGCUCUAUUUCGGAAGCAUAUAUUUAUACUUCCCUAUCAGGAUUUGGGGUAAGCGAGGUGCUUUAUGUAUUGCAGUAACCAAAUGUGGGCAAUAUCAGAGCCGAAAUAUUGAAAGAUCAUAACGCAUAUAAACGAUUAGUAUAUUGAAGACACAUAUAGAGGAAAGAGUGCAGAUCCGGCCGUAACUAUUAUGAGGAUUUCCUCAAGUAUUCUCAUGCUUCCUCAACUGUUCUGAACUAUAUAUUCCUCAUUGUGGGCAGAUUUACUUAAAUACCAACACAAUGAUUCAAUACUUCAAAGGUCAAGGAAAUGUCAAAAUAUGAAAUGAAAAUACUUAAAUACCCUUCUACCUAACAAAACUUAGUACUUCUAACUGCCUUAGCAGAGAAUCUAUAAAAUUAAAAAAAAAAAUUCAUCCAUGAAAAGCUUCGUAACAGAAAAACCGUCUUUCAAAAAAUAAAAAAUAAAAAAUAAAAACAGAAAAACCGACUCAUUUAUCUGCCAAUGAACCAGUCAGGACUCAUUUAAAAAAGAUUACAAAGCAAAAGUAAAUGACACAAAUUGCAUAGAUAUCUCGGAGCCGCAUCAAAGGACAAUGGUGUUAAUUUGUCCGAGUAAUAAAUUCUCCUUGGUCAAAAGCAAUUAACGAUGAAAACUUUCUUCAUUAAGGUUCUGGCCUACGUAAAAAAAAAAAAAAAAAACCACCCCAAGGUCAAAGCACAACGAUAAGUUUAGAAUUGCAGUUUUUAAUUUUUUUUAAUAAAUCAACGUGUAUAAAAAAUAGAUAAUAAUUUUAAAUAAAUUUUAUUUGAUAAAUAUAGGCAUAAAAUUUUAAAAUCACCAAACAGAAAAACAGGGGAAUUAAAACAGAGUCCCUGUUUAUCCUCUAUUUUGCUUGUUAUUAAACAGGGAAAUGAAAAGAUCACAAGCGGAAAUUUUGUUUCUGCGUUGUCUCUUCUCAAUGCUACAUGCAUUCAAAUUAAACCUUACAUAUGCUAGCAAACUAGCUACCUGCGUUUAAGUGUUAGAGUGCAAUUUAUGCACUAAUUUUGCAUUGUUUACUUCUUUUAAUAUCGAUAUUUUGCACUUAAUAAUAGUGAUUUACUUGUAUUUUAUUUUUGUAAGUGCAAUUCUAUUUAUUGGUGCUAAAAUUGGGCUACAAGAUGAUGUUUGAAGAUGAUUGUUUUCUUGGAAAAAUUAUGAGUUUCAGAAGAACUUUGUUGAUAAGGCGUGGGCGCUGGCUGUCAACUACGGACCUGUAGUUUUUAGUUUAACGUGUUUUGUCUUUUUGGUUAUUUUUGUAAUCACGAAUUUAAUAUUUAGAUAAUAUUUUAGAUAUUAGUAUUUUAUUUUAAAAAGAACUCUAGAAGAGAAUUUAAGAGGGGAAUCUAUGGUCAAAGGAAAAAAAAGAAAGGAAACCCUAGAUCUAAAUUUUUCUCUUCUCUCUAUGAAGAACUAAACCUAUUAUUCUGGUUAAAGGUUAAUGGAGCUUUGAUUCAUCAUUACUGUGAGAUCUUUCUUAUGCUUUAAUUGUUUUAUUGAUUUUUGGGUAUUUGUUUAUUCUCUAAAUUAUUGUCAUGAUUAUGUUUGUUAAUUAGAUAAUUAGCCAUUAUUUAAUUAUCAACUUAAUCUAUUGUCAAUUAAAGGAUUCAUCGUAUGAAGAUUUUAAUGUUUGUGACAAAUAGCAUAGCAGUUCGUUAUGUUAUGAGAAUAAACAAUCUAAUUUAAAUGAACCAUCGUAUGCGUUUGUUGAUUAGGAUUUGGGUCUCUCUGGUUUUUCAGGUUGUCAAUUGAUUAAAUCCUAUGAUCGUAUCUAGGGUUGUCUAUUGAUUAGGGAAAUAACCAAUGGUCGUACCUUGGUUAUCGACUAGUUAAGGAGAGAUUGGCUAUUAGAGGGUCUCAGUAGCUAUAACCGGUCUAUUCAUAAGUAGUAAUGAUUUAUAUUUGAAUCAAUGAUCAAUAGUCGAAUCAAGCUGAGUUAAUUCCUUCAACCAGAGCUUUCCCCAAUUUUAAUUUGCAUUCUUGUUAUUUUAAUUUGAUUUUUAUUAUUGUCAACAAUUCCCCCAUUUUGCAUUUUGCAUUUUAAAAGGAUUUAAAUAAUUACUAAUCUCUGUGGACACAACCCUACUCAAUCACUAUACACAAUUUAUUUAGAGUAUGUAUUUAUUUUUGCUGGCUUCGACAACCAUCAAUAAGUUCUCGAUAAGUCCAAAUAAUAGAAUAAUUGUAAAAUGUUCAAAUUCAGUAAUUAAUUAUACAUAUUUAUUUAUUCAAAAUUAUUAUUAUUAUUAAUUAUUGUCAAUAAUAUAUUAAUAUACUAAUUAAUUGUAAACUUUUUUAUCAUUCAUAACAAUGAUGAUGAUGAUGAUGAUGAUGAUGAUGAUAAAAAAUUCAAAACAUAUUAAUUAAUUAUAAUAAUAUAUUAAAUAUUUAAUUAUUUAAUAAUAAUAAUAAUAAAUGCACAAUGUAUAAAUUGAUUAGAAUAAUUAUAUUAAUUAAUCAUAAUAAUUUUUUAAUUGAGGACAAAAUAGAUAUUUUAUAGUUUGUGAGAGGGGGCAAAAUGGUCAAUCUUGGGAAUGGGGGAUUGAUUCCCACCACCUUCCUUAGGAAUCAAUCUUCCAUUCCUCAUUCCUAAUUUGGGUGGUCCCCAUAGUUCUGAUUCGGAUCCCAGCCUCCAUUUUAUGAAGUAAACAUCAUUAAGAUUUCGAUUCCGGAUUCCGAUUCCCCAAUCCAAGAAGUACAGGCACCAUUAUUGUUGAUUGGUUCAAAUGCACAAAGAGAAUGUACCAUGUAGCUAGGCGUCAAGGUUGUGCUGCACAAGUAACCUUUUUCUUUUCUUUUCUUUUUAUUUUUCUUAUUUUCCUUAAUGUAUCGGAAGAAACUGGUGCCUUUGAGAUACUACCAUGUAAAUAAGUACUUAUGGUUCAUUGAAUCUGUAACACUCGGUACCCUACAAUUGCUUUUGAAAAAGGGCUUUACUCACUUAUCGCUAAUAUUCAAGUAAGUUUGUUUCAUUUCAGAAGGUGCAAAGUUUCAAACUUGUUGUAUUGAGAUGUAACAAACUUUGGCCUUAUAUGCUUGUUGUGACGUUUGACUGUUCAUUUUGACUGUUUCCUACCUUCCACUUACGCCUGUAGCACUGUAUUAUUCACCAUUUUAGUUGUUUAAAUGAAAUUUUAUUUUGUCAAAAAUGAAAUGACACCAUUAAAAUUUAAAAAAAUAGUCAUGGAGAUCCCAAAUUUUUACUAAAGAACACCAAUAUUCCCCUUGACUAUAAUACCCUUAGCAGGUGGUAAUAAAAAAUUGACUUAAAAUUUUUUGCGAAAUGUAAAUAUGAUUUAAAUAAUUUAAAUUUUCCAAUAGACUAAUAUAUAUAAUUUAAAUAAUUAAUUUCAAUAUUAAUUUUUUAAAUGUAAAUUAAUAUAUUUGUAUUUAUAAAAUAUUUGCAAUUAUUAUAAAAAUUUUAAAUAAAUCCUUAGGUUAAUAGAUUUUACAAUAAAUAUAAUAUUUCUCAUGUAUUAAUAAUAUUAAAAUUAUUUUAUAUGAUAUUGAAAAUAACUUAAUUUAUAUAUUUAUUUGAAUAUUAUGUCUCUAUUUAUUAUAAUUUGGUUUAAUAGAAUACGAGAUUGUAAAAUAUUAAAAUAUUUUAGAUAUUGAAAUUUUAAUAUGUAUAUAUUAUUAUAUUUAUUUUAAUAUAUUUAUAUUUAUUAUAAAUUAUUAGAGUCAAUUUUUAGUUAAUAAAUUUAAAAAUAUUAUAAUUAAAAAAAAGAAUUCUUAUUGUCUGUUAUUCACAAUAUGAGGUUCUACAAAAUUAUUUCUCCAGACGGGUGUCCUUUUCUUAUUUGUAAAAGGAAAAAUAAGUUCAGGGAUCUUAAAAAAUUCUAGUCCUAUCGACCACUAUGACUAAUGGGAAACGACAUUGCAAUUGACAUUACUUUUCGCAAUAUGACAAAUUUUUGGAGGGAUACGGGAGAAUCGUCAAACGUUCACACCACACGAGAGCUUUAGGUGGGAUCGGGGAGGAUUGUCAAGAGUUCACACCACGAGAAAUUAAUGAUAGGCCUAAUUUCGCUGUCAGUUCUUUAUUUAUUUAUUUUAUUUAUUUCAUACAUUAUUAUCUUGUUGGUAUUGUUUUGUAAAGGUAUAAAAGUAAAGUAAAAUACUAGGGGUACCAUUAAGUUACAGCUGAUGUAACUUACAGUGUUUUAAAAAAUAAUAUAAAAAAUUUAAUAGCUGGUGGGAUCCACAUAUUUUUGAAGAGACUUAAGUUACAACAGUUGUAACUUAACAAAAUCCAAAUAUUUGACAAUAAUGCAUAUAAUUUGGAUUUGAUUUUUAAAAGAUUAUUUGAGCACCACCUAUCCUUAUGAUAUUAAUGUGAAUAUAUCUUAAUAUUAAAUAAUCAAAAUUUGUUUAAUUAUUAUUUGUAUUUCAUACAUUACCUAUUAGAUUUGUUUGAAUUUUACGUUCUUGCUAAUAAAUAUUUAUGUUGUCAAAGUCAAAUUCUAAUGAUUAAAAGAGCAACUAUCCCUUAAAUUUUAAUGGUGAAUUGUAUAUAGUUUUUAAGAAAGUAAGGAUAAGUUGGAUAAUUGACUUAAAUUCUAAUGAUUAAAAGAGCAACUAUCCUUUAAAUUAAAAUGUCAAUUUCUUUAAUUAUAAUUUUUUUUUCAUGUGAUAUAACCACAAUUGCUAUAGUUUUUUUAAAUAAUAAUGGGAGUUAUAAAUUAUUUAUAUAAAAUUUGUGUAGAAUCUAAUGUAACCUAAAAGUAGUUGCUGAAUAAUAAUAUUUGAAACUCUAGGUAAUUUUCAUAUGAGCCCUUUUUAUAUUCAGCAUCUUGAAUCGGGGGAAAUCCGACUUGAAUUGGCGGCUGAUUUUGGUGAUGUAGCUUUCGGUUUAUGGUUGCCUUACAGUGGCGGACGACUGAUUUACGGUCGCCGACUGCUAGGGAUUAUGGUGGUGGUGUAAAUUGACGGAAAAAGUAGAAGGUUUGGUGGCGGCGCGUGUAGGAACCACUCGUGGGUUGUCGUUUCGUGUGGUGACUGCGGGUGGCGAUCAAGGGCUGACGUUGGUCGGUUUUUGGUCAACGGAGGGCGGCCAGUUUGUUGGUGGAGGUGGCUGGCGGUGAAAGUGGCUGAAUGGUGGUGGAUAUCUUGGUGGAGCUACGGGUUUGGGUUGGUGAUUUGCGGCUGUUCAGGCGGCGGUUGAGGCAGCGAUAGCUGCGGCUUGGUCGGCGGUGGCUAGCGAGGUUUGUUGUGGUGUUGGCUGGCUGAUCGGUGGUGGUGGGCGGCGGCGGUGGAGGUUGAUGCGGCGGGUAGGGUUUUCAAAUCGGUUUUUGAUAUUUUUUUUUUUUUUUAUGAAUUUGGUGUGGAUGGGUAUAGGGUAAGAAACACUAGAUAUCAUUCUAGUACUGGACCAAGCCAACGCAAUUAAUUUACCAUCUAGUCGAAGGGUGAUUAGAUAUCGUUCUAACCCAAACGAUAAAAUGAGAUUUUUAACAACGCGUAAUACAAGAUUAGAUGAUGCUCUAAUCCAAACGACUCUACAACGACUCUAUAAGAGAGAUUUUGAUAGAUAAAUCUAGGGAAAAUUAUAAAAGAUGGGUUUUAUUUAAUAAUUAAACCUAAAGUUUUGAAAACAAUGACAAGAUAUUUUUAUUUAUAAUACAGGAAAUCUGCUUCCCUAAGAUAACCUAAAAAAGAAAAGUAAAUCAUAAUUAUAAUAGAAAUGAAAGAUUAAGAUACACACCAUAAUUGACUCAAACUAAAAUAGAAAAUCUUAAAGUAAUAAAUAUUCUAAAAUUGUAAAUUAUCUAAAAUAACAAUAAUUAACUUCCUAAAUCAUUUCUUUGGUGUAAAUCAUUUUACAUCCAACCUCGCUUUAAAGGUUUGAACCAGCGUUACCAACAACAAUGUAUCAAGUUCCAAUCUAGCUUAAGAUCAUGCUGAUACAUCUACUGAUAUCUUUAUUUGAUUAGACAAUAAUGAGUCUAUCUCAUCACUUGUUACCUCUUUCUUGAAGGCUGCAUCUGUUGAGCGAUAACCUCGUUGAAAGUUUAAAGAUCUUCCUCCAUGUUAAAUUAAAUGGGCAUUUGAUUAAGAACUUUAUCUCUAUCUCCUUCUAUCAAAUAACAACCAUCCAAAGGGAAAAAAAAAUUAAAAAAAUCCAUGGGUCACAAUAAUUUCUGGUCAGCCCACAAACCCCCCAUUAUCUGCCACUAUCAAUCAUGAAAAUGAAAAUAAAUGGCAUAUUCCCAAAAUGACGAAAGAUUUUGGGGGAUAUGGGGGAAUUGUCAAAAGUUCACACAACGCGAAACAAGUGUUACAUCCAAUUUUAUUUCGUCAUAUAAUGAUAAUAUCAAAUAAUGACAACCAUCCAAAAGUAUGAUGGGUCUUCCAAAAUUUUAAAAAUGUCGUCAACAUUUAAUUUUCAAUGCUAAAGAAAAUGAAAUGCCCAAAAAUGACACGCAAGACCCACUCACAAACUAAAUGGCCCUUGACCAUAUGUAACAAACUUUGACCUUAUGUCCCUGCUAUGGCGUUAGACUGUUGGUCAUUUUGAUUGCUUUUUACCUUCCAUUUACACCCACUGAAGCAUUGUACGAUUAACCAUUUUAGCUGUUUAAAUGAAAUUUUUAUUUUUUUCAAAAGUAAAAUGACACGCUUAAAAUUUUAGAAAAUAGCCAUGUAGACCCUAAAAUUUUAAUAAAGAACACCAAUACCCUUUUUGACUAUAGUACUUUUAGUCGAUGGUAACAAAAAAAAAAAAUGACUUCAAAAUUUUUUACUAAAUGUAAAUAUGAUUUAAAUAGUUUAAAUUUUCUAGUAGACUAGUAGGUAUAAUUUAAAUAAUUAAUUUAAAUAUUAAUUUUUAAAAUGUAAUUUAAUAUAUUUAUUUUAAUAAUAUAUUUUUAUUUAUUAUAAAAUUUUAAAUAAAUCCUUAGGUUAAAUAGAUUAUAUAAUUAAUAUAAUAUUUCUCAUGUUUUAAUAAUAUUAAAAUUAUUUUACAUGCUAUUGAAAAUAAUUUAAAGUUUUAUAUAUUUAUUUGAAUAUUAUGUCUCUAUUUAUUAUAACUUGGUUUAAUAGAAUAUGAGAUUGUAAAAUAUUAAAAUAUUUUUAGGUACUGAAAUUAUUUUAAUAGGUAUAUAUUAUUAUAUUUACUUUAAUAUCCUACUUAUAUUUAUUAUAAAAUAUUAAAAUUAAUUUUUUUAGUUAAUGAAUUUAAAAAAUAAUAUAAUUAAAAAAAGAGUCUUAUUGUCCGUUAUUCACGAUAUGAGGUUUUACAAAAUUAUUUUCAAAAGGAAAAAUAAGUUCAGGGGUUUCAAAAAAUUCUAGUCCAAUCGACCACUAUGACUAAUGGGAAACGACAUUGCAAUUGACAUUGUUUUUCGCAAUAUGACAAAAUUUUGGAGGGAUAUGGGAGAAUCGUCAAAAGUUAACACCACACAAGAGUUUUAUUUAUUUAUUUAAUUUAUUUCACACAUAUAUUGUCUUGUUGGUAUUGUUUUGUAAAGAUAUAAAAGCACAAGUAAAAUAUUAGGGGAAGUAAAGUAAAAUAUUGGGGGUGCUGCUAAGUUACAACUGCUAUAACUUACAGUUCCUUCAAAAAUAAUGUAAAACAUUUAACACGUGGUGGGACCCACAUUAUGUUUGAAUAGUCCGUAAGUUAUAGCAGUUAUAAAUUAGUAAAAUCCAAAUAUUAGACAAUAAUACACAUUAACAAUGCAUAUAAUUUGGGUUUAAUUUUUUUUAAAUUAUUUGAGUAUUACCUAUCCUUAAGAUAUUAAUGAGAAUAUAUUUUAAUAUUGUGAAGCUUUCCUCAAUUAUUCUCAUGCACCCAGACCUUAUCUGGUCAAGUUUUCUGAUUCAAUACUGACGACAGCUUCUUUGUAAAGCUCUUCAACCACAAGCAUUUCUACAAGGCAAAGGACAAGGACGUGUUGGAAUGAAUAUCAACAUGGGAAUGUCUUAUGAAUUUAGUUUAUAUUCUAAUAUAAGACAAUCAAUAAAUAUUGGAUGCAAUCUAAGGGCUAACAUUUGAUUGAUUAAUAUAAGAAAAAAAAAGGGUACAAAAAUGCAAAACAGAGCUGAUUGAUGGCCUUUAACAGUCAGUUCUAUGACAAAGUAACCACCAUAACCAAUGGAAUUAUAAGACAUCAAGAAACUUGAACUUGGCAGGAGGUCUCAUUAGCAGUAUACCUCAGAAAUUAAGACAGAGACUUUAAAAUGCAAGCUUAUGGAGCAAUUUAAGCACUGAAACUAAUAACAGUGAUGCCAAAAAAGGUGCAGGAGUACGGUAUUAGCAAUUGACCUCUGCUUUUGCUUGGACAAAGGUUCUCAUCACAAGGGACUCAUUAGUUGCCCUUGCCUCACACGAUUGGAUGCUAAGGGGGAAAAGGAAGUUUGAAUUAGUCAAUCUCAUUUCUAAUGGCAUUCACAGAGAACCUAUAAAACAAAAAAGUAAAUAAAAAUUUUCAUCCAUGAAAAGCUUAGUAACGGAAAAACCGACUCUUUUAUCUGCCACUGACCUAAUCCGGACUCAUUUAAUUAAAAAAGAAUUCAAAGCAAAACUAAAAGACACAAAUUGCAUACAAGUCUAGGAGCCAUAUCAAAGGCGUUAUAUAACUUGUCCAAUUAAUAAAUUCUCUUAGGGACCAUGCCGUGCUCACUCAUUUCCAAAGCAAUUAAUGAUAAGAACUUUCAUCAUUAAUUGAUAUGGCCAGUGUAGAAAAAAAUGAAAAACCCCUCCAAGAUUAAAGCACAAGGAUAAGUUUAGAAUUACACUUCUUAAAUUUUGGUUAAUAAAUAAACGUCUAUAUGAAAAUAGAAAAUCUUUUUGGAAUAAAUAAACGUCAAAUUUUUGUUUCUAUCUUACUACCUUCUAAAUCCGCAAUCCCAAGUACUUAGAAGUAAAUGCUACAUAGUACAUGAGAUGUUUCCCGUUCAAAUAGCUCGUCCGAUACCAUUAACAUGUUCAUCUCUCUGUAAUUGGUGUAAUUACGAGAUUGGUGGUUGACAUGGCUUUCCUUGUACAGGUAUGUAUGAUUGUUUUUUUUUUUUUUGGCACUUCUAAAUGGAUACUGUUGAAAAGCUUAAAAUUGAACUGAUAAUUUUGUUUGGAAGCUCAGAAAAUUCAUGAGAAAGUGAAAUAGAAUAUGCUGGAUUUCUUUUCUUUCCAUAACAUACAAAUGACAAACGUAGCAGUAUUUAUACUCGUUGCUUACAUCAUAAAAACAGAAUUAAAGCAAGGUACACAACUAUAACAGCAUCAAAAGCGUGCUUAACUAAUUGGCUGAGCUGGCAUAUACUUCUUUAACUAACAAUGCUGCUGACUGGACUUUAGCUCACACAUGCUUAUCGUGCAGCUACUCUUAGUUCACACGUGCUCAGUGUGCUUCCUUAACAGACACAAGGGAAAAGACAUGAUUUUGAGAUAUAACGCUUGAAUGUUCUCGGAAUGGCAUAACGCUUCGUGUGUCUCGGAGCGGCUGAUUGGUGCUGUACGUGUUUCUCAUAUAGAACUCAAGUCUGCUGUUGUCCCAAAGUUGGAACCAGAGAUAUCAUGACUCUGGUUUCAUUUCACCUCAACUGUGUUUUUUUUUUUAAUUAAAAAAAUAAUUUUUUUAGGUAUACAUACAUGUAUUUUGAUCCCAUUUUCAUGGGAAUUUUGCAUUAAAAAAUGAAGAAUAGCUAAUAGGGAAUUUCCUGAUUCUUUAGUUACUAUUUUUGGAAUGAGGGUAAUUAGUAGUAAAGUUGGUUUCUACUCGCAAACAAGUGAGCUGCUCGAUUCCCAAGUGGUAUCAACCAGUUUUCAACUUUUUAAUAUACACAAAUUGUUAUUGUUUAAUAGCUACUACUAUUAAAACUCAACAUCUUACAAAAAUACUUAAAAAAAAUGAUUUUUUCUUAUGAUGCUGUAAAAAAAAUUACGGGUUUACUUAUUUCCACGAGAUCUUGUAUAGUGUUCUUGUAUAGUGGAAUUAAGAUUGUCUUCCCGAUGGUGCAAUUCACCCUCUUCCUUUACAGUCACUUGCACUUUGUGCAGCUUUGGUGUGGAUACGAUUCCCAGGGAAAAAGUCUUCAUGUUCGGACAAUGUGUCACAAAUACUCGUUCCAAUGAUGGGAAUUCAAGAGUGUAAUUCUCCAAACAAAAGCUGGUAAGCCUUGGUAAAUCAUCAAGUUCCAAAAGUUUUAAUUCACUGAAAGCAAUACGAUUCUCCUUCACUUCUUCUCCAGCAUGUCCUACGAUUUCUUCUAAUUUUUUGCAGUUCCAUACAUAAAGAUUCACCAGACUAGUAGGAAUUCCAACCUGAAAAUAAGCAGAGAGAGUGUGUGUGUAUAAAUAUUAAAAAAGUAAAAAUGUAAGAGUAUCAUUCAACUAGGCUCAAAGUAUGUUUGAUCAUACAAUUAUACGUUUUAUGAACAUAACAAACUGUGAAAUGUCUACUAGAUAUUUUUUGUUAAACAAAAAAGGUAACAAGAUAAAUAAAUAAAUAAAUAAAAGCCAGAUAAACAAAGAUGAUAAAAAUGUAUUUACACAAUUAGUAUUAGGGACGUAGAAAGAAUUUAAGGCAAUUUCUAAAUAUUUUAGACUUAUUUUGCAUCUUGAUAUAAGUUUUUAAGCAUAAAUUUGCACAUUUCAACUAUUCCUUUAAAAAAAAACUCAACUAAAAUGCCUCUUUUUCCCUUUUCCUUGGUCCCCUUUUUUUUAUGUAUAUAUAAAAAUGGAAAAAAAAAUUUGGAAAAGACUUCCUAGUACUGUCAACAAGGGAUUGCUGUAAAGUGGAUCUUUAUUAAGUACUUCCAGACUCGAGGAAAUUUCUUUACAAUCAAGGGUCAGUUGUAAACAAUCAUGAAUUUAUGGUUAAGUAAUGGCAUAAUCAAUUCUUAACUAAACUGGAGAUAUUAAUUAAAUUUGAAGACUUUUUUUUUUUCCCAAUCGAAAUGUGAAGAACUAAGGAAAAGAGAAAUAUAUAGAUGAAUUUGUGAACUUAUAAGAUGAGUGACUAUCCUUUAAUUUUUGAAAAUCGUACUUAUUAAGAUAUGAGCAAAAACAAUUAAAUUGAAUUAUAUUAUGCUGUUGAAUCUGUUUAAAAAAAUUAUAUUGUUGAUUCUAAUGCUGGUGAACCUAAAAACUAGACUUAAAACGUAGAUUUCAGAGUGGUGGUUUGAAGUACAAUAUUUGAAAUAAAUAAUUAGUGGCUGAAUAUCAUUUGUAAACACAGAAAUGAUUAAAAAAUUGUUGAAUGUUAUUUGAAAAAAAAAAUCGAAAUGAAUACAGAAACCUUACCAAUGGAGGAAAAAUAUUCAUUAGCUUAUCACACUCUUCUAUCUCCAAAUUCUUCAAUUUCCUGAAAGACUCCGAAGCAAGCUGGUGGUGCCAUAUUGUUCUUAGGUUAUCCAUCCACACAAUAUAUAAUACCUCCAACCUAGGAAGUCGUACCUGGCAAUUAAAGAUUAAAUAACUAAUUAAUCAAUUAAUGGCAUAAUCAAUUGAUAACUAAAUUAGAGGCGGAUAUUAACUAAAUUUGAAGACUCAAGGAAAAGACAAAUCAAGUAUUGUGACUAAAAUUAUUUUUUUAAUUAAAAAAAAAAAACUUUUCAUCAAAGAGAGGAGGAGGUUGCAUUUCAGAAUGAAUAGUGUCUUCUGGUGAGCUCGUAGAGAUGAAUCUUAACAUAUUACUGCAACAACCAAUCAUGAGGUUUAGCAAAGAAGGGAAUUCAACAACUAAAUCUGAAUGAAUAUGUCCCAUAUUGGCAAAACCUUUAAUUCAAUCAACUUUCCUUCAUCUCUUUCUGACCAUCCCGUGGUGUCGACUACCCCUUCCAUUGACUCACAAUAGCUUAUCUCAAGAUGUUGGAGUUGCAAAAGGCUAUUAACCAUAGAAUAUGAAAACAGAUACUUUAGACGAUAACACCUUUCCACAGUCACUUUUGUUAAAUUUUGACGAAAGUACAUUCCUUGAUUAUGAUCGGCCCAUAAUUUUUUCAUGUUUCUUAAGUCCCUGAGAUUCAAUUCCUCUAAGCUCGGAAGAAUAACCUGCAAAGAAAACCCGUACAUUUUUGUUCCUUCAAGUACAACCGUCUAGUAUAAUAUUCUUUUGAUGAUCAAAGAUUAAUUGUGAUAAUAAAUUAAUCAAUUAAUUAUUGAACAGAAAAUUAUCACCUUUGGAGCAGGAUCAUCAUCAGCAAUGAUUUCGUUGAAUCCCAAAGAAGUUGUUGGUUUGCUAAUUGUUGCACCAAAGAAGUAAGAUUUGAAACUUGUUUUUCUAGAGAAGUAGUACUUACCUCAUUGACUCGCUUAGGUGGCGGCAGUAGAUCGUUCCUAGUGUUGAACUGUUGGGAAUUAGCAGCCAUGUUAGCAAUGAGAUUUCGGGCUGCUUCUGGUGUCUUAUCCACGAGUGCUCCUCCACUAGCGGCAUCAAUCAUACUCCUAUCCAUAGGUAGUAGAACCUCAUAAAAGUAUUGAAUAAGAAGUUGAUCACUUAUCUGAUGGUGAGGGCAACUAGCACAUAGCUUUUUGAAUCGUUCCCAAUAGUCGUAGAGCGACUCUCCAUUAUACUGUCGGAUUCCACAAAUUUCUUUUCGAAUGCUGCCAGCUUUUGAUGCUGGGAAAUAUUUCUCCAAAAAUAGCUGACGCAUCUCAUUCCAUGUAGUGACAGUACCGGAGGGAAGAUAGUACAACCAUUCCUUGGCUGAAUCCGCCAAAGAGAAUGGGAAGGCCAUUAGCUUAACUUGCUCUUCAGAAACUCCGGCUGGUUUCAUUGUGGAGCAGACCACAUGGAACUCCUUCAAGUGGUUAUUUGGAUCCUCUCCUGCAAGACCAUGAAAAGUAGGAAGAAGAUGAAUCAUCCCAGAUUUGAGUUCAAAGUUUACUUGAGGGUUUGGAUUCUCAAUGCAUAAGGGUUGUUGGUCCAAGUUAGGAGCUGCCAACUCUUUAAGUGUUCGGUUGUUAUUCUGAGCCAUUGGUUGGGGUUCUGGGCUGCUUGGNNNNNNNNNNNNNNNNNNNNNNNNNNNNNNNNNNNNNNNNNNNNNNNNNNNNNNNNNNNNNNNNNNNNNNNNNNNNNNNNNNNNNNNNNNNNNNNNNNNNNNNNNNNNNNNNNNNNNNNNNNNNNNNNNNNNNNNNNNNNNNNNNNNNNNNNNNNNNNNNNNNNNNNNNNNNNNNNNNNNNNNNNNNNNNNNNNNNNNNNNNNNNNNNNNNNNNNNNNNNNNNNNNNNNNNNNNNNNNNNNNNNNNNNNNNNNNNNNNNNNNNNNNNNNNNNNNNNNNNNNNNNNNNNNNNNNNNNNNNNNNNNNNNNNNNNNNNNNNNNNNNNNNNNNNNNNNNNNNNNNNNNNNNNNNNNNNNNNNNNNNNNNNNNNNNNNNNNNNNNNNNNNNNNNNNNNNNNNNNNNNNNNNNNNNNNNNNNNNNNGCUAGUCCCCGGCAACGGCGCCAAAAAUUUGGUAGUGUCGUUAAGGUGCACCAAAUUUAAAACCUUACCACUAAUAUAAAUAAUUAGUACAGAGCGAGUAAGGAUCGAUCCCAUAGAGACUAUGCUAGUUAUAUUUAUUAUUAACUCCAAAGCAAGAUUUAAAAUAAAAUAAUAGUAAUAGUAAUAAUAAUAUAAAUUAAUCUAACUAAAGAAAAUGCCAAUUAAAAAUAAAAGGGGGGUUUAUGAAUUUUUAACUAAAUAGUAAGAAAUAAAGAAAUUAAAAUUACGAACAAGAAUUUAAUAAAAACUCUAAUUAAAGGAGAAAGAAAUAAUAAUGAUGAAAACUUUGGUUAAAGGAUCAUUCGCCACCACCAAACAUGCACAUAAUAAAUCAAUUCUAUUAUCAAUUUAUAUUGAAACUAUCAACCAUAGACAACAAUAAGCUCUGUUAGUCUCAAUCUUUCCUUAGUGUGUCGUUAGGUAAAAUAAGCUCUUCACCUAAUCUAUAACCAUUAAAUAAUUUAAAACAAGCUCUUUAAAUUUAAGAUAAUGGAAGCAUUAAACAAAGAAAGAAAUUAGGUUGAUCUAGGCAAUAAACACACAAGCUCAGAUUAUUUAACCUAGGUUAUGUUCUCCAAUUGAAAUCAUUAAUUCCAACCUGCUACUAAUGAUUAAAAUAUCAAGACAAUUACGGAUCAAGAAUUUUAAUCUAGCAAUAAAAUUUAUUCAAGUCCUAUCUAAUUGGCCACUCAAACAAAACAAGAAUAAACCAUGAACAUUAAUUAUAGAAGAACAUAAACAAUCUCAAUUAAAUAAAUUGAAUGAUAGAAUUUAAAUUUAAUUGCAUAGCAUGUUUAGGGUUUUGAAUUCACCCUCAACCAAAUAAAAAUCUAGCCUAACAUAAUUGAAUUGGGAAUAAGAGAAUUGACAAAACCAAUCAUAGAGAUUAAUUCAAGCGGCUGCCUUUUUCUUCAAUUGAAUUCCGGCUGCUGAUUUUUUCUUCUUCUUGCGGCUAUUGAUUUUCCUCUUGCUGCCGAAUUGGAUUUGCCCUCCCAAAGUCUCUUGCUGCCCGAAUUCUUUUCCCUCUAUUGCUUCCGCUUGAUCCUAUUUAUAAUGCUUCAAUUGUGGCUUUUUUUAAAUCCUUGCCUGGAAAGAAUUAAAUUCAAAGCUCAAAACCGCCACCUCAUGCUUCAAUUAAUAAGCCAAUAAUGAUUUCCUAAAGCCAAAAGGCUUUAUUCUCUUUCCUUUCACGUGGCAACUUUUGGUUUGCAUCUUUGUUUUCCAAUUUUGCUUUCAUGUGAUGGCUUGGCUUGUUAAUUGGCUUGGCUUCCUUUUUGACUUCCAUUUUCUAAUUUUAGCUCCAUGUGCAACAUUAAUUUUGCUCGGCCCAUACAAGCUUUAAUUAAAUUUAUUUUCUAAUUCCUUCCAAUUCUUGAUCUCUUGUGCACUUUUGUCUCUCAAUCUUCAAUCAAAUUUUUUUUCUUGAAUGCUCCGAUUUAAUUUCUCUUUAAUUCCAGAAUAUACCUAAAAUAACAAAAUAAAUAAAACUAAGAUAAAAAUUAACAAAAUAAAAUAUAAUUUACUAAAUUAAAAAUUAACUAAAAUAACUAGAAUAUUUAAGACCAAAACAAGAAAAAGAUAGAGAAAUUAAUAGCAAAAUAUAUGAAAAAUAUGCACUUAUCACAAGCCUCUCAUUUUUCAAAGCUUUUGCAAGGGUAAUAAGUGCAACAGGCAAUCCUCCGCAUUUUUCAACGAUCUCAUCUGCUAAAGGUUGAAAAGCAGAUGCUUUUGCAGAAUUACACACUAUCUUUCCAAACAAUUGCAAUGCUUCUUCCUUUGAUAAAACUUCAAUUGAGAAAUCCUUCUGAGAUUUCAUAUCAUUGCGCAAUAAAUCUCGACUUCUAGACGUCAAUAUUAUUGUGCGUCUUCUCCGAUCGUCCUCUCUAUCUUUCUCAUCAACAUCCCCAUAAGGAAUUCCAACUGUAUCGAACUCAAGUUUUGUCCAAAUAUUAUCCAGUAUAAUGAGGAGCCGCUUCUCUUGCUUCAACCUUUGACACAGUCGAGAAGCUCUUUGAAAUUCAUUCUCAUUCAAGUCAAAUUCCAUGCCUAAAUCAAAAGCAAGUUUGUCUUGAAUUUUAUGAUGAUCUGGGGUCUGUGUUAUCUCAGCCAUAACGAACUUAUCGAACAACUUAUCUUCCAUCACUUGGUUUGCAACUUGUUUGACCAGCGUGGUUUUGCCCACGCCGCCCAUCCCAUAGACCCCAAUUAUGUUGACCUUGUCAUCCUUCACCGCCUCCAUAACAUCUUGAAAUACUUUCAUUCUUGAAUCAAACGCCUCGAAAUCUUUCACUUGCAUAUGUUCUGCCCGCUUUGGAGCAGGACUGUAGGAAACAUUGGAGAAGUUGCCUUUUCCCACGAGACUAGCGGCAGCUUCUGCCGCCUUUGCUGCUUGUUUACUAAGCUUGUAACGAGAAAUCAAGUUUGGGCAUAAUCCUUUGAAGCAGGACUUCUUAGCUCUAUCUUCAUCAUCAAUGAUGGAUUUUGCAACCCCUUCACUGAUGAAUUCAUCAACGCUAUGUAGCCAGUCUGUGACACCCUCAUAAAGCUCAUCCCCUUGUAGCCUAGCAUGAUUAACUGGUUGCUGCACCAUUUCUCUCUUAUAUCCCAGCUGCUUCACUUGAUCUUUUAGCUCAUCUAUGUAGCUCUGGUACUUGAACACAUAAGAUAUCUGCCGUGUAAUCGGGUUGAACAGUGACUUUGCACCUUCUGAUACACAGUUGGUUAAAAAAGCCAGACACGCUUCUAUAGCCAUUGCCGGUUGCUUAACAAUAUAUAUCUAGUUUUUGGCUGUUGAAAAAAAAAAUGGAUUCAAAUAAAUUAAAUGAACUAGCGGGGAAGAAAAAGAAAGAAACGACAACAAACAACUUUUUAGAAAAAGGUUUCAGGGGCCUGAAUGGAAAACCAACAAUUUUUUGAAGAAAGAAAACUUUUUUGGAAGAUGGAUGCAAAUUAACCAUUAAUAAUACUGCAUAAGAACACAGAAGUUAACAAUAAACAGUAACUUAAAACUCAAGAAAAUUAAAUGACAAGAUUAAGACAAACAAGAGAUAGUUUUUGUUGGACAUUAAGAAACAUCUGCUAUCAAGAUCAAAGAUUAGAAAUUAUGCUAUUGAAAGAAAUUAUUAAAGUAUUUAGAACAAACGCACCUCUUCAAUUAUCGAGGAUCACAGAGUUUAUGAGCUUCACUCUUGGCCUUCGAUUUAUAAGAAAAAUUUUAAUGAGCAAAAGAUCACUGUUAACUGCAGAAGAAUGUGAGUAAAGAGUUUAUGGGAGUAAGCAAUACAAUUGAAUUGUAAAAGAACAAGACUUAAAGCGUGCACCCCGUGUUCAUAUAAACAGAACACAUGUUCAUUUUUAACAAAGUGAUCAAUAACUCUAUUCGUUAUUUAAUUGAUAUUGUAACCAAUUCUAAGAGAAUAUAAUAAUAAUCAUUCAAUCCAUAAAUUUAGAAUUAGAUUUUUUUAACUCUUUAUUUAAAUAUAAACCUUAAUGGAAAAUUAUAAAAGUUUAGAGAUAAAAUUUUUCAAUCACCAAACGAAAAAAACAGGGGAAUGAAAACAGAGGAAUCUUGUUUUAACUAUUUUUUUCCUCAACUCUCGUUCUUAUAUUAAUAAUCUUGUUUUGAUGAUAGUGCUCGUGACUGCGGGAAAAUUUCUACUGGAAACAACUCAAUUUCGGAAGAAAACUUAAUUUUGCAAGUGAUGAAUUUGAACUCGUUGGAUUGGUUGAUUUAUGAUUGACUGAAUUUCACUUUUGCCCAAAAGAUCUUUAACCAAAGUUUAAUAGCCAUCAUGUACUCCUUAAAAGCAAUUUUUUUUUUUAGAUUUGACUGAAUUUGAACUUGUUGGAUUGGUUGUUUUUAGAUUAUUAAUAUGAGAUAUUACAACGUAAAUAUUUUCAUGUGGUUGAGCCCUAUUCUAAAAUCUGUAUAGUUAGCUUUAGAAAAAGGGCUUUUCCUGCUGAUCUGUAAUCUUCAAAUAAACUUAGAUACAAAUAAUGAAAUAAAAGACAACAAACAAGCAAUACUGAUACAAAGCCAACAGAUCAGAGUUUUUUCUUGCCUUCUUUUGUUGAAGGAUUAGAGUUUUUGGUAUUAUCAGUAAAGGUUUCAAGGAGUAAAGCCUAUAAACUUUUUUUUUGGGGGGGGCGCCGCCGCGGGGAGGGGGGGGGGGGGGAGAGCAUGCAAAUUAACCAAAAGAAAUAAUAAGAGCACAGGCUUUAACAAUGAAUACUGACUUAAAACUCAUGCAAAAUAAGUUACAAUAUUAAAACAAACCAGAGAAAAUUUUUUCUUGGAAAGUAGAUGGAACUUAUGAAAGAGCAGAUGUCAAGGAUUUAGAAAACGCGCACCUCUUUAAUUAUCUGGGAUUAGAGAGUUGGUGAGCUUCUCUAUUUAAGAACAAGUUGAAAGAGGAAAAAGAUCACUGGUAACUGCUGAGGAAUGUGUGAGAAAAGAGUUGAUGAGAGCAAUAACAAAGACCUGCAAAAGAAAAAGAAUUAGUCAUGCACCGCUUUUCUAUAUCAUGUAUUUGGUUAUUGUUGCCCUGUUGACGCAUGUUGAAGAAGAAAGCACUAGUUCACAACUCUACGUUUUCAUAUAUUCUAAAGAAAUAAUUAAGUUUUCAUAGAAUGAUACCUGUUGUGUUUGAGUAAUUUUGGUAUAUACAUUGCUUGUGUACUGUGAAAUUGAAAUGAAUAUUGAUGGAAUGACUGAAUUUCACUUUUGCCCAAAAGAUCUUUAACCAAAGUUUAAUAGCUAUCAUGUACUCCUUAAAAGCAAUUUUUUUUUUUAGAUUUGACUGAAUUUGAACUUGUUGGAUUGGUUGUUUUUAGAUUAUUAAUAUGAGAUAUUACAACGUAAAUAUUUUCAUGUGGUUGAGCCCUAUUCUAAAAUCUGUAUAGUUAGCUUUAGAAAAAGGGCUUUUCCUGCUGAUCUGUAAUCUUCAAAUAAACUUAGAUACAAAUAAUGAAAUAAAAGACAACAAACAAGCAAUACUGAUGCAAAGCCAACAGAUCAGAGUUUUUGGUACAAAGCCAAUAAAAGACAAUAAACUUAGGACCUUUUUUUCUUGCUUUCUUUUGUUGCAGGAUUAGAGUUUUUGGUAUUAUCAGUAAAGGUUUCAAGGGUCUGAGUAAAAGCCUAUAAUCUUUUUAUAAACUUUUUUUUUUGGGGGGGGGGGGGGGGGGGGAGCAUGCAAAUUAACCAAAAGAAAUAAUAAGAGCACAGGCUUUAACAAUGAAUAGUAACUUAAAACUCAUGCAAAAUAAGUUACAAUAUUAAAACAAACCAGAGAAAAUUUUUUCUUGGAAAGUAGAUGGAACUUAAGAAAGAGCAGAUGUCAAGAUCAAGGAUCAGGGAUUCUACUAUCAAAAAAAAAAAAAUUAUUCAAGGAUUUAGAAAUCGUGCACCUCUUUAAUUAUCUGGGAUUAGAGAGUUGGUGAGCUUCUCUAUUUGGCCUUCAAUAUUUAAGAACAAGUUGAAAGAGGAAAAAGAUCACAGGUAACUGCUGAGGAAUGUGUGAGAAAAGAGUUGAUGAGAGCAAUAACAAAGACCUGCAAAAGAAAAAGAAUUAGUCAUGCACCGCUUUUCUAUAUCAUGUAUUUGGUUAUUGUUGCCCUGUUGACGCAUGUUGAAGAAGAAAGCACUAGUUCACAACUCUACGUUUUCAUAUAUUCUAAAGAAAUAAUUAAGUUUUCAUAGAAUAAUUUUGGUAUAUACAUUGCUUGUGUACUGUGAAAUUGAAAUGAAUAUUGAUGGACAGAGCAAUGCAUAUGCCUAAAAAAACAUAAAGCAAAUCCUUGAACGAAUGAUUCAGGACUAAAACUUUUAUAAAAGCAAAUACCGGAAACACACAAAAAGCAUUUAAGAGAGAAACUAAACCGCAAAUAAUCGAAGUAAGAUCAAUAAUAUAUGAUUUGAUUUAUGCAUAUUCAAAAACCAAAAUAUAAAAUAAAAUACAAAAUUAAAGUUUGGUUUAUUCUUUCCACAAAAAACAGGGGAAUGAAAACAGAGGCAACUUGUUUUACCAAUUUUUUCUUCUUAAUUUCCGGCAAAAAAAAUCAAUAAACAGGGGAAUGAAAACAAAGGAACGAAAACAGAGGAAACUUGCUUUUCAGGCUAUCUUGUGACAUGAUGAUAUUGCUCGUGAAUGCAUGAAAAUUUCUAAUGCAAACAGCUCAAUUUGGGAUGAUAAGCUUAAGUUUGCAAGUGAUGCAUGAUAAUCAGAUAUUUGUGGCUUUUAAAACUCAAGAAAACUCAAGAAAAUUAAAUGACAAGAUUAAGACAAACAAGAGAUAGUUUUUGUUGGACAUUAAGAAACAACUACUAUCAAGAUCAAAGAUUAGAAAUUAUGCUAUUGAAAGAAAUUAUUAAAGUAUUUAGAACAAACGCACCUCUUCAAUUAUCGAGGAUCACAGAGUUUAUGAGCUUCACUCUUGGCCUUCGAUUUAUAAGAAAAAUUUUAAUGAGCAAAAGAUCGCUGUUAACUGCAGAAGAAUGUGAGUAAAGAGUUUAUGGGAGUAAGCAAUACAAUUGAAUUGUAAAAGAACAAGACUUAAAGCGUGCACCCCGUGUUCAUAUAAACAGAACACAUGUUCAUUUUUAACAAAGUGAUCAAUAACUCUAUUCGUUAUUUAAUUGAUAUUGUAACCAAGAUCAAGGAUCAGGGAUUCUUAUGCCUACUGAUAUUUAAACAGAGAAUUCUUUCUUCUUUUUCUCUUCAUGGAUUAGAGUUUUUGCUAGUAACAGAAAGGUUUCAAGGGUCUGAAUAAAAUCCCAGAUUUUUUUUUAACUUUGUUUUUUGUGGGAAAAUGGAUUCAAAUUAACCAAAGCCAAUAAUAAGAUCACAGACUUUAACAAUGAACAAUAACUUAAGCAAAACCAAUGACAAGAUUAAAACAAACCACAGAAAUUUUUUCUCGGAAAGUAGAUGAAAAGCAAGUAAGAACUGCUAUUAAAGGAUAUUAUUAAAGGAUUUAGAACAUGUAUACCUCUUUAUUUAUAUGGGAUCAGAGAAUCGAUGACCUCCUCUAUUCGCUUCAGAUAUUAAGUAAGAACUGCUAUUAAAAGAAUGAAUUGAUGAGAGUAAUAACAAUGAUUGCAAAAUAGGAAGACUCAAUCAUGCACCCCUUUUAUACCUGAUCAUAUUAAGAAGUCGUUAAAGAAUAACGACUAAAUUAGGAAUUAAUUCUGAAGUUCAGAAUCAAGAACAAAGACGAAGCUUUAAUAACGCAUGCAGUGAGAUACAAGAAAUGGAUCUGGUAAAAUACAUUAAAAAAAUUUGUUCAACUUCAACCUAGUUAAGCUGAUGAAAGCACUAGUUGUUGGCUCUACGUUUCAUAUGUUCUAAUGAAAUAAUUAAGUUGAAGUUUUCAACGAAUAAAUACCUGUUUCGCUUGAAUAGCUUUGGCAUAUACAUUACUUGUGUCCUGUGAAAUUGAAAAGGUUAUUGAUUUACAAAGCUUAUUAGUAGAGAAAAGCUACGUAAGAUGCCUGAUAAAAGAUAAAGCAAGAGCUUGAAUGAAGAAUGACAUUUUAGAAAGAAACUAAAGUGUAAUCAUCAAAGUAGGAUCAAUAAUGUACCACUUUCCUUGCAAAUCUGGUGGGUUUUCUGAAUAGAUUUUUACAUUAUUCUAUUUAACCAUUUUGGGUUUACCCUAAGCAUUCUUGGUUGGCAUUGUCCUGUAAUCUGCGUGCCCUGGAUACGUGUGAGGGAAAGAUGAGGGUAGAUAUGCAAUUUCAAGAAGCGAUUUGCUUGCAUAAUUCAAUGCAUGGAAAGAGAUGUACCUGACCAGAAAAAAAAGGGCACCAUCCAUAUCUGAGCUUGACUUUUUAGAUGGAUAAAUAUUCUUAUUACUGUUGAUAAUGGAGAAGGGUUCUACUUUUACUUUGCCAUCUUUGAUAUAAAACAGCAUGAUUCCUUUUUAUCAAACACUUGCCUAAGUCUAUUUUUUAUUUUUCUUAUUUUCAGAAAGAGAUUAGCUUAAUUUAAAUUAUAUUCAAGUACAAAGUGUUAUACACUCAUAAAACGAGAAAUAGGCAUGUAUUGAUCACGCGCAAUCUAGUUUUUUUUUUUUUUCUUUUUUUUUAAUCCAGUCUUCUUAUUAAAAAAAAAAGAAUUUAUUUGCUUUAUUUUAAAUUAUUUUUUCAUGCGGUAAAUGCAAUACUGAGUAAUGGGUGAGCAAAAUAUUUACAGGCACACCCCCUUUUAAUGAUUUCGUACUAAAAUUAAAAAUUGACGAUUCCAUGAUAAAGUUCAAAGAGUAAAUGAAGACCCAUAAAUGUUUUUUGGUCAUGAGCAAUUUUUGAGUUGGGACAGCACUCGUAUGAAAAAAAAUAGUUUUUUUUUUUCUUUAAGCAUGAGGAUAUUAAUUCUUUUUUUAUAAAUCAGCGUGAAUAUAAAAUUAAAAAAAUAGUUUUGAAUAACUUCUUUUCUUUUUUCAUAAAUAUAGAUAAAAAAUUUUAAAGUCACCAAACACAAAACCAGGAAAAUGGAAAGGAAGCCCCUGUUUCUCCGCUGCUGCAAGCACAAAUUCGGUUUCUACAGGAGUACCUUCUAAAUGCACCAUUUGUAUUGCUUUGUUUCCACGUAAGCUAACGGAAUUUGAUGAAGACAAAAUAGAUAUGAGUCGUGCUAUUCACACCCCUCGAUAAUUCUCUCAAAAUCCCCUUUCUAAUUAUACCGCCUUGAAUAAUUUCAAAACUGACUUUUCCUCUUAUAAUACCACCUUCAAUUCCCUUAAUACCCUUGUUCGCUAUGAAAAUAAGGAAAAUGCCUACAUAAAAAGCUGGCUCUGAUAAUCUACCUGAAUUUACAUUAGAAAAGAGUGGACUUUGAGAAAUAAGAAGACAAUAUAGGGAAUUUUACCAAAAUAAUCCAUUUUUAUAUACAGGGAAUGGUAUUUUCUAAUAUAAGGAGGAGUGGAGAAAUUAAAUUUAGCAAAAUAAAGAACCUCCAUCGAGAAGCAAAAAUGAUGAUAUCUUUGUCGUGAAGAGAUUUCAAUUCAAUUGCAUACAUUGACGAAACAUUAAAUACGGAAAAAACAAAAAAGAAAUAAUAGAACAUGGGGAUUUCGAGAACUUCUAAAGAGAGAAAUGUAUUUAUAAGCAUUGAAAAUUAGCUCAUUAAAUUUGACAGAAUAAUAUACAAUCUCACUGUUGGCCAGAAAAUAAUAGUAAGAACUUGUGAACAUAUAUAAUCAAUUGCUUAUUACUUAAGCUUUUUCUCCGUUAUUUUGAAUGGGUGCAAAGAGGAGAAGUUUUGUACCCAAAUUCCAACUCGAAUUGUGUAGGCUGCUUGCAAGAGCUUCAUUAGAUUUUUAUUUGUCUUUUAAUAGUGCUACUCGAUAAAUACAGCUAGCUAUCUGUCCUUUUUGUUACUGGACUAUAGAUCAAUUGACAGUUGAAGUUAUAUUAAUUUGUUGUACUGGAAUUGAAGCUUGUAUCUUAGCCAUUUCGUGAAGUGUCAAAUAUAUUUUUAAUUUCCUUAAAAUUGUUCAAAAUAUGUUUACACUUUUAAAGUCACUAUUAUACAUGAGUGCCCUAAAAUCAUUUCCUUAAAAUUGUUCAAGUGGGAUCCUAGUUCUCUAUGGCAGUUGAAGAGGUAAAUGCGCAUAGAGCUAUGCUCUAUCAUAGGCCUCGGCCACUAUAAGAAAUUUGAUUUUUUAAGACGAUAUUUUUUACAACAACUUUAAAUUUGGUCACAAAAUGGUAUUUAUUGUGACAAAUUUUUUAAAUCGUAGCUAAUAAUCUUGUCCUAACUUAUAUUUUUUUUUGUAACCAAUUAUUUUUAUUUUGAGACUUGUUCAUUGGUCAUUAAUUAAAUUUUUUUAUACCAAAAAUUAUUUUAGUCACCAAAAGAUAUAUUUUUUUGGCGCAAAAUCUUCCCUCCAAAAGUGAUUAUUUUGAGACAAUAUUUCACUAUUUAUGACAAAAUAAAUAGUCAUGAAAUAUAAUUAUAGGCGACCAAAUUAUUUGGUAACUAAAAGAGGGGUGUAAAAUUAACUAAACAAUCUAUGACACAAAAUAUUAGUAGCCAAAAUUAUUGUUCUUUUGGCAUAUUUUAAGACCAUUUUUUUGGUCAUAUAUAAUUACCUACAGUGACAAAAUUAAAAAAUAGUCGUUGAAUGUUUUAUCUUGAAUAAUUUUAUAUUUGAUAACCAAUUUUUUUUUCUUUUUGAGACAUAUUACUUGGUCCCUAUUUCAACUUCUUUUUGACUAACUUUAUAAUAGUCACAAAAGACAUUUUUUUUUUUUUUGGCAUAAAAAGUCUGUCCAAAGUUAGCUCUUUUGGGACAAUAUAUAAUCUUUUAUGACAAAAUAUAUAGUGGCGAAAUAUAAUUAUUUUUUACAAAGUUAUUUCGUAGCUGAAAAAGAGGUGUAAAUUUAGUUAACCUAUUUGUGACAUAAAAUAUUAGUCUCCAAAACUAUUAUGCUUUUAGCCAAUUUUAAGACCCGAUUUUGUUGUCAUGGAUAAUUACCUAUUUUCAAAAAACUAAGAGAUAGUAAUCAAAAGUUUGUCUUGAUUGACAUUGUAUUUUAUGAGCAAAAUAUUUUGUUUCAGUGACACUUUACUUGGUCUCUGAUUAGACUUGUUUGUGAUGAUCAAUAGAAAUAUAUAAUAACCACUAAAUUUUUUUGGAUUAAAUUUUAUAGAUACUAUUAAUUAAGUUGUUGACGAAAAUGAUCGAACCAAUACUAAUAUGGGAUACCAUCAACAGCCGUAAUACUUAUGAACCGAGAAAUUAUAAUAUGUAGUGAAAAAGUUUUAACAGUAGUCCCUAGUAUUUAGAAUUAUUUUGACUACUUUAUUUAUUUCCAAAACAUAAAAUUCUCAACCCAAAAUUCCCCGCAUUGUGUUUUAUUUUGUCUCCUCACUCAGUUACUCUUAUUAACUCACGGCUUGACAAAAAAAAGAAAAAAAUUCUCACAGCUUGAUGUUCUCCUCUCUUUAAAAAUAAAAAUCCCCAGUUACUCUGCUCAAACUCGUUAAUAUUUGUUUCCACCACCAAAGCAGCCACUCGUAUCUUUUAUUAAGCAUAACGUUUUUCUUAAAACCUAAUUGAUCAUUCUUUAACGUCUCCAGGAUUAUAUUUGGCACGCUAUUUUUCUCCUUCAAUUGAAUAGAAGUCUAGAACCUUUUUUUUUUCGCAAUUCACUUUUGCUGUGUUUCGUGGUUUGGACUAAGAUCAUGACAAUUAUUGAACGAUGGGGAUAAAUAUCAAAGAAGGAGCUUACAUGCCCUAUAUAUCUCUCUUUGGAUGAAUAACGAAUGUGAGCUUUCAAAGUACAGAGAUUUACAUGUUUUAAUUGUCAUUUACAUUGCUGCAUGCCAAUUGCUUGAUAAAAUACUGCAACAAAUACGCAUUCUCGAUUUUCUUAUAAAUUUAUUUUCUUAAUCUGAAAAAAAUUGAAUGUUCAGAGAAUUUUGAAGGUUUUGGUGUAUGCAUUAAUAUUUCGAUUCUAUUUAUGUUGUUUAACUAAUGAAGAUGAUACAUCUAGCCUCUUUUUGCCCCUUGUUGUUUUUAUUCUUGUGCUUUAUAUACGGUUCAAGUGUGAUACACUUUAGUUUUUCUCAAGUGUUUGUUAGUAUUUCCCGAAGCAAAAUUUGUCACAGACUUUGAGUUCAAAAGUUGAAAUCAUAACUAACAUACUUCGAUUUUUUAUUUUCCUUUUUUCUUCGGUAUCCUUCUAUAUGGCAUUGGUUGAGAAAUUGGUGUACUUAGAUCGUAAUAUUCUGUAGAAAUAAGCCAAUAUUUCAUUACGUACAUUGUUUAAUAUGAUGAGUAUUGUAUAGAAGUUUUACAUAUAAGCUCCUUAUAUAUUAUGCAUUAUGUUUUUAUCAUAUUGUUGCUUGGAACUUUGAAGGAUUGGCCACAGGGCUUUAGUCCUACAUGGACAUUUUAUAUUUAAUAGCUGGUUAGGCAUUUUAUUUGAUGUUAUUUGGACUUGUAGGUGUUAAAAGUUUUGUUCAGUAAUUUUAUAAUUCAGAUUCCCAUUGUGAUAAGAUAGCAAUUUUUUGUGUGUCAGAUUCUGUCAACUGAUAUUUAGCUAAAAUAUCUCACUAACCCCUAUUGGUUAGGUAUUAUUUUAAAUCACAUACUUGAUUUUUAUUUUCUUUUUAUCUGUGGAAUCCCAUGUAUCAUUCAUAAGAAACAAGCUAUUAUAUAAUCUAUUCUUUAGAUCCAUUUAUAUGUAGUGAGCACUCUGAUUUCUAUUAUUUGAAUUUUUUGCUACUGUUACUACUCUUUCGGCCCUUCAAAUAGGGGUUAACAGAAAUGGUGAGUAUAUUAAUACAAAUUCAAACUUUCUUUUUCUAAUUUUAUCCAAAAUAACCUACUAUUUUAUUUUAAUUUCAAACUUUUGUCAUAGUCUAAUGGGCAGUUGUCUUGUCAUUAUUUGGUUUCAAGUAAGAAGAGAGAAAGUUAGUGAGAGGAUGAAAAUUUUGCAAAAACUUGUUCAUAGCUAUGGUAAUUAAGUAGUUUGAGUUCUUUUUUUUGUUGUUUUCUAUGUUGGUUUUGGAUCAUUGUAGUUGCUGAUUGUGAUUUAUUGUCGCCUAUGGUUGCUGACUUUUGUUUACUGUGGCUACUUUAUUAAAGCAAUUUUGGAUAUUGAAGUUUAUGGCCAACUUUUAUUAGACACUUCUGACCUUUAUCGAUAUAUUUUCUGAACCUUUACACUUAAGAUGUGUGUGUGUGUUUUUAAAAAAUACAUGUGAAUGAAAUAGUACUUGAAAUAAUAUAUUUUCUCAACUUUUAUUAGAUAUAGUGAAAUAGUACUUGAAAUAAUAUAUUUUCUCAACUUUUAUUAGAUAAUUCAAAGUAUAUCCCACUUAUUAUCGAUAUAUUUGCUCAAGUCUCAUGUGCAACAUGUGAAUGAAAUAGUACUUGAAAUAAUAGAGACUUUGUUUUAUGACUCAUAUUUUUACAUUUCUUUGCAAGGAACCAUACUUAAUUGUACCUAAUAGAAGAGAUAUCUUUUCACUAUAUAGUCUUAGUAUAAAAAGAUACAUCUUCUAUAUAAGGCACAAUUGAUGGGACAUAUCUUUAUACUAAGACAUCAUUCAUAUUUAUCACACAAUAAUAGAAACUGCAAUGGUAGGUGGAAUAUUAUGAAGUCAAAAUUGAGAACGACAUUAAAUCAUGAAUUCUUUAUGUGUUUACUCGAAUGCCUGACAGUAUUUAGUUCAAUUAACACAGAUUGGAAAUCCAAAUGAUUGAAGAGUUGUAUGAGUUCAAGUUCAGUAUUUAAUUACUAUAUAAUUAUACAUAAAUGUGGAUUUUGCAAGCUUGAACCCAUGUGUGUUAGCCCAUUUCGGCCCAAUAAACAUAUUGUUCUGGAUAAAAAAUAUCAGGGGAUCUCUGAUGUUUCUUUGGUUUAACAUAAAUUUAUUCCUAACUCUAUAACCAUGCAUUAUUUAGACAAAAAUUUUUGCAAUCACCAAACAGUAAAACAGAGAAAUAAAAACGGAGGAGCUCUUUUCUAAAACAGAAGUAGGUGUUUUGUCUGAACGUACCACUUUCUGUUUAAUUAUUAUGUUUACGGAAUAGAUUUUUUUUUAUUAUUCUGUUUUAUGUUUCCGUCUUUACCCUAAGCAUUCUUGGUUGGCAUCGCUGCAUUGUCCUGUAAUCUGUGUGCCUUGGUGAGGAGGGGAAUGGAUAACUGUGGUGCUGGAUACGUGAGAGACAAUGAUGAGGGUAGAUUUGUAAUUGCCAGAAGCGAUUUGCUUGCAAUAAUUCAAUGCAUGGAAAGAGAUGCCUCUAACAAAAAAUGGGACUAUCCAUAUCUGAGCAUUAGAGCUCUACGUCUUAGAUAAAUAAAUAUACUUAUUAGUAUUGUUUUUGCAUAUAUCUUUCACAAAAUUAUUGUAUUCGCUUAUAUAGAGAGGACGAUUUAGAUAAGUUUCAACUAAAAAUUGACAAUUCCAUGAUAAAGUUAAAAAUCACCGAAUAAAAAACUGGAAAAUCCCCUGUUUCUCCUCUGCUUUCUUUUGAUUAUUAUUAAAAAGGGGAAUUAAAAAAUGAGUUGCAAGCACAAAUUUUAUUUCUACAGUAGUACCUUCUAAAUGCACCAUUGUUUGAUACAUUAAAAUUAAACAUUACUUAUGCUAGUAUAUCGGUACUUCACAUGUCCGUUCUUCAUUAAUGUAUAUUCAUUUACACCCAAGCUACCUGUCAGUUUUGCGAAAACUGAAUUUAAAGGUGUGGCUUAAAUUAAAAUAAUAAUCAGCCUCAUAGAAUACAGAGAAAAAAGAUAAUUUAUCACAAUCAUAUCCUAAUGCAUCAUAAAUUUAGAUUAUUUAAUUACUGUUAGGAAAUCUGCUUAGAUAAGGCGCACACUACAAAUUCUAAAUUAAAUUCCUAAUUAACAAUAAAAGAUAGACCCUAUUAAUCGUCCACCAGGUACCUUGUAGCCUGCAUCAUAAGUUUAGAUUUAAAUUUUUGCAAUUACCAAACGGAGAAACAGGGGAAUGAAAACAAAGGAGCCCUAUUUUUUCCAUUUUUGUCCCCCUUAACUCUUGUCCUUAUACAAAUAUUUUUCCUUGGAAUUUCAGGCAUACGAAAAAAUAUUGAAAAUUAUUUAAAGCAAACAGGUGGAUGAUAACAAAAAUAUAUUUAAUUAACCAAAUCAAGACACUAUAUUGGUCGUCAAUGUUUCGGCAUCACUGUCUUCUUCAGAUGUUACUUGUUUUUCACAUUUAUUUUGCGCUGUUGUGGAUUAAUAUGGUUCUGCUGGGUGCACAUUUUUACGUGCUACUGUAUUUUCUCUCAGUCCUUUUUAAAAGAACAUACACCCACAUACUAUGUAGAGUGACCUUUUUUAAUGAGGAAUCUGUCAUUUUAAUAAAAUGAAGAAUAAACUAAAAGGUAGAAGUACACGAACUCUAAUGCAAUAUACCUUUUCUUUUCUUUUACCUUUACUAUAAGAUAGGGAAUGAUAUAAUUGAUAAUGGAACUUGGGGUCAGAGCAGCGGUGUAAUUUUGAGAGGAUUUACAAGAUGGUAAGUGCAAUAAUUAACAGGCUCAUUUAAUAUAUCAAACUGCUAGAUAAUUGUACUAGUUAAACAUAAUUUUCAGAGAAUCUUUUUAAGGGUUUAUUUAUUAAUAUUUUGUUUCUUUCCAGCAUGAACACUUUGUUUUGACACGUGCUUAACAACCUUCAACGAACUGGAACAACCUUCAUCACAUGCUUCCUCACGUGAUUACUUAAAUUGAUAUGUAAAACGUGCUCCAUCCAUGUCGUUUCCACUAAAUCGUUUUUUGUUAAGAAUCAGCUGAGCAGCACGUGAGCUAAUGAAGCUUUUACGGCUUCAAAACGCAGCCGUUUCUGGGAACCAAACUUGAUUCAUCAUCUCACAACUACAGAUGAAUUAUCGAAGUGGCUGAUUGGUGCUGUACGUGUUUUUCGUAUUGAACUCAACUCUGCUAUAAUACAUGCGUGCAUCUGAUACAUGCACAAAAACCACCACUCCCACUCCCACUCCCACUCCCACGCCCUCGCGUCACGCGCCUUACCACUCCCUCGCCUCACCUCACCUCUCUUCUUGUUCCACGGCCAUCAACGGCGGCACGAGUCGGCAACGAUCAACUGCGGCUGUAAAUUGACCACAAUCAUCUCUCUCUCUCGGCUUUGCUCAAAUUUGGCCGAUCUAUGCGCUUGCUUAAGCUUGGCCGAUCUAUGCUUGCUCAAUUACUCUUCCUAUAUUCAGUCGGAGUCAACUGUUUGACAAGAGUCGAAGUCCAAGGUUCUUUUUUACAGGAUUUGAGCUACUUCUUUUAUUCUUCUUCCAUGUUCACUGAUACGAAGCUUUGAUGUGGUGUUCUGAGAGCGGGUGGAAUUUGAGAUUCUCCUUUCUUCUCUAUAUGAAGGUGCUUGUCAUGUGUCAAGAAAAAUAAAAUUAUUUACAAAAGAUUAUUUUAAGGAGAUUUAUUAUUAUUCGUGGAUCGGGAAGCUCAAAAAAUUUUCUUAUGUAGACUCAAAUCAUUUCUAUAGGGCGAAGCAUAUGAAUGAUACAUAUUAUCUUUUUUUGGCCUUAUGUAUUGUUAUUUGCAGUGUGAUUUGGUCUAGCUUAAGAGCUUAAGCUUGCAGGCUGGAUUUGUCUGACAUGGAACAAUUUAAUUUGUUCAUCGUGAUGUUUAUAUCCAUUUUGUACUACUAUCAAUUUCAAUCAUGGCUAAUUUUUAUAUGUAUUUCUCGUGGACUCUCAGGUUCAGUGCACAAGAGGAUGAAGACGAUGGACACCCAAAUUUGAUGUGGAGAACAACUAUUGCAAAUGGUCCUUGAUUUACUUCUCCAAUUGACUUGAAUUGGUUUGACGCAAUUUAUAGUGUAUUUUUGUCAUCUUUGUAUGACUGGCAGGUCGUCCUGAUUUGGUACAUGACUGGACACAGGAAUUGGACUCAUAUUUUUCAAACCAGAAUGCCAACAAUCAAGCAUUUUCUUUUGAAAGCACUGGCGUCUUCUUCAGUGCCAAAAAGGUUAGAGAUUUUCUGUAUCCUGUUUUGUAUUUGAUCAGUUUAGCAUGUGGGUGGCAAUCAAGAAAAGUUAUUAUAACAUUUUUGUGUUCCCGAAAAACUGCUGCUGAUGUGUAGUGCAGGAAAUGAAUUGUUUGUGACUUCUUUUUAUUUGUAUUCUUUCUUUUUUCUUUUCUCCCCAACAGAAUUACGUAUUUCUGAAGAGCUUCUUGAAGUUGAUUACCAUGUAUGCCACUUUCUUUACUCUAUGCUCAGGAUGUGAUUUUGUUUAGGUCAGAACCAUCAUCUAAAGUUUACUUAAUGCUGCCGAGAAGCUGUAGUAGAGCAAUGAAGGCUGUUGGUGUUAUGAAGGCCAGCUGUGAAGAAAUAUUUGAACUUGUAAUGAGCAUGGAUGGGACACGAUACGAGUAUGCUUCUUUUCUAUUUUUUAUUUUUAGUUACUUUAACAUAAUCAAGACUAUAUUGGCUGUCUGUGUAAGCUGAGUAUUAUAUUUCCUCUUGUAUGCUGUGAAAUUCACAUUGUCUCCAGUCCCGAUUCUGUAUGUGCCUUUUUGAAUAUAUUUAAUUAAUCUGCAUGGUGCUUUCUAAAGAUUAUUACAAACUUUUGUUGCUUAAGUAUAUGAAGAAUGUGGAAAUGAAAAUAGCUUUUGAAGUUUGAUGGAUUGCUUCAUUAAUAAAGAAAGACUAGGACUCAUUUUUAUAACUUUUCUCCACUUAGCUAAUGGUAUUUGAUGAAGACAAAAUAGAUGUAGCUAUCUAUAUUUUUUGUUGCUGAACUAUAGAUCAAUUGAUGGUUGAAGUUAGUUAUAUUAAUUUGUUGUACUAGAUUAAAGCUUGUAUCUUAGCCAUUUCAUGAAGUGUCAAAUACGUUCUUUCCUCUUUUUUUUUUUUUUCGAAACAUGUUACACUUUUGAAGUCACUAUUACAUAAAAGAGUGUUCUAAAACAGGAGAAGGCGUGCUGCCUGAAAUUACCUGUUUCCUAGCAAAUCUAGCUGGUUUGCGAAUUAGAUUUUAACAAGUCUCUUGGCAAGGUUUGCUAGUAAUGUGUUCAAAUUAUUCUAUUUAAUUUUACUGUCUGUACCCUAAUAAUUCUUGGUUUGCACCAUUGCAUUGUUCCAUAAUCUCUGUGCGUUGGCUUAUAAAGGCCAGCAAGGCUGAUCAUUUGUCGAAUAGUUAUUUCCAUGAAAUUCCUAUCAAUUUGACUCAGUAUUUAGAGGUCUUGAAGAGGGCAGUGUACUAGACAUGGAUUUCUACCUCUUUUGGUUGUACAAUUGUUGUAUUUCUUGGCCAUCAGAUCUUUUUUAUGUACCUUUCUCAAAGUUCUUGCCGCACGUACACCGUUUUUCAUGUUUUGUGCAGGUGGGAUUGUAGUCUUCUGUAUCGCAGCUUAGUUGAAGAGGUAGAUGGUCAUACGGCUAUUCUCUAUCAUAGGCUUCAGCUGGACUGGCUUCCAAUGUAAUAGUCUCUUGAUUCAAUCAUCUCAUUUAUGCUUUGGUCAGAAUAGAACAUUUAUUGUUCUUCUUUCCCCUUUCCUCUCUUCUGAUGUAAUAUGUGAGGAAAUUACCUAAAAUUUCUGUAUCCCAAUGUAAUUGUUGGCAUUCAGAAAUAAAAUAAAUACACCGUCUUGUUUUUCCCUCGGUUCAGUCCUAAGUUCUCUUUGGGCCUUCUGCAAGUUUUUAAACAUACUGUGACAGUAAAAAAUCUAGUGAUUGAGAUCAUUUUGAUGAAUUUAAUUUUAAUUCUUAGCUGAUACUUUUUCUGGAAUUUUUUUCUUAUGUUUCCUCAAUAUGACUUAAAUAUAGGGCUUAGUCAUGGAUCAUGCACCAGAGUGAUGGAAGCACCCCUUGUUUAUUAGGAAAAGCAGUUGAUUGUAACUAUAUCCGCGGUCCUAAGUAGUUAGAAGUAAAUGCUCUUCGAAUUCCUAUAGUACAUGGGAUGUGUUCCCUUUCAAAUAGCUUGUUCAAUACCAUUAACAUGGUUUAACAUUGUUCAUCUUUCUGUAGAUUGAUGUUGACGUGUUCUUCUAGAGUUGCUAAUGGAGUUUUGGGCCUUGUAAUUGGUGUAAUUACGGCAUUGGUGGUUGACAUGGCUUUCCUUGUGCAGGUAUGUAUGAUUGUUUUUUUCCCCCACUUCUAAAUGACACGAGGGAAGAGACAUGAUUUUGAGAUAUUGUACUGCAAUUUGCAUAUUUGCAUACUUGAAUAGUAACUCAAGAAUCAUUUUCAGAAUGGUAUAAUGCUUCGUGUAUGCAGGCAAAUACUACAGAUGAAUUACCGGAGCGGCUGAUUGGAGCUGUACGUGUUUCUUAUAUAGAACUCAAGUCUGCUAUUGUCCCAAAGUUGGAACCAGAGACAUCAUGACUCUGGUUUCAUUUCACCUCAACUGUUUUUUUUUUAAUUGAAAAAAAAAAUCAUUUGUUUUAGGUAUGCAUACAUGUAUUUUGAUCCCGUUUUCAUUGUAAUUUCUCAUUUACUUUGAAAGAAAGUCACUGGUGUUUUCGAAUAGGAAUUUUGCAUUAAAAAAUAAAGAAUACUUAAUAGGAAACUUAAUAAUUCUUUAGUUACUAUUUUUGGAAUGAGUGUAAUAGUAUUGAAGUUGGUUUCUACUCGCAAUCAAGUGAACUACUCGAUCCCCAACUGCGACCGCACUAAUUGUCAUUGUUUAAUAGCCUACUACUUUUAAAACUCAACAACUAAAAAAAUGAUUUUCUUAUGAUGCUGUGAAAACAUUUAUGGGUUCACUUAUUUCCACAAGAUCUAUAACAUGGUCUUGACUUCACGAAAUUCUUUUAACUUAAAGGGUUCUGGUCUGAGAAAGUUAAUUUGACGGAUUAAUUCCUUUUAAUAAUGGUCGAGUUAAUUUUACUAUACUCGUAAAACUAUUAUUAUUCUGAUAAUGCCACAAAUGUUAUGAUGUUUUCUUCAGCCAAUAAUCUUCUAUUAGGACUAGUUAGAAAUCAAAUGCUUAAAACACCAAUUGAAUGAAUAAUGCAGAAGUUUAAACAGUAUCUAAUUGAAAAUUACAUGAAGCAUGAAACAUCAAUUCAAGUCCUUCCUUAAACAGAGAAUGCAUCAAACAAAUCCAAAGUGUCUUGCAUGUCUGUAAAUAAUUGUAAAUGCGUUUAGAUUAUUCAAGUACAGGAGAACAAGCAAGUUGAAUCAUGUACAAGAGGUUGGCCUGGUUCGAGAUAGCUUCUUCACAGUACCUGAAGGGUUGGCUCAAUCUUUUCUUUAGAAUUCUGCACAUUUUGUAAUUACUCGUGUAAGCAAGCAUACAUUACAACCAUAAUAAUAAUAAGGCAAGAGUAAUGAUACGACCACAGCCUCUUGUGCACAAAUAAUAUUGUACAAACUAAUAUGACAUAAUAUGAUUGAUUAAACAAAAACAUAACAUGACCCUCAUAAUUUAUUUAUUAUUAUUUUAUAUUUUCAGUCAAGCAAUCAUAUUAUGCCACAUUAAAUAGAAAUAAUUUACUAGAUAGUGCCAACACUUCAUUGAUACUCACCAUUUCAUUGAACAAUUUUUUUAUAGUGUCAUUGAGGUUGCCUUCCCAACAUCCUUCAUCAUCACCAUCUUCAUCUUCGGUGGGUUUCACUUUGUUUAGCUUUGGUGCGUCUACGACUCCUGGAGAGAAAAUCUUCAUCGUUGGGCAUUGUCUCACAACUACGUGUGCCAAGGACGGGAACUCAAGAGCGUAAUUACCCAAACUAAAGCUUGUUAGGCUUGGCAAACAAUCAAUUCCCAAGUACUCCAAUUUCCUGAAAACAAUGCAAUCUUCCGCUUCUUCUCCAACCUGCGACUGUAUAAUUUCUUCCAUCAUUUUGCAAUCAGUUAUCUUCAUUCUUUCAAGAUUCACUAGACUUUCAGAUGUUGAGAGUGUCAAUAAAUUUAUCAACCCAUGACACUUCGAUACUUCCAGAGUCGCAAGAUUUUCCAAAUGCCACAAAGCUGGUACUAAUUUCUGCAACUUACUACAUUCAAAUAUUUCUAGACUUUUCAAGUUUGCAAACACUUUGUUGGAUUCGGCAUUUUCCUUCCAGAGAUGCUGCACUUUGUGUAAUCCAGAUAGCUUUAACUUCAUCAAUUGAGGGAAUGCAACCUGAAAAUCAACAAAAUUAAGUUGUAAAUGAAAAUAUGUAUCCAAUCUCUACAGUCUUCCCCUACAUAUUUUAUGGACAAGAUUAAUCACGGCAUUUUAUAUUUUAUUUCCAAAUUAGUAUGCUUUGCAGUAGGAUCCCAAAUAUAAGUAUCAAAUCGAUUACCCUUUGAAACACAUAAAUGAAAUCUGAUCAUAAAUCCAAUAUGAAUUAGCUAGGAAAACAAAGAUCUAACACGCAUAAUUUAUGCGAUAUAGUUCAUCACCUCCUGUCACUAGGCAUCUAAUUAAUUUGAGACAUUUUUUUAAUUCAUACUAUAAAGUUAGUUAAUAACUACAAUUAUAUUGUUAAAUCAGAUAUAAAUUAAGACGACGUGCAAAAAGAUAAGUCAUUAAAUUUGAUUUGAUUCUAAUGAAAUUACAUCUAUGCGAAUGAAAGUGAAGGGAAAAAUAAUAAUAAUGAUUACCUUUUUAUCGAAGAGAUGUUGUAUUUGAUUAGCUACCAAGAGGUUCUCUUCUGAUUUUAAUUUUUGAGCUUCCUUAUUAUCUGCUGUCAUGUGCAAUACAGAUGUAGAAUUGGAUAUGAAUGUUUCCAUGUCAGGGCAAUUCUCAAUAGUUAGAUAUCUCAACUCAGGCAGUUCAAUUAUAUUCCCAGUGAAGUUGCAGAAUCUUUUGAGUUUUGGAAGAUCAAUGAGCCUUAGAUUGGAAAGCUUAGGAAACAUGGGGCCUAUAUGUUCUUUGUCAGCAUUUAGCUCUUCCAAACGAAGCACCUCUUCUAGUGAAUCACAAUUCCUCACUUCCAGCCGUCGCAAAUUGUUCAAGCAUCGUAGCAGAUUGGCAGGAAUAGCACUCGACAUAUUCGUGCAGUCAUCCACCACCAGCCGUGCUAAAUUGUUGAAGAAGCUGACAGGCAGUGCUUGGCCAUGCCAUAUUUCUUUCAAACGUGGAAAAUGUGAGAGUUGCAAAUACCAUAUGUCACGGAAUCCAAUCUGCACAAACCAAAACAAUUGCACCGGAUAUAUACAAUUUUUUUUUUGAAAGGCAUUAUAUAUAUACACAUUAAACUUACAUGUUUUGUGUUUUAACUUCUAAAAAUAUAUAUACAAGACCGGGGUAUAUGCUUAAAUGUGCAAUUGCAGGGGAGAUGCAUAAACAAUUUGGGUGAAUCGAUUAACACAUACCAUUUCUUUGUAAUACUUUUGCAUAAUGGAAUUAAGGUUAUUGCCUUCCCAAUGGUGCAGUUCACCCUCUUCCUUUUCAGUCACUUGCACUUUGCAUGGCUUUGGAAUGGAUAAGAUUCCCUGAGAAAAAGUCUUCAUAUUUGGACAACGUAUCAUAGAAACUCGUUCCAGUGAUGGGAAUUCAAGAGUGUAAUUCUCCAAACAAAAGCUGGUAAGCCUUGAUAAAUAAUUAAGUAUCAAAACUUUUAAUUCGCUGAAAGCAAUACGAUUCUCCUUCACUUCUUCUCCAACAUGUCCUACGAUUUCUUCUAUUUUUUGGCACUUCGAUACUUUAAGAUUCACCAAACUACUAGGAAUUCCAACCUGAAAAUAAGCAAAAGUGUGUGUAUAUUAAAAAAGUAAAAAUGUAAGAAUAUCAUUCAACUAGGUUCAAAGUAUGUUUAAUCAUACAAUUAUACGUUUUAUAAAGAUAACAAACCAUGAAAUGUCUACAAGAUAAUUUUUUGUUAAACAAAAAAAGCAACAAGAUAAAUAAAUAAAUAAAAGCCAGAUAAACAAAGAUAUUAAAUGCAUUUACACUAUUUAGUAUUAGGAACGUACGAAGAAUUUAAGGCAAUUUCUAAAUAUUUUAGACUUAUUUUGCAUCUUGAUGCCAGUUUUUAAACAAAAUUUGCAAAUUUCAACUAUUCCUUUUGGGAAAAAAAAAUCAACCAAAAUGCCGCUUUUUCCCUUUUCCCUUGGUCCCUUUUUUUUAUGUAUAUUUAAUUUUGGAAACAAAAUUAAAGUGGAUCUUUAUUAAGUACUUCCAGACUCGAGGAAAUUUCUUUACAAUCAAGGAUCAGUUGUAAAUAAUCGUGAAUUUGUGGUUAAUUAAUGGCAUAAUCAGUUCGUAACUAAACAAGAGAUAUUAAUUAAAUUUGAAGACUUUUCUUUUCUUUUUUUCUUUUUCCAAUCGAAAUGUGAAGAAUUAAGGAAAAGAGAAAUAUAUAGAUGAAUUUGUGAACCUAUAAGAUGAGUGACUAUCCUUUAAUUUUUGAAAAUUGUACUUAUUAAGAUAUGAGCAGAAACAAUUAAAUUGAAUUAUAUUAUGAUGUUGAAUCGUGAUUAAAAAAAUUAUAUUGUUGAUUCUAAUGCUGGCGAACCUAAAAAAUGGACUUAAAAUGUAGAUUUGAGAGUGGUGGUUCGAAAUACAAUACUUGAAAUAAAUAAUCAGUGGCUGAAUAUCAUUUGUAAACCCAAAAAUGGUUAAAAUAUUGUUGGAUGUAAUUUAAAAAAAAAAAGAUUCGAAAUGAAUACAACGACCUUACCAAUGGAGGAAAAAUAUUCAUUAGGUUAUGACACUUAUAUAUCUCCAAAUUCUUCAAUUUGCUGAAAGACUCCGAAGGAAGCUGGUGGUGCCAUAUUUUUCUCAAAUUAUUCAUCCAGCUAAUAUCUAAUACCUCCAACCUAGGAAGUCGUACCUGGAAGUUAAAGAUUAAAUAACUAAUUAAUCAAUUAAUGGCAUAAUCAAUUGAUAACUAAAUUAGAGGCGGAUAUUAACUAAAUUUGAAGACUCAAGGAAAAGACAAAUUAAGUAUUGUGACUAAAAUUAAUUUUAUUUAUUAAAAAAAAAACCUUUUCGUCAAAGAGAGGAGGAGGUUGCAUUUCAGAAUGAUUGGUGUCUUCUGGUGAGCUCGUAGAGAUGAAUCUUAACAUAUUACUGCAAUUACCAAUCUCGAGGUUUAGCAAAGAAGGGAAUUCAACAACUAAAUCUGAAUGAAUAUGUCCUGUAUUGGCGAAGCUUGUCAGUUCUGUAAGCCAAUAGAGCUGCAGGGAGUGUAGUUUAGGAAAAACCUUUAAUUCAAUCAACUUUCCUUCAUCUCUUUCUGACCACCCCGUGGUGUCGACUACCCCUUCCAUUGACUCACAAGACCAUAUUUCAAGAUGUUGGAGUUGCAAAAGACUAUUAACCAUAGAAUACGAAAACAGAUACUUCAUACGAUCACAACUUCUCACGUACAGCUUUGUUAAAUUUUGACAACAGUACAUUCCUUGAUUAUGAUCGGCCCAUAAUUUUUUGAUGUUUCUUAAUUCCGUGAGAUUCAAUUCCUCUAAGCUCGGAAGAAGAACCUGCAAAGAAAAGCCGUACAUUUUUGUUCCUUCAAGUACAACCGUCUAGUAUAAUAUUCUGUUGAUGAUCGAAGAUUAAUCGUGAUAAUAAAUUAAUCAAUUAAUUAUUGAACAGAAAAUUAUCACCUUUGGAGCAGUAUCAUCAUCAGCAAUGAUUUCGUUGAAUCCCAAAGAAGUUGUUGGUUUCUCCCUGUCGGGUCCUGUAAACAAACAAAAACAAUAUACAUAAUUAAUCUUUGUCGUUGUCUUUUUUUUUUCAAAAUAAUUGAGGCGAAGUCCAUAAAUCCACCAACACUUAAUUUCAACACUUACCAACAGUCAUUUCCAGUUUAUUGCAGGAAGCCACUUUGACCUUUUGAAGCCGCAGUAGGUUUCUGGCUAUGGAAAAUGAGAAAAGAUGCUUCAAUUUAUCACAGGAUUCUACUUCUAUAAUCUUUAAGUUGCUGAAAAAUUGAUCUUCUCUGAGUUGGCUGUGGCAUAUGGCCUCCAAAUUGAUCAAUUUAUAGAGAGACAAUGACUCCAGCAAGGGGAAGACUUUGCGAUGAACCCGUCCAACUGAACCGACAAUGUGUAAAAUCUCAGAACACCUUUCUACCCAAAGAUGCUUCAAUCGUGGAAAACCUUCCCCAUCAUCUAAUUCAUGAACAACAUUCUGAACACCCGUCAGUUCCUCUAGACGGAUAUCUUCAGUUAACUUCAGCAACAUUUUCAUCCCAUAAUUCUCCAAAAGAGUGCUAACAUUUUCUAACCCAUGGAGCUGCACCAAUCUUGAUGUUUCAGAAUUAGCGCGCCAGAUGCCCCACGCUUCUCCUAUACAUAUCCUAUAUCUUGGCAAUUCGACAAAGACCAAAUCCUGCGGCAGCAUUUGGGCAUCCUGAACUUGUAUCUCCAAAGUAGUUAGCUUUGACAGCCCCUUCAAUUCAGCAAGACUGGCGUUACUUCCUCCUUCAACCUUAUCCCACUGCGGAAAGCUGUCACCCAUAUAUAGUUCUUCCAAUCGAGAAAAUUUUGAUAUGACAUUUGGUGCUAUCACUACAAGGCUGCUACAAUUGCUCAAAUCUAGCAAUUGUAACUGCGCCAAUUGACCAAUUUCAAGUGGCAACUGCUUAAUGUCGGAAUAUCGAAAGCUAAGAAUCUCUAAUUUCUUUAGCUGUCCAAUUGCCGCUACAUCUUCUAGUUGGCACCAGUCUAAACACAAUGUUUGAAGGUUAAUGAGGUGACCAAGUGAUGAAGAUAAUGAAGAGAAAUGAAUUCCGCUAAGACUUAAAACUUUGAGAUCUUCCGUCCCUUCAAAAAAGAGGUGUGAAAUUUCCAAAUAGCUAUCACCAUUUGCAAGCAACAGUAAUAACUUGAGUUGGGGACAUUCCAACCUUUCGGGAAGCUCUUGAAUAUCUCCAUAAGGUAUAGAAAUAGCAAUUGCACCUUUCUGUAUGAUCUUUUCUAUCUCUUCCUUCAAGUUGGUAACAUUUGGGAUACUAAACAUGAGCUUCUCUGAGGCAAUUGAUACGGCAACAACAUGAAUGACGUCAUGCAUUUUAACUUCAUCUUCAGCAUCGCCGUCCAACAAUAAGCAUGAAGCUUUGAGAUUGUCGAUCAAUGCGUCCACUCUAUUCCUUGCAUUUUCCAAUGUGCGAACAUUUUUAAACAAACCCUUACCAUAUCUCAACAAGGAAGCAACUUGUAUAGGAGUACCUUCACCAAAUAGAGUACAAAGAAGGAACAAAGAUUUUGCUUCAUCACUUUCCAAGAAGUUGUAACUCAAUUCUAUGGAAGAGCAGACAUUUGCAUCCAUUCCAUGAAUUUCUCUUGGAUUAGAAUUUCGCAGCUGAGUCAACGCAUCCUUCCAAACGGGAAGCUUCUUAUUUUUCAGAGCAUUUGCAACUGUACUCAGUGCAACAGGCAAUCCUCCACAUUUUCCAACAAUCUCAUCUGCUAAAGGUUGAAAAGCAGAUGCUUUUGCGGAAUUGCCCACGAUCUUUUCAAAAAAUUGCAAUGCUUCUUCCUUUGAUAAAACUUCAAUUAGGAAAAUCUUCUGAGAAUUCAUAUCAUUGGUCAAUAAAUGUUUACUUCUAGACGUCAAUAUUAUCGUGCGUCUCCUUAGAUCUUGCUUUCUAUCUUUCUCAUCAACAUCCCCAAAAGGAAUUCCAAUUUCUUCCAACCCAAGUUUUUUCCAAAUAUUAUCUAAUAUAAUGAGGACUCGCUUCUCUUUCGUCAAUCUUUGACAAAGUUGUUUUGCUCUGUGGGGUUUGCUAUCAUUCAAGUCAAAGUUCAAGUCUAAAUCGGAAGCGAGCUUGUCUUGAAUUUUCUGAACAUCUGGGUUCUCUGUUACCUCAGCCAUAACGACCUUAUCGAACACCUUAUCUUCCAUAACUUGCUUUGCAAUUUGCUUGACUAGCGUGGUUUUACCCACGCCGCCCAUACCGUGGACCCCAAUUAUGUUGAGCUUAUCAUUCCUCAAUGCCUCCACAACAUCUUGAAAUAAUUUCAUUCUUGAAUCAAAGGCCUCGAAAUCUUUCGCUUGCAUAUGUUCUGUACUCUCUGGAGCAGGACGGUGGGAAACACUAGAGAAGUUGCCUUUUCCCACGAGACUAGCGGCAGCUUCUGCGGCCUUUGCUGCUUGUUUACUAAGUUUAUAACGAGAAAUCAAGUUGGGGCAAAAUCCUUUGAAGCAGGACUUCUUAGCUCUAUCUUCAUCAUCAAUGAUGGAUUUUGCAACCCCUUCACUGAUGAAUUCAUCAACGUUAUUAAGCCAGUCUGCAACAUCCUUGUAAAUCUCAUCUCUUUGUUGAGUAGCCUCACGAACGGGUAUUCCCACCCUUUCUCUUUUAUAUUCUAGCUCCUUCACUUGAACUUUUAGCUCAGCUAUGUAGCUCUGGUACUUGAACACAUAAGAGAUCUGCCGCAUAAUCGGUUCGAACAAUGCCUUUGCACCUUCUGUUACAAUGCCGGAAAAAGUAGUGGAAACCAGGUCUGCAGCCAUUGCCUAGCCUGUUGCUUUCAUACAUACAUACAUACAUAUAUAUAUAUAUAUAUUAGCUGUUGGAAAAAUUAGAUUCAAAUAAAUUAAAAUGAACUAGGGGAAAGACGGAGAAAGAAAUGACAACCAACAACUUUUUAAAAAAAGGUUUCAAGGGCCUGAAUGGAAAACCAACAAUUUAAAAAAAAAAUUGUAAGAUGGAUGCAGAUUAACCAUUGCUAAUAUUACAUAAGAACACAGAAGUUAACAAUGAACAGUACGUAGAAAAUUAAAUGACAAGAUUAAAACAAACAAGGGCUAUUUUUUCUUGGACAAUUGUACCUAUUUAAUUAUUAAAGAGUUAAUGACCUUCACUGCUGGCCUUGAAUAUAUAAGAACGACCAGAAGAUGAAUAUUAACUGCAGACGAAUGUAAGUAAAGAGUUCAUGAGAGUGAGUAAUACAAAUGAAUUGUAAAAGAACAAGACUUAAGUGUGACCCCAUCUUUUGUUUUAUUAUAUAAAUAGAACACAUGAUCAUUUUUAACAAAGUGAUCAAUAACUCUAUGCGUUAUUUAAUUGAUAUUGUAACCAAUUUUAAGGGAAUUUAAUAAUAAUCAUUCAAUGCAUAAAUUUAAAAUUAGAUUUUUUUAAUUCUUUAUUUAAAUAUAAAUCUUAAUGGAAAAUUAUAAAAAUUUAGAGAUAAAAUUUUUCAAUCACCAAGGAAAAAAAAUGGGAAUGAAAACAGAGGAAUCUUGUUUUACCUUUUUUUUUUUUUCCUUAACUCUUGUUCCUAUACAAAUAAUCUUGUUUUGAUGAUAGUGCUCGUGACUAUGGGAAAAUUUCUAAUGGAAACAACUCAAUUUCGGAAGAUAAGCUUAAUUCUGCAAGUGAUGAAUUUGUUCAAUUGACUCUGUACUUGAACUCGUUGGAUUGGUUGAUUUACGAUUGACUGCAUUUCAAUUCUGCCUAAAAGAUCUUUUUAAUAGCUAUCAUGUACUCCUUAAAAGCAAUCAUUUUUAGAUUUGACUGAAUUUGAACUUGUUGGAUUGGCUGUUUUUAGAUUAUUGAUAUGAGAUACUACAAUGUAAACAUUUUCAUGUGGCUGAGCCCUAUUCUAAAAUCUGUAUGUUGCUUUAGAAAAAGGGCUUUUCCUACUGAUAUUUAAUCUUCAAGUAAACUUAGAUAUAAAGUAAAUCAAAUAAAAUGACAAACAAGCAAUAUAAUAAAAGACAACAAACUGGCAAUAUUGAUACAAAGGCAACAGAUAUUAAACUUUAGGACAUUUUUUUCCUAGCUUUCAUUUGUUGGAGGAUUAGAGAUUUUGGUAUUACCGGAAAGCUAAAAGGUUUCAAGGGUCUGAGUAGAAACCUAUAAUCUUUUUAAAAACUUUCUUUUUCUUUUUUCUUUUUUCUUUUUUUGGGGGGGGGGGGGGGGGGGGGGGGGGAAGAAUGCAAGUUAACCAAACGAAAUAAUAAGAGCACAGGCUUUAACAAUGAACAAUAACUUAAAACUCAUGCAAAGUAAAUUCAAUAUUAAAACAAACCAGAGAAAUUUUUUUUCUUGGAAAAUAGAUGGAAAUUAUGAAAGAACAGAUGUCAAGAUCAAAGAUCUACUAUACACAAACACACACAUUAGAGGAUUUGGAAAAUGUGCACCUCUUUAAUUAUCUGGGAUUAGAGAGUUGGUGAGAUUCUCCAUUUGGCCUUGAAUAUUUAAGAACAACCUCAAAGAGCAAAAAGAUCACCGGUAACUGCCGAGGAAUGUGUAAGAAAAGGGUUGAUGAGAAUAAUAACAUUGACUUGCAGAAGAAAAAGCAUUAAUCAAGCACCCCUUUUUUAUAUCAUGUAUUUGGUUAUUGUUGCCCUGUUUACGCACGUAUAGGAUAAUUAUAUGCAAUCUUUUUUUAAAAAUCCACAUGCACUUUAGGGCUUCUUUCAUAAAAGCAGAUACCGGAAACACACAAAAAUCAUUUGAGAGAGAAACCGAACAGCAAAUCAUCAAAGUAAGAUCAACAAUAUAUGAUUUGAUUAAUGCAUAUUCAAGAACAAAACAAAAAUAAAUAAAUNNNNNNNNNNNNNNNNNNNNNNNNNNNNNNNNNNNNNNNNNNNNNNNNNNNNNNNNNNNNNNNNNNNNNNNNNNNNNNNNNNNNNNNNNNNNNNNNNNNNNNNNNNNNNNNNNNNNNNNNNNNNNNNNNNNNNNNNNNNNNNNNNNNNNNNNNNNNNNNNNNNNNNNNNNNNNNNNNNNNNNNNNNNNNNNNNNNNNNNNNNNNNNNNNNNNNNNNNNNNNNNNNNNNNNNNNNNNNNNNNNNNNNNNNNNNNNNNNNNNNNNNNNNNNNNNNNNNNNNNNNNNNNNNNNNNNNNNNNNNNNNNNNNNNNNNNNNNNNNNNNNNNNNNNNNNNNNNNNNNNNNNNNNNNNNNNNNNNNNNNNNNNNNNNNNNNNNNNNNNNNNNNNNNNNNNNNNNNNNNNNNNNNNNNNNNNNNNNNNNNNNNNNNNNNNNNNNNNNNNNNNNNNNNNNNNNNNNNNNNNNNNNNNNCCCCAGGGGAAAAUCUGGAAUUCCUUUUUUUAAUUUUUUUUUUUUUAAAAAAACCCCACCGGAAAUUCUUAAAAUUUGGAAAAAAAAAUUUUGAGUCCCUUAUUCUGGGGGGGGGGGGGGGGGGGACGAAAACAGAGGAAACUUGUUUUACAUUUUUUUGAUCUUAACUCUUGUUCUUAUAUAAUAUUUUCCCUGGGAUUUCAGGCAAACCAAACAAAAAAAAAAAAAUUCAAUAAAGAGCAAGUUGCUCUAAUUGAUUUAUCUUGUUUUUCAGGCUAUUUUGUGACAUGAUGAUAUGUAAUGCUCUUGAAUGCUAGAAAAAUUCUAAUGCAAACAUUUUUGCAAAUGACGAAUGUAAAUAACUUUUUUUGAUUAAUUGAAUCUCUAAUACUCUUACCCUAUUCUAAAAUUUGUAGGUUGCUUCAGAAAAAAAGGGUAUUUCUCACUCAUCUUCAAUCCUCAAGCACAAUUAGAUUAAAAGCAAAUCUAAUAAAAUAACAAACAAAUUAACAAAAAAAAGAAAAAGAAAAAAAACAAUGUUGAUCUUGAGACAAUUGAUACUUAAACAGAGAAUUCUUUGUUCUUUUUUUACUCCCCCUGGCUCGAGGAUUAGAGUCUUUCUUUGCUAUUAACAGAGAGGUUUUAAGGGUCCGAAUAAAAACCCGCGCUUUUUUUAAAAACUUCUUUUUUUUUUUUUAUUGGGGAAGAUAGAUUCAAAUUAACCAAAGCUAGUAAUAAGAACACAGGCCUUACAAAUGAACAAUAACUUACAACUCAAGCAACAUAAAUAAUAAGAUUAAGACAAACAUGAGAUUUUUUUCUUCGAAAGUAGAUGGAAAUCAAGUAAGAACAGCUAUUAAAAGAAAUUACUAGAGAAUUUAGAACAUGUGUACCUCUUUAAUUAUUUGGGAUCAGAGAGUUGAUGAGCUCUCUAUUCGCCUUGAAUAUUAAGAACUGGUAUUAAAAGAAAUUAUGAAGAACAAUUUUAGUGAGCGAUAGAUCACUGUUAACUUCAGAGGAAUUUGUGAGUAAAAAGCUGAAAAGAGCCGUAAUAAUGAAUUACAAAAGAAGAAGACUUAAUCAAGCACCCCUUUUAUACCCGAUUUUUAAGAUUUAGUCUUGAAGUUCACAAUCAAGAACAAAGACGAAGCUUUAAUAAAGCAUGCAGUGAGAUACAAGAAAUGGAUCGGGCAAAAUACCUUACGAAGCGUUUCAUAUUUUCUAAUGAAAUAAUUAAGUUGAAGUUUUCGACGAAUAAAUACUUGUUGUGCUUGAAUAAUUUUGGCAUAUACGUUACUUGUAUCCUGCGAAAUUGAAAAGCACAUUGGUUUAUUAGAGCUUAUUAGGAGGGAAAAGCUUUGUAAGAUACCUGAUAAAAGAUAAAGUAAAAGCUUGAAUGAAGAAUGACAUUUUAGAAAGAAACUAAAGUGCAAUCAUCAAAGUGGGAUCAAUAGUGACUUGAUAUUUCAAUUGUUCUGUCCACAAAUGAUGCUUCGUUAUUACUAAUUCCAGAUGGACAUUAUUAGAAAAUGAUCUUAUGUUUAACAGAAAAAUAAAAACUCGUCAUCAUACAAAACAGCGUGAAGAAAUCUUCAAUUUGAUUAUUAUAAAAUAAUAAGUUUCAUUACUAGAUUAUGCGGACAUUAAUGUUAGAGAUUUGAUCAGAUUAUCAUAUAAUUUACUAAACGCUUUGAGAAGAACAAUAAUUAAUUUUUAAAAAAUUGAAAAAUAAAUUAAAUAAAGAGUACACGCAAAUAAUGUUACUUCCAAUCACCAAACUGAAAAACAGGGGAAUGAUAACAGACGAGUCCCUGAUUAUCCUCUCUCUCUCUCUCUCUUUUUCAAUCUCUCUCUUUGAUAUCCAUAUCUGAGCAUCAGAGCUUGACAUCUUUGAUAAAUAAAUAUGCUUACUGGUACUGUUUUUGCAUAUGUCUUUCACAAAAUCAUUGUAUACGCUUACAUAGAGAAGAAGAUUCAGAUAACUUUCAAAAUCUGAAUCCGCCUGAUGGACAGGCUUGACCACACAGCCCCGAGACAAGGAAGUCCAAGCAACUAAUCUAAACCGUUCUCCUUUAUUAGCUAGAUUUAGUAUUUGGGUUCUUUAUGUAAAACGACACUAUGAUCUUGAAAUUUUGAUUUAAUUAAUAAAUAGUUAAAUUCUUAAUGUUUCAGGAGUAGAUACAUAGACUCUCUUCUAAUUUUAGUCAUUACAAACAAUGCCAUUGUGCGGUUAUACUAUUGCUUCUUUUAUGAAACCAUUCUCACCAUCACAUAGAUCUUGGCAUAUAGAGUCUCAUAAUGUCAUCAAAUAAUUUUUUUUUUUUUUAAAAACAUAAAAUAUGAUACAUGUAUUCAUUUUUUUUCAAAUUAGGGUGUAUUAUUCUUAAAACUUAAGUGUUCUACUUAUAAAUAUCUUGAAGGUGUGAGUGUUUUCUUUUCGUAAACAAACCGUAAAAGAAAAAGAGGAACAAUAAUUUUUUACUUAUCCUUAGAGAUAAGAUUCAAUCGGGAUGUGAGUAAGUGUGUUUUUCUUUUUUUAUUAUGCUAAAUUAUCGAGUCACAAAGCAUAUUGAUUCAAAAGUAUAACUUUAUACUGAUGAUAGAUAAUUUCAAAACAAUGGAAUGAAAACAGAGGAGCUCCCCCCUCCCCCACCCCAAUCCCCGCCCCCCCCCCCCCCCCCCCCCAAAAAAAAGUUCUUCUUCUUUUAUAUAUUUUUCUUGGAAUUUUAGGUAAAAGAAAAAAAAAACUGAGAUUGAUUUCAAGGGAACAGGUGGAUAAUAACUAAAAUACUUAUUUUUAUAUAUUUGAUAUGUGCGCUCACUAUUAAUAGAACUUAUUAGAUACUACAACUUAAAUAACUUCCCAUGGUUGAUUGAGGGUAUGUUUGAGAUUUCCUUUACUUUCCAAGAAUUAAUUUCUACCUUGAUUCUGAACAAAAAAAUAAUUUUACAAAUAAUCUAUUAGGGUGUUUGGUAAAUGAUGAUUAUUUGACAAUCAAUUUUUAAACGGUUUACUAUACAAAUCUGGUAAAUGAAAAUUAAAAGUGUAAAAUGUUCAUGUACAAUGACAAAAAUGUACUUGUUUACUUGUUUGUAAUUUAUUUAGAAUAUUAUUAUUUAAAUCUUUUUUUAUUUACAAGAUUUUUUAAGAGCAUAUUCUAUUUUCUUUAUUACAUAUUUAAAUAAUUUUUUAUUAACUAUUUUAAUUUGCAAUAAAAUUAACUUCAAUAUCUUUUUAACUAAAAAAUUUGUUAUGUAGUUCGUGAUAUAACAAAUACUAACAUAUCAUUAGUUUGAUUAAUAAAUUAAGUGCAAAAAAGAAAAUGCAAAAAUUUAAUCUUUAUAUAAACUUUUAUGUACAUAAAAUCAUUGUAAUCAAACUAGUUCAUAGAAAUAUAAUAUUAUAUACAUGUGUGUAAAAAAAAAAAACAUAUGACCAUAAUAUUAUCCACUCAUUAAACUUGCUGCACUAUUAUUUCUCAAUCUCUCCAUCUCUCGACCUUCAAGAACAUUACUACCAUAAUCUUCUUCUUCUUGAAUCCAACCUCUAUUUCCUCAUCAUCAACAAUGCGACCAAUUUGCCUUGAUAGCCUUUCAACUAGAAUAGAGUUGGCAGUAGAUAUUUUAGUACUCUCAAACUAUGCCCAAACAGGGUCACCAGUGAUUGUUGUAUUAAAAGACAUUCUAUUUAAUUUUCCUCUGACUCUGGGUCGAUACCUUUUAUGCAAAAUCUAUUUACUUAAGGAAUUUUCUACACAUGUCGAUAUCAUAUUAAAGUGAAUUCAGAUCCUAUAUUAUUGACAUUAAAAUUUAGCCGAAUAGUAAAAAAUUUCCCUUUUUGUUUGUCACACAACCAUAUAGUCCCAUUUUUGGUUAUAAGCUCACAAUAUGUAAGGGAAAUGAAGAUCUAUUAAAACUUUCCCAUAAUAUUAAACAUUAAACAAUAUCAACAUUUUGUGCAUAUGGUGCCUCAUCAACAAUUUGAUGUUCAUUUUGUUGCUCGGAGGAAUAUGACUACCUAUUAAUUAAUUAGCAAGAAUUGCGUUGCGAGUCCAUGUUUUUGUCGUUUGGAUGGAGGAUGUGCCAUCUUUUUAUUGUAGAUGCUUUGUAAGGCUUUUGAUUUAAUGAUUUAAUGCAGUCAAUUAACAAAAGCUUACAUAUAUUAUUAUGUAGUUGCUGAGAUGUCUGUUCUUGAUAAAGUCGAUUUAUUUACACCCAAGCCAACGGAAUCAAAGCCUUUUCGUUAAUAAUAUACACGGUAAUUGUUUUUGUUAAAUUGAUUUCUGGCUAACAAGAUAUUUGAAAGCAUUUAGGUAGCGUUUACAUUUUGCGUUGGAGUGAGAAUCGUGAGAAAUGAGAAUCCUGGGAUUAGGAGUGUGGAGUGGGAGUCGAAGUAUGUUGUUUACUUACACUGAAAUGGAAGUAUGGAAUUGAAAUCAGAAUCCAAUUUAUUUGUUUACAUUGUCUUAGAUUGUGAGUAAUGAUUUUAAAUUACAGCUUUACUCUUAAAGAAUUAUAGUUAUUAAUUACAAAAUUAAUAAAAAUUAUAUUUUUAAAUUAAUAAUAAUUAUUAAUAUUCUUAACUAUGUAAAUCACAAUUAUUUUAUUAAUUUUAAUUUUAAUUAUAUAAAUAAAAAAUUAUUAAUAACAACAAUACAAAUGAAACAUUAUUAUUGAUAAUAUAGUACAAAAUUAAUUUUUUUAGAAUAAAAUAUUUAUUAUUAUUAAUUACUAAUAUUAAAUAAAUAUAAUAGUAUUAUUUUUAAAUAAGUAUAAUAAUAUUAUAUUUUCAAAUAAAAAUAGAAUAUAGUAAUAUUAUUAAUUCUUUAUGAAUAUAAUGAUAUUAUUUUUAAGUAAUUUUAACUUAGAAUCAAUGUAAAUUAUUAUUUUUAACCAAAAAAUUAAUAUUAUUUUAAAUAUGUUUAAUAUUAUUAUUUUUAAUAAAUUUAAUUUAUAAAAUAAUAAAAUAUUAUUAUUUAAAUAAAUAUGAUUUUACUUAUUUUAUUAAAUUUAAUAAAAUAAAUAUGUUUAAUAUUAUUAUUUUUAAUAAAUGUAAUUUAUAAAAUAAAAUAAUAAUAUAAGUUAAAUAAAUAUGAUAUUAUUUAUUUUAUUUUAUUAAAUAUAAGGGUGAAAAAGGAAGAGAGGCGAGUGAAUUUCCACUCCCACCUUCCUCCAUGGGAGUGGGAAUCUCACUCCCCCACUCCAAAAUUAGGUGGGAUCCACGGAGUGGAAUUCUCACUUCCCCUUUGAAAAUUGUAAGUAAACACUGGAGUAAGAGGAAUCCACACUCCUCACUCUCACUCCAAAAAGUAAACACUAUAUUAAAGAAGUCAUUGACUUAUAAGAAAGCCAUGAUUAAAUACACGGCGAAGCAUGUGAGCUCGUUUUUCAAUUUCUUUGAUCACUCAUAAGUAGGGGUGGGCAAAAUCGGAUUCGGAUUGGGUUCGGGUUGAUUUGAUCAAUUUCGGAUCAAUCGGGUUGGGGAAAAAAUCAUCCGAACUCAAUCCGAAUUAUUAACCCGAUCCAAUCCGAUCCGAAUAUAAUUCGGAUCGGAUUGGAUCGAAAAUUCGGAUUAAUUCGGAUUAGAUUCAGAUUUAAAAGCAUUCGGGUUAUAUAUCCAUUCUAUAUUUCUGGGUUAAUUUCAGAAGCAAUCAAGUAAAACAAUCAACCUUUUCUCAAGAUAUAGUUUUGUUUUAAGCUUUUUAAAUUAAAUUAUUUAAAACAAUAUAGUCAAUACCACCAAAAACUUGGUGACAGUGAAUGUGGAGGUGAAUUUAGUUGUAGCAGUUGUGGUAACCGGUGAAGCUAGUGGCAGCAAGCGGUAGCAGUCGAGGUGUAGUAGAUUCCAUCGGCACGUUGCGGUUGCAGCGAUGGCUUAGCUUUGAACGAUCGCGUCGGUGACUGAUGGCUGCUGGUUCACGCAGUUGCAUCUCCGAUUUGCUGGCUGCUGCUUCUUGCGGUUGCAUCUCCGAUCUGCUCGCCGCUGCUUCGCUGACAUCUCCGAUCUCCGAUGGUUUGGCUUCGCACGAUCACAUCGGUGAUUGCUGGCUGCUGGUUCGCGGCUUCGCGCGGCCGCAUCUCCGGUCUGCUGGUUGCUGCUUCUUGCGGUUGUAUCUCCAAUCUGUUGGCUGCUGCUUCGUUGUUUGGCAUCUCAACAUUUCCGAUCUCCGAGGCCAAACCUCUAUUUGUGUGUGACCGUGUGUGAUGUGAGUGUGUGUGUGUGCACUUACAGAUUAUUUUAAUUUAGAUCUAAGAUUUGCUUUUUGUGUGGUGUGAAUCCGAUUUUGUUGUGUUUGCCACUUUGUUAGUUUGUUACACAGUUUUUUUUUUAAGCCAACCCGAUCGGGUUUUCGGAUCGGAUCGGGUUUCAUCCGAUCCGAUCAUGAUCCGAUCGGGUUGGCAAAGUUACAUCCGAUUGGAUUUUGUUAACAAUCCGAUCCGAUCUGAACCCGAUAUUUUUUGGGUCAGAUCGGAUCGGAUCGGGUCGGAUAUUUUGCCCAACCCUACUCAUAAGCUUUUCUAUACCACUCACUAUAUCAUCCUUUUAAGUCAAUUUCGACUGAUCAUCAGAGAUCAUGCACCCCACCUUGAGAUGAUUGAUCACCAAUUUGGCAUUGUAACGUUGAUCACCUCUAAUUGCCCAUGCUAAAAUUGAGACCCCACAGCCAAUUGCUUCUACAGUUGAAUUUUAUCCACAGUGAGAUAAAAAUCCACCUAUUAAUUGAUAACUCGGCAUCAAUAAUUGUGGUGCCAUUCCAUCUAUUAUCAAACCCUUUUUACCGGCUUUACUAUCUAAACCACUAUGAAAAUAAGCUGGUUAAAUGACGUGGAGGAUCCAAUCUAUUUACAUCAGUUUGAAUUACCUAAAUAAUCGGUGGAUUUGAUGCUUCUAAAUCAUUGGCUAAUGUUGAAUAAUCAUUUAAGGUGGGACCCAUUUCGGUACCAAAUGACAUGUAUAACACUGAUCCACAUGAUUUCAAAUCUAACCAUUGAAUGAUCUCAUCUUUGGUCAUGUUAGAACUCCGCCGGUUGGUUCUCAUCUCACAAUCACGAAGCACUGAACCGGUCGAUUUGUAAAAUUGUUCAGGUAACAAUGGGCCCACUCCCCACACUAGCAUCAACACCAUCGAUCCCUCCACUUGCUUCAUCCAGUGUGGUUGAUCACUCGGUUCUGAUGGACCUAUUUUCUCUGAACCGGGUGCACCUCACAAAGGUUGUGGGCCACCAGGAAGGGACCCGUGAGGCCUGCGUUUAAGAUCUGAUUGGAAUAAAGCAACAUCCUUGGGUAACCCAAGAAGUAAAUGGGCCUCUCCCGGUUUGGCAUCCUGGAUGCGAGCCUGCCACAUGGCACACUCCACAGCUGCUGAGCAAGCAUCAGAAGUGAAGAACCCAACAAUGGGAACUUCAAAAUUCUUGAAAACAUCAGCCGUCCAGCCCAUCAUAACGCCGAUGACUACGCAAACAGGUCGGCUUUCGGGUUCCGGGUUGAAAGGAGGUUUCGAAGACCCUGAAGCAUUUGGUUGUGCAUGACAACAUGGAGGUAAGAAGGAGGCGAUGGUAGUAGUGGAGAUGAGGAGGGUAUUUCGGUAAUUUCACAUAGAGGGUAUUGGUGAAGAGAGGAAGGGGUGAUGCUGGUGGUGGAAACGUGAGAGGGAAUAAUGAGGGUAGAUUUGUAAUUACGAGAAGCAAUUUGCUUGCAUAAUUCAAUGCAUGGAAACAGAUGUCCCUGACCGAAGAACGGGACAAUCCAAAUCUCAGCCUCAGCAGCAUUCGCAACAGAGCUUGACAUCUUUUAUGAAUUAUUUGAGACUUAAUUGUUAUUGACUGCUUUUGCCAUCUUUCAUAAAACAUUCUUUGUUAUAUAUUCAAGUAAAUAAAUUUAUCGUUUAAAAUUAAUUUUUCAUGUGGUAAAAGCAAUACUAAAUAUGGGGUGGAGAGAAUAAUUUGUAGGGCAUACCCCCACCAUUUAUUUAAUUUCAUUAAAAAAGAAAGAAAAGAAAUAAAGGCUUGUUCAACAUUCAAUUAAAAUUAACAAUUCCAUGAUAAAAUUACUUGAGAAUAAAAAUUUUUAAAAAAAAAGUAACUCAAAAACGAGGAAUUUUUGAGUAACUGAAGAACCAUAGAUGUUUUUUGGUCAUGAGCAAUUUUUGAGUUGACACAGAACUUGUAUAAAAAAAAUAGUUUUGAAAACUUCUUUUCUUUUUUCGUAAAUAUAGAUAUAAAAUUUUAAAAUCACCAAACACAAAACCAGGAAAAUGGAAGGAGAGCCCCUGUUUCUCCUAUGUUGCAAGCACAAAUUCGGUUUCUAAAGUUGUACCUUCUAAAUGCACCAUUUGUAUUGCUUUGUCUCCACUUGAGCUAACGGAAUUUGAUGAAAACAAAAUAAUUGAACGAUAGGGAUAAAUAUCAAAGAAGGAGCUUACAUGCCCUAUAUAUUCUCUUUGGAUGAAUAACGAAGGUGAGCUUUCAAAGUACAGAGAUUUACAUGUUUUAAUUGUCAUUUACAUUGCUGCAUGCUAAUUGCUUGAUAAAAUACCGCAACAAAUACGCAUUCUCGAUUUCUUAUAAAUUUAUUUUCUUACUCUGAAAAAAAUUGAAUGUUUAGAGAAUUUUGAAGGUUUUGGUGUAUGCAUUAAUAUUUUGAUUCUAUUUAUGUUGUUUAACUAAUGAAGAUGAUACAUCUAGCCUCUUUUUGCCCCUUGUUGUUUUUAUUCUUGUGCUUUAUAUACGGUUCAAGUGUGAUACACUUUAGUUUUUCUCAAGUGUUUGUUAGUAUUUCCCGAAGCAAAAUUUGUCACAGACUUUUAGUUCAAAAGUUGAAAUCAUAACUAACAUACUUCGAUUUUUUAUUUUCCUUUUUUCUUCGGUAUCUUUCUAUAUGGCAUUGCUUGAGAAAUUGGUGUACUUAGAUCGUAAUAUUCUGUAGAAAUAAGCCAAUAUUUCAUUAUGUACAUUGUUUAAUAUGAUAAGUAUUGUAUGGAAGUUUUACAGAUAAGCUCCUUAUAUAUUAUGCAUUAUGUUUUUAUCAUAUUGUUGCUUGGAACUUUGAAGGAUUAGCCACAGGGCUUUAGUCCUACAUGGACAUUUUAUAUUUAACAGCUGGUUAGGCAUUUUAUUUGAUGUUAUUUGGACUUGUAGGUGUUAAAAGUUUUGUUCAGUAAUUUUAUAAUUCAGAUUCCCAUUGUGAAAAGAUAGCAAUUUUUAUUGUGGGUCAGAUUCUGUCAACUGAUAUUUAGCUAAAAUAUCUCACUAACCCCUAUUGGUUAGGUGUUUUUUUUAAUUCACAUACUUGAUUUUUAUUUUCUUUUUAUCUGUGGAAUCACAUGUAUCAUUCAUAAGAAACAAGCUAUUAUAUAAUCUAUUCUUUAGAUCCAUUUAUAUGUAGUGGGCACUCUGAUUUCUAUUAUUUGAAUUUUUUGCUACUGUUACUACUCUUUCGGCCCUUCAAAUAGGGGUUAACAGAAAGGGUGAGUAUAUUAAUACAAAUUCAAACUUUCUUUUUCUAAUUUUAUCCAAAAUAACCUACUAUAUUAUUUUAAUUUCCAACUUUUGUCAUAGUCUAAUGGGCAGUUGUCUUGUCAUUAUUUGGUUUUAGGUAAGAAGAGAGAAAGUUAGUGAGAGGAUGAAAAUUUUGCAAAAACUUGUUCAUAGCUAUGGUAAUUAAGUAAUUUGAGUUCUUUUUUUUUGUUAUUGUUUUUUAUUCACUUUUUCCUGUCUUAAAACAAAUAACGAGUUUUUGUGUUUUUAAUAUUUCUUAUAAACUUCAUGUUGUUUGGUAUAAAAUUAGGUAAUUGGAAAGGUCUCAUGUUGGAUGAAAUUAUCAAUUAUGUGCAGUCCCUACAAAAUCAAGUGGUCGUCAAUGUGUCAGCAUCACUUUCUUCUUCAGAUGUUACUUGUUUUUCACAUUUAUUUUUCUCUCAGUCCUUUUUAAAAGAACAUACACACACAUACUAUGUAGAGUGACCUUUUUUAAUGAGGAAUCUGUCAUUUUAAUAAAAUGAAGAAUAAACUAAAAGGUAGAAGUACACGAACUCUAAUGCAAUAUACCUUUUCUGUUCUUUUACCUUUACUAUAAGAUAGGGAAUGAUAUAAAACUGUUCGAUAAUAGUAAGUGAAAUAAUUAAAAGGCUACUGUUCUAGCUCAUUUAAUAUAUCAAACUUUUCUAGCUCAUUUAAUAUAUCAAACUGCUCGAUAAUUGAAUUGGCCUAGUUAAACAUAAUUUUCAGAUAAUCUUUUUAAUGGUUUAUUUAUUAAUAUUUUGUUUCUUUCCAGUAUGAACACUUUGUUUUGACACGUGGUUAACAACCUUCAACGAACUCGGAACAACCUUCAUCACAUGCUUUCUCACGUGGUUACUUAAACUGAUAUGUUAAACGUGCUCCAUCCACGCCGUUUCCACUAAAUCAUUUUCUGUUAAGAAUCAGCUGAGCAGCGCGUGAGCUAAUGAAGUUUUUCGUAUUGAACUCAACUCUGCUAUUUUCCCAAAGCUGGAAAGCAGAAACAUCAUCCCUUUGGUUUUAUUUCACCUCAACCUUUUUCUGAUCCCAUUUUCAUUGUAAUUUCUCAUUUACUUUGAGUGAAAGUCAUUGUUGCUUUCGAACGAGGUUUUGCAACUAAAAAGGAAAAUGGGGCGGCUACAAUACAUGCGUGCAUCUGAUACAUGCACAAAAACUGACCAUUGGAUUAAAUGGAGUGAUCUAAUGGCUGAGAUUUGUUUCAUUAUUAAGCAAUAAAAAAAUUUGAAACAACCAGAAACCUGUAAAACCGGUCAUUUGGUUUAAGGUAAAAAUAUAUAAAUGAAAAAAAAAAAAAAAAACCCACCACUCCCUCGCCUCACCUCUCUUCUUUUGGGUUUAGUAUUGCUGCUUUUAACAUAAUUGACCUAUGGCCCAAAUCAUUUCUAUAGGGCGAAGCAUAUGAAUGAUACAUAUUAUCUUUUUUUGGCCUUAUGUCUUGUUAUUUGCAGUGUGAUUUGGUCUAGCUUAAGAGCUUAAGCUUGCAGGUUGGAUUUGUCUGACAGGGAACAAUUUAAUUUGUUCAUCGUGAUGUUUAUAUCCAUUUUGUACUACUAUCAAUUUCAAUCAUGCCUAAUUUUUAUAUGUAUUUCUCGUGGACUCUCAGGUUCAGUGCACAAGAGGAUGAAGACGAUGGACACCCAAAUUUGAUGUGGAGAACAACUAUUGCAAAUGGUCCUUGAUUUACUUCUCCAAUUGACUUGAAUUGGUUUGACGCAAUUUAUACUGUAUUUUUGUCAUCUUUGUAUGACUUGCACGUCGUCCUGAUUUGGUACAUGACUGGACACAGGAAUUGGACUCAUAUUUUUCAAACCAGAAUGCCAACAAUCAAGCAUUUUCUUUUGAAAGCACUGGCGUCUUCUUCAAUGCCAAAAAGGUUAGAGAUUUUCUGUAUCCUGUUUUGUAUUUGAUCAGUUUAGCAUGUGGGUGGCAAUCAAGAAAAGUUAUUAUAACAUUUUUGUGUUCCCGAAAAACUGCUGAUGAUGUGUGACUUCUUUUUAUUUGUAUUCUUUCUUUUUCUUUUCUCCCCAACAGUAUUAUGCAUUUCGAAGAGCUUCUUGAAGUUGAUUACCAUGUAUGCCACUUUCUUUACUCUAUGCUCAGGAUGUGAUUUUGCCAAGCAUUAAAAUGGUUUAGGUCAGAACCAUCAUCUAAAGUUUACUUAAAGUUGACGGAUUAAUUCCUUUUAAUAAUGGUCUAGUUAAUUUUACUAUACUCAUAAAACUAUUCUUAUUCUGAUAAUGCCACAAAUGUUAUGAUGUUUUCUUCAGCUAAUGAUCUUCUAUCAGGACUAGUUAGAAAUCAAAUGCUUAAAACACCGAUUGAAUGAAUAAUGCAGAAGUUUAAACAGUAUCUAAUUGAAAAUUGCAUGAAACAUGAAACAUCAAUUCAAGUCCUUCCUUAAACAAAGAAUGCAUCAAACAAAUCCAAAGUGUCUUGCAUGUCUAUAGCAUGACAAAAAAGUUGUAAAUGCGUUUAGAACCAAAUUAUUCAAGUACAGGAGAACGAGCAAGUUGAAUCAUGUACACGAGAUUGGCCUGGUUCGAGAUAGCUUCUUCACUGUACCUGAAGGGUUGGCUCAAUCUUUUCUUUAGAAUUCUGCACAUUUUGUAAUUACUCGUGUAAGCAAGCAUACAUUACAACUCUUGUACACAAACAAUAUUGUAUAAACUAAUGCGACAUAAUAUGAUUGGUUAAACAAAAACAUUACAUAGCCCUCAUAAUUUAUUUAUUUAUUUAUUAUUAUAUAUUUUCAGUCAACCAAUCAUAUUAUAUUACAUUAGUUUCUAUAAAAUAAUUUUCUAAAUAGCACCAAAACUUAAUUGAUACUCACCAUUUCAUUGAACAAUUUUUUUAUGGUGUCAUUGAGGUUGCCUUCCCAACAUCCUUCAUCAUCAUCAUCUUCUUCAUCAUCAUCUUUUUCUUCUUCGGUGACGUUCACUUUGUUUAGCAUUGGUGUGUCUAAGACUCCUUGAGAGAAGAUCAUCAUUUUUGGACACUCUCUCACAACUACUUGUUUCAAGGACGGGAAUUCAAGAGCGUAAUUACCUAAACAAAAGCUUGUUAGGCUUGGCAAACAAUCAAGUCCCAAGUACUUUAAUUCCUUGAAAACAAUGCAAUCUUUCGCUUCUUCUGCAACCGGCGACUGUAUGAUUUCUUCCAUCAUUUUGCAAUCAACUAUCUUCAUUCUUCCGAGAUUCACUAGAUUUUUAGAUGCUGAGAGCGUCAACACAUUUAUCAACCCGUGACACUUCGAUACUUGUAGUCCCCACAGAUUUUCCAAAUGCCACGAAGGUGGUACUAAUUUUUGCAACUUACUACAUUCCGAUAUUUCUAGCCUUUUCAAGUUUGCAAACGCUUUGUUGGAUUCGUCAUUUUCCUUCCAGAGAUGCUGCACUUUGUGUAAUCUAGAUAGCUUUAACUCCUUCAAUUGAGGGAAUGUAAGCUGAAAAUCAACAAAAUUAAGUUGUAAAUGAAAGUAUGUAUCCAAUCUCUGCAGUCUUCCCCUGCAUAUUUUAUGGACAAGAUUAAUCACGGCAUUUUAUAUUUUAUUUCCAAAUUAGUAUGCUUUGCAGUAGGAUCCCAAAUAUAAGUAUCAAAUCGAUUACCCUUUGAAACACAUAAAUGAAAUCUGAUACUAAAUCCAAUAUGAAUUAGCUAGGAAAACAGAGAUGCGACAAGCAUAAUUGAUAUAGUUCAUCACCUCAUGUUACCAGUCAUCGAAAUAAUUUAAGACAUUUUUUUAAUUCAUACUAUAAAGUUAGUUCAUAACUGUAGUUGUAUUGUUAAUUCAUAUAUGAAUCAAGAUGACAUGCAAAAAGAUGAGUCAUAAAAUUUGAUUUGAUUCUAAUGAAAUUACAUCUGUGCGAACAAAAGUGAAGGGGAAAAUAAUAAUAAUAAUAAUAAUAAUAAUAAUAAUCACCUUUUCAUCGAAGAGGGGUUGUACUUGAUGAGCCAGCAAAAAGUUCUCUUCUGAUGUUAAUUUUUGAGGUUCCUUGUUAUUUGUUGUCACAUGCACUACAGAGUUGGAUAUGAAUGUUUCCAUAUCAGGGCAAUUCUCAAUAGUUAGAUUCUCCAACUCAGACAGUUCAAUUAUAUUCCCAGUGAAGUUGCAGAAUCUUUUGAGUUUUGGAAGAUCAAUGAGCCUUAGUCUGUUAAGCCUAGGAAACCGGGGGCCUAUAUGUUCUUCCUUAGCAUUUAGCUCUUCUAAAUGAAGCACCUCUUCUAUUAAAUCACAAUUCCUCACUUCCAGGCAUCUCAAAUUGUUCAAGCAACGUAGCAGAUUGGUAGGAAUAGCACUCGACAUAUUCGUGCAGUCAUCCACAGCCAGUUGUCGUAAAUUGUUGAAGAAGCUGACAGGCACUGCUUGGCCGUGCCAUAUUUCUCUCAAGCGUGGAAAAUGUGAGAGUUGCAAAUGCUCUAUGUCACGGAAUCCAAUCUGCAUAAACCAAAACAAUUGCACUGGAUAUAUAUAAAUUUCUUUUUUUGAAAGGCAUUAGAUAUAUAUAUACAUUAAACUUACAUGUUUUGUGCUUUAACUUCUAAAAAUAUAUUUACAACGCAGGUGUAUAUGUUUAAAUGUGGUAUAGUGGAAUUAAGCUUAUUGCCAUUACUUCGUAAUGGUGUUCGUAACACCAUUACUUCGUAAAGUGAAUCGAUUAACACAUACCAUUACUUCGUAACACUUUUGUAUAGUGGAAUUAAGCUUAUUGCCUUCCCAAUGGUGUUCACCCUCUUCCCUUUCAGUCACUUGCACUACGUAUAGCUUUGGUGUGGAUGAGAUUCCCCGAGAAAAAGUCUUCAUGUUCGGACAAUGUGUCAUAGAAACUUGUUCCAAUGAUGGGAAUUCAAGAGUGUAAUUCUCCAAACAAAAGCUGGUAAGCCUUGGUAAAUCAUCAAGUUCCAAAAGUUUUAAUUCGUUGAAAGCAAUACGAUUCUCCUUCGCUUCUUCUCCAACAUGUCCUAUGAUUUCUUCUAUUUUUGCACAGUCUGAUACAUCAAGAUUCACUAGACUAUUGGGAAUUCCAACCUGAAAAUAAAGAGUAGCAUUCAACUAGAUUCAAAGUAUGUCAAAAUCAUACAAUUGUUUUAUGAAAAAUAACAAACCAUGAAUGUCUACUAGAUAUUUUUUGUUAAAGAAAAAAAAGAAAAAAUAAAAAUAAAUAAAUAGAAGUCCAGAAAAACAAAGAUAAUGAAAAUGCAUUUACACUAUUUAGUAUUAGGAACGGAGAAAGAAUUUCAGGUAAUUUUUAAAUAUUCUAAAUUCAUUUUUCAUCUCGAUGCUAGUUUUUUAAAAUUUUUAAUUUUCAAACAUGCCUAUUUUUAAAAUAACUAAACUAAAACGCUGUAUUUCCCUUUUUUUUUUUUUCCCGAUAUUCAUGCUUUUAAAAAUGGAAAACAUUUCUGGAAAACACUUCCCAACGCCAUCAACAUGGGACUGUUAUAGAGUGAAUAUUUGAGGAAUUUUUUAAUCAACGGUCGAUUCAAAAUGACCAUCAUGAAUUUGUGCUUAAUCAAUGGCGUAAUCAAUUCAUAACUAAACUAGAGAUAUUAACUACAUUUGAACACUUUUCUUUAUUUUUUUUUAAAUCGAAAUUUGAAGACCCAAGGAAAAGAGAAAUAUAUAUGAAUUUGUGAGCUUAAAAGCUGAGUAACUAAGUAUCUUUUAAUUUCUAAAAAUCUUAUUUAUUAGGAUUUAAGGAAAAAAACAAUUAAAUUGAAUUAUAUUAUGCUGUUAAAUCGUGUUUAAAACAAUUAUAUCGUUGACUUUAAUGCGGGUGAACCUAUAAAUUAGAUUGACAAUGCAGAGUUCAGAAUGGUGAUUUGAAGUACACUACUUUUUUGCCCUCCUGAUGUUUGAAGUAAAAUACUUGCAAUAAAUAAUUUGUGAAUGAAAAUUAUUUGUAAACACAAAAAUGAUUAAAAUAAUUGUUGAAUGUUACUUGAAAUAAAAAUUCAAAAUGAAUAUAGCAAUCUUACCAAUGGAGGAAAAAUAUUCAGUAGAUUAUUACACCCAGAUAUCUUCAAUUUUUUCAAUUUGCUAAAAGACUUCGAAGCAAGCUGGUGGUGCCAUAUUUUUCUCAACUUAUCCGCCUCACUAAUAUGUAAUACCUCCAGACUUGGGAGUCGUACCUGAAGUUAAAAAUUCAAUGCAAUUAGAGAUGUAUAUUAAUUAAAUUUGAAGACUCAACGAAAAGAGAAUUUAAAAAUUCAAUGAAAAAAAACCUUUUCAUCAAAGAGGGAUUGAGGUUGCAUUUCAGUGUGAAUGACGUCUUCUGGUGAGGCAAAGCUACUUAGUUUUGGAAGCCAAUGGAGCGACAGGUAGUGUAGUUUGGGAAAAACCUUAAAUUCAUCUCUUCCUCCUAACGUCGUGGUGUUGACUACCCCUUCAAUUGACCGGCAAUUACGAAUCUCAAGAUGUUGGAGUUGCCCAAGACUAUUAACCAUAGAAUAUGAAAACAAAUACUUCAGACGAUGACAACUCCACACGGUCACUUUUGUUAAAUUUUGACAACAAUAUAUUCCCUGAAAUUGAUCGGACCAUAAUUUUUUUAUAUUUGUUAAACUGACAAGUUCCAGUUCCUCCAAGCGUGGAAAAGUAACCUGCAAAGAAAAACCAUACAUUUUUGUUCCUUCAACUACAACUUCUAAUAUAAUAUUCUUUCGAUGAUUGAAGAUCAAUCGUGAUAAUAUAUUAAUUAAUUAAUUAUUAAACAGAAAAUUAUUACCUGGUGAACAGGAUCAUCCUCUGCAUUGAUUUCUAUGAAUCCCUGAGUUGUUGUUGGUUUCUCCAUGUCGGGCCCUAUAAAUGAACCAAAACAAUAUAUAAUAAACAUCCGUUGUUUUUUUCCCCAAAAAAAGAAAAAGAAAAAAAGAAAGAGUCAAUGUCAAUAAUCCUACCAAUAAUUAAUUUCAACACUUACCAAUAAUCAUUUUCAAAUCAUCGCAGUCUUCCACUUUUACUUUUUGAAGCCGCAAUAGGUUUUUGGCCAUAGAGAAUGAGAAGAGAUACUUCAAUUUUCGACAGGAAUCUACGUUUAUAAUCCUUAAGUUGCUGAAGGAUUGAUCUUCUCUGAGUUGGCUGUAGCAUAUCGUCUCCAAAUUAGUUAAAAACAUAAGAGACAAUGCCUCCAGCAAGGGAAAGACUUCGCAACGAACCCUAACUGAACCGACAAUAUGUAAAAUCUCAGAACAGUCUGUUACGAGAAGACGCUUCAAUCGUGGAAAACCUUCCCCAUCGUCUAAUUCAUGAACAACACUUUGAACACCCUCCAAUGUUUCUAGCCAGAGAUCUUCAGUUCUCUGCAGCAACAUUUUUGUCCCAUCAUUCUCCUGAAGAAUGCUAACUUUUUUUAUCCCCUUGAGCAUCAUCAAUCUUGAUGCUUCAGAUUUGACGAGCAAUGGGUCAAACUCAUCUUCGGGCCCAUCUCCUAUACGUAUCUUAUAUCUUUGCAAUUCCACAGAGACAAAAUCCGGCGGCAGAAUUUCGGCAUCCGGAACUUCUAUCUCCAAAGUAGUUAGCUCUGUCAACCUCUCCAAUUCGACAAGACUGGCAUUACUUCCUCCUUCAACCUUCUCCCACCCUGAAAAACCGUUACCCAUAUACAAUUCUUCUAAUUGAGAAAAAUUUUUGGAUAUGACAUUUCGGUGCUAUUCACCUUCAAGCCCACCAAACAAUUGCUCUCAAAUCUAGGAAAUUGGUAACCGCGGCCAAUNNNNNNNNNNNNNNNNNNNNNNNNNNNNNNNNNNNNNNNNNNNNNNNNNNNNNNNNNNNNNNNNNNNNNNNNNNNNNNNNNNNNNNNNNNNNNNNNNNNNGCGAGGCUGAGAAUCUCUAUUUCUUUAGUGUCCCAAUUGCGCUAUAUCUGCUAGUCGCACCAGUCUAAACACAAUGUUUGAAGGUUAAUGAGGCGACCAAGUGAUGAAGGUAAUGAAGAAGAGCCAAUUCCAGGAAACUGUAAAACUUUGAGUCCUUCCAUCCCUUCAAAAAAGUGGUCUGAAACUUGCAUAGGGCCAUUACCCUCCGUAUACAACAAAAAUAACUGGAGAUUGGGACAUUGCAACCUUUCAGGGAGCUCUUGAAUAUCUCUAUGAGGUAAUGAAAUAGCAAUUGGAUCUUUCUGUAUUGUCUCUUCCAUCUUUUUCUCCAAGUCAGCAACAUUUGGAACAUUAAACAUGCGCUCCUCUCUGGCAAUUGAUACGGCAACAACAUGAAUGACGUCAUGCAUUUUAACUUCAUCUUCAGCAUCACCGUCCAACAAUAAGCAUGAAGAUUUGAGGUUGUCGAUCAACCGAUGCACUCUACUCCUUGCUUCUUCCAAUGUGUAAACAUUUUCAAACAAACCCCAACCCACACCACAUCUCAAUAAGUCAGAAACUUGUAUGACAUUACCUUCACUGUAUAGACUACAAAGACGGAACAGAGAUUUUGCCUCCUCACUUUCCAAGAAGUCAUAACUCAAUUUUAUGGAGGUGUACACAUUUGCUUGCAUGCCAUGAAUUUCUCUAGCAUCCGAUCUUCUUAGCUGAUUCAAUGCAUCUUUCCAAAAGUAACUAUCCUUAGUUUUCAGAGCAUUUGCAACUGUACUCAGUGCAACAGGCAAACCUCCGCAUCUUUCAACGAUCUCAUUUGCUAUACUUUGAAAAGCGGAUAUUUUAGUUGAAUCACCCACUAUCUUUUCAAAUAACUGCAAUGCUUCUUUUGGUGGCAAAGCAUCGAUCGGGAAAUUUUUCUGAGAAUUCAUAUCAAUGCGCAAUAAAUCUCGACUUCUAGACGUCAAUAUUAUUGUGCAUCGUCUCUGAUCAUCCUUUGUAUCUUUCUCAUCAACAUCCCCACAAGGAAUUCCAACUUUUUCGAACUCGAGUUUUUUCCAAAUAUUAUCCAAUAUAACGAGGACCUGCUUCUCGUUCUUCAAUCUUUCACGUAAUCGAUCUGCUCUUUCGAAUUUAUUCUCAUCCGAGCCAAAUUUCAUGCCUAAGUCAAAAGCAAGUUUCUUUUGAAUUUCCUGAUGAUCUGGGGUCUGUGUUACCUCAGCCAUAACGACCUUGUCGAACACCUUAUCUUCCAUAACUUGCCUUGCAACUUGCUUGACUAGCGUGGUUUUACCCACGCCGCCCAUCCCGUAGACCCCAAUUAUCUUGAGCUUAUCAUCCUUCAACGCCUCCACAACAUCUUCAAAUACUUUCAUUCUUGAAUCAAAGGCCUCGAAAUCUUUCACUUGCAUAUGUUCUGCCCGCUUUGGAGCAGGACGGUAGGAAACAUUAGAGAAGUUACAUUUUCCCAUGAGACUAGCAGCAGCUUCUGCGGCCUUUGCUGCUUGUCUACUGAGCUUGUAACGAGAAAUCAAGUUUGGGCACAAUCCUUUGAAACAGAACUUCUUAGCUCUAUCUUCAUCAUCAGUGAUGGAUUUCGCAGCUCCCUGACUGAAUUCCUUGACGCUAUUAAGCCAGUCUGCAACAUCCUUAUAAAUCUCAUCUCCUUGUUGAGUAGCCUGAUGAACGGGUAUUUCCACCCUUUCUCUUUUAUAUCCCAACUGUUUCACUUGAUCUUUUAGGCCAUCUAUGUAGCUCUGGUACUUGAACACAUAAGAGAUCUGCCGUAUAAUCGGUUUGAACAGUGACUUUGCAUCUUCUGAUACGAUGCUGGAAAAAGCAGCCAGACCCACUUCUGCAACCAUUGCCUGUUGCUUAACAAUAUAUGUAUAUAUAUGAAUAAAAUGAAUAAAAAUGUCAAAGAAAGGAAUACAAAUAAAUUAAAAUGAACUAGAGGGAAAGACAGAGAAAGAAAAGACCGCAAACAACAUCGCGAUAUUGAUUUUGAACCAACUGAUACAUAAGUAGAGAAUUUCUUUUUCUAUCUUAAGGAUCAGAGGUUUUGCUAUUAACAGAAAGGUAUCCUUUAAGGAAAGUUGAUGGAAAUUAAGAAAGAAUGGCUAUCAAGAUCAAGUAUUCUGCUACUAAAAAUAAAUGAUAUGACUUAAGAAAAGUAAAUGAUAUGAUUAAGAAAAACCAGAGAAUUUUUUCCUAGGAAAGUUGAUGGAAAUUAAGAAAGAACCGCUAUGAAGAUCAAGUAUCAGAGAUUCUGCUACUAAAAGAAUAUUACAGGUUUUAGAACAAGUGCACCUCUUUACCUGUCUGGGAUCAGAGUCGAUGAGCUGCUGUAUUCACCUUGAAUAUAGAAGAAAUAUUACAGGUUUUGACUAAAGAGGAAUGUGAGGAACGAGUUGAUGAGAGUAAUAACAAUGAAUUUCCAAAAGAAGACGACUUGAGCAUUAAGCAUGCACCCCCUUUAUCAAUCAAAUAUUGGUACGUAUGUACGUAGGGACCAUUAUGCGUAUAUGAAGUCCAUUAGUUGCAAUCAGAAACCCUGGCCCAAUUUAAUUGACACUCGAUUUUUGAUAAGAAGAAGGCAAGGAUAAGGACAAAGUCAAUCAAUCACCAACAGUAAUUACUUCAAUCUUUGUCAAUCUACUUAAAUUGUCGAUCAACAUGAAAAUUGUUUAAAUUGAUAUUUGUAAAUCAAUCAAUUUUCUAGUUACUAUGAUUAUAACGUUUCACCUUUCAUAUUGGAUUUUAUCUUUUCGAAAGUUUUCAAAUAUGAGUGUCAAUAAUUAUUGAGACUCCAAGCCGUGCUCUCAAGAUCGUGCUGACAAAUCACUAUUGACUUUGUUUAUGCAAAAUUCAAAGAAAAAAAGUUAUGGUUUUGUAUUGCCAGCCCUGCUACUUUUUGUUUUUUUCAUUUGUAUUAUUUACGAAUUAUUUUUUAACAGAAACAUGAGAACUCAUCAUCGUAUAAAAUUGCAUGAAAAAAUCUUCAAAUUUAUAAAAGUAAAUUUCAUUGACAGAUUGUGGAUAUGUUAGAAAGAAUAAGGAUAAGAAUGAGUUAAGAAAUAAUAUAUAUAUAUAUAUAUAUAUAUAUAGAUAGAUAGAUAGAGAGAGAGAGAGAGAGAGAGAGAGAGAGAGUGAAAGUAAACAAUGUUUUGGUACAUUUGGUAUUGUUUUCAAAAUAUUUUGAAAAGAAAAAUUUUCAAUUAUCCAUCUAAGAAUUAUCUUAUUAUCCAAAAAGUUAUAAAAAUUUAAAAAUAUUUAAUUUUAUACCCAUUAUUACAAUGUGUAUCAACUGUUUACUAAAAAAAUAAAGUUACUCCUAAAACAUAAUCACCACUACAAUUUUGUGUUCGGUUCUAUUUUGUCACUUUGAACGAAUAACUUUAUAUUUUUAACAGAUGUUUCAUACAAAUUGCAUACAUUGGAUGUAAAAUUAAAUAAAUUUAAAUUUUUAUAAUAAUUUUAAUAAUUGAAUAAACUUUGAGUAAAUGACUGAUAAUUUCUCUUUUAUAAGCUACAAGAAGUUAAAAAGAAAAAAGAAAAAAUAGGAUGAUAAUUUCUCUUUUAUAUGCCUCAGAUGAUUUAUUGUUUCGGGUCUAAGAUUUUAAUUAUUCAACUUAAAAGAUUAAUAUAUUAUAAAUUAAUUAAUUAAAUAAUCAUUAAGCAACUAAAUUGGGUCCCCUGGAUGUCAAUUCCUUUAAUAUUGACGCAACUAUUUUUUUCUGGCAAAUAAUUAUUAAUGCACUGACGGAACUUUUGCAUAUCUACACAGCGAUUUUAAAUAUUACUGGUAACUGCUGAGAAAUGUGCGAGAAAGAAGUUGAUGAGAGUAAUAACAGCGACUUGCAAAAGGAAAAGACAGAAUCAUUCACCCCUUUUUGUAUCACCUAUUUGGUUACUGUUUCCCUGUUGACGCAUGUAUAAAUUUGACUGGUUUUUCUGCACUUUUUUGGCUGUUGCUUAACAAUGUGUGUGUGUAUUUGCUGUUGAAAAAAUUGGAUUCAAAUAAAUUAACUGAAAGAUUAGAGUUUUGACUAUUAACUGAAAGGUUUCAAGGGUAUGAAUGAAAAGCAACAUUCUUUUUUAGAAACUAUUUUAGAGGAGAGAUGCAAAUUAACAAAUGCUAAUAACAAGAACACAGAAGUUAACAAUGAACAGUAACUUAAAUCAAGAAAAUUAAAUGACAAAAUUAAGACAAACAAGAGAUAUUUUUUUCUUGGACAUUAAGAAAUAACUGCGGUCAAGAUCAAGGAGAUUAUGCUAUUAAUAGAAAUUAUCAAAGGAUUUAGAACAAGUUCACCUCUUUAAUUAUCCGGGAUCAGAUAGUUGAUGAGCUUCUCUAUUUAGCCUUGAAUAUUUAAGAAUAAUUUUAAAGAGCAAAAAGAUCACUGGUAACUGCUGAAAAAUAAGUGAGAAAAGAGUUGAUGAGAAUAAUAACAAUGAAUUGAAUAAAAAAAGGACUUAAUCAUGCACCCCCUUUGCAUAUCAUGUAUUUGGUUACUGUUGCCUUGUUGACGCAUGUAUAGAAUAAUUACAUGUAUUAUUAUAAUUUUGGAUUCGAUAUCCUUGUAUUAGUGUCUAAGAUUUUCAUGAAGAAUUAAACUUGGAAUGACCAAAAGAGGAAGCUGCAGUGUAUUGUUGGACCCAAUUAAGUUGAAGAAAGCACUAGUUCACAACCUUACGUUUGGAUAUAUUCUAAAGAAAUAAUUAAACAGCAAAUCAUCACAUGCACUUUAAUGAUUUGAUCUAUUGUUUUCAAAAGAAAUUGCAAUUAACAGUUUUUGUCAAAAGUUCGCACAGCGUGAAACUAGUGUUAGUAUAAUUUAAAAAAUUAAUUUCAGUAUUAUUUUUUAAAAUGUUAAUUAUUAGAUUUAUUUUAAUAAUAUAUUUAUAUUUAUUAUAAAAAAUUUAGUUAAAUAUUUGUGUUAAAUAGAAUUUAUAAUUAAUUUAAUAUAUCUUAGGUAUUAAUAAUAUUAUAAUUAUUCUAUAUGCUAUUGAAAAUAAUUUAAAUUUUUAGACAUUUAUUUUAUAUUAAGUUUCUAUUUAUUACAAAAUUUAGUUUAAUAUAGUAUAAGCUUGUAAAGUAUUAAAAUAUUUUUUUCAUUUUUUUUAAAAUAUUAAAAUUAUUUUAAAAUAUAUAUAUUAACAUUGAAGCUAAUUUUUUGAGUUAAUAGAGCUAGUAGGUGUUAUAGUAAAAAAGAGUAUCUUAGUAUCUCUUAUUGAAAAUAUAUAGAUCUAUAUAAUCAUUUUUUCAAAUAUUGAGAUGUAGAAAAAUAAAUUAAAAAAUUUUAAAUUUUAAUAUGGCCAUCGUAGGGUUAGAAUCCCCGCUCCAACCCGAUUUGGAGAUUUAUGUUUUUAAAAAAAAAAAGAACAAAGAAAAAAUACACACCCGACCAAAUCAAGCACCUCAUCAAAUCAAAAAUAAAAAAGGAAAGAAAUUAAUGGCUUGCAUGCAAUUUUGGAUCUGAAAUUAAAAUUACAUAAAAAUUAAGGCUUACGUACCUUAAUAUUUACAGCUUGUUUGAUGGCCCCAACAAGUUUAAGCAGCAUCAAAAUGUUGUGGCUCCUUAAAUGACAACAUCGACUUGUUUGACAGCUCCAACAAGGCUACGAUGAUCAGAAGAUGAGCCCUCAAUCAACAAGGCUAAGAUUGGCUUCUCUAUCCUCUGCCGACAUGUCCUCUUCUCCCAACAACCAGCGCCUUGCUCUUUGUCAUUUUUCCUCUUGUUAGUUUUCUUCUACAUAUAAUUAUUACACUGGGAAGUAUACACACACUUCUUUUCUUUUUAUAGUACCUUACUAUUAUAUCUUUACAAAACAAUAUCACCCUAAGACAUAUAUGUAUGAAAUAAAUAUAUAAGGAACGGACGAAAUAAAAUUAGAUCUAACACUAGUUUCAUGUGGUGUGUGAACUUUUGACAAUCCUCUCAUACCCCAACAAAAACUUUGUCAUAUUACAAAAGUUAUCACGACCAUAGACUUUUCAAUUGCAUAUUGGAAUUGCAAUGUCAUUUUAUUAUAGUAAUGUCAUUUCCAUUAUUCAUAGUGGCAGACAAUGGACAUCACGGGACACGGCUAGAAGUUAUCACGACCAUAGACUUUUCUAAUUUAUGAAAUAAAUGAAAUUAGAUCUAAUUCUAGUUUCAAGUGGUGUGAACUUUUGACAAUCCUCCCAUAUCCUAACAAAAGCUUUGUCAUAUUGCGAAAAUACCUUUUCAAUGUUUCAAUUGCAAUGUCAUUGCCAUUAUUCAUAGUGGCAGACAAUGGACAUCACGGGACAUGGCUAGAAGUCUAUGUUACGGCUUCUGUAAGUAACAGCAGCCAAUGGGGAACUUCCAUGGGGGCUAUAGGAGAGAGAAAGAGGUCCCAAUACAAGUGUUAGAGUACAAUUUAUACACUAGUUUUGCAUUGUUUACUUCCCUUAAUAUCGAUGUUUUGCAUUUAAUAAUAAUGAUUUACUUGUGUUUUACUUUUGUAAGUGCAAUUCUAUUGAUUUGUGAUAGAAUUGAGGUAUAAGAUGAUGUUUAAAGAUGAUUGUUCUCUUGGAGAAAUUUAGAGCGUCAGAAGAACUUUAUAGAUAAGGCGUGGGCGCGUGCUGUCAACUGCGGACCUGCAGUUUUUAGUUUAAUGUGUUUUGUAUUUUUGGCUAUUUUUGUAAUUACGAAUUUAAUAUUUCAAAUAUUAUUAUUUUAUUUUAAAUAGAACUUUAAAAGAGAAGAGAGAGAGAGUAUUUAAGGGAGGAAUCUAUUGUGAAAAAGGGGGGAUUUUAAUUGGAGAAAAAGAAAGAAACCCUAGAUCUAAUUUUUCUCUUCUCUCUAUGAAAAACUAAACUUAUUUUUUCUAGUUGAAGGUUAAUGAAUUUUUGAUUCAUCACUACUGUGAGAUCUUUCUUAUGCUUUAAUUGUUUUAUUACUUUUUGGGUAUUUGUUUAUUCUCUGAAUUAGUUUCAUGAUUAUGUUUGUUAAUUAGGUAAUUGGCCACUAUUUAAUUAUCAACUUAAUCUAUUGUCAAUUAAAGAAUUCAUCGUAUGACGAGUUUAAUGUUUGUGACAAAUAACAUAGCAGUGAGUUGUGUUAUGGGAAUAAACAAUCUAAUUUAAAUGAAUCAUCAUAUGUGUUGAUUAGGAUUUGGGUCGCUCUGGUUUUUCAGGCUGUCAAUUGAUUAAAUCCUAUGAUCGUAUCUAGGGUUGUCUAUUAAUUAGGGAAAUAUCCAAUGGUCGUACCUUGGUUAUCGACUAGUUAAGGAGAGAUUGGCUAUUAGAGGGUCUCAAUAGCUAUAACCAGUUUAUUCAUAAGUAAUAAUAAUCUAUUUUUGAAUCAAUGAUCAGUAGUCGAAUCAAACUGAGUUAAUUCCUUCAACCAAAGCUUUCUCCAAUUUGAAUUACAACUUUAAUUUGCAUUUUUGUUAUUUUAAUUUGAUUUUUUAUUAUUGUCAACAAUUCUCCCAUUUUACGUUUUACGUUUCAAAAGAAUUUAAAUAAUUACCGAUCUCUGUGGACACAACCCUGCUCAAUCACUAUACACAAUUUAUUUAGAGUAGGAAUUUAUUUUUAUUGGCUUCAACAACCAUCAACAAGGUGAUGGAAAUGGGAAAGUUCGAAGCUGUUACUUUCAGCUUCUGCACCGUAGCCAUGUCCCACGGGACAAGGCUAGAAGUUAUCAUGACCAUAGACUUUUCUAAUUUAUUUUUUCCUUUCAAAAAGGGACAAGGAUAAGUUUGGGAGAAUGAUUAUAUUUUUAAUAAAAGAAUUCUUUUUUAUUAUAAUACUUUUUGUCUUUAUUAAUUUAAAAAUAUUAACUCUUAUAUUUUAAUAAAUAUAAAUAUAAUAUUAUAAUAACAUAUAACAAUAUAUACAAAUAUUUAAAAAAAUUUAAGAUUUUAUUAAAAUAAAUUUUAUAAUAAAUAAAAAUACAUUAUUAAUAUAAUUUUAAUAAUUUGCAUUUUAAAAAGUAAUACUGAUAUUAUUUUUUAAAUAUUAAUUUUUUAAAUUAUAUUACUCUACCAAAAAAAAUUAAACUAUUAAAUUAUAUUGAUAUUUAUUACAAAAUUUGCAAUUAAUUCUUAUUAUAUUUUUAAUUGGAAUUUGUUCCUGUGAUAUAACAACAAUUGCUACAGUUUUUUCCCUAAAUAAAGAUGGAGUUAUAAAUUAUUUGUGUAAGUGUCAUGAAAGUAAUAGUUGAAUAACAAUAAUGGGGCUUUAGGCAAUUUUUUUUAUGAGGUCUUCUUGCAAUUUCAACACUUAAACAGACUUGUCCUUGAUCCCAAUUUAUUUACCCCAUUUGGGCCCACGAUGAGAUAAAUAUAUUCCUGUGAGAUGAAAAACAUCAGGAGAAGAAAAUGUUUUAUUAUAAUAAAAAAACAAGUGGUCCAUAAGUCUAUUUAUUACUUUUUUUAUUCAAUACAAAUGGCCAACUUAAAAAAUGAUAAAAAUCACAUAACGCACAAGCAAAAAUUUAGAUUUACAUUUUUUAGUUCUCUCCGUGUCUCUCUUUCUCUUUUUUAAAAAAAAUAAAUAAAUGUCAGUGUAAAAUUAGAAAAAUUUUAGAUAUAAACUUUGGCGAUGACCAAACAAAAAUUGCAAGGGAAAGAAAAUAGAGGACCCUUGAUAUCAUUAAAAUACUGAUCAUAGACACUACAAUAUAAAUAACUUGUUGUGAUCCACUCAACUUGUAACACUUUAAUCCAUAUUCUAAAAUUUGUAUGUUUGUUAGGAAUUUUAUUAUUGACAUUACUGUACCAAUAAAAUUCUAAUUUAUUCAUAUGGAAAGAAAACAUCAAGAAAGGACCUCUGAUUUUUAUUAUAACAGAAAAAAGUGGUCCAUAAGUCUAUUUAUUAUUUUAUUUAUUCAAUACAAAUUGCCAACUUAAAAAAUGGUAAAAAUCACAAAAUGCACAAGUAAAAUUUUAGAAUUACAUUUUUUUUAAUUCUCUUUGAGUCUCUCUCUCUCUCUCUUUAAAAAAUAAACCUCACUGUAAAAUUAGAAAAAAUUUAGACAUAAAAUUUGACAAUCACCAAACAGAAAAUGUAGGGAAAUGAAAAUGGAGGAGCCCUAUUAUCAUUAGAAUAUUGAUCAUAGAUACUAUAAUGUAAAUGAUUUGUUGUGGUUCAUUCAACCUGUCACACUCUAAGCCAUUUUCUAAAAUUUGUAAGGUUUAUAGGAUUUUUAUUAUUGGCAUCAUUGUAUCAAUAAUAUUAUAAAUUAUAUAUUCUAUUGUAAUGAAAAUUUGUGUAAUCUUAGGUAUUUAUUGUAUUAAAUUGUGUGGAUUAAUUAAGAAUAUUUUUGGAGACAAAAGAGGUGUGUGUACGUAGGAUUAAUAAUAAAAAAUUUCUAAAUAAAGGUGAUUGCUUCAUUGACAAGUACAUAUUUAUAUUCUCUAUUAGUAUUUGGGUUGUAAACUUUGUUUAUAAAGUGAAUAUAUUGUGGUAAGCGAUGUGGGCAAUAUCGGAUGCAAAAUAUUGAGAGAUCAUUAACGCAUAUAUUUAUUGCAUAUAGAGGAAAGAGUGUAGAUCCGGCCGUAACAAUUAUGAAGCUUUCCCCAAGUAUUCUCACGCUUCCUUAACUGUUCCAAAGUAUUUUUCAUAGUGUGCAGAUUUACUUUAUGGUGUCUUAAUUCGUCUAAAAUGAUUACUUUAGUUCUUUUGGGAUGAAAGGUCAUUUAUUGUGUUAGGAUUAAACAAUAGAAAAAAUAAGUAAUGGUAACGAAAGACUAAUUUGUGAUAUUGAAGCAUACAUGCUUAACUCAAUCCAAAACUUAGUAAGUUAGCUCAAGAGUUAAGAGUUGUCCAAAUCUUAUAUGCUGAACCCAAGUUCAAUACUCAAUUGAUGCAGGAUGUUAUUCCUAACACCGCCCGUCAUGCGUAGGAUUGGCAAAAAAACUCGAGUCAAUCCCGCCUAGACCUGCAAGCUUUAUUUAUGGCCAGCAUGAUGAAGUUACAGAUAUUAACCUAAAAAUUUGAAACUUACUAUGAAUGGCCUUGGUUAAAGACUUUUGUAACUUUAAUUUAUAACAAAUAUGUAUACACACACACACAUGUUUAGAUUGCAUUUGGGUGACUUUUUUUAUCAAUGCAAACAAUAUCAAAUUUAUCGGAUUAAUUUGAAUCUGAUCUAUAUCCGAUUUUGCCCGCCAUAAGCCCAAGUGACUCUCUUUUACUAAUUAAUAAGGGAAUUUUUUGACCUCAUGUCCUUGCUGUGGCAUUAGACUGUUGGUCAUUUUGAUUGUUUCCUACCUUCCAUUUACGCCAGCUGUAACAUUGUAUUAUUCACCAUUUUAGCCAUUUAAAUGAAAUUUUAUUUUUGUCAAAAAUAAAAUGACACCCUUAAAAUAAAAAAAAAUAGUUAUGUAGACCUCAAAUUUUUAAUAAAGAAUGUCAAUACCUCUUUUAACUACAAGAUUCGUAGUAGAUGAUAAAAAGAAAAUUAACUUCAAAUUUUUUCAUUAAAUGUAAAUCUGAUUGAAGUAGUUUAAAUUUUUCUAGUAGACUAAUAUAUAUAACUUAAAUAAUUAAUUUCAUUAUUAAUUGUUAAAAUGUUAACCAAUAUAUUUUUAAUUUAUUAUAAAAAUUUUAAAUAAAUCCUUGGAUUAAAUAGAUUUUACAAUUAAUGUAAUACUUCUGAUUUAUUAAUAAUAUUAAAAUUAUUUUAUAUGAUAUUCAAAAUAAUUUAAACUUAUAUAUAUAUUAAUAUUAUGUCUAUUUAUUAUAAUAUGGUUUAAUAUUAUACGGGAUUGUAAAAUAUUAAAAUAUUUUUCAAUAUCCAAUUAUUUUAAUAUGUAUAUAUCAUUACAUUUAUUUUAGUAUCAUAUUUAUAUUUAUUAUAAAAUAUAAAAUUAAUAAAAUUAAAGAGUAUUGCAGUAAAGUAAAAAAGAAAAGUCUUAUUAUCUCUUAUUCACGAUAUGAGAUUCUACAAAAUUAUUUCCCGAAACGGGUGUCCUUUUCUCAUUUUCAAAAGAAAAAAUAAAGUAAGAAUAAGUCCAUGGGUUUCAAAAACUUCUAGUCUUAUCCCGGGACUACAUUGUCUGCCACUAUAACUAAUGGAAAUGACAAUACAAUUGACAUUGCCUUUCGCAACAUGACAAAUUUUUGGUGGGAUAUGGAAGAAUUGUCAAAAGUUCACGCCAUGUGAGAGUUUUUGGUGGGAUGUGGGAGGAUUGUCAAAAGAUCACACCACAUGAUAUAACCACAAUUGCUAUGGUUUUUAUUUUUUAAAUAAUGAUGGGAGUUAUAAAUUAUUUAUAUAAAUUUGCGUAGAAACUAAUGUAACAUAAAAGAAGUAGCUGAAUAACAAUAUUUGGUGCUUUAGGUAAUUUUUAUAUGAGCCUUUCUUUUAUUUAGCGGCUCUAGUGCUUAAACAAACUUGUUCUCGAUCUUAUAACAGAAAAGGCAUCCCAUUUAAGCCUAUGAUGACAUAAUUAAACAUAUUCUUUUGUGACGAAAACAUCAAGAGAAGACAUCUCAUGUUUUAUUAUAACAGAAAAGAAGUGGUCCAAACGUCUAUUCGUUAUUUUAUUUAUUCAAUAUAAAUGGCCAACUUUAAAAAAAUGAUCAAAAUCACACAACACUCAAGUAAAAAUUUAGAAUUACAUUUUUUAAUACUCUCUAAGUCUCUCUCUCCUGCCCCCCCCCCCCCCACCCCGUCCCCUUUUUUGAAAAAAUAAACCUUAGUGUAAAAUUAGAAGAAUUUUAGAUAUAAAAUUAGAAGAAUUUUAGAUAUAAAAUUUGGCAAUCGCUAAACAGAAAAGCAGCGGAUUGAAAAUAAAAAAACUCUAUUACCAUUGGAAUAUUGAUUAUAGACAAUAUAAUAACUUGUUGUGGUUCAUUGUAGCACUCUGAGCCAUAUUCUAAAAUUUAUAGGUUUGUUAAGGCAUUUAUUAUUGACAUUAUUGUGUCAAUACUAUUAUAAUGAUAAUUUGUCUAGUCUUAGGUACUUAUUAUAUUAAAUUAUGUAAAUUAAUUGAGGAUACUUUUAGAGACAAAAGAAACACGUGUAUGUAGGAUUAAUAAUCGAAGAAUUGUAAAUGAAGGUGAUUGCUUCAUUGAGAGGCAUAUUAAAUAAUUAUGGAGAGUUGCACUAUUUCGGAAGCACAUAAUUAUACUUCCCUAUCAGGAUUUGGGGUAAACGAAGUGCUUUAUCUAUUGCAGUAAGCAAUGUGGACAAUAUCAGAGGCGAAAUAUUAAAAGAUCAUAACGCAUAUAUUGGAGCCAUUUAUCUUCCGCAACUGUUCUGAACUAUUCUUCAUUGUGGGCAGAUUUACUUAAAUACCUGCACAAUGAUUCAAUACUUCAAAGGUCAAGGAAAUGUCAAAAUAUGAAAUGAAAAUACUUAAAUACCCUUCUACCUAACAAAACUCGCAGAGAAUCUAUAAAAUUAAAAAAAAAAUAUUCAUCCAUGAAAAGCUUCGUAACAGAAAAACCGUCUUUCAAAAAAUAAAAACAGAAAAACUGACUCAUUUAUCUGCAAAUGAACCAAUCGGGACUCAUUUAAAAAAGAAUACAAAGCAAAAGUAAAUGACACAAAUUGCAUAGAUAUCUAGGAGCCGCAUCAAAAGACAAAGGUGUUAAUUUGUCCAAGAAUAAAUUCUCCUAGGUCAAAAGCAAUUAACGAUGAAAACUUUCUUCAUUAAGGUUCUGGCCUACGUAAAAAAACAGAAAAAAACCACCCCAAGGUCAAAGCACAACGAUAAAUUUAGAAAUGAAGUUUUUAAUUUUUUUUUAAUAAAUCAACGUGUAUCAAAAAUAGAUAAUAAUUUUGGAUAACUUUUUUUGAUAAAUAUAGACAUAAAAUUUUAAAAUCACCAAACAGAAAAACAGGAGAAUUAAAACAAAGUCCCUGUUUAUCCUCUAUUUUGCUUGUUAUUAAAAAGGGAAAUGAAAAGAUUGCAAGCGGAAAUUUUGUUUCUGCGUUGUCUCUUCUCAAUGCUGCAUGCAUUCAAAUUAAACCUUACAUAUGCUAGCAAACUAGCUACGCUGCAUGUAAGUUCUCGAUAAGUCCAAAUAAUAGAAUAAUUGUAAAAUGUUCAAAUUCAGUAAUUAAUUUUAUUUAUUUAUUUAUUCAAAAAUUAUUAUUAUUAUUAAUUAUUGUCAAUAAUAUAUUAAUAUACUAAUUAAUUGUAAAAAAAUUUAUCAUUCAUAACAAUAAUAAUGAUGAUGAUGACGAUAAUAAUAAAAAUUCAAAAUAUAUUAAUUAAUUAUAAUAAUAUAUUAAUUAUUUAAUAAUAAUAUAUUUAAAAUAUAUAUAAAUUGAUUAGAAUAGUUAUAUUAAUAAAUUAUAAACAUAUAUUAAUUAAUCAUAAUAAUUUUUUAAUUGAGGACAAAAUAGAUAUUUUAUAGUUUGUGAGAGGGGGCAAAAUGAUCAAUCUUGGGAAUGGGGGAUUGAUUCCCACCACCUUCCUUAGGAAUCAAUCUUCCAUUCCUCACUCCUAAUUUGGGUGGUCCCCAUAGUUCUGAUUCGGAUCCCAGCCUCCAUUUUAUGAAGUAAACAUCAUUAAUGAUUUCGAUUUCGGAUUUCGAUUCUCCAGUCCAAGAAGUAAAGGCACCAUUAUUGUUAAUUGGUUCAAACACACAAAGAGAAUGUACCAUGUAGCUAGGCGUCAAGGUUGUGUGGCACAAGUAACCUUUUUCUUUUCUUUUUAUUUUUCUUGUUUUCCUUAACGGAUCAGAAGAAAUCGGUGCCUUUGAGAUACUACAAUGUAAAUAAGUAUUUGUGGUUCAUUGAAUCUGUAACACUCGGUACCCUAAGGUUGCUUUUGAAAAAGGGCUUUUCUCACUGAUCACCAAUAUCCAAGUAAGUUUGUUUCAUUUCAGAAGGUGCAAAGUUUCAAACUUUUUGUAUUGGGAUGUAACAAACUUUGGCCUUAUAUGCUUGCUGUGACGUUAGACUGUUCAUUUUGAUUGUUUCCUACCUUCCACUUGCGCCACUGUAGCACUGUAUUAUUCAUCAUUUUAGUUGUUUAAAUGAAAUUUUAUUUUUGUCAAAAAUAAAAUGACACCAUUAAAAUUUAGAAAAAUAAUCAUGUAGAUCCCAAAUUUUUAAUAAAGAAUACCAAUAUUCCCCUUGACUACAAUACCCUUAGCAGGUGGUAAUCAAACAAAUUGACUUAAAAUUUUUUACGAAAUGUAAAUAUGAUUUAAAUAAUUUAAAUUUUCCAGAAGACUAAUAUAUAUAAUUUAAAUAAUUAAUUUCAAUAUUAAUUUUUAAAAUGUAAAUUAAUUUAUUUGUACUUAUAAAAUAUUUGUAAUUAUUUUAAAAUUUUAACUAAAUCCUUAGGUUAAAUAGAUUUUACAAUUAAUAUAAUAUUUCUCAGGUAUUAAUAAUAUUAAAACUAUUUUAUAUGACAUUGAAAAUAACCUAAAUUUUUUAUAUAUUUAUUUGAAUAUUAUGUCUCUAUUUAUUAUAAUUUGGUUUAAUAGAAUACGAGAUUGUAAAAUAUUAAUAUUUUAGAUAUUGAAAUUAUUUUAAUAUCUAUAUAUUAUUAUAUUUAUUUUAAUAUCCUAUUUAUAUUUAUCAUAAAUUAUUAGAGUUAAUUUUUUUAGUUAAUAAAUUUAAAAAUAUUAUAAUUUAAAAAAAGUCUUAUUGGCCGUUAUUCACGAUAUAAGGUUCUAAUAAAUUAUUUCUCUAGACAGGUGCCAUUUUCUUAUUUUCAAAAGGAAAAACAAGUUCAGGGCCUCGGGGGUUUCAAAAAAUUCUGGUCCUAUCUAUCACUAUGACUAAUGGGAAACGGCAUUGCAAUUGACAUUGCUUUUCGCAAUAUGACAUAUUAUGGAGGGAUAUGGGAGAAUUGUCAAACAUUCACACCACGCGAGAGCUUUAGGUGGGAUAGGGGAGGAUUGUCAAGAGUUCACACCACAAGAAACUAAUGAUAGGUCUAAUUUCGUUGUCAGUUCUUUAUUUAUUUAUUUUUUUUAUUUCAUACAUUAUUGUUCUUGUAAAGGUAUAAAAGUAAAGUAAAAUACUAGGGGUGCUGUUAAGUUACAACUGAUGUAACUUGUAAUUUUUUCAAAAAUAAUGUAAAAAAUUUAAUAGGUGGUGGGACUCACAUAUUUUUUAAGAGACUUAAGUUAUAGUAGUUGUAACUUAACAAAAUCUAAAUAUUAUACAAUAAUGCAUAUUAAUAAUGCAUAUAAUUUGGGUUUGAUUUUUAAAAGAUUAUUUGAGUACCACCUAUCCUUAUGAUAUUAAUGUGAUUAUAUCUUAAUAUUAAAUAAUCAAAAUUUGUUUAAUUAUUAUUUGUAUUUCAUACAUUACAUAUUAGAUUUGUUUGAAUUUUAAGUUGUUGCUAAUAAAUAUUUAUGUUGUCAAAGUCAAAUUCAAUAGCUACAAAAGCAGAGAUAAUGGUAUUGUAUAUAGUUUUUAAGAAUGCAAGGAUAAGCUGGAUAAUUGACAUAAAUUCUAAUGAUUAAAAGAGCAACUAUCCCUUAAAUUAUAAUGUUAAUUUCUUUAAUUAGAUUUUUUUUUUCAUGUGAUAUAACCACAAUUGCUACAAUUUUUUUUUAUAAUAAUAAUGGGAGUUAUAAAUUAUUUAUAUAAAAUUUGGGUUGAAACUAAUGUACCAUAAAAGUGGUUGCUGAAUAACAAUAUUUGAAACUUUAGGUAAUUUUCAUGAGUCCUUUUUAUAUUCAGCAACCUGAAUUGGGGAAAAUCCGACUUGAAUUGGCGGUUGAUUUUGGUGAUGUGGCUUUUGGUUUAUGGCGGCUUUACUGUGGCGGAAGACUGGAUUUACGGUUGCCGACUGCUAGGGAUUAUGGUGGUGGUGUAAAUUGACGGAAAAAGAAGGUGUUUUGGUGGCGGCGCGUGUAGGAAGCACUCGUGGGUUGUCGUUUCGUGUGGUGACAGAGGGCGGCGAUCAAGGGCCGAAGUCGGUCAGUUUUUGGUCAACGAAGGCCGGCGAGUUUGUUGGUGGAGGUGGCUGGUGGAGAAAGUGGCUGAAUGGUGGUGGGUUGCUUGGUGGAGCCGCAGGUUUGGGUUGGUGAUUUGCGGCUGUUCAAGCGGCGGUUGAGGCAGCGAUGACUGAGGCUUGGUCGACGGUGGCUAGUGAGGUUUGUGGUGGUGUUGGCUGGCUGAUUGGCGGUGGUGGGCGGCGGUGGGGGUUGGUCUGACGGGUAGGGUUUUCAAAUUUGUAAUUUUUUUUUUUGAUGGAUUUGGUUUGGAUGGGUAUGGUGUAUCUAGGAAAGAUGUGUGAUUCGCACAGAAUUGCUUUGAUACCAAUUGAUGGAGCGAGCGUAGCGGAAGUGGAAUUGAUAAGGUAAGAAAUACUAAAUAUCAUUCUAGUACUGGAUCAAGCCAACACAAUUAACUUACGCUUUAAUCAAAGCGUGAUUAGAUAUUGUUUUAAUCUAAAUGAUUCAAUGAGAUUUUUAAUAACGCGUAAUACGAGAUUAGAUGACACUCUAAUUUAAAUAACUCUAUAAGAGAGAUUUUGAUAAAUAAUACUAGAGGAAAUUAUAAAAAAAAGAGUUUUAUUUAAUAAUUGAAUUUGAAGUCCUGAAAACAAUGACAAGACAUCUUUAUUUUUUUUAUUACAGACAUCUUUAUUUAUAAUAAAAGAAAUCCACUUUCCUAAGUUAACCUAAAAAGAAAAUUUAAAUUAUAAUUAUAAUGGAAAUAAAAGAUUAAGAUACAUACCAUAAUUGACUCAAACAAAAAUAGAAAACCAUAAAAUAAUAAAUAUUUUAGAAUUAUAAAUUAUCUAAAAUAACGUUAAUUAACUUCCUAAAUCACGUCUUUGGUGUAAACCAUUUUGCAUCCAACCUUGCUUUAAAGGUUUGAACCAACGUUACGAACAACAAUGUAUCAAAUUCCAAUCUAACUUAAGAUCCUGAUACAUCUACCGAUGUCCUUGUUUGAUUAGACAAUAAUGAGUCUAUCUCAUCACUUGUUACCUCUUUUUUGAAGCUGCAUCUGUUGAAGUGAUAGCCUCGCUUAGAGUUUAAAGAUCUUCUUCCAUGUUAAAUAAAGUGGGCAUUUGAUUAAAAAACUUUAUCUCUAUCUCCUUCUAUCAAAUAACGAAAACUAUCCAAAGGAAAAAAAAAAAAUUAGAAAAGUCCAUGGGUUGCAAUAAUUUAUGGUCUGUCCUCGGACCCCAUUAUCUGCCAAUAUCAAUGAUGAAAAUGAAAAUAAAUGGCAUCUUCCCAAAAUGGCGAAAGAUUUUUAGGAGAUAUGGGGAAUUGUCAAAAGUUCCCACAACGCGAAAUAAGUGUUACAUCCAAUUUUAUUUCAUCAUAUAAUGAUAAUAUCAAGUAAUGACAGCCAUCUAAAAGUAUAAUGGGUCUUCCAAAAUUUUGAAAAUGUCGUCAACAUUUAAUCUUCAAUGCUAAAGAAGAUGAAAUGCCCAAAAAUGACAUGCAGGACCCACUCACAGACUAAACGGCCCUGACCACAUGCAACAAACUUUGACUUUAUGUCCCUGCUGAGGCGUUAGACUGUUGGUCAUUUUGAUUGCUUUUUACAUUCCAUUUACGCCAUUGUAGCAUUGUACUAUUUACCAUUUUAGCUGUUUAAAUGAAUUUUUUUUUCCAAAAAUAAAAUGACACCCUUAAAAUUUUAGAAAAUAAUCAUGUAGACCCCAAAAUUUUAAUAAAGAACACCAAUACCCUUUUUGACUAUAGUACUCUUAUGGUAGCCACAAAAAAAAAAUGACUUCAAAAUUUUUUACUAAAUGUAUAUAUGAUUUAAAUAGUUUAAAUUUUCUAGUAGACUAGUAUGUAUAAUUUAAAUAAUUAAUUUUUAAAAUGUAAUUUAAUAUAUUUAUUUUAAUAAUAUAUUUAUUAUAAAAAUUUUAAACAAAUCCUUGGGUUAAAUGGAUUUUAUAAUUAAUAUAAUAUUUCUCAUGUUUUAAUAAUAUUAAAAUUAUUUUAUAUGAUAUUGAAAAUAAUUAAAAAUUUUAUAUAUUUAUUUGAAUAUUAUGUCUCUAUUUAUUAUAAUUUGGUUUAAUAGAAUACGAGAUUGUAAAAUAUUAAAAUAUUUUUAGGUAUUGAAAUUAUUUUAAUAUGUACAUAUUAUUAUAUUUAUUUUAAUAUCCUACUUAUAUUUAUUAUAAAAUAUUAAAAUUAAUUUUUUUAGUUAAUAAAUUUAAAAAAUAUUAUAAUUAAAAAAAAGAGUCUUAUUGUCUGUUAUUCACGAUAUAAGGUUCUACAAAAUUAUUUUCAAAAGGAAAAAUAAGUCUAGGGGUUUCAAUAAAUUCUAGUCCUAUUUGCCACUAUGACUAAUGAAAACGACAUUGCAAUUGACAUUACUUUUCGCAAUAUGACAAAUUUUUGGAGGGAUAUGGGAGAAUCGUCAAAUGUUCACACUACGCGGGAGUUUUGGAUGGGAUUGGGGAGGAUUGUCAAGAGUUCACACCACAAGAAACCAAUGAUAGCCAUAAUUUUGCUAUCAGAUCUUUGUUUAUUUAUUUUAUUUAUUUCAUACAUUGUUGUCUUGUUGGCAUUGUUUUGCAAAGAUAUAAAAGUAAAAUAAACUAUUAGGGUGCUGCUAAGUUAAGCUGUUGUAACUUACAAUCCCUUAAAAAAUAAUGUAAAAAAUUUAACACGUGGUGGGAUCGACAUAUGUUUGAAGAGGCUUUAAGUUACAGUAGUUGUGACAUAGCAAAAUCCAAUUAUUAGACAAUAACGCACAUUAACAAUGCAUAUAAUUUGGGUUUGAUUUUUUGAAAAAUUAUUUGAGUAUUAACUAUCCUUAAGAUAUUAAUGUGAAUAUAAUUUAAUAUUAAAUAAUCAAAAUCUGUAUAAUUAUAAUAUAUAGUUCAUACAUUGCAUGUUUAAUCAAAAUCUGAUUGCUUUUUACCUUCCAUUUACGCCCACUGUAGCAUUGUACUAUUCACCAUUUUAGCUGUUUAAAUGAAAUUUUUUUUUUUUCAAAAAUAAAAUGACACCCUUAAAAUUUUAGAAAAUAGUCAUGUAGACCCCAAAAUUUUAAUAAAGAACACCAAUACCCUUUUUGACUAUAGUACUCUUAUGGUAUUCACAAAAAAAAAAAAUGACUUCAAAAUUUUUUACUAAAUGUAAAUAUGAUUUAAAUAGUUUAAAUUUUCUAGUAGACUAGUAUGUAUAAUUUAAAUACUUAAUUUUUAAAAUGUAAUUUAAUAUAUUUAUUUUAAUAAUAUAUUUAUUAUAAAAAUUUUAAACAAAUCCUUGGGUUAAAUAGUUUUUAUAAUUAAUAUAAUAUUUCUCAUGUUUUAAUAAUAUUAAAGUUAUUUUAUAUGAUAUUGAAAAUAAUUUAAAAUUUUAUAUAUUUAUUUUAAUAUUAUGUCUCUAUUUAUUAUAAUUUGGUUUAAUAGAAUACGAGAUUGUAAACUAUUAAAUAUUUUUUGGUAUUGAAAUUAUUUUAAUAUGUAUAUAUUAUUAUAUUUAUUUUAAUAUCCUACUUAUAUUUAUUAUAAAAUAUUAAAAUUAAUUUUUUUAGUUAAUAAUUUUAAAAAAAUAUUAUAGUUAAAAAAAAGAGUCUCAUUGUCCGUUAUUCACGAUAUGAGAUUCUACAAAAUUAUUUUCAAAAGGAAAAAUAAGUCCAAGGGUUUCAACAAAUUCUAGUCCUAUCUGCCACUAUGACUAAUGGAGACGAUAUUGAAUUGACAUUGUUUUUCGCAAUAUGACAAAUUUUUGGAGGGAUAUGGGAGAAUCGUCAAGCGUUCACACCAUGCGAGAGCUUUAGGUGGGAUAUGGGAGAAUUGUCAAGAGUUCACACCAAGAGAAAUUAAUGAUAGGCCUAAUUUCGUUGUCAGUUCUUUAUUUAUUUAUUUUAUUUAUUUCAUACAUUAUUGUCUUGUUGGUAUUGUUUUGUAAAGAUAUAAAAGUACAAGUAAAAUAUUAGGGGAAGUAAAGUAAAAUAUUGGAGGUGCUGCUAAUUUACAGCUGCUGUAACUUACAGUUCCUUCAAAAAUAAUGUAAAAAAUUUAACACGUGGUGGGACCCACAUUAUGUUUGAAGAGGCCGUACAUUAUAGCAGUUGUAAAUUAGUAAAAUCCAAAUAUUAGACAAUAAUACACAUUAACAAUGCAUAUAAUUUGGGUUUGAUUUUUUAAAAAAUUAUGUGAGUAUUACCUAUCCUUAAGAUAUUAAUGAGAAUAUAUUUUAAUAAUAAAUAAUCAAAAUCUGUUUAAUCAUAAUAUGUAAUUGAUACAUUGCAUGUUAGAUUUGUUUGGAUUUUAAGUUGUUGCUAAUAAAUAUUUAUGUUGUGAAAGUCGAAUUCAAUAGCUACAAAAGCAGAGAUAACGGUAUUUUAUGUAGUUUUUAAGAAUACAAGGAUAAGACCAUAACGCAUGAGAUAAUGGUAUUUUAUAUAUAUUAAAAGACCAUAACACAUGUAUUUGAGCCAUUGAUAUUGAAGACACAUAUAGAGGAAAGAGUGCAGAUCCGGCCCUCAGUAUUGUGAAGCUUUCCUCAAGUAUUCUCAUGCACACAGACCUUAUCUGGUCAAGUUUUCUGAUUCAAUAUAAUCAAUUUCCGCGCAGUACUGACGACAGCUUCUCUGUAAAGCUCUUCAACCACAAGCAUUUCUACAAGGCAAAAGACUAGGACGUGUCAGAAUGAAUAUCAAUAAGGGAAUGUCUUAUGAAUUUAGUUUAUAUCCUAAUAUAAGACAAUCAGUAAAUAUUGGACUCAUUAGUUGCCCUUGCCUCAGACGUUUGGAUGCUAAGGGGAAAAAGGAAGUUUGAAUUAGUCAAUCUCAUUUCUAAUGGCAUUCACAGAGAACUUAUAAAACAAAAAAAUUAUAAAAAAAAAUUCAUCCAUAAAAAGCUUAGUAACGGAAAAACCGACUCUUUUAUCUGCCACUGACGAAAAAAAAACUGAAGUAUCAAAUAGAUAAAGAUUUUAAUUUUUUUCUUGGAAAAACUAAUAAUAAAUUAACAAUUGGAUAAUACUAUUAAUUAGAGAUCUUUAAUAUUAAGGUUAUCAAAGAUAGAAUGUGUAUAAAAAUUCUUAAUUAUAAGAUAAUUACUAACUAAAAAGAGGCCUAAAAAAGAAGAUUUGCUAUUAUAAGUAAUACCAAAAAUAAAAAAGGGAGACUUCCUAAUUGUUUAAUUGUUAAAAAAGAGGAUUUGCUAUUAUAGGCCUAAUUUGCCUAUAAGUAAUACCAAAAAUAAAACCGUUCCUGGAUGUAAAAAAUAAAAAUUAUUGUUAAAUUCCUGACUAAUAAGGUCAUUGAAAGUAUUCAAAGGACCUGAACUUAUAGGAAAGCCAGCCAUGAUGAACUAUACCACGUUGCAAGUGAGCUCGUAUCUUCAUCCCUUGAUCUGCCAUCGGCAUUUCUGUUCCACUCACUAUACCAUCCUUUUCAAUCGAUUUUUAUUGAUCAUAAGAGGCCAUGUGGCCCACCUUAUUUUUAUUUUGGAUCCAUAACCCAAAGCUGGCCCAAGUUCUGAUUCCAGAAUCAUUUGUCUACAAAGUGACCUCAUUCCGGCAAUUGGUUUAUGCUAAUAGCACGUGCAAUUUUCAUUUUCUUCUUUUUAUUAAUUAAUUUCAUCAUUAUUAUUUGCUUAUUAUUUUAAAUUAAUUAAUUAAAUUGUAUUAUUGAAAUUAGUCUUUCUUUUUUCUUUUCUCUUUCAAUGCACAAAGCCAAACAACCAUUCUUGCUUCAAAUACCGAAGAGCUCCUGACUACGGCUGUCAAUGCUUCUAUAUUUACGUGCUGUGCUGCAUCACUCUUAGCGAAAGCUUGAAUGAAUGAUUAAAGACAAAAGCUUAUAUAAAAGCAGAUGCCGGAGGCACUCAAAAAGCAUUUGAGAGAGAAGCUACACAGCAAAUCAUCAAACGUACUUCAAUGACUUUGAUUUUGAUUCUUUUUUUUUUCAAAAGAAGUAGAAAAGUCCAUGGAUCACGAUAACUGCUUGUCCUAUGCCGUGACCUCAUUGUCCGCUGCUAGUGUCAAAUAGAUUAAUCUUUCUAGUAGAUUAAUAUAAUUUAUAAUUUUAAUUUCAGUAUUAAUUUUUAAAAUGUUAGUUGUUAUAUUUAUUUUAAUAAUAUAUCUAUUUUUAGUAUAAAACUUUAAAUAUAUAUUUAGAUUAAAUAGAUUUAUAAUUAAUAUAAUAUAUCUCAUGUAUUAAUGAUAUUUAAAUUAUUUUAAAUAAUAUUAAGCCUAACUUAAAAUUUUAUAUAUUUAUUUUAAUAUUAUGUUUCUAUUUAUUAUAAAAUUUAGUUUAAUAUAAUAUAAGAUUGUAAAGUAUUCAAAUAUUUUUUAAAUAUUGAAAUUAUUAUAAAAUGUAUAUAUUGUUACAUUUUUAAUAUUGAAGUCAAUCUUUUUUAAGUUAAUAGAGUGAAAAGAUAUUAUAAUAAAAGGCUACGUAAUCUUUCACUUGCACAUAUUCUGUACUCUCUGGAGCAGGACGGUAGGAAAUAUGAUUACAAAUGUUAAAUUCGCCUUUCUUCACAAGUUUAUCAGCUUCGUUUGCGGCCUCUGCUGCUUGUUUACCAAGCUUGUAACAAGAAAUCAAAUUUGGGCACAACCUUUUGAAGCAGAACAUCUUAGCUCUAUCUUUAUCAUCAAUGAUUGAUUUUGCAACCCCUUCACUGAAUUCAGCAACUCUAUUUAGCCAGUCUCUGACACCCUUAUAAAUCUCAUCUCCUUGUAGAGUAGCCUCUCUAACCAGCAUUUGCACCCUUUCUCUUAUAUAUUCCAGCUCCUUCACUCAAUCUUUUAGCCCAUCUAUGUAGCUCUGGUACUCGGAACACAUAAGAUAUGUGCCACAUAAUCGGUUUGAAUAAUGCUUUUGAACCUUGUGAUACAAUGCUAGAAAAAGUAGGGAGACACCCUUCUGCAGCCAUUGCCUGUUGCUUAACAAUCUAUAUAAAUAAAUACAAGUGUCAAAGAAAGGAAUACAGAUAAAUUAAAAUGAACUAGUGGGAAAGACAGAGAAUGAAAAGACUGCAAACAAUAUUGCGAUAUUGAUCUUGAACUAACUAAUAAUUAAAUAGAGAAUUUCUUUUUCUUUCUUGAGGAUCAGAGAUUUUGCUAUUAACAAAAAGGUACUUCGAGGGUCUGAAUAAAAAACCAACCAUAAAUUAUCAAAAGCUAGUAAAAACACAGACGUAAAUAAUGAACAAUUACUUAAGCAAAACAGACCAUGAUACAAAGCAAAUCUAAUAAAAUGACAAAAAAAGAAAGAAAGAAAGAAAGAAAGAAAAUACAACAAAUAAUAUUGAAGUGUUGAUUAUGAGCCAACUGAUAUUUAAACAGAUUUUUUUAAAAUUUUUAGUCUUUUGCUAAAGGAUUAGAGUUUUUGUUAUUAAUAGAAAGGUUUUAAAGACCUGACAUUACUAGAAAAAUACUAAAUAAUGACAGAAAUUUUAUAACAUAUAUCGUUAUGUCACGAAUGUGUCAUGAAAAUAUGAUAGAUUCGUGAUAUAUAUUCAUGUCCAGAGUAUAUGACAUAUUCAUGACUUAUAACUUAACCAUCGUAAAUAAAUGAUACAUAUAAGUCAUGCUUAAGUUUUGUGAACUUAUAAGAUUGUAAAACAAUGCCGUUUAAAUUAACGACACCGUUUUGUAUAACUUAAAACCCAUUAACACUCGCAGCCAAAUUUUGGCUAAGCGUUGAAUUAAUCCCUCUCUCCACUGUAGAGAUGGCAGAAAAGCCCGCUCAGACCGGAUCCGGACUGGACCCGGUGCAUACGGUCCGGGUAAAACCCGGAUCGGAUGCAUGGAAAAAGCGGAUCCGGGCACGGGUCCGGUCACAGCACCAAGAAUCUGGAACCCGGACCCGUGCCCACUUUUUUAUUAAGUAAAAAAAAAAUAUAUAUAUAUAUAUAUAUAUAGUAGUUUUCCAAUCAGGGAUUAGUUAAAAGACAAAAUAAACACAUACUCCAAUGCAUUGUAUUUUAUCAUGUAGUGUAGUAAAAUUUAAAUUUUUUUGUCUUUUAGCUAAUCCAACUACUAUAUAUAUAUAUAUAACAACAAAAAUGCAUUUUGCUUUACCCAAUUUCCCCCAAACCCAACCGGCCAACCCUAAAUCGCAACAAGUCUCAGAAUCGCCACCUCCCUCCGUUUCUCCACCAACAACCACCACCCAUCUUCACCGAUGCAGUGUUGACGGCGCGGCCUCUUCCCCACUUACAGAAAAAUGCGCAUGCUUUUACCGAGAAAAGAAAGCUUUUAUUUUUUGUAUGACAUCUGGUCCUCCCAUCAAGCUUACCUGAGGCAGCGAGGCUGAAAGUCUCUGUUAUCAACCAUCAGGACACCAGAAAGAGUAAUUGCUCACAUCGUAAGCGCCAUGAACUAAUUUUUCCGAAAAGGAGGAAAUGAAGGUCACAAUGGAGCUCAUUUCCCGCGAUUCGAGAGCCCUACAGAGAGGUAGGACCCCUAACUCACUCCGUUUUAGUCACCUUUCAAUGGCUCCCUUAAUUUCCUAAAUCAAUAAGUGUUCUAAAAGGGCUUGAAAAAUCAAAAUGAUGCCCAACAUUAGUGCCAGGAUUAAGGAACUUUUCACUGCAAAGAAGUGAAUAGCUACGUGGAUGAAGUUAUGGGCCAUGCAGAAAUUCACACUUCACUCUCUCUUGAUUUGUACUCAAAAGUCGCCACCAACCUUCAAUUAUAUGGACUCAUGGAUUCAAUAUUUAGGCUUACAAUUGGACCUUCACAAAGCAAUUGGAGCACUCCAAGCUGCAAAAAAUGUCUCUUCUCUGUGACAUCUGCAGGUGGGCUAGAAGAAGGUUAUGCAUAGAUGGUCUAUGUGCGUGUGCUUACUAAAUGCAUACAAAAUGUAUAAGAACUGAGAUUCCUAUGUUUUUUCCUUUUUAAUUUUAAUAAUUAUGUUAGAUGUUUGCUUGGUAGUUAAGAUGUUUUGGUUUUGGACUGUUACGCUUUGUUAGAACUUAAAAGUAAACAAUUGUUUAGGCUGUAUUUUUUUUUACAGUGUUUUCACCUUUGAAAAUCCGGGUAGAGAAAACCCGGAAAAACCCGUGCCCGGAUAGUGCCGGGCAUGUACCCGGCCUGUAUAAAAAAAAUUCCGGACACGGUGCGGGUUCGGGUAGUUACGUGUGACAUCCGGGUCGGUCCCGGGCAGCCUCAAACCCAGACCCGACCCGGACUUUUGCCAUCUCUACUCCACUGGCCACUGCAACCUAAAAUAGUUUUUCACUUUAAUAACCCAAAAGCUUUCCUCUGUUUCAACUAAGCGAAAAUUUACAUAUUAAAGCCUGGCUCAAAUUCCUUUUUUCAAUCGAAAUUAAACGUAGCCACAAAACCCUAAUUCACCACACCAAUUUAUCUCUGCCCGGUAUUCAUUUAAACCCUACCUCGCGGUUCAAUGUCAUUCAAUACGAUUGCAGAUGCUGUUUCAACUUGUCAUUUAGUUAGCGCCAUCCAGUUCUCUAUGGUAAGCCUUAACCCUAACAACUAAUCGACUGCGGUAGCACGUUGCUUGUUAGGAGUGGGGAUACAUUAUUUGAAUAUAUGAAUUGGGUGAUGUUAGUGAUUCAUUCCCCUAUUUGUCGUGAAUUGAGAUUUGUGCAUAAUGCUAGUAAGAUUGCUAAAAAUUUCAUAUUUUGUAUUGUUCCAGUUGAAUUUCUUGCUUGUGGAAGAUAAAACAAAAGUUCAAUUUCAUGUUGAUUUAAUUCUUCUUUUCCUUCUUUUUAUUUUUCUUCUUUAUAGUCACGCUCUGGCUUUGGUGCUAUGCUUAGUGCAGUUUAUGGUUUCAAGAUUAAGUCAUGUUUAUUUGAUGGCAUCGAUUCCAUCGUUGAGGAUUGGAUUGUUGAUCAAAUGCACAUAGUAAGCUCUUCUUAUUUUAUCUCAAUUUUAAUUUUCUUUUAUUAUCUGCCUCUACCUGAAAAUGGACGUGUUUUACUAGUAAGCAUAGACCUUGUUUAUUUAAUUGAUAUUUUAAUUUUAUGUAUAAGAAUGGAGGUUUAUUUUGGAAAAAAAAAGAAAUAAAAAAAAUACUCUGUUGAAGCUAAUUAGUACUGAAUUUUUUUUGGUGGUGCGACCAGAGGUGGAAACAGGGUAUGAAAAUGUGUUACUGGUGAGGCUGCUGCUUAAGAUGAGAAUGCAUUCUUUUCAAAAAUCCUUGGAAGGUGUGAUCUAAUUAUAUUUGAUGGAAUAUUAAAUGGCUAAAAAUCUGUCAUACGUUCAAACUUUGUUUGUGUUUAGAAGAAUGGUGUUGACUGUAUAUUCGUUUGGAAGAAUGGUGUUGAUUGUAUAUUCAUUUGCUUAGCCUUUUGACAGAUGGAUUUGGAACUGACGAUAAAUGUGAUUCAAUUUACAAGGUUUUCGAGGGGCUCACAGUGGAAGGGAUAUUGAAGAACUGGUCGAAGUUAAAGCCUAUGAUUGUGAAAGAUUGGAGUGAGAAUAUAGAUGCUCAUUUAAAUCUUUUUGGCAAGGUCAGAGAUGAAUGGAUAGAUAAGGAUUUAUUUGACAACUUGGACUGGUGCUAAUAGGUAUUUUAAGCAAGCUUUUUGAGAUAACACUGAGCAAGUUAUACUACUAUUUUGCACAUGAUGAUCAAAACUCUCGAAAAGUAAAUAAAAUAAAGUAUUAACUUUUACUUUCAUCUUUUGCAUAGCAAUCAAUGUGGUGCUUGUUCUGUGACAACUUUGAUAAUCUACUUAAUUACUGGUUAGCAUUUGGACCAAAAAAGUUCUUAUGAUUUACAUGUUUUGUAGAAAUGCAUGAACCUUAAAUGUGCUGAUCAGGGAGUUUAAUUAUUGCACCUUGAAAUUCAUUUACUGUUAACUAAUUGGCUUUCCUUUGCAUAAAGCCGCUUAUAAGGCUUGAGUGGACGUCUUUAUGGGCAUAUUUUUUGUAUUUCUCGAUGCAUGCCUUUAUCAUUUAAUGUGGUGCUCGUAUUUCUUUAUGCAUGCCUUUAUCAUUUAAUGGCCAGCUCCCUUUCCUCUUUUGUAAUUUGAAUAGUAGUAUGGGCCUCCAUUUUACAAAUCUUUAACAUUUUUUGCUGUAAAUUAAUUUUUCUUUCAAAUAUUUUGGAGGUCAUUGGAAUUCCUGUAGGUCUAUUUACCAGAUUUUAGUAUGUUUAAGGUUAUAAUUUUGCUUAGACUUUAAUUUUUCUGAAAGAUUGUAGUAUUGAUCCUUAAAGUAAGAUCAUGCUACUUCAAAUUAUUUUGAAGUGUUGCUAGUUAUAGCCUUACAUAUCAAAUUCCAGUUGUCUGGAAAUUUAUUGAUAGCUGUUACAGCAGCAUAUUUUAUGACUCUACUUCUUAGUUAUGUAAGUUCAUUAUGUUUAGGUCAGAGGCAGUCAGCUGUGGGGAAUCGAUUUAUACACAGAUGACUUUGAUCUUGUUGCUGGUAUGUGGUUCUAUGAAUAAUUGUUCACAAUAAUUGUGUUUGCCUCACUGUUUUUGUUUUAUGAGAUCUAUAAUUGAUCUUGGGAUAUUACUUUUUAGUUCUCAUGCAGGCAAGUUACUACCUUCCCACUGCAUCUCCUCCUUUAUCUGCUACUCAAGAGUUGCGUGCCAUAAUCUGGUAUUACCUCUGCAAGAUUGUGAAUGAAUAUGAUGCCUCUAAAUUUAUUUUAUACAUAAUGCUAAUGCUGAAUAAUAUAUUGUAGCUCCUGUCAUAUUCUACUUUGACUUUUUAUAUUCCGUUUCAAAUAAAAAUCUUAUUCAACUUUAGUUGUUCAUGAGCAAAUGUCACAUGUAUAAGCCCAAAUGAUGUUUAAAGGUAGCGCCGCUACCUUCAGUUUGAGCUUACAAUGGGUGAAAAAGAAAUUGAAACUGAUAUUUUGCGGUUUUUCUUAUUUUUCAAAGUAUUUUAGAUCAUGACUUUUGUUUGGACUUGAUGGUUAUAGAUUGUGUCUAGAUUUGUUAAGUCGUUUCCAACACCUCGUGCCAAAUCAAAGCACAAUCUUUCUGAUUCAGAUGUUUUGUUAAUUGUGCUUCAUUUUUUCGUUAAAGGUUGGAUGGUUGAAUGGAUUGAUGGAGUUGGAGUUCAACCAAUAAUUCUAAUUUUUUGGACUUAAAAUGCCUUUUUCUUCUGUAUAAAAGCUUUAGUAAGUGCUAUUGAGUUGACAGAAGUUGAAUACUUACAGGUUGUUUCACACUUUUUAAUAGUUUUACAUAUAUGAAUUUCUGUUUUUUGAAUUGCAGAAAGGAGGUGGAACUAUUGAUUUGGAGCCUUAUCUUACUCACUCAUCAACAACGGAGCCUACCCUCGCUCCUAUGGCAGUGGAACGGACAAUGACUACUAGGGCUGCAACAUCAGUUGGUUCGGGUCUGUUUUGAUAGCGAAUUUUGAUAUGUCAAUAUAAUGUGUAAUUGUUUUGGGUUGAGCUGGUAAUUAUGCUGGAUUAGAUUGGUUUGGUUUUGGUGCUUCGCUGAUGGAACACUGGUUUUUUAGAAAAUUUGAAUGUAAUAUGAGACUACAUUUAGUUUAAUUGAACACUGCAUCUAGUCUAAUUACUAGAAGUGUGGCAUUUGGUUUGGUUUAUCCGAUAUUCUCCAGAAUUUCACUUGCAUCUGGUUUUGUUGCAUAUGUUUGCUUGCAUUUGAUGGCAGUAGCAGACUGUUUGGUUUUGUGGCAUUUGAUGGCAGUUUGGUCUGUUCUUGGUGCUGAUUUACGAUUGUUCCUGAUGUGUUGAUGUUAAUUGCAGGUGCUUGAAUCAGCUAGGGUUGCUGGUUUUUUCAGAUGGUUGACUCAGGCGUUGUUACUGGUUGAUUCAGGUGGCUGGCUCAAGUUGUUCAUUUAAUGUUAGGAAGCAAAUUAAGAAUUAAUGAAGUAUUCAUUUAACUAUAAUUAUUGUAGUUAUUUUAUUUCAUAACUGAAUUAUAAUCUAUGAUACUUGUGAACAAAUUAGAGAAUUUUUAUAUAUAAAUUAUAUAUAUGUGUGUGUAUGUACAUUUUGCUUUUUAUAUAAUAAUUUAAAGAAUAUAUUUCAAUUCCCACAAAAAAAUGGCCCCAAUUUCAAUAAUUCCUGCCAAAUAAUUAAUUUUUUUUAAUUUACCGCCAAAAUAUAUCUUAAAGAAAUGUUAGUUAUUCUUGCUAGAUUUAACAAAAAUAAUUUAUAGGAUUAACAUUUAAUUAAAAUAAUUAAAUAAUUUUACUAUUUCAAUUAAAUGUCAUGUUUAUAUCACAGACAAUAGUCAUGAAUGGGAAGUAUUAGUUACAUAUUUUUCCUUGUAGUUAUUUUAUUUCAUAACUGAAUUAUAAUCUAUGAUACUUGUGAACAAAUUAGAGAAUUUUUAUAUAUAAAUUAUAUAUAUGUGUGUGUAUGUACAUUUUGCUUUUUAUAUAAUAAUUUAAAGAAUAUAUUUCAAUUCCCACAAAAAAAUGGCCCCAAUUUCAAUAAUUCCCGCCAAAUAAUUAAUUUUUUUUAAUUUACCACCAAAAUAUAUCUUAAAGAAAUGUUAGUUAUUCUUGCUAGAUUUAACAAAAAUAAUUUAUAGGAUUAACAUUUAAUUAAAAUAAUUAAAUAAUUUUUCUAUUUCAAUUAAAUGUCAUGUUUAUAUGACAGACAAUAGUCAUGAAUGGGAAGUAUUAGUUCCAUAUUUUUCCUUGGGAUUUCAGGCAAAUGAAAAAAAGAUUGAGAAUGAUUUCAAGAGGACAGGUGGAUGAUAAGUAUUCAUUUUUGUAUAUUUGGCUAAUGUCCUCAUUAGUGGAUUUUUAUGGUAUUGAUUUUUUUUUUUUUGGUUUAUAAUUUUCAAUUAGUUGUUACCCUAGAGGAAGAGCAGGCUGAUCAAAUUGAUUUGUCUUAUUUUUCCGGCAAUCUGCGACACGAUGACUGUGAUAAUGCUCGUGACUGCUGGAAACUUUCUGGUGGAAAUAACUUUAGAGUUCGUAGCAAGCAUUUUUGUUAUGACAAAACAAAGGUUCCCCCAUAUUUUGGUUGUUUGUUAUGGUAUUUAUAUAUCCUGCAUAUGCUAGGUCGACAGGUUAUGAUGUAGUUUGGUUGGCUCUUGUGCUUUGUGCAAUUUGUAACUGCAGAUACCUGCGGGAAAACAUUUAAUGGAUCUUGUUGCUGUUGAUUGGUUCAAAGACACAAAGAGAAUGGACCAUGUAGCUCGGCGUCAAGGCUGUACUGCACAAGUAACUGAAGAAAAAUGUGAAUUGGUUCCUCUUUUUCUUACUUUCCAGAACAGUAUGUACAGGGAAUAUAUACAGCAAAAUAGGAGAGAAAAUAGGAGACUACAUCUAUCCUUUCCUAAAUAAUAGGAAACAAAAUCUGGAAAGAAUCCUAAUGAAUCUUCCCAUUAUAAUUUAACUUAUUCCUAAAAUAGCCUAGAUUACAAAUAAAUCAUAACUUUGAAUCUUUAUUUUCAACACUCCCCCUCAAGCUAGUGUGUGUAUAUCAUACAAACCCAGCUUGUUACUUAAGUCUUCAAAGUUAGGUCUUGGCAGUGCUUUAGUAAGGAUGUCUGCAAUUUGUUGUCUAGUUGGAAUGUACUUUAGUUCCACACUUCCACUAGUGACCUUCUUUGAGAUGAAGUGCCUAUCAAUCUCGACAUGUUUGGUUCGAUCAUGAUGCACUGGAUUUUUUGCGAUGCUGAUUGCUGCUUGAUUGUCACACCUCAUUAGAAUGGAUGAAGGGUUGCACACACCGAGUUCUUUGAGUACACGCUUUAUCCAAAUUCCUUCACAGAUUCCAUUUGCCAAAGCUCUGAACUCUGCUUCUGCACUACUCCUAGCUACAACUGAUUGUUUCUUACUCCUCCAGGUUACUAGAUUUCCCCAGACAUAGGAACAGUAAGCAGAUGUUGAUAUUCUAUUUGUGAUGUCUCCAGCCCAGUCUGCAUCAGAGUAGAUCUCAAUAUUCCUAUAUUCUGAUUUCUUGAAAAACAAUCCUUUUCCAGGUGUCAUCUUUAGAUACUUCAAAAUUCUAAAGACUGCAUCCAUGUGUUCCUCUGUAGGAUUGUGCAUGAAUUGGCUCACAGCACUAACAACAAAGCCUAUGUCCGGACGGGUAUGUGAGAGAUAAAUUAAACGACCAACCAGUCUUUGAUAUCUCUCUCUAUUGACUGGAACACUAUUCUCAACUGAGCCUAGUUUCUUGUAGGGAUCCAUAGGAGUAUCUACUGGUUUGCACCCAAUCAUACCAGUCUCCUUUAGUAAGUCCAGGGUGUAUUUCCUUUGGGAGACAACAAUUCCCUUCCUAGAUCUUGCCACCUCCAUCCCAAGAAAAUAUUUCAGAUUCCCUAGAUCUUUAACUUCGAAUUCCUGAGCUAGCUGUUUCUUCAACUUCUGCAGUUCUUCCUCAUCAUUUCCUGAGAGAAUGAUGUCAUCAACAUAUACGAUUAGGAGAGAGAUCUUCUUUGCUUGUGAUGUUCGGAGGAAUAGAGUGUGAUCUGCCUGACACUGAGUGUAACCAAGUCUCACAACUGCCUUCGCAAAUCUAUCAAACCAUGCUCGAGGGGAUUGUUUAAGCCCAUACAAAGAUUUCUUGAGCUUGCACACUUUAUUUCUAGUAAGAUUCAGAUCAAGACCCUGGGGAACUUCCAUAAACACUUCUUCUUCAAGAUCGCCAUUGAGAAAUGCAUUUUUUAUAUCUAGUUGGUAUAAGUACCAAUCUAGAUUUACUGCUAAGGAGAGCAAGAUUCUAAUGGUGUUGAGCUUCGCAACCGGAGCAAAGGUUUCAAGAUAAUCAAUCCCAUAUGACUGUGUGAACCCUUUAGCUACAAGACGAGCUUUGAGCCUCUCAACACUUCCAUCUGCCUUGUAUUUAACAGUAAAAAUCCACUUACAUCCAACUGGUCGUUUCCCUGCAGGAAGAUUUGUUAUAACCCAUGUAUCAUUUUUCUCAAGAGCAUUUAUUUCUUCAUGAACAGCUCUCUUCCACUCAGGAUGACCGAGAGCCUCUUGUAUAUUGUUGGGAACAUGUAGAUUAUCUAAAGAAGAAACAAAGGCUCGGUAUGAUGGGGACAAACCAUCAUAUGAGACAUAUUUGGCAAUUGGAUGAGUGGUGCAACUUCGAACCCCCUUUCUUUCUGCAAUUGAUUUAUUAGAAUCAUCCACACUUGGAACCAUGAACUCAACCGAGGCAAGACUAUCCAUACCUGUGUUGUCUUCAUAAGAGCUUGGAUUUGGUUCAGUUUCUUGGACAUGUGGCUGAGUUCUGUGCUCUAUCUGCUCUCCAGUUCUUCUCCUCCUAUAAACAUUAAGAUUAUCAACAGCAAGCUGUGGAAGAGGUGAGAUUAGAGGUUGUAGUUGAUGAGCUGAUGGAUGACGGGGUGACUCGGCUGGUUGUGGUUGGGAGGACUCAGAUGACUCAAAAGGUUGUGAAGAUGUUGGGAGGAUUGCUGAUUGUGGCUGUUGGAUAGAUUGAUCAUGUGUGGUGGUUGAGUUAUGAGGGUUUUCAUGAGGGGUUUCCAGCCAAGAUUGCCAAGAAGAUUCCCAAGGCUGAUGUUCGCUCAUACUCUCUCCCUGAACAACAGUUUUGGAAUAGAAAGGCAGGUUUUCAACAAAUGUUACAUCUCUGGAAAUGUAUAUUUUUCUGGUAUGAGGAGAAUAGCAUUUGUAUCCUUUUUUAUGUGGAGAAUAGCCUAAAAAUAUACACUUGAGAGAUCGGGGAUCAAGUUUAGUCCUGUGUUGAGAGUGAACAUGGACAUAUGCUGUGCAACCGAAUAUUUUUUGUGGUAAAUCUGCUGAAACAAUCCUAGUGUGUGGAAAGAAAUUGAGAAGAACUUUUCUUGGGCAAUGAAACCCCAAGACUCUAGAAGGCAUUCGGUUGAUUAAGUAGGCUGUAGUGAGAACAGCUUCACCCCAGAAAAAAUUAGGAACAUGAGAUGAGAACAAAAGACAGCGAGCCACUUCAAGAAGGUGUCUGUUUUUGCGUUCAGCGACCCCAUUUUGUUGUGGGGUGUCAACACAAGAACUGAUGUGAAGAAUGCCUUGAUGGAGAAGAUAUGAGCUGAGGGAGUCUUUGAAAUAUUCCUUGGCAUUGUCGGUUUUAAGGACUUGGAUUUUGGUAUUGAAUUGGGUUUGAAUCAUGGCGUUAAAGUUUUGGAAGAUUUGACUAACUUCGGAUUUGUUUUUCAUGAGAAACACCCAAGUGAGACGAGUAUGAUCAUCCACAAAUGACAAAAACCAGCGAGCCCCAGAAACAUUUUUAAUUCUUGAGGGACCCCACACAUCAUUGUGAAUUAAAGCAAAUGGACGAGAAGGCUUAUACUUAACGCUUGAAUAAACAUUUCGAGUAUGUUUUGCAAAUUGACAAAUUUCACAAUGAAAUGAUAAAGGGUUUUUAUUGAUGAAUAGAUUGGGAAAAAUUUUUGCGAGAUACAUGAAACUAGGAUGACCUAAUCGAUAGUGUAACAGAACAAUUUCACUAUCGUUAUUGACAUUUGGACUAACAAUAGAAUGAGGAUAACUAGUUGACAGACUAUUGGACUUGGCACAGUUUGCUCUCGAAUCUUGUAUGAAGGAGGAUUGAUCGCUUUUGAGUAGAUAGAGUCCAGAACAUAGCUCAGCACUGCCAAUCGUCUUCGCGAAUCCAAGUCCUGAAAAACACACAUAUUUGGAUAGAAUUUAGUUACACAAUUCUGAUCACGAGUGAAUUUACUGAUUGAAAGUAAAUUGCAAGCCAAAUUAGGCACAUAAAGUACAGAAUUAAGGUGUAACUCCUUAGUGAGUCUGAUGGAACCUGUCCCUGCUAUAUUGUGUGAGAGCCAUCUGCGAUCCGGACUGAAGUGCUGUUGAUGCUAGCUUUAUAAUCCUGCAACAUUGAGGCAUCUCCAGUCAUGUGAUCAGAAGCACCAGUGUCAAUUAUCCAGGGUUUGCUUGCUCCAUUAGUGGCUGCAAAUGCUGAAUGAGUCUCUUUCUAAGCCACUAGACUUGUCCCUGCAUUGGAGUUCAAAGUGGCUUGAUCGAAAAGCUUUUGAAGAAUCUCCAUUUGCUCCUUGCUGAAUGGAUUUGGCUCGGGUAGGGCCUGAUUGUCCGUGGUGGAUGCUGCAUGAGCACGAGAUUCACGGUCACCUUUGGAACGAGGUUUCCAAUCAGCAGGUUUGCCAUAAAUUUUCCAGCAACUCUCCUUAUAGUGGCCUGCCUUACGACAGUGAUCGCACCAUGGUCUUUCUUUCUUUGUACGAUUUUCACUAACCCCUACAGAGUUGGAUGCACGGGCAACAAGUGCAGAGGCGCCCAGUGUUGGUUCUGAUGACCCCAUCAUCACCUUUUUCCUACUUUCUUCAUGCCUAACUUCAGAAAAGGCUUCACGAGGGCGCGGUAGAGGCUUUGUCCCGAGUACACGGCUCCUAACCUGAUCAAGAUCUUUAUUGAGUCCGAGGAGAAAUUUAAACGUUCUCUUCUGUUCCACAAUCUUCUUGUACAAGGUUGUAUCGUCGGUGCACUUCCAAGGGUAUGUUUCAAAUAGAUCAAGGUGUUGCCAAUGCCUAGUCAGAGUAUUAAAGUAUUGAGUGACAGAUUGUUCUCCUUGGCGGAAGUCAUGGAGGAUGGUUUCAAUCUGGAAUAACUCUGAUGUGUUCUCAGAGCUAGAAUAGGUUUCCUUUGCAGCAUCCCAUAUGUCAUUUGCAGUCCCAAACAGAAGAAAAUUCUCACCAAUAUCAUUGUUCAUGGAAUUGAUAAGCCAUGACAUGAUCAUGUUGUUCUCUGACUNNNNNNNNNNNNNNNNNNNNNNNNNNNNNNNNNNNNNNNNNNNNNNNNNNNNNNNNNNNNNNNNNNNNNNNNNNNNNNNNNNNNNNNNNNNNNNNNNNNNNNNNNNNNNNNNNNNNNNNNNNNNNNNNNNNNNNNNNNNNNNNNNNNNNNNNNNNNNNNNNNNNNNNNNNNNNNNNNNNNNNNNNNNNNNNNNNNNNNNNNNCACGUAACAGAGGUUGAUGAGGAAGCCAUCCCGUAUUUUGCCACAGAGAAUACAACUGAUGGGAGAGGAAGGAAGGUAGAUUGUUCAAUUUAUGAGAGAAGAAGGAAAUGGCGGCUGAUAGGAGAACUAGGGUUUAGAGCCAGGCUCUGAUACCAUGAAGAAAAAUGUGAAUUGGUUCCUCUUUUUCUUACUUUCCAGAACAGUAUGUACAGGGAAUAUAUACAGCAAAAUAGGAGAGAAAAUAGGAGACUACAUCUAUCCUUUCCUAAAUAAUAGGAAACAAAAUCUGGAAAGAAUCCUAAUGAAUCUUCCUAUUAUAAUUUAACUUAUUCCGAAAAUAGCCUAGAUUACAAAUAAAUCAUAACUUUGAAUCUUUAUUUUCAACAGUAACUAUUCUUUUCUUUUUAUUUUUCCUUUUCUGAAAGAAACUUAGUUUUGUAUUGUUUGGCAAGCUAGAAAAUGAAAGAAAAUAAAAGAAAGCGCUGUAAAGAAGUUUGUAGAACCUUUAUUACUCUAGCAUUACAACUGAAUGAAUACAGACUGAUAUUUCUAUUAAGCUACAAUUUUCUCAACACACACACAAGUUUGUUACAUCACAUAACCAUUUGCUGCAUAACUAAUUUGACACAUCAGCUCAACCAGCUAACUAACUUUGCCAGGUCAAGCCUAGUGAGUUGAUCUGCUAAAGUCAGCUACACAGCAACAUCAUGCUCUGCUCCAACUUCAUUCAAUUCACUAACAUCCCCCCUCAAGCUGAAAUGUUUAGGAUGAACAUUCAGCUUGCUUCUUAAGUAACUAAACUGUUUGAGAGUAAGCCUUAGUCAACACAUCUGCUGUUUGAUCUUGACUGGGCACAAAACAUACUUCAAUCUCUUUUGCAGUAACUUUAUCUCGAAUAAAAUGUAUAUCCAAUUCGACAUGCUUAGUUUUAGCAUGAUAGACUGGAUUGUAAGCUAAAGCAAUUGCUUCUUGAUUAUCACACCACAUCAUAGGAGUAGAGCUCAAUUUGAUGUUAAGUUCACCAAGUAAAGAUUGUAUCCAGGGAACCUCUGAAGCAGCAUGAGCAAGAGAUCUAUACUCAGCCUCUGUGCUGGACCUGGAAACAACAACUUGUUUCUUUGAUGACCAUGAGACUAGAUUAGGGCCUAGGUAAACAGCAAAGCCAGCCACUGACUUCUUAUCAUCACGAUCACAAGCCCAAUCAGAAUUUGAAAAACAAUGUAGUUGCAAAGUUCCUUUGUUAUUAAAUUGCAGCCCAAGAUGUAUAGUGCCUUUUAAGUACCUCAAUAACCUUUUGCAUGUUUCCCAAUGUUGUGUUCUAGGACUUGAAAUGAAUUGACUUAGGUUGUUUACAGAGAGAGCAAUGUCAGGUCUGGUAAGAGUAACAUAUUGAAGAGCUCCUAUAACACUCCUAUAUUGAGAAACAUUAUCAAUUAGCUCUCCUGAUUCUUUUGUGAGAUAAUAACCAGUAGACAUUGGAGUAGGCACAGGACUGCAAUCUGUCAUGCCAUGUUUAUCCAGAAUGUCAGUAAUAUACUUUGCUUGUGUCAAGGAAACCCCUUGUGAAGACUUGCUGACUUCAAUCCCCAGAAAAUAGCUAAGUUCCCCCAUGUCUUUUAAAGCAAAGGCUUGAUUCAUAAUCUUAAUAACUUGCUGAAUUAGUGUUGGACUGGAACUAGUGAUGAUAAUAUCAUCAACAUAGACCGAAACAAGAGUUAGAUGACCACUGUUCCAGGCAUGAAACAGAGAGUUAUCAGACCUUGAAUGCUAGAAAUGCCGUUUAGAGAUCAUUGCAUCCUUGAAUCUAUCAAACCAGGCUCUAGGUGCCUGUUUUAAGCCAUACAAAGCUUUAUUCAGCUUGCAGAUAUGAUUAGGUUUAGUUGAGUCAACAAAACCUUCAGGUUGAGCCAUGUACACCUCUUCAAUUAAAAUGCCAUUUAGAAAGGCAUUAUUAACAUCUACUUGCCUAAUCACCCAUUGAUUCAAUACUGCUAAGCUAAGAAUAACUCUAACAGUUGAAGCUUUAACUACUGGACUAAAAGUUUCUGUAUGGUCAAUCCCAUGUGUCUGAUGAAACCCCUUUGCAACAAGCCUGACUUUAUAUCUUGAAACUGAACCAUCUGAGUUAUACUUUAUUCGAAACACCCAUUUGCUGCCAACUAUCUUCACUGGAGUAGCAUGUAAAACUAAAUCCCAGGUGUGAUUAGUUUUAAGUGCUAGAUACUUUUCUUGCAUAGCCUUAUACCACAUAGGAUCAGAAAGUGCUUGGGAAACAGAAGUUGGUUCUGAUUUCUGGGCUAAUAAAGCUGACAAAUAAAUUUUUGGCUUGAAAAUACCUGCUUUUGACCUGGUUAUCAUUGGAUGACCAGUUGAUGCAGGUUGUGGCAAUGUAUGUGGAGGUGAAUUAUGUGGUAGUGAAGAAGAAGAAGCUGAGUUGGAAUUAUCAGAAAAAUAAAGUGGAGUAGAAUUUGGUGAGGGAGUAGGAGCAUCUGAAUGAUGAACAUUUUGAUGGUGUUCUGAUGAUGCUGCUAAAGGUGCUUGUAACUGAGUAAUAGAAGGAACAGAGGAAUUGAAAGAAGACUUAUAAUUUUUUGUUGACUAACAACUUGAAGAGAGUGAAGAAAAAUCUGCUCCAGACUCAUAAGGAAAAGAAUUUUCAUCAAAGGUGACAUGAUUUGAAAUGUAAACCCUCUUAGAAGAGUGAAGACACUGAUAUCCCUUGUGUUGUGAAUUGUAGCCAAUGAAUAUACAUCUGGCAGUUCUGAAAUCAAACUUAUGUCUAUUGUAUGGUCUGAGUGUUGGAUAACAAGCACAACCGAAGGUUUUAAGUGUUGAAUAAUCUGGUUGAUGAUGAAAUAACUUUUGGAAAGGAGAAAUGUUGUUUAGAAUUGGAGUUGGAAGUCUGUUUAUCAAAUAGACAGCUGUGUGGAAUGCAUUCCACCAAAAUUUGAGUGGUAAAUGUGCUUGAGCUAAUAAGGUCAGACCUACAUCAACUAUGUGUCUAUGUUUCCUCUCAAUUCUUCCAUUUUGAUGAUGAAUAUGUGGGCAAGGGUGUCUAAAAUGGAUACCAGAAGCAGUGAGUAAUGAGGAAAAUGUUCUGAACUCUUCUCCCCAAUCAGUUUGGACAGUUUUGAUUUGAAGUUGAAGAUGCUUUUCAAUAAAAAUUUUGAAAUUGGUAAACACUUCAAGAGCAUCAGAUUUGGCUGACAAUGGAAAUAUCCAGGUAAAUCUACUAUAAUCAUCUAAGAUUGAUAAGUAGUAAUUAUAUCCUUGGGUAGAACAGACAUGAGAAGGACCCUGAUGGCUGUCGAAGCCAACAAAAAUAAAUUCCUACUCUAAAUAAAUUGUGUAUAGUGAUUGAGCAGGGUCGUGUCCACAGAGAUCGAUAAUUAUUUAAAUCCUUUUGAAACGUAAAACGUAAAAUGGGGGAAUUGUUGACAAUAAUAAAAAUCAAAUUAAAAAUAACAAGAAUGCAAAUUAAAGUUGUAAUUUAAAUUGGAGAAAGCUCUGGUUGAAGGAAUUAACUCAGCUUGAUUCGACUACUGAUCAUUGAUUCAAAUAUAGAUUAUUAUUACUCAUGAAUAGACCGGUUAUAGCUACUGAGACCCUCUAAUAGCCAAUCUCUCCUUAACUAGUCGAUAACCAAGGUACGACCGUUGGUUAUUUCCCUAAUCAAUAGACAACCCUAGAUACGAUCAUAGAAUUUAAUCAAUUGACAGCCUGAAAAACCAGAGAGACCCAAAUCCUAAUCAACACAUAUGAUGAUUCAUUUAAAUUAGAUUGUUUAUUCUCACAACACAACUCUCUGCUAUGUUAUUAGUCACAAGCAUUAAAUUCUUCAUACGAUGAAUCCUUUAAUUGACAAUAGAUUAAGUUGAUAAUUAAAUAGUGGCCAAUUACCUAAUUAACAAACAUAAUCAUGAAAAUAAUUCAGAGAAUAAACAAAUACCCAAAAAGUAAUAAAACAAUUAAAGCACAAGAAAGAUCUCACAGUAGUGAUGAAUCAAAGCUUCAUUAACCUUCAACCAGAAAAAUGGGUUUAGUUUCUCAUAGAGAGAAGAGAAAAAUUAGAUCUAGGGUUUCUUUUUCUCCAAUCCAAAAUUCCCCCCUUUCACAAUAGAUUCCUCCCUUAAAUACUCUCUCUCUCUUCUCCUCUAGAAUUCUAUUUAAAAUAAAAUACUAAUAUCUGAAAUAUUAAAUUCGUAAUUACAAAAAUAACCAAAAAUACAAAACACGUUAAACUAAAAACUGCAGGUCCGCAGUUGACAGCACGCGCCCACGCCUUAUCAAUAAAGUUCUUCUGCCGCUCAUAAUUUCUCCAAGAGAACAAUCAUCCUUAAAAAUCAUCUUGUAGCUCAAUUUUAUCACCAAUCAAUAGAAUUGCACCUACAAAAGUAAAACACAAGUAAAUCAUUAUUAUUAAGUGCAAAACAUCGAUAUUAAGGGAAGUAAACAAUGCAAAACUAGUGCAUAAAUUGCACUCUAACAAAUUCCCCCACACCAAGAUGAUGCUUGUCCUCAAGCAUAUAACUCAAGAUUAAUCCCAAAUCUCCACUCAAUUCUCAUCUCAACUCAUCCAAAAAUAGAAAUUAAGUCGAUCAACAUUCGAGAGACAAGGAUUUUAAAGCAUAGAAUCUCAUAAGAUAGAAUAAGAACAUUCAACCACCAAGAAGAUCCAUUCAAAAUUCAAGUGCAACAAGAUGUAAUAGCCCUCUCAAUAACUUCACUCCAUGCACUCAAAGUGUUUAGGGUGUCAUUUAUCCACUCAAAUCAAAUCAAAGAAUGCUAUUACCAUAAGCUUGCUCAUAUAUCACAUCUCAAUCCACAAAACAUGAAUAAAAUGCAAAAAUCUAAGGGUCUUAAAAGGAUUGUAAUGGGGUUAAAUGGGUUAAAUGAAAAAGAAAGGUUUACGAAAGAAAAAGAGAUCAAAAUGAGAAGAAUGAACUCAUUGAAUGAACUUAUGAUAUCAAAAUGCUUAUUUCUACUCAAGUCACCAAGAAUGUAAACAUUUUUUUUUUCGAUUUUUCUUUUUCUUUUUUUUUCUUUUUCCUUUUCUUUUUCUUUUUUUUUUUCAUUUUUUCAUUUUUUUUUGUUUUUUGUUUUUUGUUUUUUUCGAAUCAAACAAAAGAAACGAACCUUGCACAAUUUAAUUCAAGCAUAAUGCUUGUUGAUCUAAUUGAGAAACUUCAAUACAAGGUAGAAAAAGCAACAAAAUAUAUCCACACAAUGAGUCCAAAAAUCUCCUUAAAUUGAGGCUCAAAAAGAAGAAAAAUGGUUAAGUAGACGGAGAGAAUUAGAUGGGUAAUGGUUAAGGCUCAAACAAAGGUAGCAAAUAAAGGUCUUCGGGUAGAGAAAAAGGAAAAUGCGAGAAUAGAAAAAUGGUAAAUGGUUUGCCCUUAUCAUUUUAAUGCCUAAAAUCCCGUAAUGUGGCUUCAAUAUGCAUAACAAAGCAAAUUCUAGAAUAAACAAACUAGGAUUGAUAUUCACAUAACAAAAAUAAUUAGAGCAAAGUGGUUGCUCAUAGGCUCAAAUCCUCACAAAGUUGGUAAAUUUGCCAUCAAAUCAUGUACACUCUUCAAAUGAAUCAACCAUCAAUAGUGGUGUAGAAUGAGAAGAAGGUAUGAGUGAUAUAUAAAAGAAAAGGUAAAAAUUAUAAGAAGUGAGAAAGAUGUAUGUAGUAAUAUGAAAAGUGAAAGAUAAAAUGUGAGUGAUGAAAGAGUAUGGUAAAAUAAAAAUAGAUAUGAAUAGUUUGAGAUAGAUGGGAAAAAAGUAGUGAGAAAGAAAAGAAAAGAAAAUUAAUAAUAUAUGAAGCAUACUAACUCCAAAAUCAUUUAAGGAUGAGUAGAGUGAAAAUAGAUGAGUAGAGUGAAAAUAAUAAUUCCAGACAUCAAUAAUGCAAAAAUCCCUCCCCCACACCAAGAACUUACAUUGUCCCCAAUGUAAGAUAAUCAAAGCUCACAUAAAAAUUAAAGCGUAAGGAUAAAAGAUUAAGGGCAAAAAAAAAAACUUCCCUGAAUUGUGAGCUUUGAUCCACAUAACGUCUAUGGGCUUGGCGGAAAUGGUGGGGUAAAUCCCACACUCUCGAAGUAUGCGGCCAAAUUCUGCUCCAUCUUGUUCAGCUUGUGCUCCAUUUUCUCUAACUGAAUACUCAAAGGUGGUGCGGAUGUAGAAGGAAUAGUUGGCGGGGCAGCAGUGUCGUCGUCAAACUCGUCAUCAGAGGUAGCACCACUCCUAGCAUAAAGCUUCUUCGGAAGUUGAGUGGGUCCUGGUUCAGUAAACUGAAAUCUCCCCUCCUUGAAUUCAACCACACCUGUUCUUUCAAACACAGACAUAUCCAAAAAUUCCUUUUUGCAAGCAGGAUGCAAAUCAUUAUUGUCGGGAUCAAGAACACAUAGGUUUAUAGCUAACAGAGUAAUGUAUGGACCAAGAAAUAAAGUCCUAUACCGUUUAAGCACAUUUUGAAAUUGAUCCGCUAACCAAAAACCUAAAUUAGGCCUCACAUCAUUUAACAUGCACCAGAUAAAAUAAAAUUCAGUUUUAGAGAAAAUUCCCGAGUGAUCUUUCUUGCCUAAAAAAUUAUAUGCUAAGAAUCGAUGCACACAUUUCAAAACAGGAUCACGUAAGAAAGAACUCUUUGAUUUACUCGGGUCAUAGGCAUUGUGAUCAACAGAUAAAUUACGCCAAAGACCAUAAGGCUCAAAAUUUUCGCUAAAGUCACAAGUUGUUCCUAAAUAUGCAUCACUAGAAGAAUAAUCAUCAUCAAUGAAUCCUAAAGCUAGGUUAAAAUCCGUGAUAGAGUGUGAAAAAUUUCGUCUCAUUAACCUAAACUUAAUGACAUUCGGGGUAUGCAAAGUAAAAUCAUUCGGCAUAGUAAAUUGAAAAGUAGCAUAAAACUCCCUAAUCAACUCAACAUAACCCAAACAAUCAACAUCAACAAAUUUACGCAACCCAAUCUUAUCUAUCAAAGAAUCAAAAUUAUCCUUAACAUUCAAUUUUUCAAGAGUCGGGUAAUGAAUAUACUUAGCUGGAAGUAUUUUGCAAGUGGAAAUAUCUUUGUACCUCUCUUUCUCUUGUUGAGUCGCGAACGCGAGGCACCCUCCGAGAUUGGAUUCCGCAAGUGGCAAAACACUCAUGCCUUUUCCAUGCUUCGAUCUUUGUCUCACGGCUUUGCGUGAAUCUGAAAUUGUGUUCCAUGGAACCGUAGUGGGAGCGGCAAUCUUAGAUUUCUUUACGACGGGUUUCUUUUUCGAUGACUUGGAAGUAGAUGCUUUCCUCUUCGGCAUUGUUACAAUAAUUGCACUCACGGAUUUCGAUUUACCCGGCUGGAAUACAUGACGUAGGCUGGUUGCGUUGCGUUGCUGCUCGACUGGAGCUUGCUGUGCGGGUUGGAGCUGGUUGCGCACUGCUGGGCUGCGAGACACGGGAUGCUGGUGCUGCGCUCGCGGGGGCUUGCGUUGCGAGCUGGUGAUUCGCGUUGCUGGUUCGUGCUGCGUUGCGGGGCUGCUGGUGGGACUGAUGUUGCGCGUUGCGGCUGGGGCUGGAUCUACGCACUGCUGUGUGAUUCGCGAGAGCCGGUUCGUCUGCGUUGCUGUGCUGCACUGAGGUUGAUUCGCGUUGCUGCUGGUUGCGGUGCGCGAUGCUGCGCCCGGCGGCUGGGGCUGGUGGGGCUUGCUGCUGGAAAACGAUAAUCAACAGUAAUUUUUUUGAAUUAGGGAUUUGUGAACAGUGAUUUUCGAAUUUUUUUUUUUUUUUUUUUUAGUGAUGAAUCACUUUGAGACACUAAAAAUUUCAGAAGUACUUUUUUAAUAAGCACGUGGGCACGCCUUAUCAAAAAUUUUCUUCUGGCCAAAAUAAGCAAACACAUUAUUUUAAAAAAAAAUCUGAAUCAAAAUUAAAAGAAGAUAUAACAAAAACCAAAAUAAAUAAAUCAUUUGGGUUGCCUCCCAAAAAGCGCCUUUGUUUUAUGUCUUUGGCUAGACACGUUUAUGCAUCAAUCUCCAUAAUUGGGACUCUCGAGAGCCACAUCCUCCACAAUAUUCACCGAAAAACCUUCAUAAAAAGGUUUUAAGCGAUGACCAUUAACCUUAAAAACUUUGUCAGAGGUCGGACUCCGAAUCUCAACUGCACCAUGAGGAAAAACAUUAGUAACAAUAAAAGGUCCAACCCAGCAAGAACGUAAUUUACCCGGAAAAAGUUUAAGCUUAGAAUGAAAAAGAAGAACUUUUUGACCAACAGAGAACUCCUUUCUCAAAAUCAUUCUAUCAUGAAAUGUCUUCGUCUUUUCCUUGUAAAAAAUUUCCUGCGCUAUAGGGUUAAUAACAUCCACAGAAAAUACCGAAUGUUCCUCACUAGGAUAUUUCAUGGUAUCAUUCAUAUUGAAUCCUAUAACCUCUCCAUCAAACUCCAUAGUGAGAGUCCCUUUAUGUACAUCCAUUUUAGUCAUAGCAGUCUUAAGAAAAGGUCUUCCUAGCAAAAUUGGGACAGAAUUAGAGGAGUUAUCAUCUUCCAUAUCAAGUACAUAAAAAUCAGCAGGAAAAACCAACUCAUUAACUUGUACUAAGACAUCUUCUAAUACCCCAUCAGGAUAUGCAUUAGACCUAUCAGCUAGUUGAAUUAUCACGCCAGUUUCUUUUAAUGGACCAACAUUCAAAGAUGAAUAAAUGGAACGAGGCAUGACAUUAAUAGAAGCUCCUAGAUCUAACAUAGCCUUUUCAACUCUAACACUACCAAUUUUACAAGGGAUAGUAAACAUACCUGGAUCCUUGCACUUAGGAGGUAGUUUCUUUUGGAAAAUUGCUGAAACAUUCUCCCCCAUGUGAACUUUUUCAUCUCCUCUUAAUUUUCUUUUGGAGGUGCACAGUUCCUUAAGGACUUUAGCAUAUCGAGGUAUUUGUUUUAUAGCAUCUAAUAAAGGAAUAUUUACCUCAACCUUGCGAAAUGUCUCAAGGAUGUCUUUCUCUUGUUCUUCCUUCUUGGAUUUUGCAAACCGGCUUGGAAAAGGAGGAGGUAUCACAAUAGGUAGGGGUUUCGCUCCGGUGGGUUGUGCAUCUUGAGAUUGAGGCAUCAAUUCAUUCUUCUCAAGCUCAUCUUCUACAUGCUCUGUCACUUUCUUACUAGGCUCUUGCAACUCCUUCCCACUUCUAAGGAUGAUAGCACUAACGUUUUGCUUUGGAUUCACCUCAGAUUAUGAAGGCAAUCUUCCUAAUACUCGAGACUCCAGAUGGCUUACUGUAGUCGCCAAUUGACUCAUUUGGUUCUCCAAGUUCUGAAUGCUUGCUGUAGUUGCCUGCUGAAAUUGUUGAGUGUUAGUCGCAAGUGAUUUAACAAUUUCUUCAAGAGAUAUACCUGACUUGGAGUUUGACUGUGGAGGUGCUGGUUGUCUUGGUGGAUACUGUUGUGGGAAUCCUGACGGUUUAACUCCAUAGCUGAAGUUGGGAUGAUCCUUCCAUCCCAGAUUGUAUGUUUGUGCAUAAGGAUCAUACCUCCUCUGAGGCAUGCCUGGAAAUCCUCCAACUGCAUUGGCUUGUUCAACGAGUUCUUCUUGGAGUGUAGGACACAUAUAAGUUGAAUGACCCAUAUUGUAACAAAUGCCACAAGUCUUCACCUGUUGCACAUUACCUACAACAAACUUUUCCACAAGAGAAGUAAGUUUAUCUAAACGUUGUUCAACAAAAGAAAUAUUUACCUCAUUCACCUUCCUUGAAGUGGGAUCUUGCCUGCUACUAAAUUGUUGUGCAUUGGCAGCCAUAUUUGAGAUCAACUCCCUUGCUUGAGUAGGGGUUUUGUUCACCAACACACCUCCACUAGCAGCAUCUAUCAUACUUCUAUCCAUUAAUGAUAGUCCUUCGUAAAAAUAUUAAAUAAGAAGUUGAUCAGAAAUCUGAUGCUAAGGACAGCUGGCACACAAUUGUUUGAAUCGCUCCCAAUACUCAUACAAAGUCUCCCCAGGAAGUUGUCUGAUCCCACAAAUAUCUUUUCUGAUGUUGGCAGCUCUUGAAGUAGGAAAGUACUUCUCAAGGAACUGCUUUUUCAAACCAUUCCACGUUGUAAUUGAUCCAGGAGGCAAGUAGUACAACCAAUCUUUAGCUAGCCCAUCUACAGAGAAUGGAAAAGCACGCAACUUAAUCUGCUCUUCAGUCACGCCUUGUGGCCUCAUACUUGAGCACACAACAUGAAACUCCUUGAGAUGUUUAUGAGGAUCUUCACCUGCAAAACCAUGAAACUUGGGUAAUAAAUGAAUAAGCCCAGACUUUAAUUCAAAAUUUACCUCCAAGUCUACAUAUUGAAUGCAGAGUGGUUGUUGAUUCAAGUCUGGUUCAGCUAACUCUCUAAGAGUUCUUUCUACAGGUGCAGGUCUAUCCAUCACUUGUUCUUCUGAAUCGCUAGAUGAUUCAACUAAAUCAGGCACUGUAUCUGUUUCAGAAAGCAAAGGCGACGAGGAUCGUUGCUUAGCUCGCUUUGUCUGCUGUCUCAGUUGGCGAGCUGUCUUCUCAAUUUUAGGAUCAAACGAAAGUGUACCUGUACGAGAAGAACGAACCAUACACCAAGUAAAACGUAAAAAAGAUUAAAUAAAUGACACCAAUCCCCGGCAAUGGCGCCAAAAUUUGAUGGGUGUCGAAGCCAACAAAAAUAAAUUCCUACUCUAAAUAAAUUGUGUAUAGUGAUUGAGCAGGGUCGUGUCCACAGAGAUCAGUAAUUAUUUAAAUCCUUUUGAAACGUAAAACGUAAAAUGGGGGAAUAGUUGACAAUAAUAAAAAUCAAAUUAAAAAUAACAAGAAUGCAAAUUAAAGUUGUAAUUUAAAUUGGAGAAAGCUCUGGUUGAAGGAAUUAACUCAGCUUGAUUCGACUACUGAUCAUUGAUUCAAAUAUAGAUUAUUAUUACUCAUGAAUAGACCGGUUAUAGCUACUGAGACCCUCUAAUAGCCAAUCUCUCCUUAACUAGUCGAUAACCAAGGUACGACCGUUAGUUAUUUCCCUAAUCAAUAGACAACCCUAGAUACGAUCAUAGAAUUUAAUCAAUUGACAGCCUGAAAAACCAGAGAGACCCAAAUCCUAAUCAACACAUAUGAUGAUUCAUUUAAAUUAGAUUGUUUAUUCUCACAACACAACUCUCUGCUAUGUUAUUAGUCACAAGCAUUAAAUUCUUCAUACGAUGAAUCCUUUAAUUGACAAUAGAUUAAGUUGAUAAUUAAAUAGUGGCCAAUUACCUAAUUAACAAACAUAAUCAUGAAAAUAAUUCAGAGAAUAAACAAAUACCCAAAAAGUAAUAAAACAAUUAAAGCACAAGAAAGAUCUCACAGUAGUGAUGAAUCAAAGCUUCAUUAACCUUCAACCAGAAAAAUGGGUUUAGUUCCUAAUAGAGAGAAGAGAAAAAUUAGAUCUAGGGUUUCUUUUUCUCCAAUCCAAAAUUCCCCCCUUUCACAAUAGAUUCCUCCCUUAAAUACUCUCUCUCUUCUCCUCUAGAAUUCUAUUUAAAAUAAAAUACUAAUAUCUGAAAUAUUAAAUUCGUAAUUACAAAAAUAACCAAAAAUACAAAACACGUUAAACUAAAAACUGCAGGUCCGCAGUUGACAGCACACACCCACGCCUUAUCAAUAAAGUUCUUCUGCCACUCAUAAUUUCUCCAAGAGAACAAUCAUCCUUAAAAAUCAUCUUGUAGCUCAAUUUUAUCACCAAUCAAUAGAAUUGCACUUACAAAAGUAAAUCAUUAUUAUUAAGUGCAAAACAUCGAUAUUAAGGGAAGUAAACAAUGCAAAACUAGUGCAUAAAUUGCACUCUAACAGACCCCAAAGAUCUGCAUAUAUCACUUGUAAGGGUGCUGAAGUUUUUGUUUCAACUGAAUCAAAAUGCAGCAUAUGAUUUUUCCCAUAUUGACAUGCUGAACAAAAUUUCAAGCUUUCAAUUUUAUUAUAAGCAGUAGAGUUGUUACAAGUUUUGAGUAUAGUUUUGAGAGUAUAAGAUGCUGGGUGUCCUAAUCUUCUAUGAAGAAGAUUUACAUCAAUAGAACUCUUUGUAACAACUGACAGACAUGGCUUUUUAUUCAAUUCAUAAGAACUAACAGCAGUGAGCUGAUCAGAAUUGAAAACAGGAGAACAAGCAAAGAGAGUGAAUUUUAUUUUGACCAACUGAAUUGAGAAAGACUGAAUGAGCAGCAACAUGUGAAGAGACUCUAUACAAGUCACCUUUAGCAACACCUUCAAGUAAAAUUUUCCUUGUGUUCCUAGCCUUUAUAAAAAACAAAUCACCAAGAAAUUCCAACAGUAACUGGAUUGUCAGCCAAUAAUUUUGAAAUGCUAAGCAAAUUCUUAGUAAUAAAAGGGACAUGAAGAACAUGGUUUUUAAAGGUUUAGAAGUUGAAGUAUUUAGCACAACUGAUCCUACAUGUGUAAUAGCUAAUGCAUUUCCAUCUCCAACAAACAAUUUUUCAGUACUAGUAUAAAUUUGUGAAUCCAGAAGUUUACCUAGAUCAUUUGUAAUGUGAUUUGUUGCUCCACUAUCAAUAUACCAUGAAGGAUCUUCAAUGUGUUCUGGUGGAAGUGAAGAAGGCAUAGCUGAGGAAGAUGAAGCACUUGACUGUCCAGGAUUAUUAUUUCCUUGACCAGAAACAAAAGUAGAUGGUCUAGGGGUGAAUGAGUAAUAAGCAGAAGGAUUACUAUCUGGAUACACCAUAUUUCCUUGAUAGCCAAAACCAGCAUUUAAACCAAAACCUCCAAAACCUCUGCCACCAUUACCAUUAAAAGCUCUUCCUCUACCAUAUUGCCCUUGAUUAAAACCUCUGCCACCAUUCAUAUUACCUCUGCCAUAGUUUCUCUGUGGAACAAAAGAUGAAUUGUACCUAUUUUUGCAUCUAUUGGCUGCAUGACCAGGUAUGAAGCAGAUUUGACAAACAGUUUCAGAGGAAUUACCACCAUUAUUAAACUGACCAUAUCCAUAUCCAUUAAAACCUCCAUACCUAGAAUUAUUUCCAUAAUUUUUUUGAAAAUUGCCAUUAUUCUUUCCAGCAUAUGAGUUCUUCUGAGCAAUAUUUGCUGUCAUAUUGUGCAUCACAUCACCAGCAAUUUUUCCUUUCUUUUGUUCAACUCUAUUUUCAUGAUUCAAUAGCAAAGGAUAUAGUUCAUCUAAUGUUAUCUUCUCACCUCGAGCUAAAACACCUGUGACUAAAGAUUCAUAAUCUGAUGAAUCAAGACCAGUUAAUACAUGAAUCACAAGAUCACUUAACUCAACAGGUUUUCCAGCUAGAGCUAAAGUAUCAGCUAUACGUUUUACUUUUGCAAAGUAAUCAGACAUAUGCAUUGCACCUUUCUUAAUAGUUUGAAUCUGCAUUCUAAGUGUUUGAAUUCUAGCUUGUGAUUAAGAAAUAAACAUACUAGUAAGAGUCUUCCAAAGCUGUUUUGAAGUUGUGGAGUCAAUCACAGUAGCAAGUAGAUUUUGCUGUAUCGACGACAUCAUCUAACUCAACAGAAGUUGAUCAGUCUUCAUCCAAGCUAUGAACUCUGGAUUAAUAGAUUUGGAUUCAGAUUCAGUAAAAAUUUCAGCUCCAUUGUUGUUUCCAAAAGAAAGAAACUACUCAGGACAUUCUUGAUCACCAUUGAUAAACCCUUCCAGACCGUUUCCUUUGAUCGAUGCUAAAAUUUGUGCCCGCCAUAAAAUGAAGUUGUUUUGGUCUAGCUUUGCAGGCGUAACAAAACUAAAAGAGUUGUUAUUUUGAACUGUAUUCGCCAUUUAUGGCUCUAAUACCAUGAAAGAAACUUAGUUUUGCAUUGUUUGGCAAGCUAGAAAAUGAAGAAAAUAAAAGAAAGCUCUGUAAAGAAGUUUGUAGAACCUUUAUUACUUUAGCAUUACAACUGAAUGAAUACAGACUGAUAUUUAUAUUAAGCUACAAUUUGCUCAACACACACACGAGUUUGUUACAUCACAUAACCAUUUGCUGCAUAACUAAUUUGACACAUCAGCUCAACCAGCUAAUUAACUUUGCCAGGUCAGCUUAGUGAGUUGAUCUGCUAAAUUCAGCUACACAGCAACAUCAUGCUCUGCUCUAGCUUCAUUCAAUUCACUAGCAUUUUCCCUUGAUACAUUAGGAGAAAAGACUGCCUGUGAGAUACAACAAUGUAAAUAACUUCUCAUGGUUCAUUGAAUCUAUAACGCACUGAGCCCUAUUCUAAAAUAUGUAGGUUGCUUCUGAAAAAGGGCUUUUCUCACUGAUCUUUAAUCUUCAAGAAAGUUUGUUUCAUUUCAGAAGGUAUAAGUUUCAAACUUAUUGUAUUGGGAGGUUGUAUAGUUGUAACCUAAGCAUCUGCAGGUUCCUGGUUCAACACAUUAUAGUAUGGUAUUUUAUUUUGUCACAAGGCAAUUGGUUACGGGAUCACUUUUGCAACGGUUUGUUGAUGGCGAUGAUGAAUUUCGCAAUAGUAGGUUGAAACUUAUUCCAUCUGUUCCUAAGGUAUCCAUCUUGGCCUUCAUGUAGUAGGACUAUAUUAACGUAUACUUACCCUUUACUGCAUGGUACACUUCAAUUUGUACAAAGAAGGCAUGCAUUUAGGUGUGAAUGUAUUGAUGGGUUGUACCUUCAAACUUUAUCUCCUUUUUACCCUCUUGAAUUUGUUUUGCACUUGUUCUUGAUUUUCAGCACUGAAUCAUGCAGGGGUCAUGGAUAGUGCGCCAGAGUGUUGGAAGCACCCCUUGUUUAUUGGGGAAGGCAGUUGAUUGUAACUAUAUUCGCGGUCCCAAGUACUUAGAAGUAAAUGCUCUUGGAAUUUCUAUAGUACAUGAGAUGUUCCCCUUUCAAAUAGCGUCCAAUACCUUUAACAUGGUUUAACAUUGUUCAUCUUUCUGUAGAUUGAUGUUGACAUCGAUUCUUCUACUGUUGCUAAUGGAGUUUUGGGCCUUGUAAUUGGUGUAAUUACGACAUUGGUGGUUGAGAUGGCUUUCCUUGUACAGGUAUGUAUGAUUGUUUUUUUCCCCCACUGCUAAAUGGACACAAGGGAAAAGACAUGAUUUUGAGAUAUUGCACUGCAACUUGCAUUUUUGCAUACUUGAAUGUUCUCAGAAUGAUAUAAUGCUUCUGUGUGUGUCUUCUUUAUCUUGCUCUUCUGUAUGCAGGCAAAUACUACAGAUGAAUUACCGGAGCGGCUGAUUGGUGCUGUACGUGUUUCUCAUAGAGAACUCAAGUCUGCUGUUGUCCCAAAGCUGGAACCAGAGAUAUCAUGACUCUGGUUUCAUUUCAGCUCAACUGUGUUUUUUUUUUAAUUAAAAAAAUCAUUUGUUUUAGGUAUACAUACAUGUAUUUUGAUUCUAUUUUCAUUGUAAUUUCUCAUUUACUUUGAAUGAAAGUCAUUGGUGUUUUCGAAUGGGAAUUUUGCAUUAAAAAAUGAAGAAUAAUGAAUAGGAAAUUUCCUGAUUCUUUAGUUACUAUUUUUGGUAUGAGUGUAAUUAGUAGUAAAGUAGGUUUCUACUCGCAAACAAGUGAACUACUCGAUUCCCGAGUGGUAUCAACCAGUUUCCAACUUUUUAAUAUACACUAAUUGUUAUUGUUUAAUAGCUACUACUAUUAAAACUCAACAGCUAGCAAAAAUACUUAAAAAAAAUGAUUUUUCUUAUGAUGCUGUGAAAAAAAUUACGGGUGUACUUCUUUCCAUGAGAUCUAUAACAUGGUCUCGACUUCACGAAAUUCUUUUAAUUUAAAGCGUGCUGGUGUGAGGUCAGUUUAACUGAUUAAUUCUUUUUAACAGUGGUCGAGAUAAUUUUACUAUACUAAAAAAUAUUCUUAUUCUGAUAAUGCCACAAAUGUUAUGCUGUUUUCUUCAGAUAAUGAUCUUCCAUUAGGAGAGGUUAGAAAUCAAAUGCUUAAAAGACCAAUUGAACGAAUAAUACAGAAAUUUAGGCAGAAUCUAAUAGAAUAUUGCAUGAAACAUGAAACAUCAAUUCAAGUCCUUUCUUAAACGGAGAAUGCAUCAAACAAAAUCCAAAGUGUCUUGCAAGUCUGUAGCGUGAGCAAAAAAUUGUAAAUAUGUAGAACCAAAUUAUUCAAGUACAGAAGAACGAGCAAGCUAAAUCAUGUAUAAGAGAUUGGCCUGGUUCGGGAUAGCUUCUUCACUGUAUCUGAAGGGUUGGCUCAAUCUCUUCUUUAGAAUUCUGCAGAUUUUGUAAUUACUCGUGUAAGCAAGUAUACAUUGCCACCAUAAGAAUAAUGAAGCUAGAGUAAUGAUAUGACCACCACCUCUUGUGCACAAACAAUAUUGUAUAAACUAAUGCGACAUAAUAUGAUUGGUUAAACAAAAACAUUACAUGGCCCUCAUAAUUUAUUUAUUUAUUUAUUAUUAUUAUUAUAUAUUUUCAGUCAACCAAUCAUAUUAUAUCACAUUAGUUUCUAUAAAAUAAUUUGCUAAAUAGCACCAAAACUUAAUUGAUACUCACCAUUUCAUUGAACAAUUUUUUUAUGGUGUCAUUGAGGUUGCCUUCCCAACAUCGUUCAUCAUCAUCUUUUUCUUCUUUGGUGACGUUCACUUUGUUUAGCAUUGGUGUGUCUAAGAGUCCUUGAGAGAAGAUCUUCAUUUUUGGACACUGUCUCACAACUACUUGUUUCAAGGACGGGAAUUCAAGAGCGUAAUUACCUAAACAAAAGCUUGUUAGGCUUGGCAAACAAUCAAGUCUCAAGUACUCCAAUUCCUUGAAAACAUUGCAAUCUUUCGCUUCUUCUCCAACCUGCAAUUGUAUGAUUUGUUCUAUCAUUUUGCAAUCAACUAUCAUCAUUCUUUUGAGAUUCACUAGAUUUUUAGAUGCUGAGAGCGUCAACACAUUUAUCAAUCCGUGACACUUCGAUACUGCCAAAGCCUCAAGAUUUUCCAAAUGCCACGAAGGUGGUACUAAUUUUUGCAACUUACUACAUUCCGAUAUUUUUAGACUUUUCAAGUUUGCAAACACUUUGUUGGAUUCGGCAUUUUCCUUCCAGAGAUGGUGCACUUUGUGUAAUCCAGACAGCUCUAACCAUCUCAAUCGAGGGAAUGAAACCUGAAAAUCAACAAAAUUAAGUUGUAAAUGAAAAUAUGUAUCCAAUCUCUGCAGUCUUCCCCUGCAUAUUUUAUGGACAAGAUUAAUCACGACAUUUUAUAUUUUUUUUCCAAAUUAGAAUGCUUUGCAGUAGGAUCCCAAAUAUAAGUAUCAAAUCGAUUACCCUUUGAAACACAUAAAUGAAAUCUGAUACUAAAUCCAAUAUGAAUUAGCUAGGAAAACAGAGAUGUUACACACAUAAUUAAUAGAGUUCAUCACCUCGUGUUACCAGGCAUCCAAUUAAUUUAAGACAUUUUAAUAAUUCAUAUUAUAAAGUUAGUUGAUAGCGGAGGUUAUAUUGUUAAAUCAUAUAUAAAUUAAGACGACGUGCAAAAAGAGGAGUCAUUAAAUUCGAUUUGAUUCUAACGAAAUUACAUCUAUGCGAAUGAAAGUGAAGGGAAAUAAUAAUAAUAAUAAUAAUAAUCACCUUUUCAUCGAAGAGAGGUUGUACUUGAUGAGCCAGCAAGAAGUUCUCUUCUGAUGUUAAUUUUUGAGGUUCCUUAUUAUCCGCUGUCAUGUGCAGUACAGAGUUGGAUAUGAAUGUUUCUAUAUCUCGGCAAUUCUCAAUAGUUAGAUUUCUCAACAUAGGCAUUUCAAUUAUAUUCCCAGUGAAGUUGCAGAAUCUUUUGAGUUUUGGAAGAUCAGUGAGCCUCAGCCUGUAAAGCUUAGGAAACAGGGGGCUUAUAUGUUCUUUGUCAGCAUUUAGCUCCUCCAAAUGAAGCACCUCUUCUAUUGAAUCACAAUUCCUCUCUUCCAGCCAUACCAAAUUGUUCAAGCACCGUAGCAGAUUGGCAGGAAUAGCACUCGACAUAUUCGUGCAGUCAUCCACAGCCAGUUGUCGUAAAUUGUUGAAGAAGCUGACAGGCAGUGCUUGGCCAUGCCAUAUUUCUUUCAAACGUGGAAAAUGUGAGAGUUGCAAAUCCCAUAUGUCACGGAAUCCAAUCUGCACAAACAAAAACAAUUGCACUGGAUAUAUAUAAAUUUUUUUUUUGAAUCAACUUACAUGUUUUGUGUUUUAACUUCUAAAACUAUAUAUACAAGGCAGGUGUAUAUGUUCAAAUGUCCAAGUGCAAGGGAGAUGCAUAAGUAAUUUCGACGAAUCGAUUUAACACAUACCAUUUCUUCGUAACACUUUUGUAUAGUGGAAUUAAGGUUGCCUUCCCAAUGGCGCAAUUCACCCUCUCCCUGUUAAGAAUAGAAUUAGUUAGUUAAUGAGUAUGCUGACAUGGCAGCUGAGUCAGCUAAAGGUUGUUAUAGAGGUUGUUAGUAGUAAACUGUGCGUGUGUGCAAUGUGUGUAGAAUCUUCUAUGCACAUAUAAAAAGGCUUGUAAUUUCCAGAUUCAUUAGAUCAAUAAUAACAGAAUUCUCAGCUUACAGAAGUUUUCUUUCUUCCUAUUUUCUUAGUAACCAAACAACAUCACAGUUUCAUAUAAAACUUAAUACUUCCUUUUUACUCACAUGCACUUCGUGCAGCUUUGGUGUGGAUACGAUUCCCUGAGAAAAAGUCUUCAUGUUCGGGUAACAUGUCAUAGAAACUCGUUCCAAUGAUGGGAAUUCAAGAGUGUAAUCCUCCAAACAAAAGCUGGUAAGCCUUGGUAAAUGAUUUCAGGUAAUUUUUAAAUAUUCUAAAUUCAUUUAGAAUAUUUAAAUGAAUUUAGAAUAUUCACUAUUUAGUAUUAGGAAUGGAGAAAGAAUUUCAGGUAAUUUUUAAAUAUUCUAAAUUCAUUUUUCAUCUUGAUUCUAGUUUUUUAAAAAAAUUUAAUUUUCAAACAUGCGUAUUUUUAAAAUAACUAAACUAAAACGCUGUAUUUCCCUUUUUUUCCCGAUAUUCAUGCUUUUAAAAAUGGAAAACAUUUCUGGAAAACACUUCCCAACGCCAUCAACAUGGGACUGUUAUAGAUGAAUUAAGGAAAAGAGAAAUAUAUAGAUGAAUUUGUGAACCUAUAAGAUGAGUGACUAUCCUUUAAUUUUUGAAAAUUGUACUUAUUAAGAUAUGAGCAGAAACAAUUAAAUUGAAUUAUAUUAUGCUGUUGAAUCGUGAUUAAAAAAAUUAUAUUGUUGAUUCUAAUGCUGGCGAACCUAAAAACUGGACUUAAAAUGUAGAUUUGAGAGUGGUGGUUCGAAGUACAAUACUUGAAAUAAAUAAUCAGUGGCUGAAUAUCAUUUGUAAACAAAAAAUGGUUAAAAUAUUGUUGGAUGUAAUUUGAAAAAAAAAAAAAGAUUCGAAAUGAAUACAGCAACCUUACCAAUGGAGGAAAAAUAUUCUUUAGGUUAUCACACUCAAAUAUCUCUAAAUUCUUCAAUUUGCUGAAAGACUCCGAAGCAAGUUGGUGGUGCCAUAUUAUUCUCAAAUUAUUCAUCCAGCUAAUAUGUAAUACCUCCAACCUAGGAAGUCGUACCUGGCAGUUAAAGAUUAAAUAACUAAUUAAUCAAUUAAUUGCAUAAUCAAUUGAUAACUAAAUUAGAGGCAGAUAUUAACUAAACUUGAAGACUCAAAGAAAAGACAAAUUAAAUAUUGUGACUAAAAUUAAUUUUUUUUAUUAAAAAAAAAACCUUUUCGUCAAAGAGAGGAGGAGGUUGCAUUUCAGAAUGAUUGGUGUCUUCUGGUGAGCUCGUAGAGAUGAAUCUUAACAUAUUCCAGCAACUCUGAAUCUCGAGGUUUAGCAAAGAAGGGAAUUCAACAACUAAAUCUGAAUUAAUAUGUCCCGUAUUGGCAAAGCUUGUUAGUUUAUAAAGCCAAUAGAGCUCCAGGGAGUGUAGUUUAGGAAAAACCUUUAAUUCAAUCAACUUUCCUUCUUCUCUUUCUGACCACCCCGUGGUGUCGACUACCCCUUCCAUUGACUCACAAGAUCUUAUCUCAAGAUGCUGGAGUUGCAAAAGACUAUUAACCAUAGAAUAGGAAAACAGAUACUUCAUACGAUGACAACUGCUCACGUACAGCUUUGUUAAAUUUCGACAACAGUACAUUCCUUGAUUAUGAUCGGCCCAUAAUUUUUUCAUGUUUCUUAAUGACCUGAGAUCCAAUUCCUCUAAGCUCGGAAGAAUAACCUGCAAAGAAUACCCGUACAUUUUUGUUCCUUCAAGUACAACCGUCUAGUAUAAUAUUCUUUUGAUGAUCGAAGAUUAAUCGUGAUAAUAAAUUAAUCAAUUAAUUAUUGAACAGAAAAUUAUCACCUUUGGAGCAGGAUCAUCAUCAGCAGUGAUUUCGUUGAAUCCCAAAGAAGUUGUUGGUUUCUCCCUGUCGGGUCCUAUAAACAAACAAAAACAAUAUACAUAAUUAAUCUUUGUUUUUUUUUUCAAAAUAAUUGAGGCGAAGUCAAUUAUCCCACCGGUACUUAAUUUCAACACUUACCAACAAUCAUUUCCUGAUCAUCGCAAAAAGCCACUUCUACCUUUUGAAGCCGCAGUAGGUUUUUGGCUAUGGAGAAUGAGAAAAGAUGCUUCAAUUUGUGACAGAAUUUUACUUCUAUAAUCCUUAAGUUGCUGAAAGAUUGAUCUUCUGUGAGUUGGCUGUCACAUAUUGUCUCCAAAUUGAUCAAACGACGAAGAGACAAUGACUCCAGCAAGGGGAAGACUUUGCGACGAACCCGUCCAACUGAACAGACAAUAUGCAAAAUCUCAGAACAACUUUCUGCAGAAAGAUGCUUCAAUCGUGGAUAACCUUCCCCAUCAUCUAAUUCAUGAACAACAUUCUGAACACCCUUCAGUUCUUCUAGAUAGAGAUAUUCAGUUCUCGUCAACAACAGUUUCAUCCUGUAAUUCUGCAAAAGAACGCCAAACUUUUCCAGCCCCUGGAGCUUCAUCAAUCUUGAUAAUCCAGAUUUAACGGACCAGCUGCUCCACCACUUAUUUCCUAUACAUAUCCUAUAGCUUUGUAAUUCCACAGAGACGAAAUCCUGCGGUAAAAUUUCGGCAUCCCGAACAUGUAUCUCCAAAGUAGUUAGCUUUGACAGCCCAUUCAAUUCAGCAAGACUGGCGUUACUUCCUCCUUCAACCUUCUCCCACUGUGAAAAGCUGUUACCAAUAUAUAGUUCUUCUAAUCGAGAUAAUUUUGAUAUGACAUUUGGAGCUAUCACCACAAGACUGCUACAAUUUCUCAAAUCUAGCAACUGUAAUCUCGUCAAUUGUCCAAUUACAACUGGCAACUCCUUAACAUCAGAAUCUCGGAAGCUGAGAAUCUCUAAUUUCCUUAGCUGUCCAAUUAUAGUUAUUUCGUUCAGUCGGCAACCGUCUAAACACAAUGUUCGAAGGUUAAUGAGGCGACCAAGUGAUGAAGGUAAUGAAGAGAAAAAUAUGCCAGUAAAAUCUAAAACUUUGAGUUCUUCUGUCCCUUCAAAAAAGAGGUCUGAAAUUUGCAAAGAGCUAUCACGCUUUGAAAACAACAAAAGUAACUCGAGACGGGGACAUCCCAACCUUUCGGGAAGCUCUUGAAUAUCUCUAUAAGGUAAAGAAAUAGCAAUUGGACCUUCCCGUAUUGUCUCUUCCAUCUUUUUCUCCACGUAGGCAACAUUUGGAAUAUUAAACAUGAGCUCCUUUUCUGCAAUUGAUACAGCAACAGCAUGAAUGAUGUCAUGCAUUUUAACUUCAUCUUCAGCAUCACCGUCCAACAAUAAGCAUGAAGAUUUGAGUUUGUCGAUCAAUGCAUCCACUCUAUUCCUUGCAUUUUCCAAUGUGCGAACAUAUUUAAACAAACCCAAACCCAUACCCAUACCAUAUCUCAACAAGGAAGCAACUUGUAUAGGAGUACCUUCACCAAAUAGAGAACAAAGAAGGAACAAAGAUUUUGCUUCAUCACUUUCCAAGAAGUCGUAACUCAAUUUUAUGGAAGAAUACACAUCUGCAUCCAUACCAUGAAUUUCUCUUAGAUUGGAACUUCUUAGCUGAUUCAACGCAUCCUUCCAAAUGGCAAGACUCUUAUUUUUCAGAGCACUUGCAACUGUUCUCAGUGCAACAGGCAAUCGUCCGCAUUUUCCAACAAUCUCAUCCGCUAAAGGUUGAAAAGCAGAUGCUUUUGCGGAAUUGCCCACGAUCUUUUCAAAAAAUUGCAAUGCUUCUUCCUUUGAUAAAACUUCAAUUGGGAAAAUCUUCUGAGAAUUCAUAUCAUUGAUCAAUAAAUCUUGACUUCUAGACGUCAAUAUUAUCGUGCGUCUCCUUAGAUCUUGCUUUCUAUCUUUCUCAUCAACAUCCCCAGAAGGAAUUCCAAUUUCUUCCAACCUAAGUUUUUUCCAAAUAUUAUCUAAUAUAAUGAGGACUCGCUUCUCUUUCGUCAAUCUUUGACAAAGUUGUUUUGCUCUGUGGGGUUUGCUAUCAUUCAAGUCAAAGUUCAUGUCUAAAUCGGAAGCGAGCUUGUCUUGAAUUUUCUGAACAUCUGGGUUCUCUGUUACCUCAGCCAUAACGACCUUAUCGAACAACUUAUCUUCCAUAACUUGCUUUGCAAUUUGCUUGACUAGCGUGGUUUUACCCACGCCGCCCAUACCGUGGACCCCAAUUAUGUUGAGCUUAUCAUCCCUCAAUGCCUCCACAACAUCUUGAAAUAAUUUCAUUCUUGAAUCAAAGGCCUCGAAAUCUUUCGCUUGCAUAUGUUCUGUACUCUCUGGAGCAGGACGGUGGGAAACACUAGAGAAGUUGCCUUUUCUCACGAGACUAGCGGCAGCUUCUGCGGCCUUUACUGCUUGUUUACUAAGUUUAUAACGAGAAAUCAAGUUGGGGCACAAUCCUUUGAAGCAGGACUUCUUAGCUCUAUCUUCAUCAUCAAUGAUGGAUUUUGCAACCCCUUCACUGAUGCAUUCAUCAACGCCAUUAAGCCAGUCUGCAACAUCCUUGUAAAUCUCAUCUCUUUGUUGAGUAGCCUGACGAACGGGUAUUCCCACCCUUUCUCUUUUAUAUUCCAGCUGCUUCACUUGAUCUUUUAGCUCAGCUAUGUAGCUCUGGUACUUGAACACAUAAGAUAUCUGCCGCAUAAUCCGUUCGAGCAAUGCCUUUGCACCUUCUGAUACAAUGCUUGAAAAAGCUUCGAGACCCACUUCUGAAGCCAUUGCCUAGCCUGUUGCAUAUAUAUAUACAUUAGCCGAUGGAAAAAUUGGAUUCAAAUAAAUUAAAGUGAUCCAGAGGGAAGGACAAAGAAAGAAAUGACAACGAAUGACUUUUUAAACAAAGGUUUCAAGAGCCUGAAUCGAAAACCAACAAUUUGAAAAAAAAAAAAAGAAUUGGAAGAUGGAUGCAAAUUAACCAUUGCUAAUACUACAUAAGAACACAUAAGUUAACAAUGAACAGUUACUUAAGAAAAUUAAAUGACAAGAUUAAAACAAACAAGCGCUAUUUUUUCUUGGACAAAUGUACCUGUUUAAUUAUUAAAGACUUAAUGAGCUUCACUAUUGGCCUUGAGUAUAUAAGAAUGAGCAAGAGAUCAAUGUCAACUGCAGAGGAAUGUCAGUAAAGGUUUCAUGAGAGUGAGUAAUACAAAUGAAUUGUAAAAGAACAAGACUUAAGCGUGCACCCCCUGUUUUGUUUUAUUCGUUAUGAAAAUGAUAUUGUACCCAAUUUUAAGAGAGCAUAAUAAUAACCAUUUAAUGCAUAAAUUUAGAAUUAGCUUUUUUUUUUGUAAUUCUUUAUUUAAAUAUACACGUCAAUGGAAAAUUUUGAAAAUUUGGAUACAAAAUUUUAAAUCACCAGAAAAAAAAAAGCACGGGAACGGAAAUAGAGGAAUCUUGUUUUACCUUUUUUUUUCCCCCCUUUAACUCUCGUUCUUAUAUAAAUAAUCUUGUUUUGAUGAUUGUGACUCGUGACUGCGGGAAAAAUUCUAAUGGAAACAACUCAAUUUCGGAAGAUAAGCUUAAUUCUGCAAGUGAUGAAUUUGUUCAAUAGACUCUGUACCUGAACUCGUUGGAUUGGUUGAUUGAUGAUUGACUAAAUUUGAAUUAAGUUUAAUAGCUUAGCUAUCAUGUACUCCUUAAAAGCAAACGUAAAUCUUUUUUAGAUUUGACUGAAUUUGGGAACCUGUUGGAUUGAUUGUUUUUAGAUCAUUAAUAUCAGAUACUACAAACGUAAAUAUUUUCUUGUGGUUGAGUCCUAUUCAAAUCACACAAAAUUGCACGACCAAAUAUUAAGAGAACGUAAUAAUAAUCACUCAGUGCGUAAGGGUAAAUUUAGAAUUACGUAUUCUUUUUUAUUUAAUAAAAUCCCAGCGAGAAAAUCAUAAAAUUUAGAUAUAAAAUUUUCAAUCACCAAACAAAAAACAGGGGGAAUGAAAACACAGGAAACUUGUUUUACCUUUUUUUCAUCUAACUCUUGUUCUUAUAUAAUAUUUUCCCUAGUGUUUCAGGCAAGCAAAAAAAAAAAAAAAAUCAAUAAAGAGCAAGUUGCUCAAAUUGAUUUAUCUUGUUUUUCAGGCAAUCUUGUGAUAUGAUGAUAAUGCUUAUGAAUGCUAGAAAAACUUCUAAUGCAAACAACUCUAUUUGGGAUGAUAAGCUUAAUUUUACAAGUGAUAAAUAUAAAUAACUUUUUGUGGUUAAUUCAAUUUGUAAUUACCCUUAGCCCUAUUCUAAAAUUUGUUGGCUGCUUCAGAAAAAAAAAAAAAAAAAUUUCACUCAUCUUUAAUCUUCAAGUAAAAAACAAAUCUAAUAAAAUGACAAACAAACAAACAAAUAAAAGACAGCAAACAAACAACAUUUAGCCAACUGAUAUUUAAACAGGGAUUAGAGUUUUUGUUAUUAACUGAAAGGUUUCAAGGGUCUGAAUAAAAUCCCAGACUUUUUUUUAAAACUUUUUUUUUAAUUAACCAAAGCCAUAUAAUAAGAUCACAGACUUUAACAAUGAACAAUAAUUUGAAACUCAAGCAAAACCAAUCACAAGAUUAAAACAAACCAGAGAAUUUUUUUCUUGGAAAGUAGAUGAAAAGCAAGUAAGAACUGCUAUUAAAGGAUAUUAUUAAAGGAUUUAGAACAUGUAUACCUCUUUAUUUAUAUGGGAUCAGAGAGUCGAUGACCUUCUCUAUUCGCUUCGGAUAUUUAGUAAGAACUGCUAUCAAAAGAAUGAAUUGAUGAGUAAUAACAAUGAAUUGCAAAAGAGGAAGACUUAAUCACGUACCCCUAUUGUACCCGAUUUUUAAGAUUUAAUUUUGAAGUCCAGAAUCAAGACAAAAGACGAAGCCUUAACAAAUAUGCAGUGAGAAUAGUUAAGUUGAAGAAAGCACUAGUUUAUGGCUCUGUGUUUCAUAUGCCGUAUUGAAAUAAUUAAGUUGAAGUUUUCAACGAAUAAAUACCUGGUGUGCUGGAAUAAUUUUAGAAGAAUAUUGGCUUAUAGAGAUUAGAGCAUAUUAGGAGGGAUCAGAUUUGUAAGAUGCCUGAUAAAAGAUAAAGCGAAUGUUAUUAUGGACAUACCAAUUUCCGACUUUUCGGAGUGCAUCCGUCUAUCCAUGACUUGAAAAGAGACCCAAUGUGUGGACAGACUUGAUUACAUNNNNNNNNNNNNNNNNNNNNNNNNNNNNNNNNNNNNNNNNNNNNNNNNNNNNNNNNNNNNNNNNNNNNNNNNNNNNNNNNNNNNNNNNNNNNNNNNNNNNNNNNNNNNNNNNNNNNNNNNNNNNNNNNNNNNNNNNNNNNNNNNNNNNNNNNNNNNNNNNNNNNNNNNNNNNNNNNNNNNNNNNNNNNNNNNNNNNNNNNNNNNNNNNNNNNNNNNNNNNNNNNNNNNNNNNNNNNNNNNNNNNNNNNNNNNNNNNNNNNNNNNNNNNNNNNNNNNNNNNNNNNNNNNNNNNNNNNNNNNNNNNNNNNNNNNNNNNNNNNNNNNNNNNNNNNNNNNNNNNNNNNNNNNNNNNNNNNNNNNNNNNNNNNNNNNNNNNNNNNNNNNNNNNNNNNNNNNNNNNNNNNNNNNNNNNNNNNNNNNNNNNNNNNNNNNNNNNNNNNNNNNNNNNNNNAUUUAAUAAUUAUAGAAGAAUAUUGGCUUAUAGAGCAUUUUAGUAGGGAUAAGAUUUGUGGACAGAAUAAAUGAAAUAAUAAAAAGCAUAACUGAUCAAGUCAUUAUUGAUCUUACUUUGAUUAUUACAUUGCACAUUAGUUUCUUUCUAAAAAUGCCAUUCUUCAUUCAAGCUUUCGCUUUAUCUUUUAUCAGGCAUCCUACAAAUCUUAUCCCUACUAAUAUGCCCUAUAAGCCAAUAUUCUUCUAAAGUUAUUAAAUGCCAUUCUUCAUUCAAGCUUUCAUGGACAUUAUCUACAAACUGAAUCUUCAAUGUAAUAAAAUAAUGAUCAGCCUCACAGGAUACAUAAAAAGCUCAUUUAUCACAAUCAUUUCCUAGUGCAUCAUAAACUUAGAUUAUUUAAUUUUACUAUUAGGAAACCUACUUAUAAAAGGCGCACACUACAAAUUCUAAAUUAAAUUUCUAACUAAGAAUAAAAGGUAAACCCUAGCAAUUUUCCACCAGGUGCCGUGUAGCCUGCAUCAUAAAUUUUGAUUUAAAUCUUUGUAAUCACCGAACAGAAAAACCGGGGAAUGAAAACAGAGGAGCCCUAUUUUUCCAUUUUUUUAACCCUUAACUCUUGUUCUUCUAAUUAUAUUUUUGCUUGGAAUUUCAGGCAAACGAAAAAAAAUAGUGACAACUAUUUAGAGAGAACAGGUGGAUGAUAGCAAAAAUAUUUUUAAUUAAUAUGCAUGAUUAACUCUUGUUCUUCUAAUGUAGUGGCUUGAUUAAUUAAUAUUUUUAAUCAAGCCAUUACAUUAUUGGUAGUCUCUGUGGGCUCAUUUCGUCUCCAGACCUGAUAUUGUAUAUCUCUUUUUGAAUAUGUUUAAUUAAUAUGCAUGCUGCUGAAUAAAGACGAUGAUUUCCAAAUUUUUGUUGCUUUUUUUUUUUCUUUUUGCUGCUUUGGUACAUGAAGAAUGUGGAAAUAGAAAUAGCUUUCGAAGUUUAAUGGCUUGCUUCAUUAGUAAAGAAAGACUAGGAUAUCCGUCCUUUUUGUUACUGAAUUAUUGAUCAAUUGACGGUUGAAGUUAGUUAUAUUAAUUUGUUGUACAAGAAUUGAAGCUUAUAUCUUUACCGUUUCGUGAAAGUGUCAAAUAUGUUCUUUCCUUGCAAUUGUUCAAAAUAUGUUACACUUUUGAAGUCACUAUUACAUAAAGGGUGUUGUAAAAUAGGGAAAGGCGGGUUUAUGAUUAGAUUUUAAUAUGUUUAAUUCAAGGAUUAACCGAAGCUAUUAACCAACGGCUACUAACCGAAAACCGAAUUUAACAAUAAACACUAACUCAGAAUUCAAGAAAAUUAAAUGACAAGAUUAAGACAAAUGAGAGAUAUUUUUCUUGGACAUUAAGAAAGAACUACUAUCAAGAUCAAGGAUUAGAGAUUAUAUAUGCUAUUAUUAAUAGAAAUUAUUAAAGGAUUUAGAACAAGUUCACCUCGUUGAUUAUCUGGGAUGAUGAGUUUCUAUAUUCACCUUGAAUAUAUAAUAACAAUUUUAGUGAGCAAAAGAUCACUGGUAACUGCAGAGGAAUGUGUGAGUUUAAGAGCUUAUUAGAGUAAGCAAUACAAAUGAAUUUUCAAAUUAUGUACUUGGUCAUUGUUGUCCUACUGACGCACGUUUUUUUUCAUGAAUAAUUGCCAGAUCAGAAAAGAAUAAGUUCGGUGGAUUGAAAGAUUGCUGAAGCAAGUAAAACAAUCUUCAUAUCGAACAUGAUUCCAAUUAAAUUAAUCUUUUUAUAAGAUGACUAAUAAAAGACAAAAGUAGAAGCUUUGAUGAAUGAACGAUGACCAAAACUUUUGUAAAAGCGGAUGCCGAUAAAAUAAACAAAAGGCACUUUAAAAAGAAACUAAAGUGCGAUCAUCAAAGUAAGAUCAAUAAUGACUCGAUUUAUUUCACCUAUUCUGUCCACAAAUGAUGCUUCGCUAUUACAAGGUCCGAAUGGACAUUAUUUACAAAUUGUUCUUAUGUUUCACAGAAAAAUGAAAAACCGUUCAUCAUCAUAUAAUUAUGAAAUAAAUAAAUUUUAUUAAUGGAUUAUGGGGAUAUGUUAAUGUUAGGGAUAUGUUCAAAUCAUCAUAUAAGUUACUAAACGCUUCAACAAGAACAAGAAUUAAUGAGUUAAAAGUAAAAAAAAAAAAUUUUAAAAAAAGUUAAAUAAAUAAAACUUAGAAGUAAAGAAUGUUAUUUGCAAUCACCAAAAUGAAAACAGUGGAACCCUGUUUUUCCUCUCAUUUCUCUUUCUCUCUUUUUCAUUUGUUGGGAAGUGUCGCCUAAAACACUUCCUCUGCUAGGUGGAAUUAUUGGCUUGAAGAGAUGAGUUCUUGUCACAAGCACAAAUUUUAUCUGUACAUUAUUUCAUUUUAAAUGAUGAGUUCUUGUCACAUGAUCAUUACUUUUUUUGUUUUGAUUUGGUUAGUUCAUGAUAACAAACAAAUUAUUUUGCAUCACAUUAUGGUAAAAAGUUGCCCUCUUUGUUACUUCCACAGCUAUAUAGUUUAAUAUUUUGUAAUAAGAUCACAAAGUGCAUGGGAACCACUGUUCGAGUACUUCAGCCUAAUAUGAAGAUCUAUUGAAAAUUUUCCUGAUGUCAUGAUAUUAAACAAAAAAAGGUACCUCUUUUACUAAUUAAUAAGAGAAGUUUUGACCGAUUUCAUGUGACUCUCUUUUACUAAUUAAUAAGAGAAUUUUUGGCCUUAUAUCCUUGCUGUGGCGUUAGACUGUUGGUCAUUUUGAUUGUUUCCUACUUUCCGUUUACGCCAGCUGUAACAUUGUAUUAUCACCAUUUUAGCCAUUUAAAUGAAAUUUAUUUUUGUCAAAAAUAAAAUGACACCCUUAAAAUUAAAAAAAAAAUAGUUAUGUAGACCUCAAAUUUUUAAUAAAGAAUGCCAAUACCCCUUUUAACUACAAGAUUCUUAGUAGAUGAUAACUAAAAAAAUUAACUUCAAAAAUUUUCACUAAAUAUAAAUCUAAUUGAAAUAGUUUAAAUUUUCUAGUAGACUAAUAUAUAUAACUUAAAUAAUUAAUUUCAUUAUUAAUUUUUAAAAUGUUAAAUAAUAUAUUUUAAUUUAUUAUAAAAAAUUUAAAUAAAUUCUUGGAUUAGAUAGAUUUUACAAUUAAUGUAAUACUGCUGAUUUAUUAAUAAUAUUAAAAUUAUUUUAUAUGAUAUUCAAAAUAAUUUAAACUUUUAUAUAUUUAUUUUAAUAUUAUGUCUAUUUAUUAUAAAUUUAUAAUUUGGUUUAAUAUAAUACGGGAUUGUAAAAUAUUAAAAUAUUUUUCAAUAUCAAAUUAUUUUAAUAUGUAUAUAUCAUUACAUUUAUUUUAAUAUUGCAUUUAUAUUUAUUAAAGAGUAUUGCAGUAAAGUAAAAAAAAAAAAAGUCUUAUUAUCCCUUAUUCACGAUAUGAGGUUCUACAGAAUUAUUUCCCCAAACGGGUGUCCUUUUCUCAUUUUCAAAAGAAAAAAUAAAGUAAGAAUAAGACCAUGGAUUUCAAAAAACUUAUAGUCCUAUCCCGGGACCAAACGUCUAUUCAUUAUUUUAUUUAUUCAAUAUAAAUGGCCAACUUAAAAAAAUGAUAAAAAUCACACAAAGCUCAAGUGAAAAUUUAGAAUUACAUUUUUUAAUACUCUCGGAGUCUUCUCUCCUGCCCCCUUUUUUUCUUAAAAAAAAAAACCUUAGUGUAAAAUUAGAAGAAUUUUAGAUAUAAAAUUUGACAAUCGCUAAACAGAAAAGCAGCGGAUUAAAAAUAGAGGAGCUCUGUUAUCAUUGCAAUAUUGAUUAUAGAUAAUAUAAUAACUUGUUGUGGUUCAUUGUAGCACUCUGAGCCAUACUUUAAAAUUUACUGGUUUGUUAAUGCUUUUAUUAUUGACAUUAUUGUGUCAAUAUUAUUAUAAUUUAUUCAUUUUAUUGUAAUGAUAAUUUGUCUAGUCUUAGGUACUUAUUAUAUUAAAUUAUGUAAAUUAAUUGAGAAUACUUUUACAGACAAAAGAAACACGUGUAUGUAGGAUUAAUAAGCGAAGAGUUGUAAAUGAAGCUGAUUGCUUCAUUGAGAUGCAUAUUAAAUAAUUAUGGAGAGUUGCUCUAUUUCAGAAGCAUAUAUUUAUACUUCCCUAUCAGGAUUUGGGGUAAGCGAAGUGCUUUAUGUAUUGCAGUAAGCAAAUGUGGGCAACAUCAGAGCCGAAAUAUUAAAAGAUCAUAACGCAUAUAAACGAUUAGUAUAUUCAAGGCACAUAUAGCGGAAAGAGUGCAGAUCUGGCCGUAACUAUUAUGAGGAUUUCCUCAAGUAAAUAUUAAAAGAACAACUAUUCUGAACUAUAUAUUCUUCAUUGUGGGCAGAUUUACUUAAAUACCAACACAAUGAUUCAAUACUUCAAAAGUCAAGGAAAUGUCAAAAUAUGAAAUGAAAAUACUUAAAUACCCUUCUCCCUAACAAAACUUAGUACUUCUAACUGCCAUCGCAGAGAAUAUAUAAAAUUUAAAAAAAAAAUCAUCCAUGAAAAGUUUCGUAACAGAAAAACCGUCUUUCAAAAAAUAAAAAAUAAAAAAUAAAAACAGAAAAAUUGACUCAUUUAUCUGCCAAUGAACCAGUCGGGACUCAUUUAAAAAAGAUUACAAAGCAAAAGUAAAUGACACAAAUUGCAUAGAUAUCUAAGAGCCGCAUCAAAGGACAAAGGUGUUAAUUUGUCCAAGUAAUAAAUUCUCCUAGGUCAAAAGCAAUUAACGAUGAAAACUUUCUUCAUUAAGGUUCUGGCCUACGUAAAAAAACAGAAAAAACCACCCCAAGGUCAAAGCACAACGAUAAGUUUAGAAUUGCAGUUUUUAAUUUUUCUUUUUAAUAAAUCAACGUGUAUUAAAAAUAGAUAAAAAUUUUGAAUAAUGUUUUUUUGAUAAAUAUAGACAUAAAAUUUAAAAAUCACCAAACAGAAAAACAGGGCAAUUAAAAGAGAGCCCUUGUUUCUCCUCUGUUUUGUUUGUUAUUAAACGGGGAAAUGAAAAGAUCGCAAGCAUAAAUUUUGUUUCUGCGUUGUCUCUUCUCAAUGUUGCAUGCAUUCAAAUUAAACCUUAUAUAUGAUAGCAAACUAGCUACUCUGCAUGUACGAUAAGUCUAAAUAAUAGAAUAAUUGUAAAAUGUUCAAAUUCAGUAAUUAAUUAUACAUAUUUAUUUAUUCAAAAAUUAUUAUUAUUAUUAAUUAUUGUCAAUAAUAUAUUAAUAUACUAAUUAAUUAUAAAAAUUUUUAUCAUUCAUAACAAUAACAAUGAUGAUGAUGAUGAUAAUAAUAAAAAUUCAAAAUAUAUUAAUUAAUUAUAAUAAUAUAUUAAUUAUUUAAUACUAAUAAUAAUAAAAAUGUAAAAUGUAUAAAUUGAUUAGAAUAGUUAUAUUAAUAAAUUAUAAACAUAUAUUAAUUAAUCAUAAUAAUUUUUUAAUUGAGGACAAAAUAGACAUUUUAUAGUUUGUGAGAGGGGGCAAAAUGGUCAAUUUUGGGAAUGGGAGAUUGAUUCCCACCACCUUCCUUGGGAAUCAAUUUUCCAUUCCUCAUUCCUAAAUUUGGGUGGCCCCAUAAUUCUGAUUUGGAUCCCUGCCUCCAUCAUUAAUGAUUUCGAUUUCGGAUUCCGAUUCCCCAAUCCAAGAAGUAAAGGCACCAUUAUUGUUAAUUGGUUCAAACACACAAAGAGAAUGUACCGUGUAGCUAGGCGUCAAGGUUGUGUUGCACAAGUAACCUUUUUCUUUUCUUUUUAUUUUUCUUGUUUUCCUUAACGGAUCAGAAGAAAUUGGUGCCUUUGAGAUACCACAAUGUAAAUAAUUAUUUGUGGUUCAUUGAAUCUGUAACACUCGGUACCCUAGGGUUGCUUUGGAAAAAGGGCUUUUCUCACCGAUCGCCAAUAUCCAAGUAAGUUUGUUUCAUUUCAGAAGGUGCAAAGUUUCAAACUUGUUGUAUUGGGAUGUAACAAACUUUGGCCUUAUAUGCCUGCUGUGACGUGAGACUGUUCAUUUUGAUUGUUUCCUACCUUCCACUUACGCACUGUAGCACUGUAUUAUUCACCAUUUUAGCUGUUUAAAUGAAAUUUUAUUUUUGUCAAAAAUAAAAUGACACCAUUAAAAUUUAGAAAAAUAAUCAUGUAGAUCCCAAAUUUUUAAUAAAGAAUACCAAUAUUCCCCUUGACUACAAUACCCUUAGUAGGUGGUAAUAAAAAAAAAUUGGCUUAAAAUUUUUACGAAAUGUAAAUAUGAUUUAAAUAAUUUAAAUUUUCCAGUAGACUACUAUAUAUAAUUUAAAUAAUUAAUUUAAAUAUUAAUUUUUAAAAUGUAAAUUAAUUUAUUUGUAUUUAUAAAAUAUUUGUAAUUAUUUUAAAAUUUAACUAAAUCCUUAGGUUAAAUAGAUUUUACAAUUAAUAUAAUAUUUCUCAUGUAUUAAUAAUAUUAAAAUUAUUUUAUAUGAUAUUGAAAAUAACCUAAAUUUUUAUAUAUUUAUUUGAAUAUUAUGCUCUAUUUAUUAUAAUUUGGUUUAAUAGAAUACGAGAUUGUAAAAAAUUAAAAUUUUUAGAUAUUGAAAUUAUUUUAAUAUGUAUAUAUUAUUAUAUUUAUUUUAAUAUCCUAUUUAUAUUUAUCAUAAAUUAUUAGAGUUAAUUUUUUUAGUUAAUAAAUUUAAAAAAUAUUAUAAUUUAAAAAAAAGUCUUGUUGUCCGUUAUUCACGAUAUGAGGUUCUACAAAAUUAUUUCUCCAAACGGGUGUCCUUUUCUUUUUUUCAAAAGGAAAAACAAGUUCAGGGCCUCAGGGGUUUCAAAAAAUUCUGGUCCUAUAUACCACUAUGACUAAUGGGAAACGACAUUGCAAUUGACAUUGCUUUCCACAAUAUGAUAGAUUAUUGGAGGGAUAUGAGAGAAUUGUCAAACGUUCACACACGCGAGAGCUUUAGGUGGGAUAGGGGAGGAUUGUCAAGAGUUCACACCACGAUAAACUAAUGAUAGGCCUAAUUUUGUUGUCAGUUCUUUAUUUAUUUAUUUUAUGUAUAUCAUACAUUAUUGUAUUUUGUCAAGGUAUAAUAGUACAAGUAAAAUACUAGGGGUGCUGUUAAGUUACAACUUAUGUAACUUGCAAUUUUUUCAAAAAUUAUGUAAAAAAUUUAAUAGGUGGUGGAACCCACAUAUUUUUUAAGAGACUUAAGUUACAGCAGUUGUAACUUAACAAAAUCUAAAUAUUAGACAAUAAUGCAUAUAAUUUGGGUUUGAUUUUUAAAAGAUUAUUUGAGUACCACCUAUCCUUAUGAUAUUAAUGUGAUUAUAUCUUAAUAUUAAAUAAUCAAAAUUUGUUUAAUUAUUAUUUGUAUUUCAUACAUUACAUAUUAGAUUUGUUUGAAUUUUAAGUUGUUGCUAAUAAAUAUUUAUGUUGUCAAAGUCAAAGUCAAUAGCUACAAAAGUAGAGAUAAUGGUAUUGUAUAUAGUUUUUAAGAAUGCAAGGAUAAGCUGGAUAAUUGACAUAAAUUCUAAUGAUUAAAAGAGCAACUAUCCCUUAAGUUAUAAUGUCAAUUUCUUUAAUUAGAAUUUUUUUUUCAUGUGAUAUAACCUUAAUUGCUACAAUUUUUUUUAUAAUAAUAAUGGGAGUUAUAAAUUAUUUAUAUAAAAUUUGGGUUGAAACUAAUGUAACCUAAAAGUGGUUGCUGAAUAACAAUAUUUGAAACUUUAGGUAAUUUUCAUGAGUCCUUUUUAUAUUCAACAACUUGAAUUGGGGGAAAUCCGACUUGAAUUGGCGGUUGAUUUUGGUGAUGUGGCUUUCGGUUUACGCCGGCUUUACAGUGGCGGAAGACUGGAUUUACGGUUGCCGACUGCUAGGGAUUAUGGUGGUAGUGUAAAUUGACGGAAAAAGAAGGUGUUUUGGUGGCGGCGCGUCUAGGAAGCACUCGUGGGUUGUUGUUUCGUGUGGUGACAGCGGGCGGCGAUCAAGGGCUGAAGUUGGUCGGUUUUUGGUCAGCAGAGGCCGGCGAGUUUGUUGGUGGAGGUGGCUGGUGGAGAAAGUGGCUGAAUGGUGGUGGGUUGCUUGGUGGAGCCGCGGGUUUGGGUUGGUGAUUUGCGGCUGUUCAAGCGGUGGUUGAGGCAGCGAUGACUAAGGCUUGGUCGACGGUGGCUAGGGAGGUUUGUGGUGGUGUUGGCUGGCUGAUCGGCGGUGGUGGACGGCGGUGGAGGUUGAUGUGACAGGUAGGGUUUUCAAAUUUGUAAAUUUUUUUUUUGAUGGAUUUGGUUUGGAUAGGUAUGGUGUAUCUAGGAAAGAUGUGCGAUUCGCACAUAAUCAUUUUGAUACCAAUUGAUGGAGCGAGGCGUAGCGGAAGCAGAAUUGAUAGGGUAAGAAACAUUAGAUAUCGUUCUAGUACUAGACCAAGCCAACACGAUUAGUUUACGCUCUAAUUGAAGCGUGAUUAGAUAUCGUUAUAAUCCAAAUGACUCAGUGAGAUUUUUAAUAACGCGUAAUACGAGAUUAGAUGACACUCUAAUCCAAAUGACUCUACAAAAGAGAUUUUGAUAACUAAUCCUAGAGGAAAUUAUAAAAGAGGGGGUUUAUUUAAUAAUUGAACUUGAAGUUAUGAAAAUAAUGACAAGACAUCUUUAUUUUUUUUAUUACAGGCAUCUUUAUUUAUAAUAGAAGAAACCCGCUUUCCUAAGUUAACCUAAAAAGAAAAUUUAAAUCAUAAUUAUAAUGGAAAUAAAAGAUUAAGAUACAUACCAUAAUUAACUCAAACUAAAAUAGAAAAUCAUAAAAUAAUAAAUAUUCUAGAAUUAUAAAUUAUCUAAAAUAACGUUAAUUAACUUCCUAAAUCACUUCUUUGGUGUAAACCAUUUUGCAUCCAUCCUCGCUUUAAAGGUUUGAACCAACGUUACCAACAAUAAUGUAUCAAAGUCCAAUCUAACUUAAGAUCUUGAUACAUCUACCGAUGUCCUUGUUUGAUUAGACAAUAAUGAGUCUAUCUCAUCACUUGUUACCUCUUUCUUGAAGGCUGCAUCUGUUGAAGUGAUAGUCUCGCUUAGAGUUUAAAGAUCUUCUUCCAUGUUAAAUAAAAUGGGCAUUUGAUUAAAAAACUUUAUCUCUAUCUCCUUCUAUCAAAUAACGACAACUAUCCGAAGGAAAAAAAAAAUAGAAAAGUCCAUGGGUCACAAUAAUUUAUGGUCUGUCCCCGGACCCCAUUAUCUGCCACUAUCAAUGAUGAAAAUGAAAAUAAAUGGCAUCUUCCCAAAAUGGCGAAAGAUUUUUGGGGGAUAUGGGGGAAUUGUCAAAAGUUCACACAACGCGAAACAAGUGUUACAUCCAAUUUUAUUUCGUCAUAUAAUGAUAAUAUCAAAUAAUGACAACCAUCCAAAAGUAUGAUGGGUCUUCCAAAAUUUUGAAAAUGUCGUCAACAUUUAAUCUUCAAUGCUAAAGAAGAUGAAAUGACCAAAAAUGACACGCAUGACUCACUCACAGACUAAAUGGCUCUGACCACAUGUAACAAACUUUGAUCUUAUGUCCUUACUGAGGCGUUAGACUGUUGGUCAUUUUGAUUGCUUUUUACCUUCCAUUUAUGCCAUUGUAGCAUUAUACUAUUCACCAUUUUAGCUGUUUAAAUGAAAUUGUUAUUUUUUUUCCAAAAAUAAAAUGGCACCCUUAAAAUUUUAGAAAAUAGCCAUGUAGACCCCAAAAUUUUAAUAAAGAACACUAAUAUCCUUUUUUACUAUAGUACUCUUAGUAGAUGGUAACAAAAAAAAAAAUGACUGUAAAAGUUUUUACUAAAUGUAAAUAUGAUUUAAAUAUUUUAAUUUUUCUAGUAGACUAGUAUGUAUAAUUUAAAUAAUUAAUUUUUAAAAUGUAAUUUAAUAUAUUUAUUUUAAUAAUAUAUUUAUUAUAAAAAUUUUAAACAAAUCCUUGGGUUAAAUAGAUUUUAUAAUUAAUAUAAUAUUUCUCAUGUUUUAAUAAUAUUAAAAUUAUUUGAUAUGAUAUUGAAAAUAAUUAAAACUUUUAUAUAUUUAUUUGAAUAUUAUGUCUCUAUUUAUUAUAAUUUGGUUUAAUAGAAUCAAAUGAAAGUGUACAUGUACAAGAAGAAAGAACCAUACACCAAGUAAAACGUAAAAAGGAUUAAAUAAAUGACACCAAUCCCCGGCAACGGCGCCAAAAUUUGAUGGUUGUCGAAGCCAACAAAAAUAAAUUCCUACUCUAAAUAAAUUGUGUAUAGUGAUUGAGCAGGGUCGUGUCCACAGAGAUCGGUAAUUAUUUAAAUCCUUUUAAAACGUAAAACAUAAAAUGGGGGUUUUGUUGACAAUAAUAAAAAUCAAAUUAAAAUAACAAGAAUGCAAAUUAAAGUUGUAAUUCAAAUUAGAGAAAGCUCUGGUUGAAGGAAUUAACUCAGCUUGAUUCGACUACUGAUCAUUGAUUCAAAUAUAGAUUAUUAUUACUUAUUAAUAGACCGGUUAUAGCUAUUGAGACCCUCUAAUAGCCAAUUUGUCCUUAACUAGUCGAUAACCAAGGUACGACCGUCAGAUAUUUCCCUAAUCAACAGACAACCCUAGAUACGAUCAUAGGAUUUAAUCAAUUGACAGCCUGAAAAACCAGAGAGACCCAAAUCCUAAUCAACACAUAUGAUGAUUCAUUUAAAUUAGAUUGUUUAUUCUCAUAACACAACUCACUGCUAUGUUAUUUGUCACAAACAUUAAAAUCUUCAUACGAUGAAUCCUUUAAUUGACAAUAGAUUAAGUUGAUAAUUAAAUAGUGGCCAAUUACCUAAUUAACAAACAUAAUCAUGAAACUAAUUCAGAGAAUAAACAAAUACCCAAAAAGUAAUAAAACAAUUAAAGCAUAAGAAAGAUCUCACAGUAGUGAUGAAUCAAAGCUUCAUUAACCUUCAACCAGAAAAAUAAGUUUAGUUCUUCAUAGAGAGAAGAGAAAAAUUAGAUCUAGGGUUUUUUUCUUUUUCUCUCAUCCCCCUUUUUCACUAUAGAUUCCUCCCUUAAAUACUCUCUCUCUCUUCUCUUUUAGAGUUCUAAUUAAAAUAAAAUACUAAUAUCUGAAAUAUUAAAUUCGUAAUUACAAAAAUAACCAAAAAUACAAAACAUGUUAAACUAAAAACUACAGGUCCGCAGUUGACAGCACGCGCCCACGCCUUAUCAAGAAAGUUCUUCUGACUCUCUAAAUUUCUCCAAGAGAACAAUCAUCUUUAAACAUCAUCUUAUAACUCAAUUUUAUCACAAAUCAAUAGAAUUGCACCUACAAAAGUACAACACAAGUAAAUCAUUAUUAUUAAGUGCAAAACAUCGAUAUUAAGGGAAGUAGACAAUGCAAAACUAGUGCAUAAAUUGCACUCUAACAAGUUCACACCACGAGAAAUUAAUGAUAGGCCUAAUUUCGUUGUCAGUUCUUUAUUUGUUUAUUUUAUUGAUUUCAUACAUUAUUGUCUUGUUGGUACUAUUUUGUAAAGAUAUAAAAGUACAAGUAAAAUAUUAGGGGAAGUAAAAUAAAAUAUUGGAGGUGCUGCUAAGUUACAGCUGCUGUAACUUACAGUUCCUUCAAAAAUAAUGUAAAAAAUUUAACAUGUGGUGGGACCCACAUUAUGUUUGAAGAGGCCGUAAGUUAUAGCAGUUGUAAAUUAGUAAAAUCCAAAUAUUAGAUAACAAUACACAUUAACAAUGCAUAUAAUUUGGGUUUGAUUUUUAAAAAAAUUAUGUGAGUAUUACCUAUCCUUAAGAUAUUAAUGAGAAUAUAUUUUAAUAUUAAAUAAUCAAAAUCUGUUUAAUCAUAAUAUGUAAUUCAUACAUUGCAUGUUAGAUUUGUUUGGAUUUUAAGUUGUUGCUAAUAAAUAUUUAUGUUGUGAAAGUCGAAUUCAAUAGCUACAAAAGCAGAGAUAAUGGUAUUUUAUGUAGUUUUUAAGAAUACAAGGAUAAGACCAUAACGCAUGAGAUAAUGGUAUUUUAUAUUAAAAGACCAUAACACAUGUAUUUGAGCCAUUUAUAUUGAGGACACAUAUAGAGCGAAGAGUGCAGAUCCGGCCGUAACUAUUGUGAAGCUUUCCUCAAGUAUUCUCAUGCACGCAGACCUUAGCUGGUCAAGUUUUCUGAUUCAAUAUAAUCAAUUUCCGCGCAGUACUAACGACAGCUUCUUUGUAAAGCUCUUCAACCACAAGCAUUUCUACAAGGCAAAAGACUAGGACGUGUCAGAAUGAAUAUCAAUAAGGGAAUGUCUUAUGAAUUUAGUUUAUAUCCUAAUAUAAGACAAUCAAUAAAUAUUAGAUGCAAUCUAAGGGAAUGUCUUAUGAAUCCUGAUUGAUGGCCUCUCACAGUCAGUUAUAUGACAAAGUAGCCACCACAACAAACUUGAACUUGGCUGGAGGUCUCAUUAGCAGUAUACCUCAGAAAUUAAGACAAAGACUUUAAAAUGCAAACUUAUGGAGCAAUUUAAGCACUGAAACUAAUAACAGUACUGUAUUAGCAAUUGACCUCUGCUUUUUUCUUGGACAAAGGUUCUCAUCACAAGGGACUCAUUAGUUGCCCUUGCCUCAAACGUUUGGAUGCUAAGGGGAAAAAGGAAGUUUGAAUUAGUCAAUCUCAUUUCUAAUGGCAUUCACAGAGAACCUAUAAAACAAAAAAAUUAUAAAAAAAAAAAUCAUCCAUAAUUCGCCAAACCGAAAAGAAAAACAGGGGAAUGAAAAGAGAGCCCACGGGAAUGAAGAGAUCAGCUCUUGUCGCGAAAAUGCAGUCGACUGUAACUAUAUCCGGGUCCCUAGUACUUAGAAGUAAAUGCUCUUGGAAUUUCUAUUAUAGAUUGAUGUUUCCCGUUCAAAUAGCUCUUCCGAUACCAUUAACAUGUUCAUCUCUCUAUAGAUUGAUGUUGACAUAGAUGUUAUUCUACUUUUGCUAGUGGAGUUUUCCUUGUACAGGUAUGUAUGAUUGUUUUUUUUGCACUUCUAAAUGGACACUGUUGAAAAGCUUAAAAUUGAACUGAUAAUUUUGUUUGGAAGCUCAGAAAAUUCAUGAGAAAGUGAAAUAGAAUAUUCUGGAUUUCUUUUCUUUCCAUAAUAUACAAAUGACAAACGUAGCAGUAUUUAUACUCGUUGCUUACAUCAUAAAAACAGAAUUAAAACAAGGUACACAACUAUAACAGAAUCAAAAGCGUGCUUAACUAAUUGGCAGAGCUGGCAUAUACUUCUUUAACUAACAAUGCUGCUGACUGGACUUUAGCUCACACAUGCUUAUCGUGCAGCUACUCUUAGUUCACACGUGCUCAGUCUGCUGUUGGCCCAAAGUUGGAACCAGAGAUAUCAUGACUCUGGUUUCAUUUCACCUCAACUGUGUUUUUUUUUUUAAAUUAAAAAAAUCAUUUGUUUUAGGUAUACAUACAUGUAUUUUGAUUCUAUUUUCAUUGUAAUUUCUCAUUUACUUUGAAUGAAAGUCAUUGGUGUUUUCGAAUGGGAAUUUUGCAUUAAAAAAUGAAGAAUAGUGAUUUUUGGAGUGUAAUUAGUAGUAAAGUUGGUUUUUACUCGCAAACAAGUGAACUGCUCGAUUCCCGAGUGGUAUCAACCAGUUUCCAACUUUUUAAUAUACACUAAUUGUUAUUGUUUAAUAGCUACUACUAUUAAAACUCGACAUCUAACAAAAAUACUUAAAAAAAAUGAUUUUUCUUAUGAUGCUGUAAAAAAAAAUUACGGGUUUACUUCUUUCCAUGAGAUCUAUAACAUGGUCUUGACUUCACGAAAUUCUUUUAAUUUAAAGCUUGCUGGUGUGAGAAGGUCAGUUUGACUGAUUAAUUCUUUUUAACAGUGGUCGAGAUAAUUUUACUAUCUAAUCGAAUGUUAUGCUGUUUUCUUUUUCUAAUCUGGUGUGAGAUAAUUAAUUCUUUUUCACAAAUGCUAUGCUGUUUUCUUAGGCUAAGGAUCUUCUAUCAGGAGAGGUUAGAAAUUCAAUGCUUAAAAGAGAAUAAUACAGAAAUUUAGGCAGAAUCUAAUCGAAUAUUGCAUGAAACAUGAAAAAUCAAUUCAAGUCCUUUCUUUAAACGGAGAAUGCAUCAAACAAAAUCCAAAGUGUCUUGCACGUCUGUAGCAUGAGCAAAAAAUUGUAAAUAUGUAGAACCAAAUUAUUCAAGUACAGAAGAACGAGCAAGCUAAAUCAUGUAUAAGAGAUUGGCCUGGUUCGGGAUAGCUUCUUCACUGUACCUGAAGGAUUGGCUCAAUCUCUUCUUUAGAAUUCUGCAGAUUUUGUAAUUACUCGUGUAAGCAAGCAUACAUUGCCACCAUAAGAAUAAUAAAGCUAGAGUAAUGAUAUGACCACCACCUCUUGUGCACAAACAAUAUUGUAUAAACUAAUGCGACAUAAUAUGAUUGGUUAAACAAAAACAUUACAUGGCCCUCAUAAUUUAUUUAUUUAUUUAUUUAUUUAUUAUUAUAUUUUUUCAGUAAACCAAUCAUAUUAUAUCACAUUAGUUUCUAUAAAAUAAUUUGCUAAAUAGCACCAAAACUUAAUUGAUACUCACCAUUUCAUUGAACAAUUUUUUUAUGGUGUCAUUGAGAUUGCCUUCCCAACAUCCUUCAUCAUCAUCAUCUUCAUCAUCAUCAUCAUCUUCUUCAUCAUCAUCUUCUUCAUCAUCAUCUUUUUCUUCUUCUGUGACGUUCACUUUGUUUAGCAUUGGUGUGUCUAAGACUCCUUGAGAGAAGAUCUUCAUUUUUGGACACUGUCUCACAACUACUGGUUUCAAGGACGGGAAUUCAAGAGCGUAAUUACCCGAACAAAAGCUUGUUAGGCUUGGCAAACAAUCAAGUCCCAAGUACUCCAAUUCCUCGAAGACAACGCAACCUUUCGCUUCUUCUCCAACCUGCAAUUGUAUGAUUUGUUCUAUCAUUUUGCAAUCAGCUAUCUUCAUUCUUUGAAGAGUCACUAGACUUUCAGAUGUUGAGAGCGUCAAUAAAUUUAUCAACCCAUGACACUUCGAUACUUCCAGAGUCGCAAGAUUUUCCAAAUGCCACGAAGCUGGUACUAAUUUCUGCAACUUACUACAUUCAAAUAUUUCUGGACUUUUCAAGUUUGCAAACACUUUGUUGGAUUUGGCAUUUUCCUUCCAGAGAUGCUGCACUUUGUGUAAUCCAGAUAGCUUUAACUUCAUCAAUUGAGGGAAUGCAACCUGAAAAUCAACAAAAUUAAGUUGUAAAUGAAAAUAUGUAUCCAAUCUCUGCAGUCUUCCCCUGCAUAUUUUAUGAACAAGAUUAAUCACGACAUUUUAUAUUUUAUUUCCAAAUUAGUAUGCUUUGCAGUAGGAUCCCAAAUAUAAGUAUCAAAUCGAUUACCCUUUGAAACACAUAAAUGAAAUCUGAUGCUAAAUCCAAUAUGAAUUAGCUAGGAAAACAGAGAUGUAACACGCAUAAUCGAUAUAGUUCAUCGCCUUAUGUCACCAGGCAUCUAAUUAAUUUAAGACAUUUUUAUAAUUCAUACUAUAAAGUUAGUUAAUAACAGAGGUUAUAUUGUUAAAUCAGAUAUAAAUUAAGACGACCUGCAAAAAGAUGAGUCAUUAAGUUUGAUUUGAUUCUAAUGAAAUUACAUCUGUGCGAACGAAAGUGAAGGCAAUAAUAAUAAUAAUAAUAAUAAUCACCUUUUCAUCGAAGAGGGGUUGUACUUGAUGAGCCAGCAAGAAGUUCUCUUCUGAUGUUAAUUUUUGAGGUUUCUUGUUAUCUGUUGUCACGUGCACUAAAGAGUUGGAUAUGAAUGUUUCCAUAUCAGGGCAAUUCUCAAUAGUUAGAUUCUCCAACUCAAGCAUUUCAAUUAUAUUCCCAGUGAAGUUGCAGAAUCUUUUGAGUUUUGGAAGGUCAAUGAGCCUUAGCUCGAAAAGCUUAGGAAACAGGGGACCUAUAUGUUCUUUGUCAGCAUUUAGCACUUCCAAAUGAAGCACCUCUUCCAGUGAAUCACAAUUCCUCACUUCCAACCAUUCCAAAUUGUUCAAGCACCGUAGCAGAUUGGCAGGAAUAGCACUCGACAUAUUCGUGCAGUCAUCCACCACCAGGUGUCUUAAAUUGUUGAAGAAGCUGACAGGCAGUGCUUGGCCAUGCGAUAUUUCUUUCAAACGUGGAAAAUGUGAGAAUUGCAAAAACUCCAUGUCACGAAAUCCAAUCUGCUCAAACCAAAACAAUUGCACUGGAUAUAUACAAUUUUUUUUUUGAAAGGCAUUAGAUAUAUAUAUAUACAUUAAACUUACAUGUUUUGUGUUUUAACUUCUAAAAAUAUAUUUAAAUGUGCAAGUGCAGGGGAGAUGCAUGAACAAUUUGGAUGAAUCGAUUAACACAUACCAUUUCUUCGUAACACUUUUGUAUAGUGGAAUUAAGCUUAUUGCCUUCCCAAUGGUGCAGUUCACCCCCUUCCUUUUCAGUCACUUGCACUUUGCAUGGCUUUGGAAUGGAUAAGAUUCCCUGAGAAAAAGUCUUCAUGUUUGGACAACGUAUCAUAGAAACUCGUUCCAAUGAUGGGAAUUCAAGAGUGUAAUUCUCCAAACAAAAGCUGGUAAGCCUUCGUAAAUCAUCAAGUAUCAAAACUUUUAAUUCGCUGAAAGCAAUACGAUUCUCCUUCGCUUCUUCUCCAACAUGUCCUACGAUUUCUUCUAAUUCUUUGCAAUCCGAUACUUUAAGAUUCACCAGACUACUAGGAAUUCCAACCUGAAAAUAAGCAAAAGUGUGCGCAUGUGUGGUGUAUUAAAAAAGUAUGUUAAUCAUACAAUUAUGCAUUUUAUAAACAUAACAAACCAUGAAAUGUCUACUAGAUAAUUUUUUGUUAAACAAAAACGGAACAAGAUAAAUAAAUAAAUAAAAUCCAGAUAAACAAAGAUAAUAAAAAUACAUUUACACUAUUUAGUAUUAGAAACGUAGAAAUAAUUUAAGGCAAUUUCUAAAUAUUUUAGACUUAUUUUGCAUCUUGAUAUCAGUUUUUAAGCAUAAAUUUGCAAAUUUCAACUAUUCCUUCUUUUUUUUUUAAAAAAAAAGGGACCAUUUUCCUUGGUCCCUUUUUUUUAUGUAUAUUUAAAAAUGGAAAAAAAAAUUUGGAAAAGACUUCCCAAUACUGUCAACGAGGGACUGCUGUAAAGUGGAUCUUUAUUAAGUACUUCCAGACUAGAGGAAAUUUCUUUACAAUCAAGGGUCAGUUGUAAAUAAUCAUGAAUUUGUGGUUAAUUAAUGGCAUAAUCAAUUCGUAACUAAACUAGAGAUAUUAAUUAAAUUUGAAGACUUUUAUUUUCUUUUUUUCUUUUUCCAAUCGAAAUGUGAAGAAUUAAGGAAAAGAGAAAUAUAUAGAUGAAUUCGUGAACCUAUAAGAUGAGUGACGAUCCUUUAAUUUUUGAAAAUCGUACUUAUUAAGAUAUGAGCAAAAACUAUUUAAUUGAAUUAUAUUAUGCUGUUGAAUCGUGUUUAAAAAAUUUAUAUUGUUGAUUCUAAUGCUGACGAACCUAAGAUACUUGAAAUAAAUAAUCAGUUUGCUGGCUGAAUAUCAUUUGUAAACAAAAAAUGGUUAAAAUAUUGUUGGAUGUAAUUUGAAAAAAAAAAGAUUCGAAAUGAAUACAGCAACCUUACCAAUGGAGGAAAAAUAUUCAUUAGGUUAUCACACCCAAUUAUCUCCAAAUUCUUCAAUUUGCUGAAAGACUCCGAAGCAAGCUGGUGGUGCCAUAUUUUUCUCAAAUUAUCCAUCAACCUAAUACGUAAUACCUCCAACCUAGUAAGUCGUACCUGGCAGUUAAAGAUUAAAUAACUAAUUAAUCAAUUAAUGGCAUAAUCAAUUGAUAACUAAAUUAGAGGCGGAUAUUAACUAAAUUUGAAGACUCAAGGAAAAGACAAAUUAAAUAUUGUGACUAAAAUUAAAUUUUUUUAUUAAAAAAAAAACCUUUUUGUCAAAGAGAGGAGGAGGUUGCAUUUCAGAAUGAAUGGUGUCUUCUGGUGAGCUCGUAGAGAUGAAUCUCGACAUACUGUUGCACCAACUAAUCUCGAGGUUUAGCAAAGAAGGGAAUUCAACAACUAAAUCUGAAUGAAUAUGUCCCGUAUUGGCAAAGCUUGUUAGUUCUGGAAGAAAAUGGAGCUUGAGGGAGUGUAGUUUAGGAAAAACCUUUAAUUCAAUCAACUUUCCUUCUUCUCUUUCUGACCACCCCGUGGUGUCGACCACCCCUUCCAUUGACUCACAAGACCGUAUUUCAAGAUGUUGGAGUUGCAAAAGACUAUUAACCAUAGAAUACGAAAACAGAUACUUCAUACGAUGACAACUGCUCACGUACAGCUUUGUUAAAUUUUGACAACAGUACAUUCCUUGAUUAUGAUCGGCCCAUAAUUUUUUCAUGUUUCUUAAGUCCCUGAGAUUCAAUUCCUCUAACCUCGGAAGAAUAACCUGCAAAGAAAACCCGUACAUUUUUGUUCCUUCAAGUACAACCGUCUAGUAUAAUAUUCUUUUGAUGAUCGAAGAUUAAUCGUGAUAAUAAAUUAAUCAAUUAAUUAUUGAACAGAAAAUUAUCACCUUUGGAGCAGUAUCAUCAUCAGCAAUGAUUUCGUUGAAUCCCAAAGAAGUUGUUGGUUUCUCCCUGUCGGGUCCUAUAAACAAACAAAAACAAUAUAUACAUAAUUAAUCUUUGUUGUUUUUUUUUUUCCAAAAUAAUUGAGGAGAAGUCCAUAAUCCCACCAAUACUUAACUUCAACACUCACCAAAAAUCAUUUCCAGAUCACCGCAAAGAGCCACUUCUACCUUUUGAAGCCGCAGUAGGUUUUUGGCCAUGGAGAAUGAGAAAAGAUGCUUCAAUUUGUGACAGGCUUCUACUUCUAUAAUCCUUAAGUUGCUGAAAGAUUGAUCUUCUGUGAGUUGGCUGUCACAUAUUGUCUCCAAAUUGUUCAAAUAGCUAAGAGACAAUGACUCCAGCAAGGGAAAGACUGUACAAUGAACCCGUCCAACUGAACCGACAAUAUGCAAAAUCUCAGAACAACUUUCUACCCAAAGAUGCUUCAAUCGUGGAAAACCUUCCCCAUCAUCUAAUUCAUGAACAACAUUCUGAACACCCUUCAGUUCGUUUAGAUGGAUCUCUUCAGCUUCCUUCAGCAACAUUUUCGUCCCAUAAUUCUCCAAAAGAGUGCUAACAUUUUCUAGCCCAUCGAGCUCCACCAUUCUUGAUGUUUUAGAAUUAACGCCUCACAUGCGCCACGCUUCUCCUAUACAUAUCUUAUAUCUUUGCAAUUCCACAGAGACCAAAUCCUGCGGUAGAAUUUCGGCAUCCCGAACGUGUAUCUCCAAGGUAGUUAGCUUUGACAACCCCUUCAAUUCAGCAAGACUGGCGUUACUUCCUCCUUCAACCUUAUCCCACUGCGAAAAGCUGUCACCCAUAUAUAGUUCUUCCAAUCGUGAAAAUUUUGAUAUGACAUUUGGUGCUAUCACUACAAGGCUCCUACAAUUGCUCAAAUCUAGCAAUUGUAACCGCGUCAAUUGACCGAUUUCAAGUGGUAACUGCUUAAUGUCGGAAUAUCGAAAGCUAAGAAUCUCUAAUUUCUUUAGCUGUCCAAUUGCCGCUACAUCUUCUUGUUGGCACCAGUCUAAACACAAUGUUUGAAGGUUAAUGAGGCGACCUAGUGACGAAAGUAAUGAAGAGAAAUGAAUUCCAGUAAAAUCUAAAACUUUGAGUUCUUCUGUCCCUUCAAAAAAGAGGUCUGAAACUUGCAUAGGGCCAUUACCCUCCGUAUACAACAAAAAUAACUGGAGAUUGGGACAUCCCAACCUUUCGGGAAGCUCUUGAAUAUCUCUAUAAGGUAAAGAAAUAGCAAUUGGACCUUUCUGUAUUGUCUCUUCCAUCUUUUUCUCCACGUCAGCAACAUUUGGAAUAUUAAACAUGCGCUUCUCUGCUGCAAUUGAUACAGCAACAACAUGAAUGACGUCAUGCAUUUUAACUUCAUCUUUGGCAUCACCGUCCAACAAUAAGCAUGAAGAUUUGAGAUUGUCGAUCAACCGAUGCACUCUACUCCUUGCUUCUUCCAAUGUGUAAACAUUUUCAAACAAACCCCAACCCACACCAUGUCUCAAUAAGUCAGAAACGGGUAUGACAUUACCUUCACUGUAUAGACCACAAAGACGGAACAGAGAUUUUGCCUCCUCACUUUCCAAGAAUUCAUAACUCAAUUUUAUGGAGGUGUACACAUUUGCUUGCAUGCCAUGAAUUUCUCUUGCAUCCGAUCUUCUUAGCUGAUUCAAUGCAUCUUGCCAAAAGUAACGCUCCUUAGUUUUCAGAGCAUUUGCAACUGUACUCAGUGCAACAGGCAAACCUCC
rnacentral:lncRNA from 1 species